rnacentral:lncRNA from 1 species
UCCACCUCCCCGAUGGUGAAGUACUUGCUCGUGUUCUUGCACACCGAGCCUCCCUCGGGCGAUGUGGUGAUCUUCACCUCGUUGCUGAUCUUCUCGAAGGUGGUGCCCAGCAUGUCGCCCUCGAUGAUCGAGUAGCAGUAGGUGAAGUUCUCCUUGUCCAGGGCCUCAACCUUUUGCUUCAUUGUCUUGUACUGACUGCCUAUCAAAGUAAGAAAAAAUAAUAUUCACGUUUAGAACUCGCCCGUUUCAACAUCACGAACAACGAUCUCGAUGGUGUUGAUCGGGCCAUUUAGGUUGUUCCAACUGCAAUCUGAUACGAUUGACUUAGUAGACAUGGCCUGAUUUCCCUCGAUUGGAGUCAAGUCACGUGAUCACUUGUGUAAAUCAAUGAUUAGAAACAUCUUUAAUUAACCAAGUUACAUAUCUAUCUUUUUUAAUGUUCAUUAUGAUGUUCCAUAAGGUUGAAAUAGCCUUGAUCCAGAGCGAUCCUAACACGGACGGACUAACCUUCGCCGAAAGUGAUCAACUUGACGGUCCCGGGACCUCCGUCACCCUCGAGGACUUCAACGCUCUUGAUGGCUUGCGGGAGCACCUUGGGGAUGAGGUUAUCGGCGUCGAGGACAGCGGCCUUGAACAUCUUGGCCGGAGGGAUUGGGGUCGUGAUCUCAGAGUCGUAACUGACGACACCCAUGAUUUGGAUCCGAAUGGAAUUGCCGAAAGAAAGAAGAGGGUGAUCGGGAAAGGCUGACUAGCAGUGAUGAAGUUGGUCUCUAGGACUUGGGAGUGAAGAGAAGAGGAUGAACUGAAGCUGACAUAUAUAGAGAGACCGAGUGUGAAGGGUUCUCGUCAUUGGAUAUUUUCUUAAGUGUGUUCGUUUGGUACAAAAUAAAUAAUUAAAUAAUUAUUUGUAUCAUUUGGUAUAAUUAUUUGAUGAGAAAGUUUUGCAUUAUUGACAAUAAUUUAUAUAUAAAUAUUUUUUAUUCGUUUAUUUUUGUAAUUUAUAUAAAAAAAAUAUUUUUUUUACGAAACAAAUGAAGCUUAAUAAAAAAAUCUUAAUCGGUCUGUGGGUUGUUCAAUCAUGACAUGGAGGGGAGCGUGUGACGACAAAGUCAGUUCUUCUUACCGUUCGUGGCCCGGCUUUCGGUCGUCGGCUCGGCUCGCCUUGCGUUUUGGAAACGGCAUCUUCUCUCUCUCUCUCUUUCCUUCUCUCGCCCGCUCUUCCCUGCCCCGCCCCCCGGGCUUUGCUGUGGUCGCGACCAGAUGGAACUUUGACCGUGGAUUAGAUCGUUCGUUCGGUGGUGUUGGUGUCGAGGGUCGUUUGUCUUGUCCGUGCACAAAUUCCUUUCUUUCUUUUUUUUUUUUUUUGCUUUUUUUUUCUUUAUUCGAUGAGGUCGUCGUUCGAUGAGGUCGACCUUGACCUCGCCGGUUGCCAUGGUCCGUCGACUAGAGGAAGAAGAUGAGAAGAAAAAAAUAAAAAUAAAAAUAAAAAUUCAAAAAAAUUACAAUAUUAUUAGAAGUUGUCCACGUCAUCGUGUUUAGUCAGCAAAAUCCGGUCAAAAUUGACCGGAAAUGACUGAAUUGGUAUAAAGUAAAAAUAUUUAGGACUAAAUCAGCACAAAAACAAAAUGUUUAGAACUUUUUAGGCAUUUUUCCCCUAAAAUGGGUAUUACAAGUUUACGAAAGGUACGAACUCAAAAGUCUCCCAAUAAUACUUAAAUUCUCUUGUAGUAGUUAUAUCUAUCUAAUCUUCAAUUAAAAAAGAAAAAUUUCAGUAAAAUUCCUUAAAAACACAUGUAUAAAAUCUUGUUAUCUUCUAUUAAUGCAGGUUUUAAUCAUAUUGUUUCACCAACCUUCUCAGCGAAUUAGUCCCUUUUUUUAGCAUAACUAAUCUUGGGAUGUCACAUUUUAUUGCUAUAACUUGGGGCUUUGAUUUAGGAACUCCAAUAAUCAUUAAAUCUAUCCAUGGAGAGCGCCCGCUAAAAAAAUCUGACUGCUUUGCAUAACCUAGUUUGGUUCAACACCUUUCCUCCAGUAACUUUCCUGACAUAGUAAAAUCUUACUUAUGUACUUGUAAAAUCCGAACCAAGUUUCUGUAUAGAUUAAACAUGAACAUUUGCACACUUAAAUGAAUUCUUUAAAUCCCUGGGUUAAAUUUUGAUAUUAUCAUAAUCCUUUAUUUUCCAAGUAGUUUCUCCAUUUUCGACAAUGACAAACCUAUAACAUUCCUUCAAUGAGAGUGAGCUAUGCACAUAAGCAUGCAUAUUCUGCAGAACUAUUUGAAUGUAAAACCAGAGAUGAUUCAUGCAUGCUUCUACAUGUGACAUUUUAAUAGACCAUACAAAUAUGUCUGCAAAACAUAAUAAACUCUCCUUAAUAUGUACACAUAGUGUGAUACUCCCCCUGAGUAUGUGCUUCUCCCCCUUCUUGUUUCUUAAAAAAGCAAGAACAUCAUAUGCCCAGGGAUGAAAACCAUAUAAGCAAAAGCAUCCAUUUAUUUAUAUACAAGAGUGUUCCACAAAGCAUAUUCUGGAAAAAUUAAUAUAAAGGAAAGUGAACAUUAACCAAAAGGAUCACAAACACCGAUUUCAUCCAUCAAGCUAGAAACGUAUUGUUAUCAAGAGGUUUAUUCAAAAUAUGAGCGAAUUGCAGAUCGAUGUUAACAAAUCCUUUUCAUUAAUUCAUGUUGUGCUGUGGCUGCCAUAAUUAAAUAAAUAAAUAAAAGAAUCAUAUGAAGGAGUCUCUCUUCUUGAAGUUUGACCUAGUUCAGAGCUCCUCGAAAUGGAAGCCACCCCCGUUAAUUAGCACAACUCAUUGUUUAGAGUUAAAUCUUUUAUUAGAAAUCCAAAAUUUAGGCAAUUAAAUACUUGGCCAAUUUUUAAGACAGUGUGACUCUAAAAAUUGUGCUCAUAUUCAACUGAAACACAAUUAGUAAAGAAAGACUUACCGAGUGCUUAACAAUGUCGCAAUUACACUUAUCUUCAAAUCCUUACAUUAAGGAUGACACAUCCUUAUAUUUCAAUAAGGGCCAUUGACUUAACUAAGAAAUUUUAUCUGUUGAAUACUUGAAACACAGAAAUCUGACUAAUUGGAGUAUGAAUUACUGAAACUACAACAACAAUUGAGUAGAAAUGUAAAAGAGACUUAGGGUUGAUGCCUGAUUAUAUAUCGAAAUACCAUGGGUUUGACAUAUAGACCUCCUUGUCAAAGCCCUGUAUGCUAUUGGAAAUAUGUAUACGUAUUAGGCGCAUUCUGUGGGCUACUACAUGGUGCACUUGUUUUAUAUUUAAAGUUUCAAUGGGUUAGUUUUGUCUACUGGUAAUAUUUUCCUCCAAUCAUACUUUCAAUUAAUAGGUCAAAGAUUAUGGACAUUAUCAAUACGAAAUUUAAUCAAAAUCAAAUACGAGUGAUGUUAAUAUUUGUGUAAUCCAUCAAUGAAAGUUAUGGCUAAAAAGAGUUCAUCCAGCUAGAGCGUUACAUGUGUAAAUAGAGAUAAAAUAAAUUUAGAAUUCUAUCCGUGAACUUUUAUAUCAUUGACUACGGUUGCUAACAAGCAUUUUCAUUGCAAAAUUUGACAACAUUUUUCGAUGGCUUUUGGAUUAUCACAUAAUUAUGUCGUGAUUCAGUUUUAUCAUGUUCAGAUUUAGUUUUUUUACAUUUAUUUGAAUCUAAGUUACAAUUAUUGCACGUGAUGGUUGACACUUAAGGGCCUGCAUGGUUGGCACUUAUUUCUGUUCCCAGGAACAGAAAUUUCUGUUUUUUUGUUCCUGGGAACAAAAAAGGAACAGAAACGCGUUUGUGUGCGUUUCNNNNNNNNNNNNNNNNNNNNNNNNNNNNNNNNNNNNNNNNNNNNNNNNNNNNNNNNNNNNNNNNNNNNNNNNNNNNNNNNNNNNNNNNNNNNNNNNNNNNNNNNNNNNNNNNNNNNNNNNNNNNNNNNNNNNNNNNNNNNNNNNNNNNNNNNNNNNNNNNNNNNNNNNNNNNNNNNNNNNNNNNNNNNNNNNNNNNNNNNNNNNNNNNNNNNNNNNNNNNNNNNNNNNNNNNNNNNNNNNNNNNNNNNNNNNNNNNNNNNNNNNNNNNNNNNNNNNNNNNNNNNNNNNNNNNNNNNNNNNNNNNNNNNNNNNNNNNNNNNNNNNNNNNNNNNNNNNNNNNNNNNNNNNNNNNNNNNNNNNNNNNNNNNNNNNNNNNNNNNNNNNNNNNNNNNNNNNNNNNNNNNNNNNNNNNNNNNNNNNNNNNNNNNNNNNNNNNNNNNNNNNNNNNNNNNNNNNNNNNNNNNNNNNNNNNNNNNNNNNNNNNNAAUAAAAAAAUUAUACAAAUUUACCAAACAUGUUUCUGUUUAUUUUUUAUUCUCGGAACAAGUUUACCAAACGCGUAUUUUUGUUCAAAAAUUGUUCCCCGGAACAGAAAUACUUUUUUCUAUUUCUGUUCCUGGAACAAUUUUUAAACAGAAACACAACCAAACGCGCCCUAAAUUUCGCUGUUUUUCUUCCUCUUCUUUUGUCCCCGCGCGGCCCAAUCUCGUUUUUCCUUUCGGCCCGCCCGCGCCCCAGCUGUCUUCCUUGUCCUGUCUUCGCGCGCAAACCUGCAGAGGAGAGACAGCAGCAGCAGCAGCACAGCAGCAGCACGCCAGCAGGGGGAGCAGGAGCAGAGUAGAAAGCACGCGAGCAACAGGCGGACCGGCGGAAAGAAAAGACAGGGGGAAGCAAGGGGCAGAAAGAAAGUGGAGCAACCAGAGAAAGAAAAACAGAGGGAGAGAGCUCGAGAGGGAGGGAGAGAACCGGAGAGGAGGGGAGUCUCCGGCACUGUCGCCGCCGCCGCCGACGCUCGCUGCCGCCUCCCACACCUCUCCAGCAACCGCCAUCCCCGACGACCACCGCCGUGUUGCCUCCCCCGCCGUCGCCUGCUGCUGCGUUUUCGUCACCAGCUGCCGCGUUCGCCGUCGCCCGCCGCUGCCUUUCCGCCACCGUGCCGUCACCCGCUGCGUCCCAACCGUCGCCGUCAAGCCCGUCGCCGCCGCCGCCGUCCGUACGCCUAGCGACGCCUCAGCCGCAAGCAAGGAGAGGGACGUCCAUCGGGUCGCAGCCGGGUAGGAUUUUGAUCUUCGGGCAGGCCGCGUCUGGGCCGAAGCAAGGCCUUUGGGCCGGUUUAAUAUUAGUUUUUCCUUUUGUGUCGGGCUGGUUUAAUAUUAGUCUUUCCUUUUGUGUUGGGCCGGGCUUAGUUUACUUAGGUUUCUUUUUUAGGUGGACUCAGUUUUGAGCUGGACUGGGCCCGUCGUUCAGGCCCAGUCCUGUUGGGGCCCUGCCGAAUUUGGCCCUCCCCCGACCAGGCCGAACCCGGGUCGGUCAGACCGGACCCGACCCGGUUCGCCCAUUUUUUUAAAAUUUAUUUUAUUUUUUAAAAAUAAUUAAAAAUGUAAAAAUUUCGAAAAUUUAAAAAAUGUUGGGUUUAGUUAGGAAUUAUCAUGUCAACAUAAUUAAGCUUUUAUUUUCUUGUACCUUGAUUAUAUUGCAUGUUUAAUUAGCAUAUUUGAUUAUGUUUGUGGAUGUUUAAUUGCACAUGUUUAAUUUUACUGCAAUUAAGAUUUUGGUAGCUAUUAUUGUUAUUCUAAUGAUUGUACAUUUAUACAAUUACAUUAUAUGUUAGUGGAUAUGUGUAAAAUCAAUCCACAUUGCCUGACAAAAAUCAUUUCUUUUUAAAAUGAACAAUAUUAAGUAUUGAAAAGACACUAAUUGGUUAAUUAGUAUAAUCAUAUUCCCGACCCUAGAUUCUUUAGUUGGUAAGAAGUGUGGUAUACUCUCAUGUCUCACUUGGUUUUUAACCGACCCCAAUAUAGCUUACUCUAAUAGGUUAGUGGCGACUCUCUUUUGCAAAAUUCUUAAAAAUACCCAAAUGUCACGUGAGAUAAAGCUUAUGAGAGCCUAUGCCUAAUCAUAGGCUUUAGAUUCGUUGUUUAGGCAAUACCCUUAAACCUAUUCUUUCCCCCUGAUGGUAGGUCACGACAAUGAUCUAAGCUCCACCAAUAUUCUUACAUGACAUUUUCUGCUUGUCAAGCAUGUGACUUUAACGAUGUUGUAAAUUAAAUCAAUUACACGUUAAAAGUUUCAGUCAAUAAUUGACACAAAUAGUAGUAGUGGACCGACCGAAUAACAUUAGAUUGGCAAUGCAAAAUCUUAUUUCAAUAGAUCAAUAGCAUAACUACAGCAAAUAUCAAACUUUAGGACCGUGAAUGAAAUUUCUCGGUGUUAAAAAAUAAUUUUCCUUCUCUUGUCACGUCCACAGAAAAUCUUUUAGCACCACCACUACAAAAAAGGAUCGUGGUUUUCUUCCAUCACAAAUUUGAUUGGCAAGUUAUCAAAAUUUGAAGAAUCAUCCUAGAGACCGAUUCAAGGACAGCAGUUGAUCUACUAGUUGGCAAGAUUACAGAGGCGUUGAGGUCAGAUUGGGUGGUGAAAACCAACACAGCCCGUGAAGGCAAAACGUGCGACGAUUAAUAAGCCAAUGCAGCGUUCUUUCAGAGACUAGAUUUAGUUAUUCACUUAAGUUUAUCUACGGGGCUUCAAUUUGUACUUUUUAGGAGAUAAAAGUGGGUGUUAGGAGGCCUGGAGUUGCAUAUGAGACGUGUUAGAAAUUAAACCAAAUUAAUAGAUGUCCUCAAUCGACUACGAGUUGCUGAUGUCAAUGGAGAAGUUACUGAUAUUAAUGGUUGUCAAUGUUGAUAUUCCAUAAUUUGAUACUGAUGAUUUUGUUUGGUGAAUUGAUACGGAUGACUGUCCGAUGCUUGAGUUAAUUAGAUUCUUUAUUGUAGCGUUGUUUUUGAGAAGUCUAUUCGUAUUUUUAUUUCAUGUCUGUUCAUGUUUCUAAGUGUAAUCAAUGUUUUGUAAGUUCUUAGGAUUUUAUCACCUCAGAUUAGCUAUAUUUAUGAGUAAUUUAGUUUAAGAGUUAUGUGUGAAGCGUAUAAAAGUGGAGUCUUGUAAUUGUUUUUGAUAAGGUGAAAAAAAGGUGAAAUAAACAAAAAGGAUAUCUGUCUCCUUCUCUUUUUUGUGUUGUGUUAGUGAGUGUUUCAGCUUUAAAUUAUCCCAUCAAGAUGUAGCCUGUAUUUGUCUGUUACAAAAACUUGAAAUUUUCUAGUUUUGAUGCCAUAUGAAAUUAUGAAGGAGCGCUAUUAGCUAUUAUAGAAGUUUAGAUAAUUAGAUGGAUGCAUUAUUCGAUACUUAAUUGAUAUAACGUCUCUUUCACGACCCAUGUUCCUUUUCAACAACUAGAUUACUUCAACAGCUUGGCCUCAAUGAAAGGAGAGCUGUCUACAGAAGUGGAGGAUGAUGGAAUGAACAACUCGAUCGCGGAGGAGGUAAAGAAGGAUGAAAGAGGACCUUUAAUGGAAGUGUCAAAGGAUGAAAGGGAUUCUGAAGAAGAAAUCUGGAGAGGUCGACGGGAGAUAAUGAAUAAUGCAUUGGCGGCUUCCGCGGGGGACAAGAUCCGGCAAAAGCUUACGAAUAUGCUCGAAUACUGGCGCAUGUCAUCAAAGGCGGCAAGGUUGACGAGUUCCUUUCCAUGAUCAAUGUAAAUGAUCCAUUGUUGUGGGACAUCAAUUGGUCUGCCGUUUUGAAUUCCCGAUUGGAAUGGAACGAAUCACUGCUCCACAGGGCAGCAGCAAACGAGAACGACGACAUCCUAAGGCUUCUGGUUGAUUAUGUUGGUGACCACCUCAUAACCGCCCAAGAUGAUUGCAGAUAUACCCCACUCCACUGGGUCGCUCGGUUGGGGGGAUCUACUGGAGCUGUAGAGAUGUUGAUUCACCGGGCAAGAGACCUCCCCAACGUCGAGGACAAGAACCUCCUCUUGAGGAUGAAGAGCAACCGUGGAAAAACCGCUUUGCACUUGGCCGUGUGCUCUCAACAUGCCAACUUGGUGCGCUAUUUGUUGAGCGAAGAUUUGGAGCCCGUGUACUGGAAGAAUGCAAGUGAGAAAUCUCCCCUGUACCUAGCCCUCGAGAUUAAUGACUCCACAAUACAUGAGACUUUAUUUUCACUCUCGUUGGAACCGUCAAGGAUAGAAGGCUUGCCGCCCAUUCUUGGUGCCAUUGUACUUGGACGACACGGUACGUACCUAAAUCUGCUUAUGUGGAAAUAUAUUUAUCUAUUUCUGGACCGACUCGUCCCAAAUUUGUGCAAUAACCUUUUGCUCUUACCAGAACCUUUUACCGGUUUUUACUUAAAAUUCCCUACCCUGCUUGUUAAAGCAGUUGGAUACCCAUCGGUUUAGCCGCGCAUAAUAAACAAAUUAUUCACAUUAGAGCAUAAUAGAUUGGCUUAAAUAUUACAAAUACAACCAUUUCACUAGAAACUCGUGUUAUCGAUAUUUGAUUAGAAAAGCUAUAAAGUGCAAAUAUUUAAGAUUGAUGACCAUGAAAAUCUGGUAUCUAACAAUGAUGCCAUUUCUUAAGCGACUUAGAGCCAUGAACCAAAAUGAACAAAUGAAAGUUUAGGGCAGGAAUUAUAAACUGGUAGCAAACCUGUAGGCUGCGCAGGCGUGAUUUUUUCAUUGGAAAAAGAGGAGGUGAAGGUUCCGUCACUCUCAACAAAUUGAUGGAACAUCAUAAACCGUGAAUUUGUUUGUGACCAACAGUCAAUAGGUUUUUAAGAAAUUAACAAAAGUGGAUCUAAAUAAAGAAACAAAUUUUUGACUUUUUUUUAAAAAUGAAUACAGUUAUCAUAAACUUUGCACAAAAAGCCGAUAUCGUAGUCUAGCCUAAAUUACCUUGACCAUUAAAAAUAUUGAGUUAAAAUUCAUCAGACACGCGAUAAUCAAUUAUGCGGAAUUUUUUGGCUGCUAAUGCCAUGUAUCCCAAGUUUACUACUUGAUAAGCAUAGCUAACGUUCAUUGAUCAUCAGAUUGGUAGAUGGCAUUCAAGUGUUACAGUCAUAUCAAAUAGAGAGAAUUGUCCAAAAAGUGCUAGACUUAUUAUAUGAUUGUCGAUUCAGUUAUAAACAUGUUAAUUGUGUCAAUUUAACCUCUAUUUUAGUCCUAAACUUUUAAAAGAUUUGCCAACUUAGUCCUUCUAAUCAAUUUCUACUGGAAAUCAAUUUAUGCUGGAAAUUGCCGACAUGGCGGUCUAGUCAAAGUUAGCCAUCCUACAUGAUGUUGAUCGCCUAUGUGGCUUUUUUACAAUAUAUAUAUUAUUUUUUUAAUUUUUUGCAUUUUUUUCCUUUUCUUUUUUUUUAAUCCUUUUUCUCCCUCUGCCAGCCUCAGGCGAGGGCUGCCCUCUGACCCUUGCGUAGAGCAACCCUUGCCCUUGCUCGACCUCCACUAGGUGUCAACUGUUGAUGGUUAGAGAAGGGAAAAAGGAAAAAAUGAAAUUAGAAAACAAAAUGAAAAGAAAAAGACAAAGGAAAGGAAAGGAAAAAGGAAAAAAAAAUUAGAAAACUAAAAAAAUUGCAAAAAUUAUCCAUGUUAGCGUUGACUAUGCCAUGUAGGACAAUCAAUACUACUAGACCGCCAUGCCAAUGAUUUCCAACAAAAUUGGCUAGAAUGACUAAAAUAACAAAUUGUUAAAAGAUUUAUAACUAAAUUGGCAAGUUAUUAAACAUGGAAGGCUUCGCAGCUAUCCAGAAGAGAGCCUUACUCUAUAGGGGUGCUAACGCUUUACUAAGGUAUAGGAGAAGGGGCGGUUGGCUUAGUAAAGAGAGUAUAAAGUUCCACUUUGUGAAUAGUGCCUCGGCUCGGUUGAGUAAUGUAGUUCGCAAUUGUUAUGACUAAAUUGGCAUAAUUGAAAUAUUUAAGACUAAAUUAAUCAUCAUACAAUAAAUUCAAGACUUUUUGGACAAUUUUCCCUAUCAAGUAUAAUUCCAACCCUAGAUGCAGUAACUUUAUUUGUAUCCUGUCCCAAUUUAUUAAUCCGAGCACAUGUUAUUAUUUACAUUGCACGACGUAACAUGUUUGAGGCUGUCUAUUUAAACUGAACAUGCAAAACAAUUUCAAAUAGACAUUAAGUGAAAAUGCGUAACAAUGUAUUGUGUGAUGCAAAUAAUAAAUUAGCAUACCCAAUAAAUGUAGGUGUCUAAACUUACGUCGCACUCGUUGAAUAGAUUAUAGAAGUCGACUUGCACACAUAACGUUCAUAAUCCAUUUAUAAAUGGCUUAACUUAUUUGCGAUAAUACAAUUAAACCUAAUCCUACCAUAUGUAACCACGUUUCAUGUAGUGAACAUGUCUGUAGAAGGGCUGUUUCAUAGUUUGUCAGCUCAUAAUUCUAAUAAGUACUUUAGAAACUAUACAAAAGAUCCCAUUGAAAUUGGAUUUACUAUAUAUUUCUUAUUCUUACUGUCCAAUAUAUAAAAAUCCUUUUAUGAAGUACUACUAAUUGAAAUCUCAUAAUAAUAGUUCAUUUUAUUCCUCAUUGAAUGUAAAAGUAGAUGACAUUGUGGAAUGAAUCGAGCAUUGCCAUGGGCUUUUGUAGAGAGGCACUUUAAUUAGGCUCUCAUGAUAGGUAAGGUUCAUAUCAAUUAAAUAAGGUAAGGUUAUUUCUUUAAAUCUAGUAGUAUUCUUUCACUUGGGAAAAUUAUCCAAAAAGUCCUAAGCCUAUUGCACUUUUGCCAAUUCAAUCCUAAAUCAUUCAAUUUUGUCAAUUCAGUGCUAACCAUUUUCACUUCUUGCCAAAUGAGUGUAUUCCGCUAAUUUUGACCAGAAUUCAUUGAUGUGGAUAAUUUUUAUUAAUAUUUUAAUCAUUUUUUAAAAAAAUUAUACUUUUUUCUUUUUUUCUUUCUUUAUUCCCCCCUCUCUUCUUCCUUUUAUCAAUGGCUAGCUACUAACCACCAGUGAUGGCCAACUACCGGCCAUGGCUAGGUGAGUUGACCUUGCCCGCCGUAAGUGAUGCCUGGCCGGGCAAGGCCAAGCCCCAACAAGGGUCGGCCUCACCUAGGUUAGGCGAGACCAACCCUCGCCCAAACUAGGUGAGAUCGCCUAGGCGAGGGUGAGCCCCUUGUUCGACCAUGUCUUACUGAGGCAUGCGAGGCUAGCUAGCUCGGCCAUAGUUGGUGGCUGGCACAAAAGGAAGAAGAAAGGGAAAAAAAAUUUAAAAAAAAUAAAAAAAUAUUUUUAAGAGUUUACAUUAGUGUCAACCGUCUUACAAGACACCGCUAGUGUCCACAUCAGCGAAUUCCUAUCAAAAUUAGCCGGAUGGACUCAAUUACCAAGAAGUAAAAAGGUUUAUGACUGAAUUGACAAAAUUAAAGAGUUUAUGACUGAAUUGAUAUAAGUGCAAUAGAUUUAGAACUUUUGGGAAAUUUUCACUCUUUCACUAAUGUAUCUAGAAUGUAACUAGUUACCCAUAUUGAAAUUUGUGGCCUGAAUUGCUCCGUCAAUUUCAAGAAUGGUGGCAUCCAUCAUGCGAGCACCUUUUUUUGUAUGUGUAAAAUUGAAGUAUGUUUUUUAUUAUAAAUUAUUGGUGAAAUAUUAUUCUAUUUCAUAAAAAAAUUCUUCUUUUGAAUAGAAUAAAUGCAAAAUUCUUAAUUCAUGUUAUAUAUUAAUGUAAAAUAUAGGGGGCUCGAUGAUAGUUAAAAAAUUCCUAAUUAUUGUUGUUAUAACUCAUGAAAUUUGUAUAUGUACUUAACAAUAUUAUUAGAGUAUAUUUUAUAGGAAGUAUUAUAGAAAUGUAAGAAUUUUCAAUAAUUGCUCAUUUGCAGUUUUUGAAACUCAUUAGAACUAAUUUCAAUAAAACUAAUGCCUCUUUUGUUGAACAAAAGUCAUGGUAUAAGAGGCAAACAUAAAUCCUAAUUUGAAGCAAAAUAAAUGGAAAGUGGAAGAAACACUCUUUGUGAGGAAAAUAAUCAAUCCCUUACAAAUUAGAGCCCUAUAAAUCACUUUUAGAGACAAUUCUUAAAGAAAAAAUCAUUAUAUAUUUAUGUAGAUGUUACAAUAGUCUAGAUUAAUUUGCAAAGUUCACUGAACUUUUAGUAUUAUGGAUGUAAUUUUAUGGCGGUGAAAUGAGACUCAUUUUGUUUUGUGUUGUGUCAUCACAGCUUAAAUAUGUGGUCGUUAUAGCUCCGAUAUAUAUGACUCCAUGCAAUGCACAGACAAGAUAGAACAUAUAAUGUGAUUUAUUGAGUAAAAAUAUCUUUCCCAGAAUCACUAAAAUUUCACAAAAUAUAUUUGGUCCAUUCACAAGAUAUAAUGGGAUUGAGUAGCACAAUCCCCAAGGAUGAGGUUAUCUCUAAAUCACUCUCGCCUGUCUUUGAAGUCCAAUGGCCACCCACAAUCCUCAAACACCGUUGGAAUAUUCUCAAACAAUUGAAGCACCUCUCUCACAUUAUUGAACCUCUUUACUAGCACCUCCAAAUUUUCAUAGUUGGGGCCAAAAAAAAAUUCCUUUUGGUGGAGCCUUUUCCUUUCUGUAUUUUGUGAUUUAUAAGCUCUACUAUCUUAGAAAUAGAUUAUGGUCACAAAUUUUACUUAGAUUUUACUCACAAGUUUGGUAAAUACAUAAUCUCUUAAUUGAGCUCAAUAAGUGCCGUAUACCUUUACGAAGAAGAUGACAUUCAAUCUAGAGAGGGUGGAACAAUUUUAAGGGGGAUUUCGGUAGGGCGUUGUGGAGGCUAUUGCAAUGUUCUUAACAAUUAAAUAAGUCUGCUUGAUACUUGCUAGAAUUCGACGGACAUAAUAUGAAAAGAUCAUUUUCCUUUUCUUGAUCUUGCCCUAGCUUGCAUUACGUCUGCCGACUCUAUAGAUACUUCAUGUCGUGGAAAUGCCAUAUAAAUUGCUAUGUCAUUUAGCAAGAUUUUUAUAGUCAAAUCUUAAGUUCCUGUCGAUGUCAUUUAACUAGUUUUGGUAUUGCAAUCUAAUCUGUUAUUGUCGACUAUCAAUACUAGUAGUGAUUAAGGCACGUCAAAGAUGUCCUUACUCCAAAAUGGGUUUAAAUAUAUCGAGACCAACCAAGCUCCAACCAUCCUAAUUUGGAGCUUCUGAUCCCAGAUUUAUUCAACCUGAUACUCAAGAAAAACAUGAAGCUAUUCGCAUUGACCGACUCCACCGGGGGCAAUGUAUUCCAUUUAGCAGCUUACCUGAAUCAGGCCUGGGUAUUCGAAUUCUUACAACCAGAAACUAUAUAUUUGAUCCGAGCAAGGGACAUGAAUGGAGAUCUCCCCAUUCAUAUUGCGAGCAAGAUGGGUUAUGUUGAACAUAUCAAGAAGCUGAGGAAAGUAUCAAAUUUGCGAAAUGGGCAAGGGCAAACUGUUCUUCAUGUUGCCGCAAAAUAUGGGAGAGUCUCCGUAGUGAGAUAUAUACUCAGUGAUCCAGAUCUAGGGGAGCUGUUAAAUAAACAAGAUUUUGAUGGAAAUACAGCUUUGCACUUGGCUGCGAUGCAUUCACAGCCCGCUGCUUUGAUUCAUCUUGUGCGGACUAACGGAAUUCAACUCAGCAUUCUCAACAACAAAUGCUUGUUGGCUGUUGACAUUGCUGGACGACGCGUAGCAAUGGGGUAUGAUAUUCGGCAGGUAGGUAACAUGAACAGUCACUAUUUUAUUUAUUAACUUACUGGAGAUUUCGUAGACUAAUGCAUUAGUUAAGGCAGAUCUUGUAUUCAAAUCAUUAUGUCUCCCAGCCAACUAGAUAGGAGAAGUAUUGAUCAAAUCUCUAGAAUAACCAAGACUCCUCUCGGAUAAAUGUUUUGCAAGUCCCUAAUUUAGUCUUGAUAGGAGGUAAUUAAAAUUUGUGAUCAUGAAUUUCUCUGCAGUUAGAAACAAGUAACGUGUCUUUCAUAACACGGAGAUAACAAUUUAUAUAUUUCGUUUAAUUGAGCCUCUGAAUACAGUCAUGAAUAAAAAGGCAGGGUUUGUCAAGGUUGCAUUCUGUUUUUCAUAAAAAGCCAGGGGUCAAUGUGGCAAAUUUGAACGCUCCAAAUGUAACACAAUCUCAUAACAUUAUCAUUUUGUCGACCUAUGAAAUGAUUGCCCGCAUAGAUUCCAUUCAUGCCUCUUUUUUCGUCUAAAACGAACUUGGCAAUUUUGUGCUAAUUCUUCAAAAAGAGCAGAAACUGCAUCUUUAGAAGCAAACGUUUCCAGAGUUCAUUCCCGUUAUAAAUAUGGUAUAAGUUUGUUCUUAUUUUCCUUUUUACAUGCUUCCGAUCUCAGCACUUGGCAUACCUGGCGUUGCUUUGCUCGCUCGCGGAAGAAGGUCCACUUGAAAACCAAGAGUUACUCCUAGUUAGAGCGGAAGCUCGAGAUGAAGAGUUAUCAGUAGUCCGCUCGCGCAAAAGCAUGCCGAGAAGGGACAUCAUCAAGGAUCACAUCAAUUCCCGUAUGGUGGUGGCAACGCUUGUGGCCACAGUGACUUUCGCAGUUGGUUUUGCAGUUCCUGGAGGAUUUAACAGCUCAGACACAGCCUCCAAAGAUGACCGGGGCAUGGCUAUGAUGCUGGACACAGAAUGUUCCAGGCUUUCGCGAUUUGCAACACCAUCGCGAUGUUCUGCUCAAUGACUGUGGUCGUCAACCUCAUCUGGGCGCAGGUAGUUGAUGUCAACGUUGCAGUCGCUGCAUUUCAGCGCACAACGCUACCGCUACAAAUUGCACUCCCGGCGAUGUCCACCGCUUUCUUAACUGGUGUCACCUUGACCAUUGGCAAACUCCCGUGGCUUGCUAACACCAUAUUUUAUUUGGGACUCGUUUUCCUCCUCAUUAUCUCAUUUGCUAACUUGUUCGGGGAGCCUUUCUUCUUUAAAAUCCUCGGUCAUCCUCUCCGUCGACUAACAUUCUGGCUUAUUCUCGCUUGCAUUUAUUUGUGGAGAGUUGAGACGUACAUUUAUGAUGACAAUGACGCGGAAGAUAACAGAAGGAGAAGAAGACCUUCGCUAGUCCGCCUGUGGAUGUUGCCGGUGAAACGAGGACCGAUGACUCGGCGAAAGCAAAAUGUGAGGAUGCGUUACAUCCUCCAAGUCACUGAUUUGAAUUGAUCAUUCCAUAUUAUCUGUAAUAUGUAGUAGUAAUAUAUGUUUUCCUUGGUGAGUGUGACUCACUCUACGGUUGCUUUCCUUUAUGUCAGAUCAAAGGUGAUUGUUAAUGUAUGUAAGCUAAACCACGUGUUCCUCUAAUAACUUAACUUAUUAGAAUUGUUGGAUAUAAUUCCAUCAAAUUUCAUAUGUUAUUAAAGCAGAGGUUCUAAGUUCAAACAUUUUCAGGUCCUAUUUGCUUCAUCUAUUAUAUGUUCUCAUGUUUCAAUAUUAGAUCAAUUCAAGUUUAUGAGUGAAGAUGAGUAUAAAAGUAUUUGUAUUAAAGUAUUUGAAUUAAACAUCGCAUCCGUCUAAUAAUUUACAUUUUUAGAAUAAUUAAUUGUAGUUCCCGAAAUUUCAAAGUGAUACACACUUCAUGUAAAUUAAAUGGAUGAAUGGCUCAUUUCACCCGUUUCAUUGCCUUGGAAUCAAAUUGUUAACUUUGAACAUGUGGAAGCUCGUGGGUCAAUGAAAUCACUCGUCUAGAGUGGCAAUGUCCGAUUUACUUUGAACCAGUCCAAUUUGCGGCACUCUCGAGUCACGAAAUCUUACCUGUCUGGUGUGCAAAGAAAAUAAUUCUCAAAUUCUCAUCGCCUACUCUCUGAGUCGAGAGUUGGGUGAAGAAAACCGGAACAAAAUAAUUCUCUUCACUACUCACAAAAAAAAAAAAAUAGAAUCGAACCCCGAACUCAUUUCCAUUUACACCCCUUUCAUUUCCCCACUUCUCCCUCCUAGGCGACCAAUUUCUGUGCAUGCAAAUGAGUUUUGGUCUUUGAUUCGUGCCGAGGUAUAAUCUAGUGAGCAGCGGGCACAGAAGUCUAGUCAAGGGACGAGAUAAAAAGGAAUUGCAGUACGCAACUCAAGGAGAAUUGUGGAAAAGUUUGGAUAUGUGAUUUUCCUCCUCCGAUCUCUGAUUUUUAUUUCAAAGCCGGUUGGUAUUGACACGUAGAAUAUAACUCUAAAGUGAUUCUGGACCUAUUUAUUUUGAAAGUAGAUAAUUACAAAAAAUGAAAAGGAUCCCAUUGUACAAAUAAUCGAUUUAAUUUUAAACAUCUUGACGAUUUGCCAGUAUAGUCAUUCUGACCAAUUAUGACCGAAAAUCAUUGACGUAGAUGCUAGCCAUCCUAUCGCACAUGACCAGUAUUGAGGUGGACAAUUUUUGUAAUUUAAAACAAAAUUCUCAUUUUUUUUUCUUUUUUUCAUGUUUUCAUUUUCUUCAUUUUCCUUUCUUAUAUUUUCCUUUUUAUUUUUUUCUUAUUCCCCUUCGCCAGCCAUUGGCCGGUCCAUGGCUUCGGUGAUUGAUAGUAAGGGCCCAAUGCCCUCGCCAGCGAUUGCAAGGGCUGAUGGAUUUGCUGGGGCCACAGACUAAUGGAGGGACAAAGGAAGAAAAAAAAAGAAUGACAGAAAAGAAACUAAAAAAAGGAAAAAAAAAAGUUUUGAAAUAAUUGCAAAAAUUAUCCACAUUAACAUCCGCGCCCAGAUCGGCGAGGCCAAUCUUGUCAUGGGCUGGCCUAGAUCUGGGUGAAGCCGCCUCGCGUGCGGCUCCGAGGCCUCACUUGUGGCCAAAAGAAUGAAGAAGAGAAAAAAAAUAAAAGGAAAAAUAAAGAAAAUUAUUAAAAAAUUAUUAAAAAAUUAUUAAAAAUUGCCACGUUAGCAUUGACCGAAUGACUAUCGUCCACAUCAACGCUAGCCGACCAAAAUUGGCCGAAUAGAUUGAAUUAACACAAUCACGAAAAGUUUAUAACUGAAUUAGCACAAUUGUUAUGAAUUUACGACUUUUUUGGUAAUUCUCCCAAUUUAUUUGUUAUCUCCAUUUUUAGAUUGUGACAUGUGUCCAUUCAAUUUUAGUCCUCACUGCACUUCAUCUAAAUACCAUCAAACCUUAGCAGCGAGGAUGGUAAUUGGAGAUCUAUGCAAAUAUUUAUAUAUAAAAAUUACAUUGAGAUAGUAAAGUGUGCUCACCAUCAUCAUAUCAUCAUCCAUCAAGUCGAUUCCACAUAAUGAUCUAUUUGUCACUUUCAACAUCCUGGGGGCUUAAAUGUUUCAAUUAAAUAAGGUAGGAUGAGAAGUAUUUUUCAUAAAGAACGGACAUUCAAGAAGUCUUGCUAGAUUGAUAGAUUGAUGUUGCAAAUGGUUCUCUUCUCAAGUAGCAUGAAAAAUUAUGCUACUUAAAUGUAGAGCCUCCUUUUUUCUAUUUUUUUUGGCAGAUCUUCCAAAUCAAAUUACAAGGUUACGACUAUGAAAACUCAUAGUACAAGUACAAAAAAUACCAAAUCAAUCAUCUAUUGACUUCUCGAUUCUCAUUAAAUCUGAUUCACAAAAUAGGUUGGGACCCAUUUUGCUAGCCCUACUAAAAUCUAAACAUUUUAAUAAAUUAAGGAUUUAUACGGCAUCCUAGUUCACAAAGAUGUGCCGUUGCUGUUGACAAAUCGACAGUGAUUGAUUUUCAUGAACUCGUCGUCAUAUUGUCGACAUUCCCAUUAUAUAUGAACAUAAGAGAGAACUUUGAUUUUUGAGCAUCAAGAGAUAAGAUUGACUUAAAUAGAAUGCCAAAUAGCCCAAGUGUCACAAUUAGAUAAUUCCAAACCCCAAACACUUUUUUUUUAACCCCAAACACAUUCAACUAUGGUUUUUUUUUCCUUAUAACUUUCUUCACAUAAUAUAAGAAUGUACUUUAUGGUUAAUGAUCAUAUAUAUCGCGGUUUAUGAAAGACUAUGCCACAUCAAUAGUUUUAGAUGUUAGUCCAAAUUCGAAAUACCGGGCCAACGUUUGAGAUUUGAUUGGCCAUUCGGCAUUUCAUUUAUUACUCAUGAAGUCUAUCAUUGCAUGAAAUUUACUGAAAAUUAGAGAAUCUCACAAUACCAACAAAACAUCAAGUUUAUUCAGCUUUUUUACCCUUGAUACACUCCACAUGUAGCCCAAUUUACAAAAUUCCACGAAAACUACUGCUCAGCAAAGACGAACAACAGCACCCAUCGGCCCAACAUGCUUAACUCCAAGCAUAGAGUGACUCGAACUCUUCUUGUCUCCUUUCAGUUUACCACAACCAGACAUAUUUAAUAAAGUACCGUGAACAAGACAAGAUAGCGAUGAGAUCUACUCAAUAGGCAUAGGGUUUGCCAAGAGAUAAGCCUCGAUGGCCUUGAACAUCGCGGACGCCUUCUCUUUCCCGGCCUUGAUCUUCUCCUCAGUGAUGUCCACCUCACCGAUGGUGAAGUACUUGCUCGUGUUCUUGCACACCGAGCCUCCCUCGGGCGAUGCGGUGAUCUUCACCUCGUAGCUGAUCUUCUCGAAGGUGGUGCCCAGCACAUCGCCCUCGAUGAUCGAGUAGCUGUAGGUGAAGUUCUCCUUGUCCAGGGCCUCGACCUUGUGCUUCAUUGUCUGGUACUGACUGCCUAUCAAAGUAAGAAAAAAGUAAUAUUCACGUUUAGAACUCGCCGGUUUCAACAUCACAAGCAACGAUCUUGAUGGUGUCCAUUGGGCCAUUUUGGUUGUUCCAAUUGCAAUCUGAUACGAUUGACUUAGACAUGGCCUGAUUUCGCUCGAUUGGAAUCGAGUCAUGUGAUCACUUGUGUAAAUCAAUGGUUAGAAAUUUUUUUAAUUAACCAAGUUACAUAUCUAUCUUUUUCAAUGUUCAUUAUGAUGUUCCAUAAGGUUGAAACAGCCUUGAUCCAGAGCGAUCCUAACACGGACGGACUAACCUUCGCCGAAAGUGAUCAACUUGAUGGUCCCGGGACCUCCGUUGCCCUCGAGGACUUCGACGCUCUUGAUGGCUUGCGGGAGCACCUUGGGGAUGAGGUUAUCAGCAUCGAGGACAGCGGCCUUGAACAUCUUGGCCGGAGGGAUUGGGGUCGUGACCUCGGAGUCGUAACUGACGACACCCAUGAUUUGGAUCCGAAUGGAGUUGCCGAAAUAGAGAAGAGGGUGAUCAGGAAAGGCUGAUUAGCAGUGAUGAAGUUGGUCUCUAGGACUCGGUAGUGAAGAGAAGAGGAUGAACCAAAGCUGACAUAUAUAGAGAGACCGAGUUUGAAGGGUUCUCGUUAUUGGAUAUUUUCUUCAAGUGUGUUCGUUUGGUACAAAAUAGAGAAGAGGAUGAACCGAAGCUGACAUAUAUAGAGAGACCGAGUCUGAAGGGUUCUCAUCAUUGGAUAUUUUCUUCAAGUGUGUUUGUUUGGUACAAAAUAAAUAAUUAAAUAACUAUUUGUAUCAUUUGGUAUAAUUAUUUGAUGAGAAAUUUUUGCAUUAUUGACAGUAAUUUAUAUCUAAAUAUUCCCGUGAAUGAUGAAAAUAUUUUUUAUUCAUUCCUUUUAUAAGUUAUAUGAAAAAAAAUAUUUUUUUACAAAACAAACGAAGCUUAAUAAAAAAAAUCUUAAUCAGUCUGUGGGUUGUUCAAUCAUGCCAUGGACUUUGUUCAUAAAAUAAAAUUUGUCUAUAUGAUAAUGGAAUAUUAGUCAGAGAAGGCACCAUCCUAGAAUGAUACCAAACGUUCUUCCAUUUCCCUUUCAUGUAUAGACUUGACUUUUGAUCCAGGAGCAUUUGCUCAGCAAACUCUCUUGGCUGAGCUUCACUGAUUUCUUACAUAGUGUUACUAUCAUAGAAAAUAUCAAGCCCUUAGCUGCAUAGGUCGCGAUCCACCCAGAUCUCAUCCUACUUCUUUUCAAUCCGUUCGGUAGAGGCCUCGGGAAGAAUUAUCAUCAAUUUCAUACUCAUAAAUAAUAUUCGCUUAACUCUGUGCAGUAGAAAAACUCGAAAAAUCGAGGCACAAUUUUUCCUGCUGGGUGAUCUCGGUGCUUCAUGUUUCUGUUGAGCUUCCAUCGAUAAGAAAAAGUACAGAUUGAUCUCAAUGUUGCACUAAUCCAAUUUAGCAGAAAAAAAUGGGAAAGGUAGUUUGGUAAUUACAAGGCUUUGUUACUUUUAGUCAACAAAGGCUGCUCUGAAAAUCAAGAUGGACGUCUAUAGAUUUUGAAUUUUUCUACUUGCUUUCAUGUGUCUAGUCCUUUUAAAUAAUAUUAUUGCGAACCAUUUUCUGCUAAUUGUCUGGUGGAAGUGUGGUGGAUCAAGCGAGAUUGGCUCACGGGUCACUUGCUCAUUAAACAUUUUUUUAAUUUUCCUUUUUAUCUAACGGUAUAGCGACGUAGAUUUUUAGAAACGCUUUCUUCGUAUUUAAUUUUCUUCUUUUGUCUAGUUCAUCUUGUCGUAGUCACGGACCAUGUGAACGUAUAGGAGAAUGUCCAUGGGUGUUAGAUCAGAUUAAUUAAUGAAUUUCGUCGUAUUGAGACAAAAUUGAUUAAACUUGUCAAUCAUCUCACUGCGACGGAAGAUUCGGAAAAUAUUAAUGCAUAACAACAGCAUAUGUUUUGGGAGAAAAGUAUUGGAGAGGGGCAUGGAUGCAUUGCUGAAGUUAUUUGAUGAGCAUGUCAUAUGUACUAAAUUAAUCUAAAUAGCUAAAUUUGAUGGAAUUCAUAUGAAACCUAAAUGGAACAUAUAGAAAUUAAAAGCCGAAUUUUGCUUUAUAUAAAUACGACGCUAGCUCAUUCUCGAGUCUUUGUCAAAAUUGUGUUGUAGGCAAUUGAAUGUGAACCUCCCUUCCCUUUCACAUAUGAUCGACUCAAAUUUCUCGUACUUCAUUGACUUCCUUGUUUCGCUGUUGAAGCAACAAAAUCACAGCAAUUGAAGUCACCAGAAGUAGCUCGCAUCAAUAAGGACCUUUUCCCUAUGGUCGGUCGAUUUACUGUUCAUCCCACCCCACAAGGAGAUAACCUCGUCACAUUUUCACACAAGCCUGGAUUUGCGAUAAAAGCGCUUUUUGGUGCUUAUUGGAAGAGGCGACCACUAGGAACCGCACCUGUCAGCUCGUUGUACAAUAAGUCUACGGAGCUUAAACAAGUUAUAUGUCCAUUUUUUUCAAUGUUCAUUAUAAUGUUCCGUAAGGUUAAAACCACCUUGAUCGAGAGCGAUCCUAAGUUCCUAAUAUGGAUGGACUAACCUUUGCCGAAAGUGAUCAAAUUGGUGGUCCCGGGACCUUCAUCGCCCUCGAGGACUUCGACGCUCUUGAUGGCUUGCAGGAGGACCCUAGGGAUGAGGUUAUCGGCGUCGAGGACAGUGGCCUUGAACAUCUUGGCCGGAGGGAUCUGGACGUUAUCGCAGAGUCGUAAGUGAUGACACCCAUGAUUGGAUCCGAACUGAGAAACUGAGAAGGGGGUGAUGAUCAGGAAAGACUGAGUAGCAAUGAUGAAGUCGGUCUCUAGGACUUGGGAAUGAAGAGAACAGGCUGAACCGAAACUGAUAUAUAGAGAGAGACUAAGUGUGAAGGGCUUUGAUCAGUGAAUAUCUUGCGAAACAAACAAAGCUUAAGAAAAAAAAAUUAUUCCGUGGAUUAUUCAGAGUAUGACAUGCCCCUUGUUCCUAAUAUAAAAAUGUCUAUAUGAUGAUAGAACAAAGCGUUGGACGAUCAUAUUGGGGAGAAUCGGGCAACAAUUUACUAAUAACGAAACACAAUUUAGCAUCAAUUUCUCCUCUAAAACUAAACCAACCGAAACCAACUCAACCCCAGCAACCACCAGCAAUAUGUAAUACCAAAAUGACAAUAAGACAGAGCCAACAAUGACACUAAGGUUUUAACAUGGAAACCAAUACAUAAAAAAUCACAUACCCUACUCACUAACAGUAAUAGGAUACAAAAAGUGUUAUUUUAUAAUCACACAUUAGAGACUCAACAUCAAUGAUAUAACCAUAUUUCCUCACUCCAAAGAUAGAUUAACAUAAACGGAGCAAGAAAACCCUAAUCGGUUGGAGAAUCUGGAGGGGGUUCUUAUCUAACGAAAUCAAUCAAUUUGUAGUCCUUGAUUUUACAAAAUAACAUUCAAAUUUGAGCAAAUUCCAUCGGCAUCUUGCAUUCCAAUCGGGACCAAAAAGAUUAUGCCCUUUCUUUCGGAACGCUAAGAAAGAAGAGCCCAGACACAGACAACAAUUACCUACUCACUAAGUGUAACAUUAGGCUAGUGGGCCCCAAAAGAAGAAAUAGAAAACGAAGUUUUAAAGGCCCCAAAGAAGAAACUGAAAAAGAAACCGAAAAGUCAUUAAAGCAAAAAGGAGAUGGGAGAGGGCUCGGCUAAAUAGAAGCUGAGAGUUUCCUCGACCAAAAAGAAAAGAAAGAAAAGAAGAAGAAGAAGAAGAGAAAAGGGAAGAAAGGAAAGAAGUUUUGGCACGUGCACGCCUCGGAUGCCUUGCCAAGCCAAUUUGACUCCAUAACCCGGUAAGAGAUCAAGCCCCUCGUUUGUCCGAUUGAAGUAAUUUUUGGAUUUAGGACUCAAAUUCGGAAUUUUUGGAAAAUCGAGCGGCGAAGUCUAAUUUUGGAGUCGUUGAGCCACACAUUUUUGUAAGAAUGGUAAUUUAGGGUGUUGUGGAACCGUGGGAUUUUUCGGAUCGUGAUUUGAGCUUAUGGUUUGUCCAAAACAAAAUUCCAAAGUUUCCCGCGCGCAGUGAACAGUACGCGUCCAGCAGCUUUGGGCCCGUAUUUUGUCAUUUUUUCGGCUUGAUUUUGGGAUGACCAAUUUGGGAUUCUUGUAAUAUGUGUCAAGGGCUCUCUAUUGACUAUAAGUACGUUCGGAUCGGGGUUCGGAAGAGAAAGUUAAGGCUCGAUCAAGUUUUGCGCUUAAACUUCAUGUUGCGAAUGGCUUAAACAAUCAAUUUGGAUAUGCGACUUGUUAGUGCACAGAAGUCCUUUUGUUAGAGUUAAGGCGUAACUUAGUCAUUUUGUAGUCGAGAUAGAAUUUUAUUAGAUUUUAACAUUAUUCUUCGAUUAUUUGAUAGGGCUUUGAGUUCGAAGAUACAAGUAUCAUUUGUCGUUUGGUCGUAGACGAUAAGGUGAGUGGUACUAUAUCUUCUUUGGUUUUAUAAAAUCAUGUCUUGAAGUAUGUAUGUAUAUAUAUUGAAUCAAGAAGAGCAUUUUUAUUGCAUAAAAGUCAGAUCGAGCAAUUGCUACCCUUUGGUUGAUUGUGAAUCUUUGAAAAGCACAUUAUACAAGGUUUGUGGAGAAACAUAUAUGAAAUUGCUUUGCGACUGAUUUAUGAAAAGGUUUAUGAUGAUUUGAGAAACGAGUAUGAAAUGGAUGAUGGGCUAUGUUGCAAAAUAUUAUUUGUUUGGUUUAAGAUAUUGAUUUUUGGAUUGAAUUUCUGGUAUUGGAGAAUGGUUAUUUAUGCUCAAUAUGACUGUGAACCCAGUGAGGGGUUUUUGGGGUAUGCAUACCAGGUUUAGGAUAUCCUUCUGGGCCGAGCCACCGGCUUUGUAGGUGGAGACCUUGCCAAGGGGAGAAUCUUGGUCGCCUUGUCACAGGACGUUGUGUCGUGACCAUGGUUAGUUAUUGAGCAAAAGAUUGAUCAAUGGAUAGACCAUUGAUACUUGAAUUUUGAUGGCGAUUCAAAUGAGUUUUCCAUAUUACUAUAAAUCUUGAUGAUAAGAAAUAACUCAUAAGAUUCAAUACUUAUUUUAUAUAUUGAGUUGGCUUAUGAAAUUUGGUAUUGUUUUGUAUACAUGCAUAGUGGUUGUUCGAUCUGCUUAAAAGAUAUGUACUACUCACUGAGCUGUGGUUGCUCAUCCCAUUCCUCAUUUGAUCUUUUCAGGUUCCUCAGCUAGUGGCAAAUAGAGCGAGUGCGCCGUCGUGGGAAACUUUUGGGGAGUUCUAUUUUGUUUUUGGUAUGGUUUAGGGAAGUGGUGCAAAUGAUCUUUACUAGUGGUUGAAUCGUCUAAGUUUUGAAGUAUAUAUUUUCUCUUUUUGGUGGAUUAUAGAAAUUCUAAUGUUGCAACCAAUUUGAAGGUUUAUCUGAUAUUUAUACUUGUAACAUCCUGGACCCCACUGUGUAAUAUUGUCCGCUUUGGGUCACCCGCCCUGGCACGGACGAACCGCCAUCCCAGCCGCGAUCUUUUCCCUCACGGCUUUAAAACGCGUUACACAGGUUAGAGGGAUCCAAGCCUUAUAAGCUGACCAAUAUCUCCCUCCCUAGGCGAUGUAGGACAAGAGAGGAGGCUGUCACACUCUCCACCUCUUAACAGAAUAGCGUCCUCGCUAUGGCCCCACGGGUAUCAGAACAACAUUCAAGCUGUGGUCCCACACGCGGUCGGGAGUCGGCUCUGAUACCACUUGUAACAUCCCGGGCCCCAUUGUGUAAUAUUGUCCGCUUUGGGUCACCCACCCUGGCGUGGACAAACCGUCAUCCUAGCCACGGUCUUUUCCCUCACGGUUUUAAAACGCGUUACAUAGGUUAGAGGGACCCAAGCCUUAUAAGCUGACCAAUAUCUUCCUCCCUAGGCGAUGUAGGACAAGAGAGGAAGCUGUCACAUAUAUAAGUUAAUAUCAGUUUGUAGGUUAUGUUUGAGGCUGCGUCCUUUGUAAAGAAGGAUGGCCGUGUCAUCCCCAUUCUUUGUAGUUUUUGGGGUGUGACACUAAGUUCCGAAAAGCAUAGACGAGCGAAAUGCCUCACGAAUUAACCUAAGAGCAACAUAAACACGCCGAGAUAGAAAACGGUAGAAGCCGACGCCUCAAAUUGCAAACUUCUUCGACCCAAAAAAAAAAAAUAUUGCAAACUUCGAGCUACAAAAUGGCGAUUAAGCACGGAGGGCCGGAGAUGGGGUGGAGGGAGCACCUUGAUGUCGAAAUCGACGCCGGCGGUGGCGAGGAGGGGAGAGGGGGUGGAAAUCUAGGGUUAGGACAGGUUUGGUCUCGUGCCAAUUCAUCUGGACCGUGCCUCCCUUCAUAUCUCCUCUGCCCGCUCCGCCGCUUCCUUCCUUCCCCCUCUCUCUCUGAAAUCGAAGCCUUCUUCCUUGAUUUCUUAGCGAACGAAAUCGAUCAAUUCGUGGAAUUCGUGAGAUUCGUGCGCUCUCCCCAUUCCGCGGAGAGAUUCCCGACAAAUAGAGAUUAGAUUGUAGGCUUGUCCAUCGUCGUUUCAGUAAAGCGAGUGUAAUGCCAAAAAAGGGAAAUAAGGACGACACAAUUGGCUCUGACAUUGAAUUGACAGUUUAUUCCUGGCCUCCUACGUGAGCAUAUCACGUGGCCCACCCAUCAUGGCUCAAAUUCAUGAAAACAAACUAAUAAAAAAAAGAUCCAAAAUAGACUCCACCACCAUCCUCUCGGAAAUCCAAUCAAAAAAAGGAAAAGAUAAAAAAGGCAAAUCAUCCCAGACAAAACAAGCAUGGCAUUCGCCACACGCUACUAAAAAUUAACCACACACAGAUUCACAAGUCUCAGGGUUCGCGAGGCAAGCCUCGAUGGCCCCAAACAUAGUGAAAGCCUUCUCUCUCACGGCCUUGAUCUUCUCCUCGGUGUUGUCCACGUUGCCCCUGGCGAAGUAUUUGCUAUCGUUCAUGCACACCGUGUUAGACAAUUCAUAUAAAACUUGAUGCGGAAAUUCAUAACAAAUCAUUGAUCUUUGAUCUUCAUGAUUUUCACAAAUAGAUUCAGACAAACCUUUAUCCAUAGCGCUACGCUUGAUGAUGAUCGUUGUAGAAAACCCAAUGAUCUCGAACCAAAAGGAGAAAUCCGAUUUCUCUCCCUUAACCCACUAAACCUUAAUGUAUUCAAUUGAUGGAGGAGAGAAUAUGUUCUUUUCAGUUAUUGUUGUUCGUAUGUGGGUGGAGAGAGGACCGGACUCUUUUAUACGUUCGUUGAAAAUGUGCCUUCCAUCAAAGCGAUAUACCCUUUCGUUUUAUUAGAGUCGUACCUUCUCAUAACCAAUAUUAUUUAUAGCAUUUCAAUCAUUAUUAAACCAUAUAAUAAAUCACAUAAUAUGGGCCACAAUAAUUCUUACAUUCUCCCACUUGGCCCAUAUGAUUCUCCUUUCAUGGUUUAAUGAAGACUAUAAUGUGCACAAUAAGAUUAUGCUAUAAAAUUUCAUUAAAUUGGCAAUCACAUAAUAAUCACAAUUAAGUAAAGAAAACUAAUGCGAGUCAUAGCGGUUAUAUGUCAUUAAUCGACAUAGUCCCUUCUAUGUACUACAACUAUAGCACUUUACUUAACAUGAUCCAUAAAUGAGAAGUACAGUAAUAGUCCAACCAUAAUGUUUCUUUAGAAACUAUCCUGUUUAAAAUUAAUCUAUUUCCAUAAUGUAUACUAAAUAGAAAACAGGAAAUAUCAUAAACAUGUAAGUGAGCUCAAAGUGUCAAAUACAUAAACUUAAUACAAUCAUAAUACAAACAUUAAUGACGUCCAAUAAUGCCCAUCCUUUCAACAUGCUCAUUAAAUGUUUUGGGCGGCAAUCCUUUUGUUAAGGGAUCUGCUAUCAUAAGAUUGGUGCUAAUGUGCUCAAUUGACACUCUUUGUUUCUGAACUUCUUUUUUGACAGACAAGUAUUUGAUCUCCAUAUGCUUAACACCCUUAGAAUACUUGUCGUUCUUAGAGAAGAAAACUGCUGCAGAGUUAUCACAAUAGAUUUUCAGCGGCUUGGCAAUACUGUCGACGAUCACAAGCCCUGAAAUAAAAUUCCGCAGCCAUAAUCCAUGAAUUGUGGCCUCAAAGCAUGCCACAAAUUCAGCUUCCAUAGUGGAUGCAGCAAUAACUGACUGCUUCGCACUCUUCCAUGAAAUUGCCCCUCCAGCCAGAAGAAACAAGUAACCAAAUGUUGAUUUUCUUGUAUCGACACAUCCGGCUAAGUCUGAAUCUGAAUAUCCAAUCACCUCGAGAUGAUCAGAUCUUUUAUAAGUGAGCAUAUGAUUCUUUGUUCCUUGCAAGUAUCUAAGAACUUUCUUUGCGGCUUUCCAAUGAUCCAUUCCAGGAUUACUUUGAUACCUACCUAGCAUUCCGACAGCAAAAUUGAUGUCUGGUCUGGUGCAAGUUUGUGCAUACAUUAAGCUUCCCACAAUAGAUGCAUAAGGAAUAUUAUUCAUUUGUCCUCGUUCCAAUUCACUUUUCAGACAUUGCAUAAGGCUAAAUUUAUCACCUUUCUGAAUUGGAACUAUUCCUGCUGAACAUUUACUCAUAUUAAAUCUCUCUAAAAUUUUCUCAAUGUAGGCUUUCUGAGACAAUCCUAAUAAUCCUUGUGAUCUAUCACGGAAUAUUUCUAUUCCUAUCACAUAUGUUGCCUCUCCCAUAUCCUUCAUUUCAAAAUUCUUAGAGAGAAAUUUCUUGGUUUCAUGUAACAAACCAAGAUCAUUAGCAGCAAGCAAAAUAUCAUCAACAUACAGAACUAGAAAAAAAAAACUUGCUCCCACUAAUCUUCAUAUAUAUACACCGAUCAACGGUGUUUUCCUUAAAUCCAAAUGAAGUUAUGGUAUCGUUAAACUUAAGAUACCAUUGUCGAGAAGCUUGUUUAAGUCCAUAUAUUGACUUCUUUAAUUUACAUACCAUGUGUUCCUUUCCUAUAACUGAAAAGCCUUCGGGUUGGUCCAUAUAAACCUCUUCCUCUAAAUUCCCAUUAAGAAAUGCGGUUUUUACAUCCAUUUGGUGUAACUCCAAGUCAUAAUGAGCCACCAAAGCCAUAAUGAUUCUAAGUGAGUCUUUCUUAGAGACCGGUGAAAAUGUCUCUUUAUAGUCAAUGCCUUCUUUCUGAGUAAAACCAUUUGCAACAAGUCUGGCUUUAUGUCGUUCAAUAUUGCCUUUUGAGUCGCGCUUGGUCUUAAAGACCCAUUUACACCCGACCUUCUUACAUCCUUUAGGCAAUUCAACAAUAUCCCAAACUUGAUUUUCAUGCAUGGAUUUUAACUCUUCUUCCAUGGCAUUAAACCAUUCAUUAGAAUCUUCACAUUCCAUGGCUUGGGAAAAUGAAUCUGGAUCAUUUCCAAUUCCUAAGUCAAUUUCUGACUCUUGUAGAUAAACCAUAUAGUCAUCAGAAAUAGCCGACCUCUUUUCUCUUUGAGAUCUCCUUAAUGCUAUUUCUUGUGACUCGGUUAUUGGAGGUUCAUUAUUGACAUCUCCAUUAUUUGGUGUUUGUUGUUCUCGAUUAUUGUUAGAUUGUACUACAAUAUCAGAAACAACAACUUUAGAAGCUUUAGGCAUAGGAACUUCUACCCUUACUUCUUGAAUGCAAGCAUCACGCAUUCUUUCACUCCCACUGAUGUCACCAUUCUCAAUGAACCUAGUAUUUCCAGAUUCAACAAUUCUUGUACUAUGAUUAGGACAAUGAAAUUUAUACCCUUUGGAUUUCUCUGCAUAACCAAUGAAAUAACCACUGGUCGUUCUUGAAUCCAAUUUCCUUUCAUGUAUUGUAAAUUCUUACUUCUGCUUGACAACCCCAAACAUGCAGGUGUCGUAAACUAGGUUUCCUUCCCGUCCACAAUUCAAAUAGAGUCUUUGGAACUGCCUUACUAGGAACCCUAUUUAAUAAGUACAUAGAAGUCUUUAAAGCAUACAUCCACAAAGAUAAGGGUAAAGAUGAAUGACUUAUCAUACUCCUAACCAUUUCCAUUAAAGUACGAUUACGCCUUUCUGCUACACCAUUUUGUUGUGGUGUACCUGGCAUUGUGUAUUGAGCACAUAUGCCAUGUCUUUCAAGGAAUUUAGCAAAUGGACCUGGACAUUGUUCCGAUUCAUCAUACUUUCCAUAAUAUUCACCACCUCUAUCCGAUCUUAUUAUUUUCACAUUUCUAUCUAAUUGCCUCUCAACCUCUUUAAUAUACACUUCAAGUACAUUUAAUGAUUGAGACUUAUCAUGCAAUAGAUAAAUGUAACCAUAACGUGAAAAAUCAUCAAUAAAGGUUAUGAAAUAGCUUUCCUUACUAAAAGAUGGAACAUCGAAAGGACCACAUAUGUCAGUAUGUAUAAUCUCAAGAAGCUAUGUGCUUCUUGUGGCACAUUUCUUAGUGUGCUUUGUUUGUUUACCUUUAAUACAAUCAAUACACACUCUAAAGUCAGUAAAAUCCAAAUUUGGAAUAAUUUCAUUCUUCACUAAUCUUUGCAUUCUUUCUUUGGAUAUAUGACCCAACCGUUUAUGCCACAAGUAAGCAGAAUUUUCAUUCACCAAACUUCGUUUAGUGCCAACAUUAUGAUGCAAGGUCAUUAAUGUCUCAACAAAAGUAUUAUCAAGUCUAAAUUUGUAGAGACCAUCACAUAAAGUUCCAGUUCCAAUAAGAGCAUCACUCUUAAAUAGACUGAAAGAUUCAGAUCCAAACUUACAAUAAAAUCCCGCCACAUCAAGUCUUGGCAAAGAAACUAAAUUGCGAGAAAAUGUAGGUACAUAAAGGGUUCGAAAAAAAUCCAAAUAAUGCCCAGUAUCUAAUAUCAAACGAUAAGUGCCAAUGCCUUCAACUGGAGCUUUGUCUCUGUUCCCCGUAAUCACAUAACUUUCAUUUGGAAAAUGUAGGUACAUAAAGGGUUCGAAAAAAAUCCAAAUAAUGCCCAGUAUCUAAUAUCAAACGAUAAGUGCCAAUGCCUUCAACUGGAGCUUUGUCUCUGUUCCCCGUAAUCACAUAACUUUCAUUUGGCUUUAUAGUUUGGAUCUUAAGAAAUCCCUGCAUCGUAUUUGACACAUGAGUGGUGGCACCAGAAUCAAUCCACCAAGUAUUAUAAGGAACUUCAGUAAAAUUUGAUUCAAAACAUACUAAAGCACAAGGCUUACCUUUCUUUUCGAACCAAGCCUUACAUUUCAGACAAUCUUUCUUCAAGUGUCCAAUUUUGUUGCAAAAAUGACAUUUAAUAAGAUUGUGUUCCUUCUUGUGGAUUUGAGAAGCCUUUGAAGAGUCAUUCAGGACGUGUAGUCCUUUCUUCUUGCUCCUUCCACCUUUCCUCUUAAAAUUCUUUCGAACUUCUUGAUGACUUGAGAGAUGAAUAGAAUGAGCAUUUUGAUUCUUUAUCCUUAUUUCCUCUUGAACUAGCAUACUGGCCAAUUCGUUUACAUUCCACUUAUCCUUUAUAGUGUUGUAAUUCAUUUGAAAUGGCACAUAUUGCUCAUGAGGUAAGGAAUUAAGUAUAAAUUGUACUAAAAAGUACUCAUCCAUAUUCAUUCCCAAAGUCCUUAACUUUGCUGCUAAAUUGGUCAUCUCAAGUAUAUGCUCAUGCAUGGUACGCGAACCAUCAUAUUUCAUGGUGGUCAGUGUGCUCAUCAGUGUACCAGCAAGUGACUUAUCAGCAGUUUGAGAACGCUCUUCCACAAAUUUCAUAAAUUCCUUAGCAUUGUUAGUCUUGGGAAGAGAAGUUUUUAAGUUGUUUGCAACUGUCAUUCGCAUGAACAUUAAGCUCAGUCUGUUCGAUCUUUCCCAAGCUUUAUGGAAAGACUUUUCAUCAUUGCUACUUUCAUCAGUAAUAGCAGCUGGUUUCUCAGCUUGAAGUGCUAAAUCAAGAUCCAGGACACCUAAGUGAAACUGGACUUGUUCACUCCAAUCAGGAAAAUUUAUCCCAUUGAAUAAGGGAACAGAUGAGGCGUGCGAAUGGAGUGAAACAGGUACAGAUACUACAAAUGUGCAAGAAAAUACUCAUACAUUAAUGCUUUGAGAAUAUCAUAUAAUCAGAUUAAACUAAACUACACAUGCACAUCAUAGUUCUCCUUUGAGCGAUCCUAUGAUAUACAAAUAUAUAUAAACCAUAAUGAUGCUAAUAACUUUUAUUUGAUAAUUGUAAAUAUAUCUUAUUAAAAUUUAUUUGUUAUCUUUGGAUAUACAAACAAAUUUAACAAAUCAUAUUAAUUAUCAACCAUCAUGUUCAUGGAUUAUAAGAAAAUAAUUAACCUUUGGGUUAAUCCCUAAGUUCUUAUAAUAAAUGAACUUCAAUAUACCCAUAACUCCAAUAAUGAUAUAAAACAUAUCAAUUUCAUAUAUAUAGCAUCAAUUAAUCAUGGGUAAUUGAAUAAAAUAAUUUACGAUAUUAAAAAAAUUCAAAAGACUUCAAGGUUCGGCCACUUUGGUGACUAACAAACCUUUCAUAAUAUGAAUUUUUAAUAUUGCAAAAUACAAAUAUUUACCAAAUUGCACACAAGGACAUAAAAUGCAAUCAAAGCAUAAGGGCAAAAUCGUAAAAUCAUAAUUCCAUAAGGGUAGAACCAUAAAAUUAUAAUCCAGGGGCAAAAUGGUAAAUAAUCAGCAAUGGCAGAAUCGUAAUUAUAAAUUAAACAGGGGUAGAACAGUAAAUAACCAUCAAAAGGACGGCAAAACGGUAAUUAGGAGCCUCGGGAGGGGCAAAAGCGUAAAAGUCCGCGCGGGGACGUCAGGCGCGUGCCUCGCACGCGCCUGCAACCGCGCGGGAAGCCCCGCGCGCGUGGAUCCCACGCGCGCAGCGCUUGCGCGCGCGUGAAGGCGCGUGGCGCGUGGGUUCCACGCGCCUGCAACCGCAGCGCGCGCGUGGAGCCCACGCGCCUUCUUCCUCGCGCGCAGACGCGAUUCUUCGCCGGUUUUUCGCCGUUCCACCGCCGUUUCGCCGCCCGUUUCUUCUCCGACAGCCCAUUACAGACACAAAUAAUUAAUGGGUUUUGAAGAGCAUGCCGGCACGACCACAUGGGUCCAAAUUUCGGAGAAAAUGACCAAAAAUUGGCCCCAAAUCAAACCAAAGUUUCAGAACACAAAAACUCCACCACCGCCGCUUCCGCCGCUCGAUUAGCCGCCGGCGAACACCAAUAUACGGGAAAAAUCAUGGCUAAUGUUCCUCAUGACAGUGCGACGGUGUGGGUCCGAAAUCAAGCGGUGGGUUGCCGGAUUUUACCCGGAACCGGCGAGUUUCUUCCUUGCCCUCAAAAUUCCGAAUUCCACCAUUUUUGUCAUUUUCCACUCGUGCACACACAGUAACUUUUCUUCACAAUUUUAGUCCAUGAAAAACGUUCUAUCAUUCGGAUUUUCUUUAACAGAACCUUCCAAAACAUUUCAACAACAACAAAUGCUAUAAACAUGAUCGUUUAACAAAUCAUCAAACAUCAACUAUAAUAUUUCUUUAAACGGAAAAAUCAUGAGAUCAUAAACCAAACGCUCUGAUACCAACUGUUAGACAAUUCAUAUAAAACUUGAUGCGGAAAUUCAUAACAAAUCAUUGAUCUUUGAUCUUCAUGAUUUUCACAAAUAGAUUCAGACAAACCUUUAUCCAUAGCGCUACGCUUGAUGAUGAUCGUUGUAGAAAACCCAAUGAUCUCGAACCAAAAGGAGAAAUCCGAUUUCUCUCCCUUAACCCACUAAACCUUAAUGUAUUCAAUUGAUGGAGGAGAGAAUACGUUCUUUCAGUUAUUGUUGUUCGUAUGUGGGUGGAGAGAGGACCGGACUCUUUUAUACGUUCGUUGAAAAUGUGCAUUCCAUCAAAGCGAUAUACCCUUUCGUUUUAUUAGAGUCGUACCUUCUCAUAACCAAUAUUAUUUAUAGCAUUUCAAUCAUUAUUAAACCAUAUAAUAAAUCACAUAAUAUGGGCCACAAUAAUUCUUACACACCGAACCUCCCUCCGGUGAUGCACUGAUCUUCAGCUCGUAGCUAGUGUUCUCCAAGGUGUUGGCCAGCAUGUUGCUCUCGAUGAUUGAAUUGGAGUAGGAGUAGCUCCCAUUGUCCAGGACCUCGAGCUUGUGCUUCACUACCUUGUUCCGAUGGCCUAUAGAAAACGCAAGUCACAUUUGAGACGCCACCGGUUUCGAAAAUCGCAAGCACUGCUUUGAAACACCAUUGACUCACGACAUCGUCAUGUUAAUGGUCAGGAACAUUUGAAUUAACCAAGUAAAUUUACUAACCUUCGCUGCCAGUGGUCUCCUCGACAAGCUCGGCACUCUUGAGGAAAGGGAAGAAGACUCUGGAGAUGAGGUUUAAGGCCCUAACGAUGGCCUCGAACGCCUGGGCUAGGAGGAUGGAGGACUUGAUCUCAGUCCUGAAGUAUUCCAUGAUUCUCUGUCCGAAAAAAAUCUGCUAAAAGCUGAAAGGGAAUGAUGAGAAUUGCGAGUACUGAGUAGGAGUGAAGUCUUGAUCUAAAAUUUCGGAGCGCAGUUCUAUAUAUUUAUAGAUAGGGUGCGAGAGUGAGAUGUAGAGGAGUCCGUGUGUAUCUAAUGACUCUUUCGGGACGUUUGGGUGGACAAGGGGAACUUUUUUAUGUUUUUUUCUAGUUGCUUUACGGGUUACUUUUAUCGGCACAGAUCAGCCGGGGUUUCUUUCCGGAUUGGGCGCUUUCAAGAAUUUUGGGUGGACUCGGGGUUUAAACGAGAGGUAGAAAAAGCCAAGGGAACAGGAGGCAGGUGGGACCCUUCAGCCCGUGCUUUUUCCUUUUUUCCAUUGAGAGGACGGAGACGAGGAAAGCAUAUCCGGCCCGCUCGACUUUUGGCAAUGACAGAAGCUCUCUCGUUGAUAAAGCUAGGCCGUGAGGUGAGUUGAGUCAUGCACAAGUACACCAAAUUGAAACUCUUCCGCACGUGGAGAUAGCUUCAGACAACUUAGAUGCCGUGAAUUGUGUCAUUUCCUUGGAACUUCUAGGUCCGUCAUCCAGGAUUGUGAUCUUCUAUUGACCCAACUAGAAGCAUAAAUUAAACUAAAAUAAGAACCCAAAGAAGCAAAUCGUGUUGCGGAUUGAGUAGUCAAAGACCCACCGAGUUAGAACCCUUCCAUCCAAUUGGGUUGUUUAUCCCCCUCAUUUCCAUUGGUAAAUUUAAGUCUUGAAUUUGGUACUAGUUAUAAUUCAUCUUUGAGUUAGUAAUCAAAAGUUAUUUUCGACCAAAAAAAAAAAAACCACCGAUGACGUACUAAUUCGAUGUUGUUGAUUUUGUGCGUACAAAGUCCAAAUCAACAUUAAUGACGUCAUAUAUGGCGUGCUAAAAGUUGUUCAUGAGUUGAAUUUUUGCAAUUACGUGCCCAAUGAAUUUUGACGCUCUUGAGUGGGAAAUCACUAAAUUGUUAACUUUUUCCAAAUGCCUGACGGGUGUCAUAGGAUUAGUUUGGCGAGUAGAGAUAAAAAGUUAGCACGCAAGUAAUUUAAAAGCGCAGUGUAAAUUCGAUUCUCCCAAUCAAUGAGCAUAAACGAGAACAUGGGGGCGAAAAAGGUUGUUACCAGCAUUGAAAAAGUGGACUUUUGAGAAGCUCCAAUCACUAAAAUGUUGCGUAUUCGGCAAGAUGCAAGUAAGUCUAUCCAUCGAGAGUUAGUUUUUAGAGAAAUGCAUAAACAGAUAUUAAAUCAAUAGAUAUGCUUAGAAAAAUGUCAUACAUAGCUUUUUUAGCUUUUUUAGCUUUUUUAGUAAGCAAGAGGUCUUGACUUUGAUUCUCAACGAGAUCCUUUUUCUUUUGACUUGUAAUAUUUCCUUUUUUCACAUUCAAUCUUCUUCCUAACAAUUUUUUUGAUAAAAAAAAAUUCAAUCGAGCCAAAAAAUGAAUUGCUUAAUACAUGAUAGAGCCAACAUAUAUACAUACUAUAUAUGUGUUUUUUCUCAGUACAAAUGGUUAUACGAGGACCCAAUUAGUAAGAGGGAGGUCUUGAAUUUGACUCUCAACAAGAGCAUUUGUCAUUCAAACUUUUUCAUAACAACUAUUUUACUAAAGAAAAAAAUCGAUUGAGCCAAAAAAAUUGUCACUUAAUACAUCAUAAAGCCAGCAUACACAUAUAAUUCAUUUUUCUCACUACAAAUGGGUAUACGAGCACCCAUUUAGUAAGCAGGAGGUUUUAAGUUCGACUUUCAAUGAGAGCAUUUAUCUUCUGACUUAUAAAUUUUCCUUUUUGUAAAUUCAAACUUCUUCAUAAUAAUUUUUUUAAGAUAAAAACCACCAAAAACCCCAAACUUUGCUCAAAGUGACAAAUUUAUCCCAACCUUUAUAUUUUGAUAUGAAAAAUCCCGAAUUUUGCCAACUGUGACACAUUUAUCCCAAACUUUUUUUUAUGACACAAAAAAUUCUGAACUUGUAUUUAUGUGACACAUUUACCCUAAAUUGUAAGGUAUUUUGGUCUUUUACUUUUAAAAUAUUUUUUUUACUUUUUUUUUUCUUCUUCUCUCUUCCCUCCACCAGCCAUGGCAGAGCCGAUGGAGGAAGCCAUAGUUAGGCGAGGGCUACCCUCACCGGCGUCAAGCGAGGGUCGCCCUCAGCUAGGCUGGCUAGGGCCGCCCGACGCCAGUGAGGGAGGUCCUCGACCGACCCAGUCGAGGGUGGCCCUCGCUUGAUGACGCCGAGUGCAGCCCUCGCCUGACUCCAACUUCCCUCCGCCAUGGCCAGCGAAAGGAAGAGAGAAGAAGAAGAAAAAAGAAAAAAAAAGAGAAUAAGACGAAAAUGCUAUUGGUGGGUUAAAUGUGUUACAGUUUGCAAAAUUUGGGGUUUUUAUGUCACAAAAGAAGGUUUAGGAUAAAUUUGUCACUUUAGGCAAAGUUAUGGUUUUUGGUGGUCUUUUCCCUUUCAAUCGAGCCAUAAAAAAAGUCACUUAAUACAACAUAGAGCCAACAUAUAUAAUAUAUUUUGUUCCUUUUCUUGGUAUAAAUGGGAUACCAGCACUCGUUUAGCAAGCCUAAGUCUUGAGUCCGACUCUCAAUGAGAGCACUUGUCUCGUGACUUAUAAUCCUUCUUUCUUCUACAUUCGAACUUUUCCGUAACAAAUUUCUUGACAAACAUUCAAACUUCUAUCUUCUUGAUGCCGUUAUAAUAAGGGAUACGGAACUCUAGUGUGAAUGGAACUCAUUGCUGUGAUGCUAAAGGGAAGGCGAUGCUGACGAAUCCUACUGGAAUAUGCGGGGGACAGAAAAUCUUAGAGCUGGCGGUUAGAUCUAGUUGAGGUUACCAAGGGUUGAUUAUUGCUUAUCGCCCCGGAACUGACUUACCUAGGUCAUGCUCAGCCCUCACCCUUAGAAAAAGGAACUCAAGAAAAAAAAUUCAGUCACUGCUCCAUAAUGAUUAAUGUCCAUCAUAGUUCAAGUAAGGAGAUAUAAGCAAACGUUCAAACAAUAAAUAAAUAGAUCAACAAAAUAAAUUGGAUACCAGACUUAUAUGAUUCAAUCGCAGUGACCUACCUCUAUAAGAAAAGUAAUAACAAAUUUUAUUGUAGAUCAAACAAUAUGACGGAAAUUAUAAUCACAGUCGAGUUACUUUAAUACUCUUAUUGUUUUCCAAUUUCUAAUUACAUUCAAUAAUUCAAGUAAUAUAUAACCUCACAAUUUCUAACUAAAUAAUCCUUUAAUCUCAAGAAGAAAUUAACAAAUCGCGAAUUAAACCCUAAUUUCGCUAUAUGUAAUUCAAGGAGAAUAUCCAAUGUCAAGCACGCCAACGGCACUACUUGCGGCUGAAAAACCCGUGAUAAAGUCACCUCUCCACACGAGAGAGAGAGAGAGAGAGAGAGAGAGAGAGAGAGAGAGAGAGAGAGAGAGAGAGAGAGAGAGAGAGAGAGAGAGAGAGAGAAUGUGUGCAUGUCUGUCUUUUUCCUUCGGCAUUUUUGGCGGCUUCUUUUGUGGCAGUCAUCUAAGGCCUCGCAUGGUAAUGUUUCUGUUCCUUUUCUGUUCCCGGGAACAGAAACAAAAAAAAAAAAGUGUUUCUGUUCCAGGGAACGGUUUUUGAACAAAAGAACGUGUUUGGUAACGUUUGUUCCGGGAAUAAAAAAUGAAUAGAAACACGUUUGGUAAAUUUUAUUCUUUUUUUGUUUCUUUUAAUUUUUUAAUAUUUUUAUUUUAUUUUCCAUUUUUUCCUUUCUUUUUUAUUUUUUUCUUCUUUCGGCCGGUCGCCGACCUCCGGCGACCAGCCGACGAGGCCGGCAGCCUCGCCCGGCCACGGCAAGGCUCGCCGGCCCCCGGCAAGGCCGAGCCUCGCCGUGGUUGGGCGUGGCUCGGCCUCGCCGGAUCUAGGCGAGCUCGAGCUCGCCCAGCCAUGGUGAGGCUCGGCCUCGCCGGAUCUAGGCGAGCCCGAGCUCGCCCAGCCAAGGCAAGGCUCGGCGUCGCCAGUGCGGGCGAGGCCGAGCCUCGCCGCCCUGCCGUCGGAGCCAAGCACCUGCGCCCCGAAGCCCGCAGCUCAACGCCGUCCUGAUCUCACCACACCAUUCGCGACGCCGUCCACCGGCAAGGCCCGUGUCGCCCCGUGUCGAUCCCGAAGCCUCUAGUACGGCGCUGCCGUCGCACCGUCCUCCGGAGCCCCUCGCCGGAACCCUAGCCGAAGAUCUCCCAUCGAGCGAGGCCGAGCCUCGCCUUGGCUGGGCGAGCUCGGCGUGGGCGAGGCUCGGCCUCGCCAGGGGCCAGCGACGCUCCGGCGAGGUCGUUGACCCUCGAGGGCGUCGCCAGCCCUUGACGGCCGGUCGUCGGCCAUGGCCGAGGCCGGCGACCGGCCAGAAGAAAAAAGAAGAAAAAAGAAGAAGAAAAGAAGAAGAAAAGAGAAGAGAGAGAAGAAGAGAAGCGUUUCUUUUUGGCUUUGAAGAAGUUUUUCUUUUCUCCAGAAACAACUUUUUUGUGUUUCUUUUUUUUUGUUCCAAUUUUGUUCUGGGAACAAAAAAACAAAAAAAGAACAUAAACGCAACCAAAUGCGUUUCUGUUCUUUUUUUGUUCCCGGGAACAAAAAAAGUACAAAAGUGUUCCAGAAACACUUUUUUGGAGCGUUUCCAUGUAGGGCCUAAGUGACCGGUGAAGAAAGACCGAUAAAAAGAAGAAGAAGAAGAAGAAGAAGAAUACUUUCUGAGAGAGAGAGAGAGAGAGAGAGAGCAAUCAAUAUUGUCAGUGCACUGUUCGGGGUACAAAGCAAUGAUUUCAUCAUUCUUGAUUAGGGUUUUGAAAAUAUGGCUUUUCAAUCCGUUUCAUACAUUCUCCGGUUCCCUUUUGGGAGUAGUCGUGCACUACUCCCCGCCCCCUUCUCUCUCUCAACCGUCGUCUAGUUGAACAAUUCGUAACAGUCCCGACUCGUGCUUUUGCCGUCUGUCCCUUCUGCCUGAGAAUCUUGAAACGGUGCCGAUGUGGACCUCUUCCUCAACGGCAUCGCCGGCCCUCAACGGCCAUGGCCGAGGCUAGCGACCGGCCAAAGAAAAAAGAUAGAAGAAAAUGGAAGAGAGAGAAAAAAGUGUUCAUAAAUUUUGUUCCAGAAACAAUAAACAACUUUUUUUUUUCUUGUUUCCGUUCCAGAUGUGUUUCUGGAAACAAAAAAAUAAUUUUGGAACAAAAACGCAAACAAACGCGUUUCUAUUUCAAAAAACAAAAAUUUGUGUUCCUGGGAAUAGAAACACAUUUUAACAAACAGGCCAUUAGUAACUGUCCAAAAUUUCAAUUCCCAAAAUAGAAUUGCGUUUAGUAAUAUGCUCAAAAUUUCUACUCAAAAUCAUUUUCUUUUAAUUUUUAAAUAAUUUUAUUACUUUUUUCCUUUUUUUUCUUCUUUUCUUUUUUCCUUUCUCUCUCAUGUUCUUCUUCUUCAAGUGGCUAGUCGCCGGACCAGCGACCGGCUAGACGAGGGCUGGCAAUCUCAUCGAAAUGUUAAUAGCACUUAGCGAGGCUCGCCUAGCCUCACCGGUGCCUAGCCAGGCCUCGACGAGGCUGGGCAAGCCUCGUCGGUGGCCAGGCGGGCCUCGCCGAUGGCCGAGUGGGCCUCACCAGGGCUGGGCAAGGCCCCCCUGCUGGUGGCUAGGCUUGCCUCCGGCGAACUCGCUGGACCUCGCCCUGGCUUGGCAAGCCUUUGACAAGCUCGCCAGACCGGUUGUCAGCAACCAGCAAUAGUGGGUGGCGGACGGCAACCGCAGCGAUGGAUGAAGAGGAAGGAAAGGGAAGAAGAAGAAGAGAAAAUAUGGACUUGAUUCUUGGAUUUGUUCUCAAGAACAAGAAUCAACUUUUUCUUUUAAUUCUUGAUUAUGCUCCAAAUCCACUUCCCUAAAAAAAAAAAAUCCCAAAAACAAAAAUUUUACCAAACACGAUUCCGUUCCAAAAUUACUCCUGGGAACAAAAGAAUAAAAUUUGACACCGUUUGGCUGGUUACCAAACAGGUCCUUAGCAAGCUAAAGUUUUGAGUCCAACUCUUAACGAGAGCAUUUGUCUAGUGACUUAUAAUCUUUCUUUCUUCUACAUUCAAAUUUUCGUAACAACUUUUUUGAUAAACAUUCAAACUUCUGUCUUCUUGAUGCUGUUAUAAUCAGGGAAACGGAACUUUAGUGGGAAUGGAACUCAUUGCGGUGAUGCUAGAGGGAAGUUGAUGCUGACGAAUCUCACUGGAACAUGCGGAGGACAGAAAAUCUUAGAGCUGGGGAAAAUGAAUGGGUUUGGGAUUAAAUCUGGCUAAGUUAUUGCCCCGAAACUGACUCACCCAGGCCAUGGUCAGCUCUAAAGGGAACUCUAGAAAAAGAAUAAUGACUAAUGUUCUUUAUUGUUCAAGCAAAGAGACAUUUUCUAUCGGCUAAACCUUAUGCUUCUCACAUUCAAUGCUUGUGUUCCAUCUGAAGUUAUUUUUUACCACAUAAUUGUCGAAUGAUGGUUUUAAUUAGUGAUGGGCCUAAGUUGGCCCGUCUGCCCAUGCUGGGCCCAAAAGGCCCGGCCCACGGGAAUAGGGCCCGUAGAAGGGGAAGGUAUAAAAGGGAGGAGAGAGAGAGAGAGAAGACAACGCUUGGCUGAACGUACGUACGUUCUCUCCCUCGCUCUCUCUCCAAAAGGACAACAAGAACAGUAAGGCAAACGGCACGUUCUUCUUCCCUUCAAGGCGCCAUCGGAUCGAACAGGACCAGAAUUUCUUCUCGAUCUUUAGCAUUGGUGUCUAAUCUGUGGCUAACAAGGUACGCUCGAAUCCGUGGUGUGCUUUAUGAUCGGUGAUACGUGUUUUCCCGGGCUUCGUCUUCCGCAUUGAUUUAGGGGUUUGAUUGAGUGUCGAAUCCGGUUUUCGGGGAUCAGUCAUUCCCAACAUUGGUAUCAGAGCCCUAGUUCACGUUUUUCCCGAUCAAUUUGAUGUUUUUGAUUGAUCUUUCGCGAAAGAACUUCGGCCGUACGGAUCGGGGCGAAAAAUCCCGACACCCGAGCGCUGUUCGGCCAUUUUUCUGAGUUUUCGUAAGUCGAAAUUGAAUUCUGAAAGCACUGAGUGAAAGAGGUCGUCGAGACGAGUCCGGCGACAUGUUGUGCGUCGCCGAACGACGCCGCACGCACACACAUGCGCGGCCACAAGCCUCUGCGCGUGGGCGCCACGCGCCCGAAGCGCUGGCAAUGGCCAACGCGUGCGCCACACGCGCCGGUGACGAACCGGCACGUGCGUGCCGGCGACCGGCGAAACGGCACACGCCGGUCCGCGGACCAACGCGUGCUGACGUCACGUGAUGACGUCACCGUGACGUCAUCCAACGGUCGGUAACCGCUCGGAUGACGUCAUCGCCGACGACGUUUCGCCGGGCGGUUACUGGCCGGCGACCCGACCCAACGACGACCCGACCCGAACCGCGACGCCCGGCACGCCCGCGGCACGUGCCGGGUGACGUUUGCGUGACGUCAUCCCGCGCACGCGUGCGGCACGUGCGGACGGUUCGCCCGAACCAGCCCGACCGGUCUGCCCGGUCCGUCCGGCGACCGUUGACCCGUUGACCGACCGUUGACCGUUGACUUUGACUGUUGACCGUUGAUGAAAAAAAAAAAAGGAAUUUGUUUCUUUUUCAUAUAUGCCUAUGUGGUUUAUAUGUAAUCCAUUAUUUAUUCUGCAUUUGUUGCAUGAAUUUUGGAAAAUUAUGUGUUUUCCCUUAUGUUAAUUAUGGAUUAUAAGUGAUCCAUUUUUUAAUUCUGCAUUUGUUGCAGGAAUUAUGAUGCGUCAUGCACGAAUACCUACAAUCCCGAGAACGGACGAGGGAAAUGCAAGACUUAAAAGGCUGAUGACAGAGUUGGCUGAUUAUCGGUGGCAUAACGGUGAUUUAGUAUCACAUGUGGUCAAGGUCAAUAAGAUGAUACAGGAAAUCAUCAAUAAUGGUUAUCUUAUGCCGGAUUUUUAGAAGGUGCCGGCUUUGUUGAACACUCUUCCACCUGAAUGGCAAGCAGUGUUAGAUCGGCUAUGGGAGGUCAACGUGGUCCCGGGUUAUAGGAGGCUGGUGGAAGCUUUUGUAAGAGAGUACUAUAAGAUUGAGUUUGCCAAAACUUCAACCCUUAGAUUGUGCGCUACGUGGCGCAGAGUGAAUGCGCCUUGGUGGCGACAUGAAUGCUCUCCAAAAGUUUUUCCAUGGUUGGCAAAUGUGCCUUCAGUUUUCUCAGAUGUUUUGACUAAUAGAUUAGAAUGGACAUUCCCUAAUUAUUUCUUAGAUUAAUUGUGGGAUUUUUUUUUAUGGAUGUAAAUAUCUCUUUCCAUGUUGAUAUUUUUCUCUGUAUAUAUUGCUUAGUGUAAUGUAUAGUUGUAUUAUGUGAAAGCACUAUUAUUCUAUUGGAUGUUAGAUAAUAUUUGCUUUCUGUUACUGCUGAUUGCUGUGGGUAGUUAGCUGUGGGUAGUUCAUAGAAGUUUUUGUAGCUUCAUAGAAUUGUUUUUGCAUAUGACAAUCAUAUUAAUGAUAGUUUUAAGUUAGGAUUUUUGGAGGAUGAUUGGAAACGUAGUGACCUUUUGAUUCUGAAACCUUACUUGAAAUUAUUCAUUAAUAUGAUGGGUCUAUGCAAAUAGGGAUGCAUAAAUGAUAGGCAUUAAUUAUUCGUGCACAUAUGUCUGAUGUGUUCAGAUUGAUGGAUUCAGCAACUAAGAACGUAAUUGCUGAUGUGAACGGCAACAAUUGUGAAAUAUUGAAUAUGAAGAUUCAAUAUGUGCUGGAAAAGCAAGAAGCACUAGAAGCUCUUGACCAUGUUAUGGAAGAUCUUGAGGAUGCUGUGCGCCACCUUGAGUUGGUAGAGGACCGCUUAACGGCAUGUGAGCUGAAAAUAAAUAUUUGCAAUGCUGGUUCUAGCUCAGAAAGGGCUUUGAGCUCUAAGCGCAAGCGUAUUGAUUCGUUCAAUAUGUGGGAAUGCAAAGGAUCAAGUCCUUAUUGCAAGAGAUAAAGAGUUAACCAAUACAAGAGAGGAAAACGUCCUCAAGUUAAGAAAAUGUCAAGGGUGAGGUGUUACAAUUGUGACAAGAAAGGUCACUAUGCUCGCGACUGUCGUGAGCCAAAGAAAGUAAACACCUCUUGUACAUUUGAAAACUUUACUUUUGUGUCAAAUUCUGUAUUAUUAGCUGAAUUCAAUCCUUUGUGAACUGUAGAUUCAGGAGCAACAGACGAUGUAGCGAAAGAUAAAGGAUCCUUCGUGGAAUUCCGACGAAUACCAACUGGAACUAAGUGGAUCUAUGUGGGAAACAGCUCCAGAGUUGAAGUUAAAGGGAUUGGCACCUGCCAACUGAACAUGUGUGGUGGACGCACCUUGUUCCUACAUGAUGUUCUAAAUGCUCUGGAGAUUUGUCGAAAUUUAAGUGUCUGUUUUGAUGUUGGUUAAGCUUGGUUUUGAUAUGAACUUCCAUAAAUAAAGUGUAGAUUUGUGUUUAGAUACAAACUACUAUGGUUGUGGUCACUUUCUAGAUGGUUUUAUUGUACUAAAUGUUGACUGUGGUGAUGUCAAUAUGUUAUUCCCUUGUUUCACGUCUUUUACUUCAUGUGAUAAUGAUGUGAAUGUGUGGCAUGCUAGACUUGGUCAUAUUGGCCAACAACAUAUGAAUAGACUUGCCAAAGAGGGCUUGUUGGGCAAUAUUGAAUAAGUCGAUUUGUCCAUAUGUAAGCAUUGCUUAGAAGGGAAAACGACAAGGAAACCAUUUGGAAAAGGUAAAAGAGCUGACAUUCCUCUGCAUUUAAUCCAUUAUGACGUUUGUGGUUCAAUGAAUGUGAGAGGAAUGCAUGGGACUGUUUACUUCAUCACUUUUAAUAGAUGAUUAUACUCGAUUCGGAUGUGUCUAUUUGAUUUCUCAUGAAUCUGAAGCAUAAGUUGUUUCAAAAGGUUUAUGAACUUGGUUGAAAAUCAAUUAGACAAGAAAAUAAAAGCAUCGAGAUCUGAUCGAGGUCGAGAAUAUUUAUCUGAAAAGUUCAGAAAAUUAUGUGAUGAAAAAGGAAUAGAAAGACAGUUGUCUAUUCCAUAUACUCCUCAACAAAAUGGUGUUGCGGAGAGAAGAAACAGAACCCUACUGGAAAUAGUUAGGUCCAUGAUGGCGCAUGCUAACUUAGAUAUCACUUUUUUGGAGUGAUGCGUUGUUAACUGCUGUCUAUAUACUUAACCGAGUGCCUUCCAAAUCAGUUAGUUCCACUCCAUAUGAGUUAUGGACAGGUAGAAAACCAGACUUAAGUUUUCUUAAGCCAUGGGGUUAUGCUGCCUAUACUCAUGAGUCCUCUCACAAGUUUGGGAAAUUGAGUCCCAGAUAAAAGAAGAGUAUUUUCAUGAGAUACUCCGAACACUCGAAAGGGUAUAUGUUCAUAGGUGAGCAGGAAAGUGGGAGUAUGACUAAAUUUGAAUCACAGGAUGUCACAUCCUUAGUGGAUGAAUUUCCUAAGAAGGGCGAAAUAGGGGAAGAUUAGUCCCUAUUUGAAACCUUGGAUCAAGAUAAUGAUAUUAAUGGAGUUCGUCCAAGUGGGAGUAAUAUGAGAAGUGAUGAAUUGAAUUCAACUCAUUCUCAAUUACAACCACAUGAUGAGAUGAUAUCGUCAUUAUUUAAUCCGAGUGGGAGCAUAAUGGGGAAUGAUGUGCUAAAGUGUACAAUCUCCCAUAUAGCGAACAAGUCGCCAAAGGAUUCCCCGUCAACGUUUUGACAUUGAAGGGGAAACUUCUAAUGAUUGCUCCACAAAAUGAGGAUGAGCCAAGAAAUAUUAAUGAGGCUCUGAAUUGCCCUAGUAAGAAAAAAUGGAUUUAUGCAAUGAAAGAGGAGAUGGAGUCAAUGAAGUCAAACCAAGUCUGGGAACUGGUUGAUCUUCCAAAAAGGGGACGCAAAGCUAUUGGGAACAAGUGGGUUCUCAAAAUAAAGCAAAAGGCUGAUGGCUCGAUAGAAAGCAUAAGGCUCGCCUUGUGGCGAAGGGGUAUAAUCAACAGAAAGGAAUUGAUUAUGAAGAUACAUUUUCUCCUGUAGAGGGAUUUACCUCGAUUCGCAUUAUUCUGGCAAUAGUGGCUAGUAUGGAUCUUGAGUUACAUCAAAUGGAUGUAAAGACUGCUUUCCUCAAUGGAGAAUUAGAGGAAUAAAUAAAUAUGGAACAACCUGUUGGUUUCAUAGUGAAAGACCAAGAAGAAAAGGUAUGUCGACUUUGGGGGUCGAUAUAUGGCCUUAAGCAGUCGUCAAGACAAUGAUAUAUACGUUUUCAUAAUGCCAUAAUAGCAUAUGAUCUUACAAUGAUAGAUGAGGAUCAUUGUAUAUAUAUCAAAAGAUCCAAGGAUCAAUUUGUGAUCAUAUCAUUAUAUGUUGAUGAUAUAUUAAUUGCCGGAAGUAAUAUGGAGUUUGUUCAUACUGUCAAAAGUUGGUUGUCUUCCAAUUUUGAGAUGAAUGAUAUGGGAUUGUAAACACAUAAACACUCCUAUUGCAAAAGGUGAAGGAUUGAGCCAUAGACUGUGUCCAAGGACUCCACAAGAGAAGGAACAAAUGAAACAUGUUCCUUAUGCUAGUGCUGUUGGGAGCUUGAUGUAUGCUAUGAUGUGUACAAGACCUGACAUAUGUUAUGUAGUUGGAAUGGUGAGUAGAUACCAAUCCAAUCCAGGUCAAGCACGUUGGAAAGCCGUUAAAAAAAUACUAAGGUAUCUAAAGGGGACUGCUGAUUAUACGCUGAGUUAUUAUGGAAAGGAUCUGCGACUCUAAGGCUAUUCUGAUGAUGAUUGGGGAGGAGAUUUAAAUAAAAGGAAAUCUACCUCUAGGUUUGUUCUCUUACCGAAUAAUGGCACCAUGUGUUGGAGCAGUAAGAAACAAAAGUGUAUAGCCUUGUCCAUGAUGGGAAUUGAGUUCGUGGCAUUAUCAGCAGCAGUAUAAGAAGAUGUUUGGCUUAAGAGAUUUUUUGGAUCAUUUAGGUGUUAUUGGAAGUGCUGCAGAUUAAUUGUUGGUUAAUUAUGAUAGCCAAGCAGCAAAAGUGUACACCAAAGAUCCAAAAUAUCAUGACAAUACCAAACAUAUAGAUACCAAGUAUAAUUUUGUCAUGGAUAUGAUUGCACGAAAAGAUGUGAACUUAUAGUACAUACUACGCAUAGAAUGGUAGCAGAUCCUAUGAUAAAGCCAAUACCUAGAGAUGUGUUUUGUGGCUAUAUGAAAUCUCUAGGAUUGCGUAGAGGCUGAUGUACUGAAUAUUGUAAUUUCCCUAAGUGUUCACAAUUUGAUGAAUUUGUGUUUUCAUCAUUAAUGCCUAUGAAUCUUUGUUUGAUCUUUAUGCAUCUUAAUGCUCAGUGCAUUACUUUAAGUUAAGAGAAGUAUGUCGGACAGAUAUAAGAUUAGCCCACUCACACGGGUAAUCGCCUCUAUUUACUGUGUGAUAAAUAGAGAUGAGACUGUUUUUAAGCUUAUUAUCUAGGUGAUAAUCGAGAGCUCAAGCUUAAAACACGUAUGUCACCUUAACUAAGUGUUAAGAUGGGGACAUAAUACUUACUAUGUCCGAAAGUAAAAUACCCCACAUAUUUUACUUUAUCUGUUUAAGAUGCCAAAUGUGAGUUCUGAUGAAUUUUGUAAAUGAGUAGAUACGUGAACUCAAGUUAGACAUUGGGUAUGUCUGAACUAUCAUCUGUACGGUAUUGAAAGGUGUAGACAUACGCUCCAUGGGAAAGGAGUUGAUACCGUAAUACGUAUUUCAUACUACGUAUGCAUGAGACGACUAAUAAGAGUGGCAAAAGUUUGAUCUCAACUUUUUUUUUAUGUCGUGUGAGACUCUUGAGGAAAAGAGUUCCUCAAUUUUUUAGUCCCCUCAUGACUCUUACUUAUUCUCAAGAUUUCUAUUUAGUGUUUGCUAUCUUAGGAUGUUGCCAAUGGUCAUGAGUUUCAUUCGAUCUAAUGGGGCAUUUCUAGAAAAGCAAGCUGAACUGAAAUUGAGAGUUUGAAGGAAAGAGGAAGAUCGAUUUUGGAGAAUCACAUUGUAGUUUUGUAUUCACCGGUUAACCAAUUAUGACUGUCUUUGGGAUAAUCAUAAUUGUGAAUACAAUAUAUAUAUAUAUAUAUAUAUAUAUAUAUAUAUAUCAUUGUUUAAAAGAGAUCAAGAGAGAUAUAAAUGUGAUCAAUCGAUCUAGGGAACUGCAUACUAAAUCUACUCGGAGUGUGAUGCCCAUUAUGAGCUGCUAUAUAUUCCUAACAGAUGUAUGGCAACGAGCUCUCAAAGUAUGCUAGUCGCACGGAUUAUUCACUGGUAUGAAUGUUGAAGAGAGGUAAAGAGAAUUCUGUUCGGCCCACCAUGUGCGAGUGGGAGAUGAUGGUUUUAAUUAGUGAUGGGCCUAAGUUGGCCCGUCCGCCCAUGCUGGGCCCAAAAGGCCCGGCCCACGGGAAUAGGGCCCGUGGAAGGGGAAGGUAUAAAAGGGAGGAGAGAGAGAGAGAGAAGACAACGCUUGGCUGAACGUACGUACGUUCUCUCCCUCGCUCGCUCUCCAAAAGGACAACAAGAACAGUAAGGCAAACGGCACGUUCUUCUUCCCUUUAAGGCGCCAUCGGAUCAAACAGGACCAGAAUUUCUUCUCGAUCUUCAGCAUUGGUGUCUAAUCUGUGGCUAACAAGAUACGCUUGAAUCCGUGGUGUGCUUUAUGAUCGGUGAUACGUGUUUUCCCGGGCUUCAUCUUCCGGAUUGAUUUAGGGGUUUGAUUGAGUGUCGAAUCCGGUUUUCGGGGAUCAGUCAUUCCCAACAGUUGACAACCUAAUUUGACCAAUAAACGCAGUACAUCUAUAUAGUAUCUGGAGAGCAGCUGUUGUUGCUAGCUAAGGAUUACAUCAAGUAUCUUUUUAGUGGAUGUUUGAGUGUUAGGUCAACCCGUGCGAUACCCCAGUGAGGAAGAUUUUACAACGAGCUAACAGAGAAGAAAGAGGUUGAUCAGUAUUGGUUAGUGUUGAAAAUUGAGAUCCAUUUUCUAAAACUAGCUAAUUUCUUCUAUUGUAAUCUAGAAGCUCCUAAGUAAAGGUUUUGGUAGUGGAAGUUGUGGUCUAACAAUGUCCAAGUUAAGAGAUGUUUGGAUGAAUGGCCGUGGACAGUUGUAAAGCAAAAAUAUCUCUGACAAAAGCAGGAAUCUUUCCUUGAAGAAUACGGUGGGUGGCUUUAUGAGUAAAGCAAGAACUAGUUUGUGUAAGGUGGUGGAAGCAUCAGAUAAACUCCAGCCACGUGAACAUCCCGUCCUACAAUUAUGUAACGCCACAUUUCUAUCAAAUAAAUAAACGAUAUUCUUGUCUCAUAAAUCUUUUUCUAUAUUCCUCAGAGUAUUCAUCCUUGUCCAUUCCCCUACAUCAACUAUACCAUAAACAUAUACAUUUACACAUACAAACAAAAAAAUAUCAUUGAUAUCAAAGUCAUUCUUCGGCACAAUCUCACAAUUUCCAACAGUUAGAGAAGGCGAUAAUUAAUAUCCCGACCUAGUGGGACGGUCCUGAGAAGUAGAGGCGCAGGGAGAGAAUAUAGACAAGAUUUGUCUUCCAGCUAUGAUAAUGACCUCUGAACAAUUCAUCUUCGUCUUCCCCAGUCAUUUUAGAUGGAACAGCGAUAUCAUUCCACGGUUCUAGUUUUGCAGUGAUCCGAAGCUUGAUCUUGGUAGACGAUGAGAAAGCUGUCUUGUGUAGUUGUUACACCAUCCGUCAUGGAAUUUUCGUGCAAAAUUUAACAAGAACAAGGUCAGAUGAAUGAAGGAUUGAAGUCUAUGUCAUUCUGUUUUGUUGCAGUAUGAAUGACUGAGUUCAAGUUGAUUCAAAGCGUUAGAGCAAUUGGGACUUGAUAGGCUGCUUCAUCGGGUGAGGACUUCUUCGUUCCAACUUUUUCUGUCCCUUUUGAUUCGUUUUCAUUUCUGCUAUUGAUUUCGUCAUUUUGAGCUUAGGUUGCUACCUAAUAGGCAGAAUUUUUGUAACAUUUGAUAUGAUAUGCAAAUACACAUUACUUGUGUAUAUCUCGAAAAUUCCCACAUUUAGACACUGCUUUAGGCUGGCUUCCAAAAAAAUGCCCUUCUAUUAAUCUUCCGAGCGUUAAAAACUACAAAUACAAACUAAAAAAGUCAGAUUGUGAGAGCAACUUCCGUUUGCUCUUUCUUUUGUUUUGCAUUGCAUAUUGGUCCUUCCCCUAUUUUUGCAUGCUGACAGCUAAUCAUAAACACCAAGUUGCUUCAAAGGUUAUGGUUGAAACAAGCAUAUACUGAAAUGUAGAGGCAAAAGAAAUUAUGUAGGUUCUCGAAACUCUGGUGGUUGACCGCAGGGACAUCACCCGAUCCCGGUAUGUUGAGCUUUUUGAUGGCAAUGAUUUGGCUGCUGGCCAGUUCAAUCCUGUAAACGCUCCCGAACCAGCCCUUCCGAUGCAGUACUUUUCACUGCAGUCAUUGGUAGCCUUGGCGAUGUCAUUGAAUGUGAACUUCCCUUCCCUUCCCCAUAUGAUCGACUUGGAUUGCUCUUGCUUCACAAGACUCUUGAUCUCUUCAUCGAAUUCCUUGUUUCGCCACCAAAGUGCCAGAAUCACAGCAAUUGAAAUCACCAGAAAUAGUAAGCAGCAGAUGCCCAGGGUCACACCAAAAAAAACCUUUUCCCUAUGGUCGGUCGAUUUACGCUCAUCCCACAAGGAGAUAAUCCGGUCGUGUUUCCACACAAACCUAGAUUCGCGAUUAAAGCACUUCCCUGUGCUUGUUGGGAGAGGCGACCACUACGAACCACACUAAUUGGCUUGUUGCACGAUAAGUCUGUUGAGCUUCAACUCCUCAUGUUGGUGAGAGGAGCUGGGAUCGUAACCGACAAUUUGUUAUGCAAAAGAUUGAGAUUUUCCAAUUCAGUGAACUUUGCUAAAUUGGAAGGAAUUGAUCCUGCUAGAGAAUCAUGGCUCAGGUUCUCCUCUGUAGCGUGAACAAGUUCCCCAGCUCUGGCGAUAUGACAUCCAACAUAUUGUUGUUGCUCAAGUUCAAGCUCAGUAAAUUCUUGCAAUUCGCUAGCUCUUCCGCUAUGCUACCGCUCAAUGCCUUCUCCCCGACAAAUCAAGAUAUUCUAGCUUCAAUAAGUUUCCUAACUAGGUGGGAAUAUCUCCAGCCAAAUGGUUGUAGCUCAAGUUCAGCCUAAUCAACGCCCCCAGACUUACCAAAUCAUCAGGAAUUUUCCUGGUCCAUUCAUUGCCAUAUGGAGUCAGAUCGUGCAAUUGAGACAAUUUAUUAAUCUCCGGCAAGAUGCGGCUGGGGAUUUUGUUACCAUCUAUCUGCAAAUUCGUGACAUUCGUGCACUCUCCCCAUUCUGCAGAGAGAUUCCCGACAAAUCGGUUGUUGCUGAGGACCUGAGGCUUAUAAAGUCCGGAUUCAGAUAAACUCCAAACGCACUCAUGACAUCUGCGGUGAACCGAUUGCUGUCCAGACGGACUCUCGUUAGCCCCGGACAAUUCCUAAGCAGUUGGGCAGCGGCUAGGUGAAGUUAUUCCCAUCGACCACGAGAUAUCAAAGAGCAAAGCCGCUGCAUAUAUCUGGCGGCAGCUCUCUGGUGAAGCUGUUGUUCGAAAAGUUAACAUUGCCCAGAGAAUGGCUGUACUUGCCAAAAUCACGGGGUAUGCCUCCCGAGAAAGUGUUCAUGAACAAAGAGAUGGACUGUAAGUGAUGCUACAUCAUGGCUUUUUCCUUCCCAGCCCUGAUCUCCUCUUCUUCAACUUGAAGUGCCUCCUUGGUGGUAUACUUGCUGGUCAUCUUGCAAACCGACCUUCAUCACUGACAGCCUCUCAAACUUGACCUCGUAAUCAAUCGACUCGAGUUUGUCCUCUAAUGUGUCACCUUCGAUUAUCGUCUACCUACACACGAAGUUCUCCUUGUCGAGCUCAUUGAUCCGGUGCUUCACAUUCUUGAAAUGACUAGCUGCAUUUGUGACCAAACAAGACUUACAUUAUGAAACUCCCGGCUUGACGAGUGUCUGUUGAGUGUUCGUACCUUCGGCGAUAUUAACUUGCUCGAUGCUCCCGGCUCCUCCGUUGCCUUGCACGAGCUCCACGCUCUUUAUGAACUGAGGCAGGAGCUUUGGGAUCAGGGAAUUCAACCCGACGAUCAAGGCCUUGAACAUGUGAGCUGGAGCAAUCGGGCACGUGAGCUCUUGUGUGAUGCUGGUUGCACCCAUGGCUAUUGGCAAUGAGAAAGAAAUAACCCCAGAGAAGUUCGUGCUUCUGAGUCCUGUCAAUGCCUCCUAUUUAUGGUUAGAAUUAUGCGAAUAGGUAGGCUUGGUUUGGCAAGAGUCACGUUUGAGGAAAAUAGAAGAGUCGAGGAUUCGCGGCCUAAAGAAAUAUAUAAUAAGAAUGUACUUUUCCUUAAUGAUUUUACUUAUUGCGGUUCAUGAAAAAUUGUGCCACCUUGAUAUGUUUCGAUGAUCGAUCCGGAUCGAGCGGGAUCGAUAGUCCAUAUUCGAAAUAUUAGGCCACAGUUUACCAUGAAUUCAUUUCACUCAUGUAUCCUCUCCAUGUAGCGCAGUUUACCAAAUGCCAUAAAAACCACUACACCAGAUUCCUGUCACAUCUUUCAUUCUCUUAUUCUCAGCAAAGACUGGAACAACAACAAUCACCAGCCCAACAUGCUUUAACUUCGAACACCAAGUGACUCAAACGCUUCUUGUCUUCUAUUUAGUUUUGCCCAACCGGACAAUAAAAGAUAGCGACGAGAUCGGCGCAACAGGCAUCAGCGUUUGCCACGACAGAAGCCUCUAUGGCCUUGACCAUCGCGUCCACCUUCUCUUUCCCGGCCUUGAUCUCCUCCUCGGUGAUAUUCACCUCGCCAAUGGUGAAGUACUUGCUCAUGCACUUCAACACCGAGCCUCCCUCGGGCGACGCGGUGAUCUUCACCUCGUAGCUGAUCUUCUCAAAGGCGGUGCCCAGCGCAUCACCCUCGAUGAUUGAGUAACAGUAGGUGAAGUUCUCCUUGUUCAAGGCCUAGACCUUGUGCUUUGCCGUCUUGUACCGACUGCCGAUCAGAGUAACAAAAAGUAACAUUCACAUUUAGAACUUGCCGGUUUCAACAUUGUGAGCACCGAUCUUGAUGGUGUAGAAUCGGCCAUUCAGGAAUUAGCCCCCAGCCACAAUCCAAUACUAUUAACUUAGACAUGGCCUGAUUUUGCCUUAUCGAAAUCAGGUCACAUGAUCACAUGUGUAAAUUUAAACAGUUAGAAACGUCUUAAUUAAUCAAGUCAUAUAUCUAUAUUUUUCAAUCAAGUCAUAUAUCUAUCAUUAAGGAAUUAGCCCCCAGCCACAAUCCAAUACUAUUGACUUAGACAUGGCCUGAUUUUGCCUGAUCGAAAUUGGGGCACAUGAUCACUUGUGUAAAUUUAAACAGUUAGAAACGUCUUAGUUACUAUCUAUCUUUUUUAAUGUCCAUUAUAGUGUUCCAUAAGGUUGAACCCGCCUUGAUUUGGAGCAAUCCUAAGUUCCUAAUAUGGAUGGACUAACCUUCGCAGAAAGUCAUCAACUUGAUGGUCCCGGGACCUCCAUCGCCCUUGAAGACUUCAAUGCUCUUGAUGUCUUGUGGGAGGACCUUGUUGAUGAGGUUAUCGGCGUCAAGGAGAGUGGCCUCAAACAUCUCGGCCGGAGGGAUUGGGGACGUAAGUGAUGACACCCAUGACUGGAUCCGAACAAAGGUGCAGAAACUGAGAAGAGGGUGAUGAUUAGGAAAGACUUAGUAGUGAUGAAUUUGGUCUCUAGGACUUGGGAGUGAAGGAAGGAGGCCGAAUUGAAGAAGACAUAUGUAGAGAGACUGAGUGUGAAGGGUUAUGAUUUCUGAAUAUUUUCUUCUUUCUCAGGUGGGUUUUGCAGAAAAUAAAUAAUUUAAAAAAUAUUUUCCUAAAAUUAAUCGUCAAAUUUGGAUAGUGUUUCCAAGCAAGAGUUAUUUGGUGAGUGUGCUGCAUAUUGUAAAUUGAUCUAAAUCCAUAUAGAACUCACAAGAAUUACAAGCCUAUAUCUCCUUAAUAUAAAUACGAUGAAAAAAUGCUACCUCAUUUCCGAAUUUUCGUCAAAAUUGUGCUAUAUAUACUAUGUUAAUCUAAAUUGCUAAAUUCAAUGGGCUCACGUGGGAUCCAUACAAAACUCACCAGAGUUAAAAGUUUUGAUUCCGCUUAAUAUGAAUACAGUGCACUUUCGUCAAAAUUGUGUUGUCUAUACUAAAUUGAUUUAAAUCACUAAAUCUGAUGGGUUCAUGUGAGACCCAUAUGGAACUUACUAGAAUUAAAAAUCCAAAUUCAGCUUAAUAUAAAUACAACCUAGCUCAUUUAUGAGUCUUCAUUAAAAGUGUGUUGUAUGUCCUACAUUGAUCUAAAUCGCUAAAUAUGAUGGGUUUGCGUGGGAUCCAUAUAGAACUUACUAGAAUUAAAAGUCCAAAUUCCCCUUGAUAUAAAUACGACACUACCUCAUCUCCAAGUCUUCGUCAAAAUUCUGCUAUAUGUACUAAGUCAAUCUAAAUCGCUAAAUUUGAUGGGUUCACGUGGGAUCCAUACGAAACUCACUGACAUUGAUUCCACUUAAAAUAAAUAUGAUGCUCUUUCAUUGAAAUUGCGUUGUAUGUACUAAAUUGAUUUAAAUCACUAAAUAAGAUGGGUUCAUGUGGGACUUAUAUGGAACUCACUGGAAUUAAAAGUCCAAAUUCCACUUAAUAUAAAUUUGACCCUAGCUUAUUUUCGAGUCUUCGUCAAAAGUGUAUUGUGGGUUCAAGUGAGAUCUAUAUGAAACUCAUUGGAAUUAAAACUCCAAAUUUCUCUUACUAUAAAUAUGAUGCUAUCUCAUUUCCGAGUUUUCAUCAAAAUUAUGUUGUAUAAGCUAAUAUACGGGUUUGUUUUAUUAUUAUGACUUUUGAGAUUCCCUUUCAUGGAUCAGUUUGAUAAAGAAUCGAAAUUUCCUUUUGACCCAAAAAAAAAAAAAGUUAAUCUAAAUCACUAAAUUUUAUGAGUUUACAUGAGACCCAUAUAAAACUCACUAAAAUUAAAAGUCUAGAAUCCACUAGAUAUAAAUACGAUGCUAGCUCAUUUCCAAAUCUCCAUCAAAUGCCUUUUUAUCAUCAUUUUGAAGCUUCUGAUCGCACCCCACUCUGUCACACGUGAAUUGGGAAUGAUUUUCGACGCCAAAGUCUUCGUUAAAUCUCAUAAAGAUUGAGCCAACGUGGAACAACAACUCAAUUGUAAGCAUCGGGGUUUUGCAAGAGAUGGGCUCCAAUGGCUUUCAACAUUCCCAUGGCCUUCUAUUUGCUAGCCUUGUUCUCGAACCUGUCCUUGGCGAAGUACUUGCUCGUGCUCUUGCACGUGCACCCUCUCUGUCUGGACUUGAUCUCGUUCGAGAUCUUCUCUAGCACGUCGCCCUCCACAAUGAUGUAAGCGUGCGGGAGCUUUCCUUGUCCAGCUUGUCGACUGGUGCUUCACCGAGUUGAACCGUGUAGCCGCGACACAGAAAACUGUAGUCAGCUCCCACGUUAGUCUUAUCUAAGAAUGUCAGGCAAAUAUGUUGACAUCACAUGUUGAUGUGUGAUCAAAAUGAGUGAAAUUAGAAGACGCGCAGGUACUCGCCUUCGCCGAAAACGAUGCGAUGGUGACGGGACCGCCGUCACCUUCAAGGGUGACAAAAUCCAGAUUGGCUUGUAGGAGGAGCUUGGGGAUGAGAUUUUUAUCAAGAUCAAAUGCCUUGAACAUUCGUGCAGGUGGGAUGGAAUGCGUCUUAGCCUAAGAUUUCCAAGUCCCAGGGCAAGAGAUGUGAGAUUAUGUUGAAAUGCCCUUUAAAUGAUUCUCAAUCUCCUCGUUUAGUAAUCUAAAUCAGCAUCACAAUGUUCUUAAAUAAUACAAUAAAAAAAGAGGACAAAAGGCAUGGAUCUCAAGCCCAAAUUAUACUUAUUAGCAUGCGAGAGACCUUUGAAUGCUGACACCCUUGAGGGUGGGAAUUCACUAAAUUAUAAUUUAAAUAUUCUAACGGCGCCAACGGCUCGGACAGGAAAGCUUGAGUACGUGCGGAUAAUUCUUGCGCAACGAAAUGCAUGGUAAGUCACGAAUCGAGACUCAUCCGCAUACACGCUAUUGCGACCAUGACCAUGAAUACCACUUCCUUGACCAGUUGGCCAGUCGGAGGAGGAAGAUGUGGGUUGAGCAUAUCCUAUAGUGGCACAUUUGAGUCUUUGAAUAAUGUCGACAUUUGUGUCAUUUGUAGGGAAGAGAGAAGAUUCCGGGAUGCUUCCUCAUCAUUCUCUAGCAUCGGUACUUUUACUGUUGACUCUGUUUCAUGAAAGAAGAAUGAAUCAAUGUUUUGAUCACAACCUCAAGUUGCCUACAAAUUCCAAAUUUUUGAGAUUCUGUUAAUACAUACCACUUUUCAAAAUCUGUACUUGCUCUUCCUAAAAGUCUUGUUAGAAGUAUUGGAUGAAUCCAAAUUCAAUAUGUCAAUUGAAGGUAUUUGAUCAACCCGAGACCAUAGGUACAGGGGGAAUGUACUGAUUAGAUUUGAUCAUGUAGCUUACCAGGAACCAUGUAGCCAUAAGAUCCAGCCACUGGGAUCCAAUUCGACGAAUCCGAAUUCAAGAGCCUCACUGUCCCAAAAACCAAAAGCCAAGGCUCGAAGUCCGACUCGAGCAAGAUGUUGUUCAACAUCAUGUUCCGAUGGACAAUAGGCAGUGAGCAAUUGUGAUGCAAGUAGGCGAUCACGGGAGCCACGCAUUGAACAAUCUUCACUCUCUUAACACAAGUCCAAUUCAACUGCUCCGCUUCCUCCAUGCAAGACCUUUGCCAAAGUUCACAAAAGAUUGGAUGAUGUCCCUGCGGUUAACCACCACUUUUUUUUACCAUGACGAUGUGGCCGCUGGCCUAUUCGGCCUUGUAAACGCUUCUGAAUCCACGUUUUCCGAUGCAGUACUCUCCAUUGAAGCCGUUGGUGGCCUUGGCAAUAUCGUUGAAUGCAAACUUCAUUCCCCUUUCCCAUAUGAUUUCACGUACUUCAUAAGAUUUCUUAUCUCUUCAUCGAGAUGCUUGUUUCACCGCCAAAGCACCAAAAUCAGAGCAAUAAGAGUCACGAGAAGUAGUAAGCAGCAAACGCAACAAUCACAUUAAUCAGAACCUUUCUCCGAUGGUCAGUCGAUUUACUGCUCGACCCACAUGGAGACAUUCCGUCGCGUUUCCUCACAAGCCCGGAUUUGCAAUAAAAGUACUUCCUAGUUAUUGUUGGAAGAGGCGACCACCAAGAACUGCGCCUGUCAACUUGUUGUACAAGAAGCCCAUGAAGCUUAAACUGCUCAUGCUGGUGAGAGUAGCUGGGAUCGUACCCAACAAAUCGUUAUGCAAAACGUUGAGAUUUUUCAAUUUAGUGAGCUUUGCUAAAUUGGAAGGAAUUGAUCCUACUAGUGAAUUGUGGCUCAGGUCUAGUGGUUCUGUAGCGUGAACGAGUUCCCCAGCUCUGGCGACAUGACACCCAACAGAUUGUUGUUGCUCAAGUUCAGGCUCAGUAAAUUCUCGCAAUUUGCUAAUGCUUUUGGUACGAUCCAUAGAGAAGGGAUGUACUUGCCGUAUUGUGGUUUAUGAAAGAUUGUGCCACAUUGAUAACUUUAGAUGUUAAUCCAAAUUCGAAAUAUCAGGCCAAAUUUUGGUAUUUUAUUGGCCAUUUGGCAUUUCAUUUGUAACUCAUGAAUUCUCUCCUCGUAAAAAAAUUACUAAAUUAGAGAAUUUCAUUCUACAAGCCUUGUAUAAACAUGUAGCAUAGUUUAUCAAAUUCCACAAAACCACUGCACCAGAUUCCUAUCACACCUUUUAUUCUCUUAUUCUCAGCAAAGACAAGAACAACAAUACUCACCAGCCCAACAUGCUUAGCUCCAAACAGAGUGACUCAAACUCUUCUUGUCUCCUUUUCAGUAUAGCACAACCACACAUAUUUAACGCAUUACGUAAACAAUACAAGAUAGCGAAAAGAUAGGCUCAGUAGGCAUCAGGGUUUGCCAAGAGAUAAGCCUCGAUGCCCUCGUACAUCGCGGACACCUUCUCUUUCCAGGUGUUGAUCUCCUCCGCGGUGAAGUAACUGUCCGUGCACUUCAACAUCGAGCCUCCCAAAGGCAACGCGUUGAUCUUCACCUCAUGGGUGAUCUUCUCGAAGGUGGUGCCCAGCAUUUCGCUCUCGAUGAUUGAGUAGCGGUAGGUGAAGUUCUCCUUGUCCAGGGCCUCGACCUUGUGCUUCGCUGUCUUGAACGGAUUGCCUAUCAAUGUAACAAAAAGUCACACUCACAUUUAGAACUCGCAGGUUUCAAUAUCACGAGCACCAAUCUUCAUGGUGUCCAUCAGGCCAUUUAGGAAUUAACCCAAUUGUUCCGACCGCAAUCCAAUACAAUUGACUUAGACAUAGCCUGACUUUGCCUGAUCAAAAUUGAGUCACAUAAUCACUUGUGUAAAGUUAAACGGUUAGAAACAUCUUAAGUAAUCGAGUCAUAUUUCUAUCUUUUUCCAUAUUCAUUUUAGUGUUCCAUAAGGUUGAACCUACCUUGAUUCAAAGCAAUCCUAAGUUCCUAAUACGGAUGGACUAACCUUCGGCAAAAGUCAUCAACUUGAUGGUCCCGGGACCUCCAUCGCCCUCGAGGACUUCAACGCUCUUGACGGCUUGUGGGAGGACCUUGGGGAGGAGGUUAUCGGCAUCGAGGAUAGCGGCCUUGAACAUCCUGGCCUGGGGAAUGGGGGAUGGGAUAUCGAAGUGAAAAGUGAUGACACCCAUGACCGGAUCUUACUAGAGUUGCUGAAACUGAGAAGGGGGUGAUGAUCUGGAAAGACUUGAGUAGUAGUGACGAAGUUGGUCUCUGGGACUUGGGAGUGAAGAGAAGAGGCUGAAUUGAAGUUGACAUAUAUAGAGAGAGGGAGAUUGAGUGUGAAGGGUUCUGAUCACUGCAUAUUUUUUUCUUACUAAGAUGCAUUAUAUUUUGCGGAAAAUAAAUAAUUUAGAAAAUAUUUUCCUAAAAAUAAUCACUAAAUUUAGAUAGUGUUCUGAGCAUAAGUUAUUUGGUGAGUGUGCUGCAUGUUCUAAAAUGAUCUAAAUUGCUAAUUUAAUGGGCUCACUAGAAUUAAAAGUCUAGAUUCCCCUUAAUAUAAAUACGACACUACCUCAUUUUCAAGUCUUCAUCAAAAUUGUGUUGUAUAUAAAUAUGACCCUAGCUCAUCUCCGAGUCUUUAUCAAAUGUGUGUUGUAUGUCCUAAAUUGAUCUAAAUCUCUAAAUCUAACAGGUUCACGUGGGAUAAAUGUGGAACUCACUAAUUAAAAGUCUAGAUUCUCCUUGAUCUAAAUACAAUGCUAUGUCAUUUCGAAGUUUUCGUCAAAAUUGUGUUGUAUAUACUAAGUUAAUCUAAAUCGCUAAAUUUGAUGGGUUCAUGUGGGAUCCAUAGGAAACUCACUGAAUUAAAAGUUUAGGUCAACUUAAUACAAAUACAGUUUUCUUUCAUCAAAGUUAUGCCGUAUGUACUAAAUUAACCCAAAUUGCUAAAUCUGAUGGGUUCAUGUGGGACCUAUAUAAAACUCACUCGAAUUAAAAGUCAAGAUUCUCCUUGAUAUAAAUACGAUGCUAUGUCAUUUCAAAGUUUUCGUCAAAAUUGUGUUGUAUAUACUAAGUUAAUCUAAAUUGCUAAAUUUGAUGGGUUCAUGUGGGAUCCAUAGGAAACUCACUAAAUUAAAAGUUCAGGUCAACUUAAUAUAAAUACGGUUUUCUUUCAUCAAAAUUAUGCCGUAUGUACUAAAUUAACCCAAAUUGCUAAAUAUGAUGGGUUCAUGUGGGACCUAUAUGAAACUCACUCGAAUUAAAAGUCAAGAUUCUCCUUGAUAUAAAUACGAUACUAUGUCAUUUCUAAGUUUUCGUCAAAAUUGUGUUGUAUAUAAAUAUGACCCAAGCUCAUUUCCGAGUCUUUAUCAAACGUGUGUUGUAUGUCCUAAAUUGGUCUAAAUCACUAAAUCUAAUAGGUUCACGUGGGAUCCAUGUGGAACUCACUCAAAUUAAAAGUCUAGAUUCUCCUUGAUAUAAAUACGAUGCUAUGUCAUUUCUAAGUUUUUGUCAAAAUUGUUUUGUAUAUAAAUAUGACCCUAGCUCAUCUCCUAGUCUUUAUCGAACGUGUGUUGUAUGUCCUAAAUUGAUCUAAAUCGCUAAAUCUAACAGGUUCACGUGGGAUCCAUGUGGAACUCACUUGAAUUAAAAGUCUAGAUUCUCCUUGAUAUAAAUACAAUGCUAUGUCAUUUCUAAGUUUUCGUCAAAAUUGUAUUUUGUAUAUAAUAAGUUAAUCUAAAUCGCUAAAUUUGAUGGGUUCAUGUGGGAUCCAUAGGAAACUUACUAAAGUUAAAAGUUCAAAUCAGCUUAAUAUAAAUAUAGUGCUCUUUCAUCAAAUUACGUCGUAUGUACUAAAUAACCCAAAUCGCUAAAUCUGAUGGGUUCAUGUGGGACCUAUAUAAAACUCGCUGGAAUUAAAAGUCUAGAUUCUACUAAAUAAAAAUUAGGCCCUAACUCAUUUCCGAGUCUUUGUCAAAAGUGUGUUGUAUGUCCUAAAUUGAUCUAAAUUGCCAAAUCUGAUGAGUUCACAUAGGAUCCAUAUUGAAUUCACUAGAAUUAAAAGUCCAAAUUCCACUUAAUAUAAAUAUGACGCUAGCUCAUUUCUGUUUCUUCAUCAAAAUUGUGGUAUAUGUACUAAGUUAAUCUAUAUCGCUAUAUUUGAUAGGUUCAUGUGGAACCCAUAUGAACCUCACUAAAAUAAAACGUCCAAAAUCGAUUAAAUAUAUACACUACUUUAACUCAUUUCUAAGUCUCCAUCAGGCGCCUUUUUCUCAUCUCUUUGAAGCUUCCGAUCUCGUGCCAUUCCGUCACAUGUGAAUCGCGAAUGAUUUUCCACGCCAAAGUCUUUGUUAAAUCUCAAGACUUAAAAAUACGAAUGUGAAGUAACAACUGCGUGUCAAAUGCAGAAAAUUCAUAUGUGAAAAAGUUGACCGUCCCUUCUUGAGUCAACUGUUCUCUUCCUCGAUAUGCUUUUCUGAUCUGGCCUCACAGAUAGAUGGGCAAAGCGGCGCAUUCAUAUCUAUAAUCUCGCGGCAGUUUCAACUCUGUUAAAAGAAUGCCGAGAUCUUUACAAGAUGUUUGACAAGUGUCUUUGAUGACAGCAUGCAGCAUAUCUACCGCUUCAAAACAUAGUUACGGUUCAGUCUCGAUUGUUAUUUUUCUUGAAAGAGACACGAAUGAAGACAUAAAUUAUCGUGGGAGAUAGAAAGAUCCAGCCAACAUGUAACGACAACUCAAUCGUAAGCAUCAGUGUUUUUGCAAGAGAUGGGCUUCUAUGGCUUUCAACAUUCCCAUGGCCUUCUCUUUGCUGGCCUUGUUCUCGACCCGGUCCACGGCGAAGUACUUGCUCAUGCUCUUGGCCAUACACCCUCUCUGUCUGGACCCGCCUCAAACUUGAUCUCGUUCGGGAUCUUCUCUAGCGCGUUGCCCUGGACGAUGGCGUACGCAUGCGCGAGCUUUCCUUGUCCAGCUUCUCGACUGGUGCUCCACCGAGUUGAACUGUCUAGCUGCGAGACACAGACAACUGCAGUCAGCUCCCACGUUAGCCUCAACAAAGAAUGUCGGCAAAUGUCCUCUUUGACAUCACAUGUUAAUGCGACGCAAUCAAAAUAAAUUAAAAUAGAAGACAGCGCAAGCACUGGCCUUCGCCAAGGAUGGCGCCGGGACCCCCAUCACCUUCAGGGAUGACAAAAUCCUUAAAGGCUUGUGGGAGGAGCUUGGGGAUGAGAUCAUCGUCAGGAAGAACGGCCUUCUUGCAGGUGGGAUGGAAUCGUCUUCACCUAAGAGUUCCAAGUCCCACGGCAAGAGAUCUGUGAUAUUAUGUUGAAAAUGCCCUCUAAAUGAUUCUCAAUCGCCUCGUUUAGUAAUCUAACUCAACAUCACAUUGGUCUAAAUCAUAUAAUAAAGAAAGAGGACAAACGGCAUGGAUCUCAAGCCCAAAUGAUACUUGUUAGCAUGCGAGAGAUCUUUGAAUGCUGACAACCUUGAGGGAGUCACUAAAUUAUUAUUAAAAUAUUAUAAUAGAACCCAAUGGCUUAGACAAGCAAGCUUGAGUGCAUGUGGAUAAUUCUUGCUUGAUGAAAUGCAUGGUAGGUCGCGAAUCGAGACUCGUCCCCAUGCACAUCCACUCCCUCGGCUAGUUGGCCGGUCGGAGGAGGAAGCCGUGGGUCGAGCACAUCCUUCAAUAGCACAUUUUAGUCUUUCAAUAAUGUCGACGUUUGUGUCAUUUGUAGGGAAGAAAGAACAUUCAAUGGAUGCUUCCCAUCAUUCUCUAGUGUCACUACUUUUACUGCUGACUGUGUUUCUUGAAAGAAGAACUAGCCAGGGUUUUGCUCACAACGUCAAGUUGUCCACAAAUUCCAAAUUUCUGUGAUACUUUAAAACAAACCACUUUUCAUAAUCUAUACUUACUCUUCCUAAAAGUAUUGUUAGAUUUAUUGAAUGAAUCCAAAUUCGAUUUGUCCAUUAACCGCGGAGUUACUACUAAUUUUAUUUUUCAAGAAGAAGAAUGAAUCAAAGUCAUGAUCAUAAUGUCAAGUUGUACCCAAAUUCCAAAUUUGAACGACACUCUUAACACAAACUACUUUUCAAAACCGGUACUUGCAAGAAUCCUAAAAGUCCCGUUAGAAUUAUUUAAAUGCAAAUUAUCGAUCUGAGACCAUUUGUACCUGCGAAAUGUUCGAUUAGAUUCCAUCAUCUAACUUACCAGCAACCAUGUAGCCAUAAGAUCCAGCCUCAAAUAAGGCCGGAAACUCGCAUGAACCGGAAAGCAGCAGCCCAGUCCGGCGAGCCCGAAACAGGGCAUGGGCAAAAAAAAGCGCGGUCGGCCGAGAGUCCCUACCCAGCUCGCGGCGUCGGACGGCGGACGAGCUCGAUAGAUCGGGCUAUGCCCGUCCGCCUCGCUCGUCUCCUAGCCGGGAUCCUCGGGAAGCCGACCCCGAAUCGGGAAAAACCAAGACCGCCCGAAGGGGUACCUACCAUGGCCUCGAAGUGGACAAGGAGCGGCGGCGGAUCAUCAGUUUUGGUUCGGAAGUGGAGCCCAACAGCAGCUCUCUCAGUCGCGUCCUCGGAUCCGAAUCCCUCUCGCCUCGUACUUGACCCCCUCCGAUUUCUCCCUCCUCCCCCCGACCUCUGGCCUUCGAUUUAUAGGCUGAGAAGGCCGGUCGGCGGAGGCGCUUCGGCCGCCGGUCCUUCGCGCGCCGACCGGCCCCCCUUGGCUGAACCAGCAUCACAUCACCCGUCGCCUCCAGCGCCGCCUGCUCUGCUUUGCGCCUGCUCUGCUCUGCUCUGCUUCUACUUCUGAUUCCGUCCUCGCUGGCGUGAGGAAGAAGCGGGAAGGAGGAAGGAGGAAGGAGGGGCCGGGCCGGGGUGAGAAGCACAAGCAGAGUGGGCCCUGGGCCCACUCGGGGAACAAAGGAGAAAAGAGGGGGGCUAAGGCGAAGGCCCAGCCGCCGUGGGCCCUUUUUUUAUAAAUAAUAUUAAAUAGGGCUAAAUAAGAGAAAAUAAAAUGCAAAUGAUAUUUAUGCUUAUAUGAUGUGAAAAUCGUUUUUAUUAGUGUCAAAUUGAUUCCAAAUUUUUUAUAUAAUUUUAAUUAUAGAUAUUUAGUCAAAAUUUAAGUAUCAAUAAAUAUAAAUCUCAAACUGCAAGAGUAAAAAUAAAAAAAGAAAAGAAUUAAAGAAGAGACAAGUGCGGUUGCACCUUUAUCCCAUCAUGUGACUGAAAUUGUUUAAGAAAGUAAAAAAAAUUGGGAUAAGUGCAUUAGAAAUCUUAAAAAUUAUCAUGAAAAUGCAAUUGAGUCAUAAAACUUUCAAAAAGUGCAAUUAAGUCCUAAAAAUUGGUACGAAAGUUCAAUCAAAUCCUAAAACUUUCAAAAGAUUCAAUAAAAUCUAAAAACUUGUUUCGAAAGUACAACCGAAUCCUAAAACUUUCAAAAAUGCAAUCAAUUGAAGGACUUAGAUUGAACCACUUUAAUAAGUUUUAGGACCUGAUUGUAUUUUUUGAAAUUUUUAGGACUUAAUUGCAUUUUAUAACAAGUUUUAUGACUUAAUUACCUUUUUUAAAAGUUUUAGAACUUAAUUACAUUUUCAUGACAAAUUUUAGGACUUCAAAUGUACUUAUCCCUAAAAAAUUCAAUGAACAUCACAUGCUCUAGCUUUAAUUGAAUUAUUGGGGGAGGGGGGUUAUUUUUUCCCUAUAAAAAGAACUCGCCACACGACGAUAAUUGGGGGUUUUAAUUUUUUUGGAGGACCUCGAAGGGAUUUUAUUUUCUCUCCCAGUUUCUAGGUGAAGAAAUUCAAGAAAAAGAGAGAAAAAUUCCCCUUCGUUGAAGGGAAAGUCAACCAAAGGGUUUUUCCCUUGUGGUUUUUUCCUUUUGCUGAAAGUACAAGGGCAGUAGAAUUGAGAAAAUAUUGGGUACCUUAAAAAUGCCAUGUAAUUUGUGCUCUGAACCAUUUAAAGUGUGACAUAUGUUUGUGUGUCAAUCCAUGUCGUCCCACUUCUCGAUUUCAAACCAACGCACGGGAGGUUCUCUCUCUGCUCUCUCAAGCAUAAGCCCUGGCCCACCUCUUUGCAUGCUCUAACGCUCUCUUUCCUUUGCUCUCCUUUGCAGAUCAUCUCUCUCCUCUUUCUCCUCUCUGUCUCUCUCCUCAUUCUCUGUUCCGUUGCGAGGAGAACAAAAUUGUGGAGGGUUAAAGGAAAACAUAAAAGUUGAGCCCCUCCGCCUCCACUAGUUGCUUCCAUCGCCUCCCUCUCACGACAUUUGCUCUGCUCUGCUCUGCUCUCUCUCCCCUCCAUGAAGUCGUGCCUCUCUUCCAGCGAAAUGUGACGCCGAUGGUCCUCCACCUCCACCUCCACCGGUUGCCUCCAUCGCCCUUGACUCCGACGCCGAUGCCCCUCCGCCUCCCUCUCACAACCUCUACUCCACUCUCUCCCUCUUUCCUCUACGGAGCGCCCUUAUUGGCCAACCCUGAUGCCGACGAACCCCUGCUCACGUUUUGGCCUCCCUCUCAGCGAGUGAAGGUCGCUUGCUCUUUCUGUCUUUCCUCUGUGAAGCACCCCCCAUUCCUGAACGUGGACGCCGCUGACACCGAUGCCGUCGCCUUCCUAAGCCCCACCGAUAGCCACCCCACUGGCGAUUCCCGUACGUCCAAAGGUUCUUUUUUCUUUUCUUUUCUUUUUGGAUUCUACUUGGUAGAAUUCGGUAACAUGUUUAAGUUUAUAGAUACAUUUGCAUUAGGUACUGCUUUAUCUUACUUGUUGCUGACUUGCUGUGUUAUUCAGAUAGUGAAGAUUGGAAGAAAGUGAAACGGUGGUAUCUUUUGAGAUUGUUUGCAUAUAGUCCUCCUAAGGGAUUAGAGGCUUCUGAGCCUAAAUUGGUCACUCCAUGCUUUUAUUUUCUCCCAAAAUCACAUGUCUGUUGGAGAAGUUGAUCCUUGCGUGCUUCUGAAUAGUCAUUUGCGUUGCAAUUCCAAAGGUGUAACUCAGUUGUGAAGGAUAAGAUCAAAAUAUCUCUCUAAGAUCUACCUUCUUGGUCCACUGAUCUAUUAGAAAUAGGUAGUUUACUUAGGCAAAUUCAUUGCAGCUUGGGCUGUUUAAACCAACAAGUACCUCUUAUUUUGUUCAUGUGCCAACGAGAGAUAUGGUGGGACAUCCUCACAAGCAUGGAGCCAGAAGCUUAUCUCUCUGUUUGCUUUGCGAGAGAGCCAUUGAAAAUUGCAGGUUUCUUGUGUUUAGCUGAAUUUGACAUACAGAGACUAACCAAAUUUGUGAAGAUGACUAAUUUCACGUUGUUGUUUUUUUAAGCAUAAACAAAGGUUUGAUUUGAUGUUUAUGGUUUUAUCCUAAUUCCACUUAUUUAGAAUCUCUUGGAUAUUGGACAGGGUUAGACUUUCUUGCUUUAUCUCGUCAUAGUAGAUGCCAUGCACUGGAUUAUAUUAUUUAGCAUGCGCCGUUUCUCUGUAAUUAGAGCUGCCUUUUGUUCAUGCUAAACUUUUGAACAACUGCUUUGCCUUACCUAUAUGAACUACAGAUCCUGAUAGACCUAAGAAUGACAAGGGAACCAUUCUUACGGACACAAUCCAGGUGCUGAAGGAUUUAAACACGGAAGUUAACAAAUUGAAAGCUGAAUGUGCAGCUCUUACUGAAGAAUCUCGUGAGGUGAUCACUUAGUUGGCAUUUGCUUAGCUCUUCUCACCGCAUCGGCUUGCUCGCGAAGGAAAAUGUUAUGAAAGGAAAAUGCAAAUCAUGCUCUUGGGCUGUCUCUAUUCUUUUAAGCUUUUAAAGCAUUUGUCUUCGUAGUUUGUCCUCUUCAAACAAGUUCUUAACAUCUACAUCUACAUAAACAGAGUAUCCUAGAAGCAUCCAUUUCAUGAUCAGCAUUCCAUGCUAAAUGCAAAUCAAGUGGUGCAAUUCUCAGCAACCCAACAUCAGGGGAACCAACUAUAACAAGUAAAUUCUCUAGGCUAUGCCACAAAUGAGCACGCGACUUCACCUGUGUCCACAAUUAUUGGUAUCAACGGAGCCGCCGCGCAGACCGACCUCGCAGUCACUGCCAUUUCCGGCGGCCUGAAGACAUUCAGAAGAAACGGCUCAAAGAUUCGAACUUUAGCAUUCGAAACUCACAUACCCACUUCACAUGCAAAAGCGGGGAAUCGCAACCGGGCAUCAGGACGACGCCCUGAUCCUCUAUCAGCCGGUGCACGCGCGUCUGCCGCGUCGUCAUCCUGACCGUCGGGGAAGAAUGAGAAGUGAGAUGGGGCAUGUUUGUUGCCGAGCGCAGCUUGAGGACAAAUCAGUGAGAAAAGUGUCGGAAGAACAUUGAAGUUGUUGACAAAGGUGGAGUGUGAAGAGUUGUUGUCUCGUGGGACAGAAUACCCAUGAGAGAGAGAGAGAGAGAGAGAGAGAGAGAGAGAGAGAGAGAAGAGAAUCAAGACCCGUGAAGCACAGACAAAAAGUAAUAGAGCUUGUACACAAAUCAAUAAUGUAAAUGAAAAUCAUGAGGGAUGGAUGAUAGCAAGGGGAAAAAGCCUAUGAUGUAAUGCUUAAUGCUUGAUCAUAUAGCACAUGGUGAUGCUAACACGUUGUCAAUUUGUUUUUUGGAUUGCAUAUAUGGCAUUCGGAACGCUCAAAGGCAAAGAAUGCAAAAUCAUUUAAUUCAAGUGCAUCAGGUUCCGUAUAAAAAGGCACCUGACGUUGUAUCUAAAGUUUUUUUAGGAGGAAGACAUAAUUCCAACAAGAAAAUAAUUAUCGCAUUUGCAUGAAGCGUGUCUAAUCAUUCAGCCAAUUAUCAUACCAUCAUGAUUGAGGAUUCACAAGAUUCUUUGCUGUAUUUAGAACUUCGCCGCAUUUGUAAUCUCGUGCAAUUAAUAAAGGAGAGCAUUCUUCUUCCAACAACCAUGACAUAAUUGAUUGGAACAUAUGCCUGAAACUUGAACAAUGAGGGCACAUUCAUUACUUUUUUAAGGGUUUAGCUCCAGCAGCCAUGACAUAAUUGAUUGGAGCUCAGAUUUUGCAUCCAAACUAUCUUGCGACUUUUGACCUGCCAUGAGGCAUAAGCCAGGUUGUACUCCUGCAUGAGUCACUCGCAUCGUGUAGUAGUGAUGCCCUGGUGGUUAUUAGAUAAAAAGAGUCUCCAGAGAUGCUGUCGUCAAGAGGUAACGAAUCAGUGUACCGAUGGAGAUGCGAGCUAGCAUACGCUUUUGGGUGUUCCCAUCAUCAUUGACCGGAGCAAAAAAAGGCGAAUUCCUACAUUCGCUAUUCUAUUGGCCAUGAUUCAACGCGAUGAUGAAUGGCUCUUUAAACCAAGAAGCGUCACCCUAAAUAAUAUGAUCAAUUUAUCUUCGUUAAUGGCUGCUCAGCAUACAUCUCUAAAUCCUUCACAGAAAAAGCAGGUGCAUUGCUCAUCUCUGAGAGAGACUGAAAAAUGUUUACACUUGAUUCAUUUGCGAUGCCAAAAAAAUUGGGAAAAGAGAAGGCCUUACAAGUAAAAAAGCAUUGCCCAUUCUGUAAUAGAACAAACCCUUCAUGAAUGCUGUCACCAGCGACCUCCUCGAUCAGCACGGCAUCCGAUAUCUCUCUCACAUCAUCCUCCGCAAGAUGGGGUUCACUUCACGUGAGACGAAAUCGGCUUCUCCUUUCUUCACCGCCUUGUCAGCAGCUUCCAUUAUUAUGUGUCCCAAGCUCGCUCCGAGAGAGAAAGAGAGAGAGAGAGAGAGAGAGGGAAAGGGUCAGGAAAGGGGGAGGAAGUUAUGAAGGUAUGGAGGAAGGCAGGAGGGGAGGGGAGAUGGGCAAAGAUGGUGGAGAGUGUGGCCUGCCCAGAUACGCGCAGAAAGAAAGAGAGAGAUGGUCAGCUGCAACCAAAACGGCAAAAAAAGACCACGAUCUAUUAACCCCUUGCGGAACAUAAACAAAUCAGCGAGUAGGAAAACGGGGUCGCAAUCCCCGGAGAAAGAUCUCAUUCAAGACAGACCGACGGGCAAGAAAAAGGGGUCGCGGUCCUCGAAGGGAGAUCUCCACCAGGUCAAAUCGCACCUCGUGCUUCUGUUCGGGUCGCCAUCGCGUCCCUUGAUGGCCAAGGUCUGUUGCUGCUGGUUCUGCUUACUCUGAGCGAGCUUCUCGCUUGGGUCGUUGCUAAUGAGGAAGGAAGACGAAGGAAGGAAUCCCCGGAGGGAGAUCUCCGCCAGGCCGAAUUGCACCCGGUGCUUCCGCUUAGGGUCACCAUCGCGUUCCUUGAUGGCCGGGGCCCGUUGCUGCUGAAUCUGAGCAAGCUUCUUGCUUGGGUCGUCGCCGAUGAGGGAGGAAGACGAAGGAAAGAACGUGAGGGGAGAGAGAGAGCCCUUGAAAAUUGAAAAGAGGAAAGAGGUUUUUGUUGAGCGGGAGUGCGAAGGAAAGAACGUGAGGAGAGAGAGCGCCCUUGAAAAUUGAAAAAAGGAGAGGUUUUUCUUGAGCAGGAGUGCGCUUUUACUGUUCUGUCUUUUCUCCGUGCGUUCCCCAGAGGAGAGAGAGGGGAAGAAGGCUAUGGGUCCCAUGUGGACACGUGUUGCGCUCCCACCAUCUUCUUGUUUGCCUAGAGCGUAAGACGAACGCAAUAUUAUUCUCUCACCUCUCACGUCUCCAAAAAGGAGAGGAAGCAGAGGCAGCCAGCCCCGAGCGUCGACGCCGUUGUUUCUGCUCCGCCCCCCAGCCGCGACGCUUCCGCCUGCCGGUCUCCGCUGCACCGGUUGCCACAGUCGCUCCUCCAGCAACCCGCAGGCCACCCUCACGCCGUUCACCGCGCCGGCUACCACCGCUCGUCUCCCCGCGAAGCCACCGUUCCCUUGCCGAUCGCUGUUGUUGACCCGCGAUACCCCUGCUCGACUCCAUACGUCGCUCUGCCGGCCAACGCUGCUCCGCGCCCCCGAAGUCGCGACGCCGCCUCUGCCGGCCCCGCCUCUGUCCAGAUCUUCCGUGCCGGAACGCGACCCCGAGUCAUCGCGCGUCCGCGCGUCGCCACUGCUGCAAUCCGACACCAGAAGCCGCCUCUCCCGCGCCUGAGCGACCUGCAGCACCCAACGUCCCCCUCUCCUCUGCUGCUCGUGCCGCGUAACCAACAGGGUUACCCCUCGCCCGCGAGCUCGCACCGCCGCCCCGCCGUGCCGAUCCGCGACGAUCUGACGCCUCCGCGUUGCUGCUUCUGGCCACGUCUCCGCCAGCCACUGCCGUGCACCAUCGCCGACCUGCAGCUUCUACCCGAGCCCUCUGCCGCCAGCCUCCGCCUUCGAUCGACGCAGUUGCAGCCCAACGCCAGAAGCAGCAGCUCCCUGCUCCGUCGUACCUCAGUCACUGUUCUGCCUCGCCGUUCCCGUUCCACCCCAGCCGCGACGCAGCCUCUGCCGGACCGACGCCUGCUGCCCUGCCUCCUGCACCAGCGCCGACGCCCGAGCUCUAUCGCCGGGACUGCCGUCGCACCUCCCCGCCGCCGGUCUCCUCGCACACCGUGCCAGCGCUAGCCCGCCGAGCCGGUCCGCCUGCACGCCGGCUGCCGCCCUUCGCCGGAGCUCCGACCGCCGGCAGCUCCACCGCCCUUGGCCGCGCACCACCACAGCUGCCGAGCCUUGUUUGGAAAAAAAAGAAAAAAUCAAAUUAGGUAGGUUUAUUUUAUUUUAUUAGGUUGAUUUAUUUUAUCUUAUUUUAUUUUUUGAAAUAUUUCUCCAUGCAUAAUUAAAAUUCCCGGCAUACCACCUAAUUCGUAUAAAGUUUUAGAUGGGAUAAUUGAUUGAUAUCUUGAUGUUUAAGGUUUAAGAUCAAUUUAUUAAUUUUAUUAGCAAAAUAAUCAGGUUUAAUUAGAUAUCGUUUUUAAAUUCGAAUGAUGGAUAAUAUCUUUGAUGCCAUGGAUGAUUCGUUGUUUAUUUUUUUUAAUUGCUUUGUUUAUUGCAAAAAAAUACAAAAAAAAAAAUUUGUAUUUUGCAUAUCAUGUGGAUUAGAAUUGUUUUCUUAGAUAGAAUUGCAUGGUAGAAUAGUUAGAUUCUUUUCUAGUUAUAUUAAAAUGCUUGUAGUAUCUAGGUUAGAUAAUAUUUUUUGGAUUAAAUUACAUGACGAGAUAAUUUUCUAAGUUAAGAUAGGAUUCAAAUUGGUCUAUUCUUAACUUAAAAUAGAUAAUAUCUCACUUUAGUUAGAUUUUAUAUUUUAGUACUUUUAAUUACGAAUUUUUAUUUAAAAAAAUGCCAAAAAAAAAUCAUACGCAUAUCAUAUAGAAUUAGGUUCAUGAAAUGCACAUCAUUUAGUGUUUGUUGCUAGGUUCAUUUAAUUAGAAAUUAACCAUCAUUAGAAUUAAAUCAUUUGGUUAAUUUAGAUUGCACAUUUAAUUAUUGCAUUUUUUUAAUUUCGAAUUCAUGAGAAAAAUCCAAAAAAAUUGUCUUUGAAUAAAUUAAUUUCAUUUUCUAGGAUAGAUUGCAUGCUCAUUAAGCAAACACAAAAUAUUUCACGUCAUAUAGUUUAGGUCAUGUUUCCAUGUUAUAUCAUUUAAUGUUAGAUUAGUGGCAUGUAUUGCAUAAAUAAUUCUCAUUAAAUAAGUAAGAACAAAAAAAAAUUAAUUGCGUGUUAAUUAGAAAUCAUAUGUAGAACUGUCGAUGUGAAUUCUAAUCUAACCUUGCAAAUGCUUUUGAUGCCAUGAGAUAAGUCCUGAAAUUUAUUCAUUGCUUUAUCUGGGUAUUAAAUUAAUGGUUUGCACACUCGCAUGAUCAUUGAGAUAAAUUAAAAUCAAUUCAAGCUACUUGCCAAAUAUUUUUUCAAAAUAAAAGAAAAAUGUACCGAAAUUGCAUUAAAGAAAUCUAACGUAAUCAAGUCUCCGAACUCAUAAUCUCUAGUUUACAGAAGUAAAGUAAAUCUCCUAUUACUUUACUUGGAAUUCUAAUUGACUCAUCGAAAAUAGAUUAGUGACAACUCCUAAUUAAAAUUUGCAUAUUAAGAACUUGAACUUAAGUAGCGAAUUAGUAUGGGCUAGGGAGAGCCCGAGCUAUGUUUAGGCUUAGUAAUCUAUUAGCCAAAUCCUAGGUAGUGCAUCUGAAAUUUUGGUCGCGACAAAUGUCGUCAAUCAACUAUGAGAUGCCGAUGUCAAUGGAGAAGUUACUGAUAUUAAUGGUUGUCAAUGCCGAUAUUCCAGAAUUGAUACCGAUGAUUUUGUUUGGUGAAUUGAUACCGUUGACUGUUCGAUGCUCGAGUUAAUUAGAUUCUUUAUUGUAGCAUUGUUUUUGAGAAGUCUGUUCGUAUUUUUAUUUCAUGACUGUUCAUGUUUCUAAGUGUAAUCAAUGUUUUGUAAGUUCUUAGGAUUUUAUCACCUCAGAACAUUAGCUAUAUUUAUUAGUCAUUAGUUUAAGAGUUAUGUGUGAAGCAUAUAAAAGUGGAGGCCUGUAAUUGUUUUCAAUAAGGUGAAGAAAAGGUGAAAUAAACAAGAAGGAUAUAUGUCUCCUUCUCUUCUCUGUGUUGUGUUAGUGGGUGUUUCAGCUUUAAAUUAUCCCAUCAAGAUGUAGUCUGUAUUUGUCUUUUACAAAAACUCGAAAUUUUCUAGUUUUGAUGCCAUAUGAAAUUAUGAAGGAGCACUAUUAGCUAUUAUAGAAGUUUAGAUAAUUAGAUGGAUGCAUUAUUCAAGACUUAAUUGAUAUAACGUCUCUUUCACGACCUAUGUUCCUUUUCAACAGCUAGAUUACUUGCACAGCUUGGGAUCAAUGGAAGGAGAGCUAUCUAUAGAAGUGGAGGAUGGUGGAAUGAACAACUUGAUCGAAAUCUGGAGAGGUCGACGGGAGAUAAUGAAGAAUGCAUUGGCGGCUUCCGCGGGGGGACAAGAUCCGGCAAAAGCUUACGAAUAUGCUCGAAAACUGGCGCGUGUCAUCGAAGGCGGCAAGGUUGACGAGUUCCUUUCCAAGAUCAAUGUAAAUGAUCCAUUGUUGCGGGACAUCGAUUGGUCUGCCGUUUUAAAUUCCCGAUCUGAAGGCAACGAAUCACUGCUCCACAUGGCAGCAGCAAUCGAGAACGACGACAUCCUAAGGCUUCUGGUUGAUUAUGUUGGUGACCACCUCAUAACCGCCCAAGAUGAUCGGGGAAAUACCCCACUCCACUGGGUCGCUCGGUAUGGGGGAUCUACUGGAGCUGCAGAGAUGUUGAUUCACCGGGCAAGAGGCCUCCCCAACGUCGAGGACAAGAACCUCCUAUUGAGGAUGAAGAACAAAUGGGGAAACACCGCUUUGCACAUAGCCGUGCACGAAGGUCACGCCAACUUGGUGCGCUAUUUGUUGAGCGAAGAUUUGGAGCCCGUGUACUGGAAGAACGCGAAUGAGAAAUCUCCCCUGUACCUAGCCCUCGAGACUUACGACUCCGCUGUACAUGAGGCUUUAUUUUCACACUCGUUGGAACCAUCAAGGAUAGAAGGCUUGCCGCCCAUUCAUGGUGCCAUUAUACGUUCACGACACGGUACGUACCUAAAUCUAUUUACGUGGAAAUAUAUUUAUCUAUUUCUGGACUGACUCAUCCCAAAUCUGUGCAAUAACUUUUUGCUCUUACAAAAACCCCUUACCGGUUUUUACUUAAAAUUCCCUACCCUGCUUGUUAAAGUGGUUGGAUACCCAUCGGUUUAGCCGCAUUAUAAACGAAUUAUUCACAUUAGAGCAUAAUAGAUCGGCUUAAAUAUUACAAAUACAACCAUUUCACUAGAAACUCAUGUGUUGUCGAUCUUUGAUUAGAAAAGCUAUAAAGUGCAAAUAUUUAAGAUUGAUGACCAUGAAAAUCUGGAAUCUAACAAUGACGCUGUGUGCCAUGAACCAAAAUGAACAAAUGAAAGUUUAGGGCAUGAAUUAUAAACUGGUAGCAAACCUGUAGGCUGCGCAGGCGUGAUUUUUUCAUUGGAAAAAAAGGAGGUGAAGAUUCCAUCACUCUCAGCAAAUUGAUGGAACAUCGUAAACCAUUAAUUUGUUUGUGACAAACAAUCAAUAGGUUUUUAAGAAAUUAAGAAAAGUGGAUCUAAAUAAAGAAAUAUAUUUUUUAUUUUUUAUUUUUAAAUUAAUACAGUUAUCAUAAUCUUUGCAGAAAAAGCUGAUACGGUAGUGUAGCCUAUAUUACCUUGACCAUUAAAAAUAUUGAGAUAAAAUUCAUCAGACACAUGAUAAUCAAUUAUGUGAAAUUUUUUGGCUGCUAAUGCCACGUAUCCCAAGUUUACUACUUGAAGUGCAGCUAACGUUCAUUGAUCAUCAGAUUGGUAGAUGGCAUUUAGGUGUUACAGUCAUAUCGAAUAGAGAGAAUUGUCCAAAAAGUUAUAAAUGUGUCAAUUGUGUCAAUUUAACCUCUAUUUUAGUCCUAAACUUUUUAAGGAUUUACCAACUUAGUCCCUUCUAAACAAUUUCUAUUGGAAAUCGCUAACAUGGCGGUCUAGUCAAAGCUAGCCAUCCUACGUGAUGUUGAUCGCUUAUGUGGCUUUUUUACAAAAUAUUUUUUAAUUUUUUGCAUUUUUUCCUUUUCUUUUUUUUUAAUCCUUUUUUCCCUCUACCAGCCUCAGGCGAGGGCUACCCUCUAACCCUUGCAUAGAGCAACCCUUGCCCUUGCUCGACCUCCAUUAGGUGUCAACUAUGGAUGGUUAGAGAAGAGAAAAAGGAAAAAAAAAAAGAAAUUAGAAAAAGAAAAGGAUAAAGGUGGGCCCGGCGGAUCCUAGGUCACCAAAAAAAUAAAAGACAAAGGAAAUGAAAGGAAAAAGGAAAAAAAUUGCAAAAAUUAUCCGCAUUAGCAUUGGCUAUGCCAUGUAGGAUAUUCAGUACUACUAGACCACUAUGCCUAUGAUUUUCAACAAAAUUGGCUAGAAUGACUAAAAUGACAUAUCGUUAAAAUGUUUAUGAUUGAAUUGGCAAGUUAUUAAAAUUGUUAUGACUAAAUUGACACAACUGAAAGAUUUAAGACUAAAUUAAUCAUUAUACAAUAUAUUCAAAACUUUUUGGACAAUUUUCCCUAUCAAGUAUAAUUACAACCCUAGAUGCAGUAACUUUAUUUUUAUCCUGUCCCAAUUUAUUAAUCCGAGCACAUGUUAUUAUUUACAUUGCACGACGUAACAUGUUUGAGGCUCUCUUUUUGAACUGAACAUGCAAAACAAUUUCAAAUAGACAUAAAGUGAAAAUGCGUAACAAUGUAUUGUGUGAUGCAAAUAUUAAAUUAGCAUACCCAAUAAACGUAUGUGUCUAAACUUACGUUGCACUCAUUGAAUAGAUUAUAGAAGUCGACCUGCACACAUAACGUUCAUAAUCCAUUUAUAAAUGGCUUAACUUAUUUGUGAUAACACAAUUAAACCUAAUGCUACCAUAUUUAACCACGUUCCAUGUAGUGAACAUGCAUGUAGAAGGGCUGUUUCAUAGUUUGUCAGCUCAUAAUUCUAAUAAGCACUUUAGAAACUUUACAAAAGAUCCCAUUGAAAUUGGAUUUACUAUAUAUUUCUUAUUCUUACUGUCCAAUAUAUAAAAAUCCUUUUAUGAAGUACUACUGAUUGAAAUCUCGUAAUAAUAGUUCAGUUUGUUCUUCAUUGAAUGUAAAAGUAGAUGACAUUGUGGAAUGAAUCGAGCGUUGACAUGGGCUUUUGUAGAUAGGUACUUUAAUUAGGUUAUCAUGAUAGGCACUUUUUUUAAGGUUCAUAUCAAUUAAAUAAGGUAAGGUUAUUUCUUUAAAUCUAGUAAUAUUCUUUCACUUGGGAAAAUUAUCCAAAAAGUCCUAAGUCUAUUGCACUUUUGCCAAUUCAAUCACAAAUCAUUCAAUUUUGUCAAUUCAAUACUAAACAUUUUCACUUUUUGCCGAUUGAGUGUAUCCGGCUAAUUUUGACUAGAAUUUAUUGACAGGGAUAAUUUUUAAUAAUAAUUUAAUUCCUUUUGAAAUUUUUUGUACUUUUUUUCUUUUAUCUUUCUUUCUUCCCCCCUUUCUUCUUCCUUUCAUCGGUGGCUAGCUACCAACCACCGGUGAUGGCUAGCUACCGGCCAUGGCUGGGUGAGUUGACCUUGCUCGCCGUAAGUGAUGCCUAGCCAGGCAAGGCCAGGCCCUAGCAAGGGUUGGCCUCACCUAGGUUAGGCAAGACAGCCUCCUAGGUUAGGCAAGACCAACCCUUGCCCAAACUAGGCGAGAUCGCCUAGGCGAGGGUGAGCCCCCUUGUUCGGCCACAUCUUACCCGAGGCAUGUGAGGCUAGCUGGCUCGGCCAUAGUCGGUGGCUGGCACAAAAGGAAGAAGAAAGGAAAAAAGAAAAUGAAAAAAUAUUUUUAAAAAUUGUUUACAUUAGUGCCGACCAUCUUACAAGAAACCGCUAGUGUCCACGUCAGCGAAUUCCUAUCAAAAUUGGUUGGAUUGACUCAAUUAAUAAGAAGUAAACAUGUUUACGACUGAAUUGGCAUAAGUGCAAUAGAUUUAGAAUUUUUUGGACAAUUUUCACUCUUUCACUAAUGUAUCUAGAAUGUAACCGGUUACCCAUAUUGAAAUUUGUGGCCUGAAUUGCUUCGUCAAUUUCAAGAAUGACGGCAUCUGUCAUGCGAAUAGAAUAAAGGUGAAAUUCUUAAUUCAUGUUAUAUAUUAAUGUAAAAUAUAGGGGGCUCGACGACAAUUAGAAAAUUCCUAAUUAUCGUUGUUAGAUGACUCAUGAAAUUUGUAUAUGUACUUAACAAUAUUAUUAGAGUAUAUUUUAUAGGAAGUAUUAUAGAAAUGUAAGAACUUUCAAUAAUUGCUCAUUUGCAGUUUUUGAAACUCAUUAGAACUAAUUUCAAUAAAACUAAUGCCUCUUUUGUUGAACAAAAGUCAUGGUAUAAGAGGCAAACAUAAAUCCUAAUUUGAAGCAAAAUAAAAGGAAAGUGGAAGAAAAACACUCUUUGUGAGGAAAAUAAUCAAUCCCUUACAAAUUAGAGCCCUAUAAAUCACUUUUAGAGACAAUUCUUAAAGAAAAAAUCAUUAUUUAUUUAUGUAGAUGUUACAACGGUCUAGAUUAAUUUGCAAAGUUCACUGAACUUUUAUUAGUAUUAUGGAUGUAAUUUUUCUGGUGGUAAAAUGAGACUCCUUUUGUUUUGUGUUGUGUCAUCACAGCUUAAAUAUGUGGUCGUUAUAGCUAGGAUAUAUAUGACUCCAUGCAAUGCACAUAUAAGAUAGAACAUAUAAUGUGAUUUUUUGAGUAAAAAUAUUUUCCCAGAAUCACUAAAAUUUCACAAAAUAUAUUUGGUCCAUUCACAAGAUAUAAUGGGAUUGAGUAGCACAAUCCCCAAGGAUGAGGUUAUCUCUAAAGCACUCUCGCCUGUCUUUGAAGUCCAAUGGCCACCCACAAUCCUCAAACACCGUUGGAAUAUUCUCAAACAAUUGAAACACCUCUCUCGCAUUAUUGAACCUCUUUACUAGCACCUCUGAAUUUUCAUAGUUGGGGCCAAAAUAAAUUUUCUUUUGGUGGAGCCUUUCCUUUCUGUAAUUUGUGAUUUAUAAGCUCUACUAUCUUAGAAAUAGAUUCUGGUCACAAAUUACUUAGAUUUUACUCACAAGUUUUGGUAAAUACAUAAUCUCUUAAUUGAGCUGAAUAAGUGCCAUAUACCUUUACGAAGAAGAUGACGUUCAAUCUAGAGAGGGUGGAACAACUUUAAGGGGGAUUUCGAUACGGUGCUGUGGAGGCUAUUGCAAUGUUCUCGACAAUUAAAUAAGUUUGCUUGAUACUUGCUAGAAUUCGACGGACAUAAUAUGAAAAGAUCAUUUUCCUUUUCUUGAUCUUGCCUUAGCCUGCAUUACGCCUGCCGACUGUAUAAAUAAUUCAUGGCGUGGAAAUGCCAUAUAAAUUGCUAUGUCAUUUAGUAAGAUUUUUACAGUGAAAUCUUAAGCACCUGUCGAUGUCAUUAACUAGUUUUGGUAUUGCAAUCUAAUCUGUUAUUGUCGACUAUCAAUACUAGUAGUGAUUAAGGCACGUCAAAGAUGUCCUUACUCCAAAAUGGUUUUAAAUAUAUUGAGACCAACCAAGCUCCAACCAUCCUAAUUUGGAGCUCCUGAUCCCAGAUUUAUUCGACCUGAUGCUCAAGAAAAACAUGGAGCUAUUUGCAAUGACCGACUCCAACGGGGGCAAUGUAUUCCACUUAGCAGCUCACCUGAAUCACGCCUGGGUAUUCGAAUUCUUACGACCAGAAACUGAAUAUUUGACCCGAGAACCGGACAUGAAUGGAGAUCUCCCCAUUCAUAUUGCAAGCAAGAUGGGUUAUGUUGAACAUAUUGAGAAGCUAAGGGAAGUAUCACUUUUGCCAAAUGGGCAAGGGAAAAACAUUCUUCAUAUUGCCGCAAAAUAUGGUAGAGUCUCCGUAGUGAGAUAUAUACUCAGCCAUCCAAUUCUAGGGAAGAAUCCAAUUCUAGGGAAGAUGUUAAAUGCAGCAGAUGAUGAUGGAAAUACAGCUUUGCACUUGGCUGCGAUGCAUUCACAGCCCGCUGCUUUGAUUGAUCUUUUGCGGACUGACGGAAUUCUACCAAGCAUUUUCAACAAUGAAUGCUUGCUUGCUGUUGACAUUGCUCGACGACGACACCAGGCAGAGGGGUAUAACAUUCGGCAUGUAGGUAACAUGAACAGUCACUAUUUUAUUUAUUAACUUACUGGAGAUUACGUAGACUAAUGCAUUAGUUAAGGCUGAUCUUGUAUUCAAAUCAUUAUGUCUCCUAGCCAACUAGAUAGUAGAAGUAUUGAUCAAAUUUCUAGAAUAGCCGAGACUCCUCUCGGAUAAAUGUUCUACAAGUCCCUAAUUUAGUCUUGAUAGGAGGUAAUUAAAAUUUGUGAUCAUGAAUUUCUCUGCAGUUAGAAACAAGUAACGUGUCUUUCAUAACACGGAGAUAACAAUUUAUAUAUAUCGUUUAAUUGAGCCUCUGAAUACAGUCAUGAAUAAAAAGGCAGGGUUUGCCAAGGUUGCAUUCUGUUUUUCAUAAAAGGCCAGGGGUCAAUGUGACAAAUUUGACCGCUCCAUAUGUAGCACAAUCUCAUAACAUUAUCAUUUUGUCGACCUAUGAAAUGAUCGCCCACAUAAAUUCCAUUCAUGCCUCUUUUUUCAUCUAAAAUGAACUUGGUAGUUUUGUGCUAAUUCUUCAAAAAGAGCAGAAACUGCAUCUUUAGAAGCAAACGUUUCCAGAGUUCAUUCCCGUUAUCAAUAUGGAAUAAUUUUGUUCUUAUUUUCCUUUUUACAUGCUUCCGAUCUCAGCAAUUGGCAUACCUGGCGUUGGCUUGCUCGCUCGCGGGAAAAGGUCCACUUGGAAACCAAGAGUUACUCCUACUUAGAGCGAAAGCUCGAGAUGAAGAGUUAUCAGUAGUCCGCUCGCGCAAAAGCAUGCCGAGCAGGGACAUCGUCAAGGAUUACAUCAAUUCCCGCAUGGUGGUGGCAACGCUUGUGGCCACAGUGAGUUUUGCAGCUGGUUUUGCAGUUCCUGGAGGAUUUAACGGCUCGGACACAGCCUCCAAAGAUGAGCGGGGCAUGGCUACGAUGCUGGACAAUCGAAUGUUCCAGGCUUUCGCGAUUUGCAACACCAUCGCGAUGUUCUGCUCAAUGACUGUGGUCGUCAACCUCAUCUGGGCGCAGACAGUUGAUGUCGACGUUUUAGUCGCUGCAUUCGAGCGCACAACGCUACCACUACAAAUUGCACUCCCGGCGAUGUCCACCGCUUUCUUAACUGGUGUCACCUUGACCGCUGGCAAACUCCCAUGGCUUGCUAACACCAUAUUUUAUUUGGGACUCGUUUUCCUCCUCAUUAUCUCAUUUGCUAAAUUGUUAGGGGGGCCUAUCUUCUUAGAAAUCUUCGGUCAUCCUCUCCGUCGACUAACAUUCUGGCUUAUUCUCGCUUACAUUUAUUUGGGGAGAGUUGAGACGUACAUUUAUGAUGACGAUGACGCCAAAGAUAACAGAAGGGAGAAGAAGACCUUCGCUAGUCCGCCUGUGGAUGUUGCCGGUGAAUCGAGGACCGAUGACUCGGCGAAAGCAAAAUGUGAGGAUGCGUUACAUCCUCCAAGUCGCUGAUUUGAAUUGAUCAUUCCAUAUUAUCUGUAAUAUGUAGUAAUAAUAUAUGUUUUCCUUGGUGAGUGGGACUCACUAUACGGUUGCUUUCCUUUAUGUCAGAUCAAACGUGAUUGUUAAUGAAUGUAAGCUAAACCAUGUGUUUCUCUAAUAACUUAACUUAUUAGAAUUGUUGGAUAUAAUUCCAUCAAAUUUCAUAUGUUAUUAAAGCAGAGGUUCUAAGUUCAAACAUUUUCAGGUCCUAUUUGCUUCAUCUAUUAUAUGUUUUCAUGUUUCAUUCUUAGAUCAAGUCAAGCUUACGAGUGAAGAUGAGUAUAAAAGUAUUUGUAUUAAAGUAUUUGAAUUAAACAUCCCAUUUGUCUAAUAAUUUAAAUUUUUAGAACGAGUAAUUGUAGUUCCCCGAAAUUUCAAACCGAUACACACUUCAUGUAAAUUAAAUGGAUGAAUGGCUCAUUUCAUCCGUUUCAUCGCCCUGGAAUCAAAUUGUUAACUUUGAACAUGUGGAAGCUCGUGGGUUUAUGAAAUCACUCGUCUAGAGUAGCCAUGUCCGAUUUACUUUGAACUAGUCCAAUUUGCGGCAAUCUCGAGUCACGAAAUCCUAAGCACUCACUUACCUGUCUAGUAAGGGUGUGCAAAAUAUCCGAAAACCGCUCGGACUGCUCGGAACCAAACCGAAAUCGCCAAGUACCGGUGGUUCUUGAGGGAACCGGUCCAGUUCCUGGUUCCAAUUUAUGGGAACCGGUGGGUACCAGUCCAGUUCUUGGUUCCAUUGGCGGAUCCGCCCGCCCACCCACCCGGACCAGAUCGGAACCUUUUUAAUAUUUAAAAAAAAAAUUACUAAAAGAAACCCUAGAUCUCAUCUCACUCCCUUCAUCUUCGGCUCCUAAUCCUAUUGUCAUUUCGCUGCGUUUACUUCUCUCGCUGUUCGCAUCUCCACGUACUUAAAUUUGAUUUUUCUUUCUUUGGCUUGCUUUGAUGUCACGUAGUCCUUCUAUGUUGAAAAUCAAAAUUGUUUCGCGUCAAGAUCAGUUCCAUGGAUCCACUCGGGAAUCGGACCGCUCCGGUCAGGUUCCUGGAUGGAUCCAUGCAACAAACGAGUGGAUCCUGGUAUCAAUUUUUGGGAACCGGUUCUUAGCGAGUGGUUCCCAGUUCUAGAUCAGGAACCGCCCACCCAAACCAUGCACACCCCUACUGUCUGGUGUGCAAAGAAAAUAAUUCUCAAAUUCUCAUCGCCUACUCUCUGAGUCGAGAGUUGGGUGAAGAAAACCGGAACAAAAUAAUUCUCUUCACUACUCACAAAAAAAUAGAAUCAAACACCGAACUCAUUUCCAAUGACACCCCUUUCAUUUCCCCACUUCUCCCUCCUAGGCGCACAAUUUCUGUGCAUGCAAAUGAGUUUUGGUGUUUGAUUCGUGGCGGGGUAUAAUCUAGUGAGCAGCGGGCAGAAGUCAAGUCAAGGGACGAGAUAAAAAGGAGUUGCAAUACGCAACCCAAGGAGAAUUGUGGAAAAGUCUGGAUAUGUGAUUUUCCUCCUCCGAUCUCUGAUUUUUAUUUCAAAGCUAGUUGGUAUUGACACGUAGAAUAUAACUCUAAAGUGAUUCUGGACCUAUCUAUUCAACAGUGAAUGUAGAUAAUUACAAAAAAUAAAAAGGAUCCCCUUGUACGAAUGUCUAUUGAGUUAUAAACUAUUAAAAUUAGCCGAUUUAAUUUUAAACAUCUUGACGAUUUGUUAAUAUAGUCAUUUCAAUCAACUUUGACCGAAAAUCGUUGACGUAGACGCUAGCCAUCCUAUGGCACAUGACUAGUAUUGAGGUGGACAAUUUUUGUAAUUUAAAAAAAAAAAUUCUCAAUUUUUUUUUUUUUUUUCAUGUUUUCAUUUUCUUCAUUUUCUUUUCUUAUAUUUUCCUUUUUUCUUUUUCUUAUUCCCCUAUGCAGCCAUUGGCCGGUCCAUGGCUUCAAUGAUUGAUAGUAAGGGCCCAGAUGCCCUCGCCAACUGGCAAGGGCUGAUGGAUUUGCUAGGGCCACGUACUAAUGGAGGGAUAAAGGAAGGAAAAAAAAAGUUUUGAAAAAAUUGUAAAAAUUAUUCACAUUAGCAUCGGCACCUAGAUCUGGGCGAGGCCAAUCUCGUCAUGGCUUGGCCUAGAUCUGGGUGAAGCCGCCUCGCACACAGUCCUUAGGCCUCGCUCAUGGCCGACGAGACUUGUCAAAGAAGCAAAAGAAUAAAGAAGAGAAAAAAAUAAAAGGAAAAAUAAAAAUAUAUAUAUAUCAAAAAAAUUAUUAAAAAUUGCCACGUUAGCGUUGACCAAAUGGCCAGUGUCCACAUCAGCGCUAGCCAAUCAAAAUUGAUCGAAUAGAUUGAAUUGACAUAAUCACGAAAAGUUUAGAACUAAAUUGGCACAAUUAUAAUGGAUUUAUAACUUUUUUUUGGUAAUUCUACCAAUUUAUUUGUUAUCUCCAUCUUUAGAUUGCGACAUGUGUCCAUCCAAUUUUAGUCCUCACUGCACCUCAUCUAAAUACCAUCAAACCUUAGCAGCGAGGAUGGUACUUGGAGAUCUAUGCAAAUAUUUAUAUAUAAAAAUUACAUUGAGAUAGUAGAGUGUGCUCACCAUCAUCAUAUCAUCAUCCAUCAAGUCGAUUCCACAUAAUGAUCUAUUUGUCACUUUCAACAUCCUGGGACCGACCCAAAAAAACAUCCUAGGGAUUAAAUGUUUCAAUUAAUUACGGUAGGAUAGAAGUAUUUUUCAUCAAGAACGGACAUUCAAGAAGUCUUGCUAGAUUGAUAGAUUGAUGUUGCAAAUGGUUCUCUUCUCAAGUAGCAUGAAAAAUUAUGCUACUCAAAUGUAGAGCCUCCUUUUUUCUAUUUUUUCAGCAGAUCUUCCAAAUCAAAUUACAGGGUUACAACUUUGAAAACUCACAGUACAAGUACAAAAAAUACCAAAUCAAUCAUCUAUUGACUUCUCGAUGCUCAUUAAAUCUGAUUCACAAAAUAGGUUGGGACCCAUUUUGCUAGCCCUACUAAAAUCUAAACAUUUUAUUAAAUUAAGGAUUUAUACAGCAUCCUAGUUCACAAAGAUGUGUUGCUGUUGACAAAUCGACAUUGAUUGAUUUUCAUGAACUCGUCGUCAUAUUGUCGACAUUCCCAUUAUAUACGAGCAAAGAGCGAACUUUGAUUUUUGAGCAUCAAGAGAUAAGACAGACUUAAAUAGAAUGCCAAAUAGCCCAAGUGUCACGUCCAAACCCCAAACACUUUUUUUUUUAACCCCAAACACAUUCAACUAUUGUUUUUUUUUUUUUUUUCCUUAUAACUUUCUUCAAAUAAUAUAAGAAUGUACUUUAUGGUUAAUGAUCAUAUAUAUCGCGGUUUAUGAAAGACUGUGCCACAUCGAUAGUUUUAGAUGUUAGUCCAAAUUCGAAAUACCAGGCUGAUGUUCGAGAUUUUAUUGGCCAUUCGGCAUUUCAUUUAUUACUCAUGAAGUCUAUCAUUGCAUGAAAUUUACUGAAAAUUAGAGAAUCUCACAAUACCAACAAAACAUCAAGUUUAUUCAACUUUUUUACCCUUGAUACACUCCACAUGUAGCCCAAUUUACAAAAUUCCACAAAAACCACUGCUUAGCAAAGACGAACAACAGCACCCAUCGGCCCAACAUGCUUUGCUCCAAGCAUAGAGUGACUCGAACUCGUCUUGUCUCCUUUUCAGUUUACCACAACCAGACAUAUUUAAUACAGUACCGUGAACAAGACAAGAUAGCGAUGAGAUCGGCUCAAUAGGCAUCAGGGUUUGCCAAGAGAUAAGCCUCGAUGGCCUUGAACAUCGCGGACGCCUUCUCUUUCCCAGCCUUGAUCUUCUCCUCAGUUAUGUCCGCCUCGCCAAUGGUGAAGUACUUGCUCGUGCUCUUGCACACCGAGCCUCCCUCGGCCGAUGUGGUGAUCUUCACCCCGUAGCUGAUCUUCUCGAAGGUGGUGCCCAGUGCGUCGCCCUCGAUGAUCGAGUAGCUGUAGGUGAAGUUCUCCUUGUCCAGGGCCUCGACCUUGUGCUUCAUUGUCUUGUACUGACUGCCUAUCAAGGUAACAAAAAGUAAUAUUCACGUUUGGAACUCGCUGGUUUCAACAUCACGGGCAAUGAUCUUGAUGGUGUCAAUUGGGCCAUUUAGGAUGUUCCAACUGCAAUCUGAUACGAUUGACUUAGACAUGGCCUGAUUUCCCUCGAUUGGAGUCAAGUCACGUGAUCACUUGUGUAAAGUUAUUCCCAUUGACCGCGAGAUAUCCAAGAGCAAAGUCGCUGCAUAUAUCUUGCAGCAUUUCUCCGAUGAAGCUGUUGUUCGAAAAGGUAACGAUCCCCAGAGAAGGGCUGUACUUGCCGAAAUCACGUGUUAUGCCUCCCGAGAAAUUGUUCUUGAACAAUGAGAUGGACCAUAAGUUAGCAAGGCGAGAGAUGGUCUCACAAGAAAAUAUUGUGUACACAAGCGAUGCUACGUCAUGGCUUUUCCUUCCCAGCCUAGAUCUGCUCUUCUUCAACCUGAAGUGCCUUCUUGCUGUUGUCCUUGCUCGUCAUCCUGCAGACUGACCCUCCGUCGCUGGUGGCCUCAAACUUGACCUCGUAAUCGAUCGACUGGAGCUUGUCACCCAGCGUGUCGCCCUCGAUCAUCAUGUUCCUACACAUGAAGUUCUACUUGUCGAGCUCAUCGAUCUGGUGCUCACAUGAAGUUCUACUCGUUGAGCUCAUCGAUCUGGUGCUUCACAUACUUGAAAUGACUAGCUGCAAUUACAUUAUGAAACUCCCUGCUCGAUGAGUGUUGAGUGUCCAUGCCUUCGGUGAAAUUUAACUUGCUCAAUGCUCCCGGCUCCACCGUCGCCUUGCACCAGCUCCACGCUCUUUAUGAACUGAGGCAGGAGCUUCGGGAUCAGGGUAUUUGACUCGACAAUCAAGGCCUUAAGAAUGCGAGCCAGAGCAAUCGGGCAUGUGAGCUCUUGUGUGAAGCUGGUUGCACCCAUGGCUAUUGGCAAUGAGAAAGAAAUAACCCCAGAGAAGAGUGCUUCUGAGUCCUGUCAAUGCCUCCUAAUUACGGUUGGAAUUAUGUCAAUAGGUAGGGUUGGUUUGGCAAGAGUCACGCUCGAGGAAAAAAGGAGAGUCAAGGAUUUGCAGCCUAAAGGAAUGGAAAAGAGGAAUAAAGGUGGUCUCUUUUGUUCUUUUGGUCAUGAAAAUGAUUUCGGUCCCUUUCGGAUUCAUGUUGAAAUGUCAAAGUUUAUGUUCCAAAAGAUGAACAUUCUAGUGCUCACAUGGGCGGCCAUCCCUUUGAAAUGAUUGUUGUGGAGUUCGAUCUAACAAUUUGCCGAUUAAAUAUUAUAACGAAAAUGUCCUUGUUUGAAGAAAAGUGUAUUAAUCAAAUUCUGUCUCAUUUAAUAUGUAGCAAACGAGAAUACUUUAUUAGUUGGUGAUAUCACGUUAACUUGUCGCGCAAUAUAAACAUCACAUAAUAUAUUUCUUCAUUUGUAAUGCCCUAAUGUCACGGUGGAUCUAAUUCAAAUGUAUGAAGUAAGGCCUUUUGAAAUCAUUUUCGUAACUUAGGGUUGAUUCAAACUUCACUAGCACCGACAGUUUGACUCAGUCAAAAUUGGGUCGGCAAUCGGGGUGUCCCAAGAUCAGCUCGUCGUCUAAGUUUUGGGGGAGGUGGAGGCUGCGGCUUUUCCGUUAUAUUUUGCUUCUCUUUCUCUUUUUUAUCAUUAUCAGUGUUGAAGCAUUUGAUCUCUAAUCCAAUGUCCCCAUCAAAGAUGUCCCCAUCAAAGAGGUAAGAUAGGAUUAGCUUAAAUAGAAUUUCAAAUAGCCCAAGCGUUACAAUAAGAUAAGUCCAAAACCUGAACACUUUAACUUUAUUUUUCGAUAGCGUUCUUGACAUAUAAUAAGAAUGUGCUUUUCUUUAAUGAUCAUAUGCAUAACAAUCUCUGAAAGAUUCUACCACAUCCAUAGUUUUAAGUGUUAAUCCAAAUUCAAAACAUAAGUUUGGAUUUAUUCAUUUGUUACUCAUGAAUUCUAUUCUUUUAUGAAAUUUAUUGAAAAUUAGAGAAUCUCAUGAUACCAACAAAAUAUCAAGCUUAUUCAACUUUUAUUCCCUUGAUACGCUAUUUAUGUAGCACAAUUUACAAAAUUCCACAAAAACCACUUCACCAGAUUCCUGCCACACCUUUCAUUCUCUUAUUCUCAGCAAAUACAAGAACAGCUACGCUCACCAGCCCCCACAAACUUUACUCCAAACACAAGAGUGACCCAAACUCUUCUUCUCUCCUUGUGAAUUUAGCACAACCAGACAUAUUUCACACAGUACAGUGAACAAUCCAAGAUAGCGAUGAGAUCUACUCAACAGGCAUCAGGGUUUGCCAAGAGAUGAGCCUCGAUGGCCUUGAACAUCUCGGACGCCUUCUCUUUCCCGGCCUUGAUCUUCUCCUCAGUGAUCUCCACCUCGCCGAUGGUGAAGUACUUGCUCGUGUUCUUGCACACCGAGCCUCCCUCGGGCGAUGCGGUGAUCUUCACCUCGUUGCUGAUCUUCUCGAAGCUGGUGCCCAGCAUGUCGCCCUCGAUGAUCGAGUAGCAGUAGGUGAAGUUCUCCUUAUCCAGGGCCUCGACUUUUUGCUUCAUUGUCUUGUACUGACUGCCUAUCAAAGUAAGAAAAAAUAAUAUUCACGUUUAGAACUCGCCAGUUUCAACAUCACGAGCAACGAUCUCGAUGGUGUCGAUCGGGCCUUUUAGGUUGUUCCAACUGCAAUCUGAUACGAUUGACUUAGUAGACAUGGCCUGAUUUCCCUCGAUUGGAGUCAAGUCACGUGAUCACUUGUGUAAAUCAAUGGUUAGAAACAUCUUUAAUUGAUCAAGUUACAUAUCUAUCCUUUUUAAUGUUCAUUAUGAUGUUCCAUAAGGUUGAAACAGCCUUGAUCCAGAGCGAUCCUAACACGGACGGACUAACCUUCGCCGAAAGUGAUCAACUUGACGGUCCCGGGACCUCCGUCGCCCUCGAGGACUUCGACGCUCUUGAUAGCUUGCGGGAGCACCUUCAGGAUGAGGUUAUCGGCGUCGAGGACAGCGGCCUUGAACAUCUUGGCCGGAGGGAUUGGGGUCGUGAUCUCGCAGUCGUAACUGACGACACCCAUGAUUUGGAUCCGAAUGGAGUUGCCGAAAUAGAGAAGAGAGUGAUCAGGAAAGGCUGACUAGCAGUGAUGAAGUUGGUCUCUAGGACUUGGGAGUGAGGAGAAGAGGAUGAACCGAAGCUGACAUAUAUAGAGAGAUCGAGUGUGAAGGGUUCUGGUCAUUGGAUAUUUCCUUCAAGUGUGUUUGUUUGGUACAAAAUAAAAAAUUCAAUAACUAUUUGUAUCAUAUGGUAUAUUUAUUUGAUGAUAAAUUUUUGCAUUAUUGACAGUAAUUUAUAUUUAAAUAUUUUCGUGGAAGAUGAAAAUAUUUUUAUUUAUUCUUUUUGUAAGUUAUACGGAAAAAAUAUUUUUUUACAAAACAAAUGAAGCUUAAUAAAAAAAAUCUUAAUCAGUCUGUGGGUUGUUCACUCAUGACAUGGACCUUGAUCAUAAAAUAAAAUGUCUAUAUGAUAAUGGAAUAUUAGUCAGAGAAGGCACCAUCCUAGAAUGAUACCAAACGUUCUUCCAUUUCCCUUUCAUGUAUAGACUUGACUUUUGAUCCAGGAGCAUUUGCUCAGCAAAUUCUCUUGGCUGAGCUUCACUGAUUUCUUACAUAGUGUUACUAUCAUAGAAAAUAUCAAGCCCUUAGCUGCAUAUGGUCACGAUCCACCCAGAUCUCAUCCUACUUUGCUUCAAUCCGUUCGCAAAAGUAGCAAUCUUUAAGGUUGGUAGAGGCCUCGGGAAGAAUUAUCAUCGAUUUCAUACGUACAAAUAAUAUUCGCUUAAGCCUGUGCAGUAGAAAAACUCGAAAAAUUGAGGCACAAUUUUUCCUGCUGGGUGAUCUCGGUGCUUCAUGUUUCUGUUGAGCUUCCAUCUAAGAAAAAGUACAGAGUGAUCUCAAUGUUGCACUAAUCCAAUUUAGCAGAAAAAGAUGGGAAAGGUAGUUUGGUAAUUACAAGGCUUUGUUACUUUUAGUCAACAAAGGCUGCUCUGAAAAUCAAGAUGGACGUCUAUAGAUUUUGAAUUUUUCUACUUGCUUUCAUGUGUCUAGUCCUUUUAAAUAAUAUUAUUGCGAACCAUUUUCUGCUAAUUGUCUGGUGGAAGUGUGGUGGAUCAAGCGAGAUUGGCUCACGCGUCACUUGCUCAUUAAACAUUUUUUAAUUUUCCUUUUCAUCUAACGGUAUAGCAACGUAGAUUUUUAGAAACGCUUUCUUCGUAUCUAAUUUUCUUCUUUUGUCUAGUUCAUCUUGUGGUAGUCACGGACCAUGUGAACGUAUAGUAGAAUGUCCAUGGGCGUUAGAUCAGAUUAAUUAAUGAAUUUCGUCGCAUUGAGACAAAAUUGAUUAAACUUGUCAAUCAUCUCACUGCGACGGAAGAGUCGGAAACUAUUAAUGGAUAACAACAGCAUAUGUUUUCAGAGGAAAGUAUUGGAGAGGGGCAUGGAUGCAUUGCUGAAGUUAUUUAAUGAGCAUGUCAUAUGUACUAAAUUAAUCUAAAUAGCUAAAUUUGAUGGAAUUCAUAUGAAACCUAAAUGAAACUCAUUGAAAUUAAAAGUCCAAAUUUUGCUUUAUAUAAAUACGACGCUAGUUCAUUCUCGAGUCUUUAUCAAAAUUGCGUUGUAUGUCAUUGAAUGUGAACCUCCCUUCCCUAUGAUCAACUCAGAUUUCUCGUACUUCAUCGACUUCCUUGUUUCGCUGUUGAAGCACCAGAAUCACAGCAAUUGAAGUCACCAGAAGGAGCUCACAUCAAUAAGGACCUUUUCCCUAUGGUCGGUCGAUUUACUGUUCAUCCCACAAGGAGAUAACCCCGUCACGUUUUCACACAAGCCCGGAUUUGCGAUAAAAGCGCUUUUCGGUGCUUGUUGGAAGAGGCGACCACUAGGAACUGCACCUGUCAGCUCAUUGUACGAUUAGUCUACGGAGCUUAAACAAGUUAUGUGUCCAUUUCUUUCAAUGUUCAGUAUAAUGUUCCAUAAGGUUAAAACCACCUUGAUCGAGAGCGAUCCUAAGUUCCUAAUAUGGAUGGACUAACCUUUGCCGAAAGUGAUCAACUUGAUGGUCCCGGGACCUCCAUCGCCCUCAAGGACUUCAACGCUCUUGAUGGCUUGUGGGAGCACCUUGGGGGUGAGGUUAUCGGCGUUGAGGACAGCGGCCUUGAACAUCUUGGCCGGAGGGAUCUGGACGUGAUGCAGAGUCGUAAGUGAUGACACCCAUGAUUGGAUCCGAACUGAGCUGCUGAAACUGAGAAGGGGGUGAUGAUCAGGAAAGACUGAGUAGCAGUGAUGAAGUUGGUCUCUAGGACUUGGGAAUGAAGAGAACAGGCUGAACCGAAACUGAUAUAUAAAGAGAGAGAGACUAAGUGUGAACGGCUUUGAUCAGUGAAUAUUUUGCGAAACAAACAAAGCUUAAGAAAUAAAAAAUUAUUCCGUGGAUUAUUCAGAUUAUGACAUGCCCCUUUUUCCUAAUAUAAAAAUGUCUAUAUGAUAAUAGAACAAACCGUUGGAUGAGAAUAUUGGGGAGAACUGGGCAACAAUUUACUAAUAACGAAACAUAAUUUAGCAUCAAUUUCUCCUCUAAAACUAAACCAAUCGAAAUCAACUCAACCCCAACGACCACCAGCAAUUUGUAAUACCAAAAUGACAAUAAGACAGAGCCAACAACGACACUAAGGUUUUAACAUGGAAACCAAUACGGAAAAAAUCACAUACCCUCCUCACUAACAGUAAUAGGAUACACAAAACAUUAUUUUCUAAUCACACAUUAGAGACUCGACAUCAAUAAUAUAAUCAUAUUUUCUCAUUCCAAAGAUAGAUUAACAUAAACGGAGCAAGAAAACCCUAAUUGGUUGGAGAAUCUGGAGGGGGUUAUUAUCGAAUGAAAUCAAUCAAUUCGUAGUCCUUGGUUUUACGAAACAACAUUCAAAUUUGAGCAAAUUCCGUCGGCAUCUUGCGUUCGAAUCGGGACCGAAAAGAUUGUGCCCUUUCUUUAGGAACGCAGAGAAAGAAGAGCCCAGGACACAGACAACAAUUACCCACUCACUAAGUCCCGAAAAGCAUAGACGAGCGAAAUGCUUCACGAAUUAACCUAAGAGCAACAGAAACACGCCGAGAUAGAAAAGAAGCCGACGCCCCAAAUUGCAAACUUCUUCGACCCCCCCCCCCCCCCCCCCCAAAAAAAAAAUUUCCAAAAUGAAACCUGAAAAGUGGUGAUUAAGCCCGGAGGCGGGAGGGGGGGGGAAGGGAGCCCCUUGAUGUCCAAAUGGGCGUCCCCGGUGGCGAGGAGCCCCGAGGGGGGGGGGGGGGUGGAAACCUAGGGUUAGGACGGGUUUGGCCUCAUGCCAAUUGAUCUGGACCGUGCCUCCCUUCAUAUCUUCGCCGGCCGCUCCGCCGCUUCCUUCCUUCCUUCCUUCCCUCUCUCUUUGAAAUCGAAGCCUUCUUCCUUCAUUUCUCAUGGAACGAAAUCGAUCAAUUCGUGGAAUUCGUGAUAUUCGUGCGCUCUCCCCAUUCUGCGGAGAGAUUCCCGACAAAUCGACCAGUGCUGAGGUUCAUAAAGACCAGAUCCGGGUAAACUCCGAACGCACUCGUGAGAUCUGCAGUGAACAGAUCACCUUCUAGACGGACUCUCGUUAGCCCCGGACAAUCCCUCAAGCAAUCGGGCAGCAGCCCGGUGAAGUUGUUCCCAUAAACCGCGAGAUACCGAAGAGCGAAGCCGCCGCACAAAUCCGGCGGCAGUUCUCCGGUGAAGCUGUUGUUGGAAAAGCUAACAUAGCCCAGACGAUAUGGAUUCGCAGAAAUCACACGGUAUGCCACCCGAGAAAUCGUUCGUGAACAAAAGAGAUGAACUGUAGGUUUGUCGAUCGUCGUUUCAGUACGGCGAGUGUAGAGCCAAAAAAAAGGGGAAGAAAGAUGACACAAUUGGCUAUGACAUUGAGUGACAGUUUAUUGCUGGCCUCCCCCACGUAAGUAUGUCACGAGGCCCACCCUUCAUGGCUCAAGUUCAUGAAAACAAACUAAUAAAAAAAAGACCCAAAACGUCUGCACUACCAUCCUCGCGGAAAUCCAACCAAAAAAAGGAAAAGAUUAAAAAGGCAACCAUCCCAUACAAAAGCAUUCGCCACACGCUACUAAAAAUUAACCACACAGAGACUCACUAGUCUCAGGGUUCGCCUGGAGGCAAGCCUCGAUGGCCCCGAACACAGUGAAUGCCUUCUCUCUCACGGCCUUUAUCUUCUCCUCGGUGAUGUUUAUGUUGCCCCUGGCGAAGUAUUUGCUGGCGUUUUUGCACACGGAGCCUCCCUCCGGUGAUGCGGUGAUCUUCACCUCGUAGCUGGUGUUCUCCAAGGUGUUGGCCAGCAUGUCGCUCUCGAUGAUCGAGUUGAAGUAGGAGAAAUUCCCAUUGUCCAGGACCUCAACCUUGUGCUUCACUGUCUUGUUGCAAUGACCUAUAAAAGACGCAAAACGUGGCAAAUCACAUCUGAGAAGCCACCGGUUUCAAAAAUCGCGAGCACUGCUUUGCAACAUGAUUGACUCACGACAUCACGGUGUCAAUGGUCAGGAACAUUUGAAUUAACCAAGUAAACUUACUAACCUUCGCUGGAAGUGGUCUCCUCGAUGAGCUCGGCACUCUCGAGGACUGGCAAGAGGACCCCGGAGAUGAGGUUUUCAGCCCUGACCAAGACCUCGAACACCUUGGCCGGGGGGAUGGAGGGCUUGAUCUCGGUCUUGUAGCUGAAGUGUCCCAUGAUUCUCUGCUCGAAAAGAAUUUGCUGAAAGCUGAGAGGGAAGUCUUGAUCUAGGAUUUCGAAGCUAAGACCCCAUGUGUAUAUAUAUAUGCGCGGGAGAGAAAACUUUGCGGACCUGCUUUGGGUCCAUUUCAGAGGAAAACCAAGCAAUCGCGUGCUUUGGGUUGAAAUUCUUCUACCUACAUGAUCGAGUCACUGUCGAGUCUCGACUUUUGGAAUGUGUAAGAAAAAGCAAAACAAUGGUUGAAAUUCUUCUACGCACACGAUCGACUCACUGCGAAGUACUCGACUUUUGGAAUGUAUGGGAAAAAGCAAAACGAUACAGAGGCUAGAGUUUUUUUUUUUUUUUUUUUUGGUCUGUUCCAUAGGAAAACCAAGCAUUCGCGUACUUUUGGUUGAAAUUCUUCUACGCACAAGAUUGGAACGUGUGGGAAAAAGCAAAACAAUGGUUGAAGUUCUUCUACGCACAAGUAACUGUCAAGUACUUAACUUUUGGAAUGUGCGGGAAAAAGCAAAAAGAUAGAGGCUAGAGUUUUUUUUUUUUUUGGGUCCGCUUCAGAGGAAAACCAAGCAUUCACGUACUUUUGGUUGAAAUUCUUCUACGCACACGAUUGCAAUGUGUGGGAAAAAGCAAAACAAUGAUUGAAAUUCUUCUAAGCACAAGUAAUUGUCAAGUACUCAACGUUUGGAAUGUGUGGGAAAUACCAAAAUGAUACAGAGGCUAGAGUUUUUUUUUUUUUUUGGUCGGUCAUAUUUUAAUUCUUAAAUUUUUACUUUGCUUCAUUGUAGAGCGUGAAAGUCGAAACCCACACUUGAAACUAAAUCGUCAUCUGAAAAUGUGGGAAUUUGAACCCCCACAUUCCCUUUCUAUAUUGAAAAUGUGGUCACAAAGACAAAUCCUAGUGUUUACAGGCUAGAGUUGGAAAUAUGUUAUUAAACACAUUCCUUUUAUAGUCUCCCUUCAAAAAUCCCGUAAAAUAAAUAUGCAUGGUCUAAAAUACUCUUAUCUUGUAAUUUGAAAGUCAAAACUCAACAAAAAUCAAAUCAAAUCGAGUACUCAACUUUUGGAAGAAACAAAGUAGGUUACGUCUAGUACUGAAAGGGAAGUCUCGAUCUAGGAUUUAAAAGAUAAGACGCAUAUGUAUAUAUAUGUUUUCGGGUCCUUCUAAGGGGAAUACCAAUUAUCGUUGUUGAGUAGCUCUGCGGGGUCCUUUUGAGGCCAAGAUUGGGUCGGCUUUUCUCUUAAAAAGGCAGAGAACAUGCCAUCCCAAGUCAUAGCGCACUCAUUACGACUGGAUUUCCAACCCAUCACUCCACUUCUGGAUGGAGGGAAUCAAGACUUUUGGAAGAAUGUGUGCACUCGACUUUUGGAUGGAAGAAAUGAAGAAUUUUGGAAGAAUGUGUGAUGGGGAGCGUGUGCAAUUGCCCACACGUGAUGGGAACGUGAGGCAUGGAACUUGUUGCCAAACAAGUCAAUCAAAGAUGCACCAAUUUGAGAACAAGUAAUAAAAGAUAAAAGAAAAUCAAAAUCACAUGAGACGCAAAACUUACGUGAAAAACUCAAAACGAGAAAAAUCAUAGGAAGAGAGAAGAGUCUCAUUAUUUUCAAUAAAGAGCACGAGAAUAUAAUCCAAAAAACUCUAAAACCACUUGAUGAGCCACGAGAUUUGAACAUCUAGCAAGAAGAUAGGAAAAAACAAAACAGGAAACUAUACAGACGCUAGAGUUGGAGAUGUGUUAUAAACACGUUCCUUUUAUAGUCUCCCUUUAAAAAUCCCUUGAAAUAAAAAUGUAUGGUCUAAAAUAUUCUUAUAUCUUAAUUUGAAAGUCAAAACUCAACAGAAAUCAAGUCGAAUCGAGGACUCAACUUUUGGAAGAAACAAAGUAGGUUACGUCUAGUUCAACUUUCUCAAGUAGCUUGGGGGAAAUGUAAAGUAAUGUAAGCCUAAAGGGUUUUGGCAAAAUGUAAAGAUUGUUUGAUAAAAUAUGUUUUGAGAAGUAGCUUUGACAUAAAUGUUGGUUGAUAUAAAAUAUAUUUAAAAAAACUCAUUUGGAUGAUUAAUUUAAACUGUUUUAAUUAAUUAGGGGUUGGAUUUUUUUUAUUUUUUUUAUUUUUUGGUCUGAGGGGUUGGAUACUUUGGGUACUAUUGUGUGGUGUUCUCGAGUGCCCGAGAGUACCUGUAAGUUUUUGUCCAUAGUUAAAGUCUAGAGAGAGAAAUAGAGAGUGCAUCUGCCUUUUAAGGCUUCUGAUGAUUGGAGAUUUUCUCUAAUCAAAUAAUUCAAUUUAAUAAUUUAAAUAGAGAGAGAGAGAGAGUUUGUGCAUAUCUUUAAUAGGCGUCAUAAUUAGAGAGAGAGCAGAGCAGCGCAGAGCAGAGCAGAGCAGAGAUUUUCUCUAAUUAAAUAAUUCAAUUUAAUAAUUUAAACAGAGAGAGAGUAUGUGCAUAUCUCUAAGAGGCAUGCCAUAAUGAGAGAGAGAGAGAGAGAGAGCAAUAUGGACUAAGCAUCCAAUCUCUUCUACUUCUACUAAUGAAGAAAUAAUUUGACCUCGUCACUUCACAACACAUUCCGGGCUGAAUAAUGGAGCUUUGGGGACAUGGUGGUGAAUAACAAGUGAUAUAGAAGAGAUGAUACGCUAUUAAAUUAUUGUCUCAAGUUUAAGUCCGUGUACAAGAUUCGACUUGAUUUGAAUAUGUAGAAAACCGAAUCUAUUAGGAAAAAAAAAUACCAAUAUCACAUUUGGUAUUUGAAUUAUAAUUUAUCUUGAAAAGAAUAUUCACGUUAUAUAUACUGAGACGAGUUUUUUGUGCAUUCCCCCAAAAGUCAAACCCCCACAGUAACCCCCUUUUUCUCUAACUCCCGCACCCUAUUUCCAUAUAUAUGGAUCUUCACUUCCAAAUCCGAUCGAGAUGCUGAUAAAUACUAAAUAGUGUUCGAAUGGGGGGGGGGGUGGGGGGUGGGGGGGUGGAGACAUUGCUUGCUGAUUCAUGUUGUGAAAUGCGUGCUCUCUUCUUCUUUUCGCUAAGAAGCUGACGAGUAACAACAGAGAAAGGAAUAUGUCCCCGUAUCGAUAAACUCUCGGUAGAUAGGAAGAUACAAUUAAGACGCAAUCAAAACGACAAGGAUGAAAGCGAGGUGAGAGAUAAAAUUAAGGCGAAAAGAUAAAACAGACAAAGGCGCGAAAUACUGCAGCAUCUUAGCGUAAAGAAGAAAGAAGAGAGAAGUUGGCACCCAAUUGAGGUAUGUUGUCCGUGAGGAGAUGAGUGUUUCAAGACUUGAGGUAAUUUUCCAUGAGAUUGAACACUGUGAGCUUGGGUGCAAUUUAGGGGUGAGAAACAUUCAAACAUUUAGUCGAUUGUAACUCUUUGAUUCUCCAAUUGUUAGUGGAUUAUUUUCUCUUCCCCAACUGACACUUAGACCGAAUUACGUAAAUCUUAUUAGUUUCCGCGUUAUAUCACAGCAACAACAACUGGUUUGAAAAGUGGCGUCAAAGUGUUUAUGCUAGAAAUCUUGGGGUGGAACAAAUUGUGCUAAAGUGAUUUGAAAAAAUUAUGCCAUGAUUUUUACAAGAUGUUUGACAAGUAUUUUUAAUUACAACAUUCAGAAUUUCUACCACCUCAACUGUUGUCUCACCCACUUUGAAGGAGUCGCAUGUAUUACUGAACACAAAUUAUAACACUUCAUGCCAAAAUAUAGUUACAGUUCAGUCACGAUUAUAAUUUUUCUUAAAGAGAUGGGAGAAUGUAAACAUAAACCAUGAUGGGAGACAGAAAGAUUGAGCCAACAUGCAACAUCAACUCAAUUGAAAGCAUCAGGGUUUUGCAAGAGAUGGGCGUCAAUGGCCAUGAACAUUCCCAUGGCCUUCUCUUUGCCGGCCUUGAUCUGCUUCUCCGUGAUCUCGGCCCCGUCCUUGGCAUAGUACUUGCUCGUGCUCUUGCACAUGCAUCCUUGGCUAGCUGCAAGGCACGGAAAACCACAAUCAACUCCUAAGCGUUGGUCUCAUUUAAACUGUCGGUGAAUGUCUUGAGACCCAUGUUGAUGCGGUGCGAUUAAAAUGUGCGAAGUGGGUGAAAUUGAAAGAUGCGCGAGGACUAGCCUUCAUAGAAAGCGACAUACUUGAUGAUUGAAAUGCCCUCUAAAUGAUUCUCAAUCGCCUGUUUAGUAAUCUAAAUCGCCAUCACAAUAGAUAAAUCAUAUAAUAGAGAAAGAGUACUAAAGACAUGGAUCUCAAGCCCAAAUGAUACUUAUUAGCAAGCGAGUGAUCGUUUGAAUUUUGAUGCUCUUGAGGGUGGGAAGUCACUAAAUUAUUAACUUUUUUCCAACACCGGUUGGGUUCCAUGGGAUUGUUUCCACUAUAGAGAUAAAAAGUUAGCAUGCAAGUUGUCGCGACCUAUCCCUCGGGGGGAGGGAAUAGGUUUAGAGAUAUUGCCUAAAAGAUGGACUUAAGGCUCAAGAUUGGGUGAGAGCUCUCCCAAACCUAUACUUCGCGUGACAUUAGAGUGUUUUUAAGAAUUUUUCAAUGAGUCACCACCACUAGCCUAUUGGGGUUAGCUAAAAACCAAGUAAGGCAUGUGAGUAGAUCUCGCUUCCUACACAACUAGAGAAUCUAGGGUCGAUAACUUGAUUACAUUAAUUAAUCAAUUAAUGCUCUUUCGAUACCUAAUCUUAUUUAUUUUAAAAGAAAAUAUUUUUGUCAAGUAGUGGAUUAAUUUUAUACUUAUCCACUAACAUGUGAAGUGAUCAUGCAAAUACACAAUCAUUAAAGUAACGGUCAAUAACCAAGAAAGUAUUAAAUAAAUUACAAGGAAAAGCAAUAAUCUAACAUAAAUAAUAAUAAUAAUAAUAAUAAUAAUAAUAAUAAUAAUAAUAAUAAUAAUAAUAAUAAUAAGAAAAAUUGACAUUCCUAACUAGGUUAAAGGGAAAUCACAAUCAAUAUAUUGAAAGUGCACCAUCAUUUGAUAAUUUGUCUCAAGAAGGGAAAUAUUAGAACCCUAUUGCAAGGCCUUAAGAGUUUGUUCAAUUUUGAGCCCUAUUUUGGUCGAUGAUUUUCCCACACUUUAAGAGAAAACUGUUCAAAAACAAAUAAAAAAAUUCGAAAUUUUUUUAAAUAUAUAUUUUUUUGCAAUUUUUUUAUUCCGAAAUAGCAACUCGGGCCGGGCCCUCGGCCCGAUUCAAAAGUGGGUCGGGUAAAGAUUCAUGGGUUUGGGCAAUGAACACUAAAAGCCAAAUUGAAGAAGUGGGUUCAAUGACUUAAAUGCAUUCGAAAAAGGGCCAAGAUCAAGCCCAAAUUUAUCAAAGGAAAACACUUAAUCCCCUUUACACUAAGAUCACUUUAAAACAACUUCCAGCACAUCCUAAAUAAGCCCAGCUCCGAAAUUAGCCCACUUACUUGACCUAUCCACAAACUCCUUCUUAGGCACCAAAAUAACCCCUGAACAGCAGCUUCUCUUUCUGCGACUCCUCCUUCCCGAAGUCAUUUUUACCUUUUCAUAGUUUACUUUUUUUUUUUUUGCUUGUUUUCUUUUUUAUUCUUUAUCCUUUUUUUUUUUUUUUACUUCAUCCCUUCCCCUUCCCUGCACCUAUCUUCUUCCUCGACGACUCCCUCCGAAAUGGGUUCCCUUGCCGAACCAUAACCAAAAUAAAACCACGUCCGACGAGCCCUCACCAAUGUUUGGGAUCGCCGCCAAACCACCAUCGGGCGUCGGUCGUUCAGUCCGACCGAUGCCGGCCACGGCCGUUGGCCGAGACACGGCUCGGCCCCCACCGAGGUUAGCCGAGGGACGAAACUCGGCCUGAACGACCGGGUACCAUUCAACAUAGCCCUGAUACCGACAUCCUCCAAUACCUAACGGUGCCAUCACCGGUCACCGUCCCUUUCCCGGCACCAUCCACGACCAACCCAUAGAAAGAACAAAGAAAAUAUAUGCAGACCUAGCCUAGACAUAAUGUCGAGCACCUGUGUGCGUCGACUGAAAAGCUAACGAAAACUCAACUGGGAGAUGAAUCAACAGUCAAGGCAGAAGCAACAACCAAGCAAAGUCUAAGACAACAAAAUCGCAGCUCACCGGGAUCGGAGACUCGUGCGGGCCAGAGAACCGCGAGCUCCGGUCUGGUGAACUAGAAAAAUCUGAAUAAAAGGAGGUGCUCGGGUGACGGGGCCCUACUCGGCUCGAUAACGGCGGCCUGCAAGCAGGUUCGAAAUGGCACGAACCGUGGCCGACCACCCUAGUGUCAUCAAGACGAGAUCAUCGGGUUAAAGGGGACUGAACUCGAAAGGAGACUUACCGGAAGAAUGGAUGCCGGGAGGCGAGGUCACGGGCGCGGCCGAGCUUCUUUCCCGCUCUCUCCUAUCAAUUUCUCGCUUUGCUCUCACUCACGAUGCUCUGUCCCUCCGACUUUCUCCUGGUUCGGUCUCUCUCCAGCUCUCUCCCCUUCAAGCUCUCUCCCUCUGUCUUGCGGUGCUUCUGUUCUCUCCUCCCCCCCCCCCCCCCCCCCCCCCCAAAACCCAUUUUUUGCCCCUGCCUCCGGCUGUUCCCCCUGCUCCGCUCUGCUGUUCUGCUUUUCUUCUUUUUUACAGGCGCGCGAGGAAGGACUGCAGGAGGAGGACGACCAGCUGGCGGGCCGCGAGGAAGGCGGAGCUGGGCCUCCGUGGGGGAAAGAAAAGGAAGAGAUGGACCGCGCCCAGGCCCGCGCGGGGGAAGAAGAAAGAGAGGCGGGCCGGGCUAAGGUCGGAUCCGGCCCGACCCGGCCUCUCUUGUUCGUUUUUUAAUUAAUAAUUUGUUAAAUAAUAAUAAUUUUAAUUUUUUUAAAUUUUUUUAAAUUAAUUUUUUUUUACCAAUUCCUAACUUUUAAUGCUUUUAAGUCUUAAGUAAAAUUGGCAAAAUUUAGGUGUCAACACAAAUAAUAUAAAAGCACAGUAUAAAUUUGAUUCUCCUAAUCAAUGAGUAUAAAUGAGAAUAUGGGGGUGAAAAAAAUGUUACAAGAACUAAAACGUGGACUUUUCGAGAAGCUCCAAUAACAGAAAUGUCGCAUAUUCGGCAAGAUGCAAGUACGUCCAUCCAUCGAGAUGUAGUUUUUGGAGAAAUUCACAAACAGAUAUUGAAUGAAUAAAAACGUUUAGAAAAAUGUCAUAAAUAGCUUUUUUAGCUCAGUUAAAUAGAGCUUACUUUAGUAAGCGAUAGGUCUUGACUUUGAAUCUCAACGAGAUCCUUUGUACUAUGACUCGUAAUUUUUUUUUUUUUUCACAUCCAAUAUACUUCGUAACAAUUUUUUUGAUAAACAAAACUUCGACCGAGCCAAAAAAAUUAGUCACUUAAUAUAUGAUAGAGCCAACAUAUACAUACUAUAUGUGUGUGUGUGUGUGUGUGUUUUCUUAGUACAAAUGGUAAUACGAGCACCCAAUUAGUAGGGGGGAGGUUGAGUUCGACUCUCAACGAGACAAUUUGUCAUUCAAAAUUUUUCAUAACGAUUUUUUUUAUAAACAAAAAAUUCAAUUGAGCCAAAAAAUUUGUCACUUAAUAUAUCAUAAAGCCAACAUAUACAUGUAAUUCAUUUUUCUUGGUACAAAUGGGGAUACGAGCACCCAUUUAUUAAGCAGGAGGUUUUGAGUUUGACUCUCAAAUAAGUUUUCUUUUUUGUAAAUUCAAAAUUCUUCAUUACAAUUUUUUUAUUAAAAAAAAGAUCGACCGAACCAAAAAAAUUGUUAGUUAAUACAUCAUAGAGCCAACAUAUACAUACAAUAUAUUUUGUUUCAUUUUCUUGGUACAAAUGGGAUACAAGCACCCGUUUAGGGCGCGUUUGGUAACGCUUUUAUUCCCGGGAACAAUUUUUUAUCAUAACUGAUUCUUUUUUAUUCUGUUUCCGAAAGCAAUUUCUAAGCAUUUUAAGCCGUUUGAUAAUUGUUCAAAAUUUCAAUUCUCAAAAUAGAAUUGCGUUUGGUACAAUGUUUAAAAUUUUUAUUCCAAAUCAUUUUCUUUUAAUUUUUAAAUAAUUUUAUUACUUUUUCCCUUUUUUUCUUUUCUCUCUCAUAUUCUUCUUCUUCAAGUGGCCGGUCGCCGAGUCGAGGGCCGGCAAUCUCACUGGAGCGUUGCCAACCCUCGGUGAGGCCUGUCCUUGUCAGCCGAGCCUCGCCAGCAACUAGGCAAGGCUUGCCCAGCCUCGCCAGUGGCUAGGCAGGCCUUGACGGGGCUGGGCAAGCCCCACCGGUGGCUAGACGGGCCUCACCUGUGGCUGAGCAGGCCUCGCUAGGGUUGGACGAGGCUCCUCUCACUAGUGGUUGGGCUUGCCUCCGGCGAGCUCGCUAGACCUCACCCUGGCUUGGCGAGCCUCCAACAAGCUCGCCAAAUCGGUUGUCGGCGACCAGUGAUGGUGGGUGGCGGACGGCAACCGCAACGAUGGAUGAAGAAGAAGAAAAGGGAAGAAGAAGAAGAGAAAAUAUGGGCUUGAUUCUUGGAUUUGUUCUCUGAAACAAAAAACAACUUUUUAUUUAUUUUUUAUUCCGUUCCAAAACCACUUCCGGGAACAAAAAAAUAAAAAUUUGUUCCCAGGAACAAAAAUUUUACCAAACACGGUUCCGUUCCAAAACUACUCUCAAGAACAAAAGAAUAAAAUUUGGCACUGUUUGGCCGAUUACCAGACAGGCCCUUAGCAAGCCAAAGUUUUGAGUCCGACUCUUAACGAGAGCAUUUGUCUUGUGACUUAUAAUCUUUCUUUCUUCUACAUUCAAAUUUUUUCGCAACAACUUUCUUUGUAAACAUUCAAACUUCUGUCUUCUUGAUGCUGUUAAAAUCAGGGAUACGGAACUCUAGUGCGAAUGGAACUCACUGCGGUGAUGCUAACGAAUCCCACUGGAAUAUGCGGAGGACGGAAAAUCUUAGAGCUGGGGAAAAUGAAUGGGUUUGGGAUUAGAUCCGGCUUGGUUAUUGCCCCGGAGCUGACUCACCCAAGCCAUUAGAAAAGAGAACUCUAGAAAAAGAAUAAUGACCAAUGUUCUUUAUUGUUCAAGCAGAGACAUUUUCUAUCGGCUAAACCUUAUGCUUCUCACAUUCAAUGCUUGUGUUCCAUCUGAAGUUAUUUCUUACCACAUAAUUGUCGACAACCUAAUUUGACCAAUAAAUGCAGUACAUCUAUAUAGUAUCUGGAGAGGAGCUGUUUCUGCUAGCUAAGGAUUACAUCAAGUAUCUUUUUGGUGGAUGUCUUAGUGCUAGGUUAACCCGUGCGAUGCCCCAGUGAGGAAGAUUUUACAAGGAGCUAACAGAGAAGAAAGAGGUUGAUCAGUAUUGGUUAGUGUUGAAAAUUGAGAUCCAUUUUCUAAAACUAGCUAAUUUCUUCUAUUGUAAUCUAGAAGCUCCUAAGUAAAGGUUUUGGUAGUAGAAGUUGUGGUCUAAAAAUGUCCAAGUUAGAGAUGUUUGGAUGAAUGGCCGUGGACAGUUGUAAAGCAAAAAAAUCUCUGACAAAAGCAGAGAUCUUUCCUUGAAGAAUACUGUGGCUGACUUUAUGAGUAAAGCAAGAACUAGUUUGUGUAAGGUGGUGGAAACAUUAGAUAAACUCCACCCACGUGAACAUCCCAUCUUACAAUUAUGUAACGCCACAUUUCUAUCAACUAAAUAAACGAUAUUCUUGUCUCAUAAAUCUUUUUCUAUUUUCCUCAAAGUAUUCAUCCUUGUCCAUUCCCCUACAUCAACUAUACCAUAAACAUAUACAUUUACACAUACAAACAAAAAGAUAUCAUUGAUAUCAAAGUCAUGCUUCGGCACAAUCUCACCAUUUCCAACGGUUAGAGAAGGCGAUAAUUAAUAUCCCGACCUAGUGGGACGGUCCUGAGAAGUAAAGGCGCAGGGACAGAAUAUAGACAAGAUUUGUCUUCCAGCUAUGAUGAUGGCCUCUGAACAAUUCAUCUUCGUCUUCCCCAGUCAUUUUAGAUGGAAUGGCGAUAUCAUUCCACGGUUCUAGUUUUGCAGUGAUCCAAAGCUUGAUCUUGCUAGACGAUGAGAAAGCUGUCUUGUGUAGUUGUUACACCAUCUGUCAUGGAAUUUUCGUGCAAAAUUUCACAAGAACAAGGUCAGAUGAAUGAAGGAUUGAAGUCUAUGUCAUUCUGUUUUGUUGCAGUAUGAAUGACUGAGUUCAAGUUGAUUCAAAGCGUUAGAGCAAUUGGGACUUGAUAGGCUGCUUCAUCGGGUGAGGACUUCUUCGUUCCAACUUUUUCUCUCCCUUUUGAUUCGUUUUCAUUUCUGCUAUUGAUUUUGUCAUUUUGAGCUUAGGUUGCUACCUAAUAGGCAGAAUUUUUGUAACAUUUGAUAUGAUAUGCAGAUACACAUUACUUGUGUAUAUCUCGAAAAUUCCCACUUUUAGACACUGCUUUUGGCUGGCUUCUAAAAAAUGCCCUUCUAUUAAUCUUCCGAGCGUUAAAAACUACAAAUAAAAACUAAAAAAGUCAGAUUGUGAGAGCAACUUCUGUUUGCUCUUUCUUUUGUUUUGCAUUGCAUAUUGGUCCUUCACCUAUUUUGUAUGCUGACAGCUAAUUAUAAACACCAAGUUGCUUCAAAGGUCAUAUUUGAAACGAGCAUAUACUGAAAUGUAGGGGCAAAAGAAAUUAUGCAGGUUCUCGAAACUCUGGUGGUUGACCGUGGGGACAUCACCCGACCCUGGUAUGUUGAGCUUUUUGAUGGCGAUGAUUUGGCCGCUGGCCAGUUCGGCCUUGUAAAUGCUCCCAAACCAGCCCUUUCCGAUGCAGUACUUUUCACUGCAGCCAUUGGUAGCCUUGGCGAUGUCAUUGAAUGUGAACUUUCCUUCCCUUCCCCAUAUGAUUGACUUGGAUUGCUCUUGCUUCACAAGACUCUUGAUCUCUUCUUUGAAUUCCUUGUUUCACCACCGAACUGCCAGAAUCAUAGCAAUUGAAGUCACUAGAAGUAGUAAACAGCAGACUCCCAGGGUCACACCAAAAAGAACCUUUUCCCUAGGUCGGUCAAUUUACCGCUCGUCCCACAAGGAGAUAAUCUGGUCGCGUUUCCACACAAACCUGGACUCGCGAUUAAAAAACUUCCCUGUGCUUGUUGGGAGAGGCGACCACUACGAACCGCACUGAUUGGCUCGUUGUACGAUAAGUCUAUUGAGCUUCAACUCCUCAUGCUGGUGAGAGGAGCUGGGAUCGUACCCGACAAUUUGUUACGCAAAAGAUUGAGAUUUUCCAAUUCAACAAGCUUUGCUAAAUUGGAAGGAAUUGAUCCUGCUAGAGAUAUGUGGCUCAGGUCCAGGAGAUUCUGUAACGUGAACAAGUUCCCCAGCUCUGGCAAUAUGACAUCCAACAGAUUGUUGUUGUUCAAGUUCAAGCUCAGUAAAUUCUUGCAAUUCGUUAGCUCUUCUGGUAUGCUACCGCUCAAUGCCUUCUCCCCGACAAAUCAAGAUAUUCUAGCUUCGAUAAGUUUCUUAACGAGAUGGGAAUGUCUCUGGCCAAAUGGUUGUAGCUCAAGUUCAGCCUAAUCAAUGCCCCCAGAGUUACCAAAUCAUAGGGAAUUUUCCUAGUCAAUUCAUUGCCAUAUGGAGUCAGAUCGCACAAUUGAGACAAUUUCCCAAGCUCCGGCGAGAUGCGGCUGGGGAUUUUGUUACCAUCUAUUUGCAAAUUCGUGACAUUCGUGCACUCUCCCCAUUCUGCAGAGAGAUUCCUGACAAAUAGAUUGUUGCUAAGGGCCUGAGGCUUAUAAAGUCCAGAUUCAGAUAAACCCCAAACACACUCAUGACAUCUGCAGUGAACCGAUUGCUGUCCAGACGGACUCUCGUUAGCCCUGGACAAUUCCUAAGCAGUCGGGCAGCGGCUCGGUGAAGUUAUUGUUAAAGCUCAUAAAACAACAAUCAAAACAGAAAACAUAUAUGUUGUUUGAGGGAGAGAAAGGAUAAAAAAACAGAGCAUAACACUUCAUACGUUUUGUGCAAAAGAAAAAACUGUCAAGUACCACAACUAAAUACAAAGCAAAAACUGCUCACAUACGUGCUAUUAACUUCCUAGAAAAUAGCAAAAACACUAAAUGCAUAACUAAAUGAACUUGGCUAUUAAAAAAAUAACAAAGGAAAAUAGAGGAAAAAACACGACCGAAAACAGCAGCACUGAGACAAUUCCAACAAACUCCUCCUUGGAUCACUUGUUGCUGCAAAUUCCUAUUUUCUCUCUUAACAGCUCAAAUUUUCCAGCCUGAAGUGGUUUUGUGAACGUAUUUGCAAGCUGAUCUUCAGAUCUGCAAUAGAUCAACUUAACUUCACCACUUUGUUACACCUCACGCAGAAAGAAAAAUUUGACUUUAAAAUGCUUGGUUUUGCCAUGGAAAACUGGAUUCUGUGAUAUUGCUAGAGCAACCUGAUUGUCCACAUUGACUUCGAUACAAUCACUGGAAUUCAACCACAAAUCCUUCAUUAUCUUCUUUAGCCACAAAGCUUGAUUUGCAGCUGUAGUAGCUGCUAUAAACUCAGCCUCUGCAGUAGACUGAGCUACAAUCUCUUGCUUUUUAGAACAUCAGGAGAAACAAGCAAAACCAAAACUGAAACAAUAUCCAGACGUACUCUUCAUGUCAUCUAUUGAACCGGCCCAGUCACUAUUAGAAAAUUCUUGCAAAUUAAACUUCUGACAUUUCUUAAACUUCACACCAAAGAACAAUGUUCAUUUGAGAUAUCUCAAGACCUUUUUUACUGCAAUCAAAUGUAACUGACUAGGACUAUUCAUAAACCUGGAUAAAAUACUUACAACAAAUAGAAUAUUUGGUCUGGUUGCUGUAAGAUACAUGAGACACCCAAUCAGACUUCUAUACAUAGAAGUAUCUACUGCAUCUGUUCCAUCAUUCUUGUGCAGCUUCUCUUUAGCAACCAUAGGAGUGCUUACACUUCAACAAUCUUCCAUCUGAAACUUCUUUAGAAUUUCCUUCAUCUAUUUUUUCUGACAGAUGAAGAUCUCAUUUGAAGCUUGUUUGACUUCCAAACCCAAAAAAUAAGUCAUUUUUUCCAAGUCCGAUAUCUCAAAAACUGCAAAUAGAUCUCGCUUCACCUUCUCUAUCAAUUCCAUAUCAUUCCCUAUCACUAAUAGAUUAUCUACAUAAAGUGACAGAAUUAUAACAUUGUGAUUCACCUUCUUGACAUAAAGAGUGAACUCACUUAAGCUUUUUACAAAGCCAAAAUCCUAUAAAUAUCGAUCUAUAUUCCCAUACCAAGCUCUUGGAGCCUGCUUCAGUCCAUAUAGAGGUUUCCUUAACCUAUAUACACUCUCUUCUUGCCCGUUGAUACUGAAGCCUUCAGGUUGUUCAACAAAAUCUCCUCCUCAAGCUCUCCAUUCAGGAAUGCAGACUUGACAUCUAACUGAAAUAUAGGCCACCCCUUCUCUGUUGCAAUAGCUAACAGUGACCUUAUUGUAUCAAGUCGUGCAAUAGGAGCAAAUGUUUCAGAAUAGUCUACUCCCCAUAUUUGUGCAUAGCCUUUUACCACCAGUCUAGCUUUGUGUUUAUUGACAGAACCAUCAGGAUUAAGUUUUAUUAUAAACACCCACUUAACCCCAAUCACAUUCUUAUCAGAUGGUCUAUCAACAAGCUCUCAUGUGUGGUUUUUCUGGAUCAUUGCAAUCUCCUCCUACAUUGCUGUAAUCCACCUCUAAUCCUCCUUAGCUUCCACAAAGUUAGAUGGUUCGAGCAUUGCCACAUUGCUUUUUUCAUAGAUUUCAGCAAGUGACCUUGUGCCUCUCAUGUGACACCCCGAACCCUUCGCAGGUCGUCACCAGCGCCGGUGUUACAUCUUUUACCAUCUCUAUCUCUUGGCUAAAUUAAGCCUUGCCAGAUUACAGGCAUUUUUUUUUCUUUUUCUUUUAAAGCGGUCCCAUGCGCGACUCAUAACGGAAGCAAAAUUCACAUCGUCAUCUAUCUCCCUUCUAACCCAUGAUACAAAUACACACCAGCUAAACAUCAUGAUUUUAUAAACGAACAUCGACACAUUAUUUACAUAUAUUUUCAAGAUGGGAUUACUCUCGGGUCGGUACAUAACAAGGAAAAGCUAGGACUCAGCCAUGUCCAGCCUAAAACCUCAAAAAGAAACCUCGACCCUUAACAUCAUGUGAACAAAGAACCCUCCCAUCGAAAGCGUCGGUUUUCUACAUCAAAAAGUGAUCUAGCUCCUACUCCUCGCGUACAGGUCUCACACCCAACCCGGUGUGUCAGGUGGUGGCGGCAGCAGCAUCCCUCGCAUCGCUCCAUCCCGUCGAACGUGCACAGAUAGGAACUCUUGUAUGAUAGGGCCCCCAGCCAGGCCGAUAUCAUACAUAACUAAGCAUCGCACUCGGAUAAACGUCAAUCCGGGCACAGAGGGACAAUCUAUCUCCGUACACUCCACCUCAACAUCAGACGGUAGACCGUAAAAUACCCCACGCAAAACAGCAGGUAGCGGCAUAGUGCUAAUCUGAAAUGUUAUCCCCAAAAGGGGUGAGUACAACCACUCAGCAGAUAGGGAAAUCUAAUGACAACUCAGUGCACCAUGCAUACCAUCAUACAAUGCAGGCAUUGCUUACCUUUUUUAUGUCAAGCGUAUUCAUGCAUCAUCAUAGCAUAUAUAUAUCAUCAUCAUGGCGUCUCAUAUAUCAUUAUCAUCACAUCAUCAUUAACCAUGCAUCACCAUGCAUAUCACAUCAUAUCAUCAUUAGCCAUGCAUCACCAUGCAUAUCACAUCAUCAUUAGCCAUGCAUGACCAUGCAUAUCACAUCAUAUCAUCAUUAGCCAUGCAUCACCAUGCAUAUCACAUCAUAUCAUCAUUAACCAUGCAUCACCAUGCAUAUCACAUCAUAUCAUCAUUAGCCAUGCAUCACCAUGCAUAUCACAUCAUCAUUAGCCAUGCAUCACCAUGCAUAUCACAUCAUAUCAUCAUUAACCAUGCAUCACCAUGCAUAUCAUAUCAUCAUUAGCCAUGCAUCACCAUGCAUAUCACAUCAUCAUUAGCCAUGCAUCACCAUGCAUAUCACAUCAUAGAUCAAUUUCCACUUUUAUUUAUCAAUUGAUCCCCACAUUAUCUUUUCUCAAAUCAUCAAAUUCACCAUCAUCACCAUCCCUUCGGGCAGAAACCUCCGACAGGGAUCCCAGUAACCCAGCCAUCUCAUGGCCACUGGGCUUCCGGCCCCCCACAUUCCGGGCAUCUCGCAUCUCAACUAGCAUCACGAGGCAUUCCCUUCGGACAGAAACCUCCGACAGGGCUUCCGGCCUUUACCCUUCUAACCGGGGAUCUCGCACCCUAAUCCUGGCAUCGCGAGUCACUCCCUUCGGGCAGAAACCUUCGACAGGGCUUCCGGCCCCCCACAUUCCGGGCAUCCUGAAACUCCCAGGGAAUCUCUGGAAUUAUGCCACUCGGCCACCAGAUAUCAUCCUCCGCCACAACCUCUUACUCACAUACCAUUUUCCACUUUUUAUCAUCCUUUUCAUCUUGUUAUUUCAUGGCAUAUGAUUUACAUACAUGCAUCACAAUUCAUGAUCAUUCAUACAUCAAUGCCAUAUAACAAUACAUCAUAAUUCAUGAUCAUACAUGUAUCAAUGUCAUGUAGCAAUGCAUCAUAAUUCCAUAGGACUCAUGGCCAAUAAAAUAAUCCACCUUUUAUUUUAUUAUUAUUUAUUAUUAUAUUAUUAUAUUAUUAUAUUAUUAUAUUAUUAUAUUAUUAUAUUAUUUAUUUUCAUAAAUAAAUAUUAUAUUUAAUAUUUAUGAUUUUCCAAAAAUCAUAAUCUUCAAUCAAUCAUUAAACAAACAAUUAGAAUCAAAUUUCACAUAAAAUCCAUGGCUAAUUUGCAUUUUACAUAAUUUCCCAAAUUUCCACAAAAUACACACAACAUUCGGAUCAUGGCCAGAUUGCACAGUUUUCGAAUUAAUUCAAUUAAAAUACUCAUAUGACCUCCGAAAAUUCCCAAAUUUUACAGGAUGAUAGCCAACACAUUUUCGUGCAUUUUUCAUGAAUAACUCUAAGCAAAAUUCUUUAUAUAUUAAUUUAUAUAACUCCACGAAGCUUCUGGAACCUCUACCGUUUCGUCCAGAACGUACAUCACCGAAAAACUUAGGUUCGACCCAUCAAAUCUCUUUCGUUUCUCCUGAAAUUCGAGUAUGUUAUAUAUCAAUGUGUCCUUUACAAGUUUCAUGAAGAGAUCUAGGUUAAAUAACCAAAGCAUGAUCCUCUUUUAAGUCCUUGAAGUCUCGGGUGUCUCGGUUCACUUCAACAGAACCAUCCGUCUCAAAGAUCUAGCUGGUUAACUAGGCUAUACUCAUUUUUUCUCCUAAAAUUUGAGUAUGUUAUAGUUUAUGAUGUUAUCUACAACAUUCAUGAAGACAACAAAGUGAGAUCUCCAACAGAAAUCAACAUGCAACCAAGAAAUCAACAAAAGGUCAGUAGGAAAUUCGCAGAUCUAAAGCCUCCGUGAAAUAGAACUUUUGACCCCUCAUAUCACCAUAGUUUUCCAUGAAAUUCGAGUAUGUCAUACCUCAAGAUGUUAUCUUCAACUUUCAUGAAGACACUGAAGCCAAAAUCACACUUCAAAUACACAUGCAAGCUCGAAUAAGAUACUGUCUACCACCAACCGAACGGAAACAGCCACAUAACAUGAACACAUUCAACCCUUACUUCGGUAUUUCGCCCAAAUCACCCCUAAACCCGAACAUGCAACCAUCAAAACAACAUGCAAGAGAAGUUAAGGACCCCCCACUUGCCUCCAAAAUGAACGAACAGCAAGCACAAGGCGGCGUAGGAUGGUCGGACAAGGUGGCGACGGCGAGACACGACGGCGGCAACUCUCGGCUCCACCUCCUCUCUCUCGGUCUCUCCCCUUUCUCGAACACUCUCUCUCUCUCUCUCUCUCACCUUUCUCGGCCAAAAUGAGCUAGAGGAACCGGCCACUCUCUUUCCUAAUCCCCUUUUUAUAUCCCCUCAAUUGCAAUGAUUAACUCACCUCAACCAUGGCCAAUGCAUGAGGGCUUGUCUUGCCACUUGUAAUUCUUGUUUUUAAAUUUGAAUUUCAAUGGGCUUGGGCUUAGGCCCAACCGGCCAUUUCUCCUUCUUGGGCUGGUCGAACUCCCCUCUUGGGCCCAAUGGGCCGACUAGCUUGGCCCACCAAGCUCUAGGCUAAUGGGUCCAAGGCCCAUUUCGAAAAUAACCCUAUUUUCUCUUCUUUUUUUUUUUGAAUUCCUAUUUAUAAAUAUUUCUAAAUUCAAAUUUCAUCUUGGCCAAAGUCUUGGGAUAUUUCAAUUAUUGAAAUUUAAAUCAUAUGGCCAAGCAUUUAAAUUUAAAUUUCCACAACACAAGCAAAAUUCAUCAAAUUAAAAGACAAAUUGGCUAAAGCAUAAGCCAUAAAAUUCUAUCACCUAAUUAAAGACAUUUAACACACCUUAAGGCUUGGCUUUGAAUUUCCGGGAUGCCACAUCUCACUAGUAAAUCAUCCAUACUGUCUUCUAAUCCAUCUAUAACUUCAUCAACCUCUACAUCUGUUGCAGGUUGUUUUUCGAACUGCUGUUGUUUUGCACUCUUUCCUUCCAUCCAAUUCCACUCAUCUUCCCCUAGAAAAAUAACAUCUCUACUCACAAUCACCUUCCUUGUCAUGGGAUGGAAAAUCCUAUAAGCCUUUGAUUGAAGAUUAUACCCAAUAAAGAUUCCAAGCUCUACUUUCUUAUUCAGCUUGUCCCUCUUGACCUCAGGAACAUGAGUGUAACACAAACACCCAAAAACCUUCAAAUUCUUCAUAGAAGGUCUAACACCAUGCCAGACUUCAAAAGGUGUUGACUUCUCUAAGGCCUUUGUGGGCAAUCUAUUCAAUAGAAACACUGCAGUAUUAGCUGCCUCAACCCAGAACUUCUUAGGUAACUUCUUCUCCUGCAUCAUACAUCUAGCCAUCUCCAUAAGGCUUAUGUUUUUCCUCUCACUCACCCCAUUCUGUUGAAGUGAAUAGGGAGCAGUGAACUGCUGUACAAUUCUUGCUUGCUCACAAUUCAACUUAAACUUGUGAGCUGUAUACUCAGAACCAUUAUCAGACCUGAGCAUUUUAAUUUUCUUCCCACUCUGAUUCUCAACUAAGGCUUUGAACUUCACAAACACAUCAGCAACUUCAGACUUGGCUCGCAGAAAAUAAAUCCAACUCAUCCUAGUCAUAUCAUCAGUGAAAGUAAUGAAAUACCUACUACCAUUGAGAGAAGACUCGGACAUAGGUCCACAUAAAUCUGUGUGGACUAAUUGUAGCUUCUCACAUGCUCUCCAGCCUCCUCCUUUGAAAGGAAAUUUGGCUUGCUUGCUAAGAAGACAAGUUAUGCACCGUGGAAAUUCCUCCUCCAAACUUGGCAAGUCAUCUGCCAAGUUAUUCCUCUGCAUAAACGACAUGCUCUUCUUGUGAACAUGCCCAAGUCUUUUAUGCCAUAGCUUUGCAUUUUCUUCUUUGCACUUUAAAGCCAUUUGUUGCAUCUCUUGUGGCUUGAACAUGAAACUCUUGUCCUUCAUUGGGAUUCUUAGCACUUCUUUGCUAUAUGCAUUAUUAAUAAGAUGUUCCUUCUCUUCGAACUUCACUUUAUAGCCCUUCUCAACUAAUUGACCAACACUUAACAAAUUCUAGUCAAUAUUUGGCACAAAAAGAACAUCACUGAUCAGCUUCACCUCCCGAUUUCCUUCAAUAACCACUGUACCCUUCCCUUACACUUCGAUAUACUGUCCAUUUCCAAUUCUAACUCUGGACCUGACUGACCUGUCUAGACUCCUAAACAACUUCGAAUUGCCAGUCAUAUGAUUGGUACAGCCACUAUCCACCAGCCAUGCAUCAUUCCCAACAGAAGAUCCAGGAAAUGAAGCUACAAACAAGUGCUCUUCCUCAAUUUCAUUCACUGCAACCUGUGCUUCUCCUGCUUGCUAGUAAUUUUUCUGUUUGUAGAUGGUUUCCAUGUGACCCAACUUGUGACAUCUUCUACACCUAGCAUCAGGCUUUCUCCAACAUCUAAAAAACUGAUGAUUAGUUCCACCACAAUAUUGACAAGGUUUUUUGUUCUUCUUCCAUUUGCUAGACUCACCAGAAUUUCCUUCUUUUGCUAUAAACUUGGAAUCACCAGCAUUUCCUCUCAACUGAAUCCAUUUCUUCCAUUUGCCUCCAUCAUUGGACUUCACUCUAGCUUGCAGUGCACCCUCUACAUGCUCUUCUCUUUUCAUCAGUCUUCUGUGCUCCUGUGCCUGCAGAGCAUUUAAUAAUUCUGCAAGCUUUAUAUCAGCUAAGUCUCUUGUAUUUUCCAAAGACGCUAUGGUGGCUUUGAACUUCUCUAGAAGAGACACCAGGAUCUUCUAAACAAGCCUUUCAUCCUUCAAGUUAGUUUCUAAAACUUUGAUUUUUUCAGCUAUCUCAACCAGCCUAUCAAAGUACUCCUUCACUGACUCUGAAUCCUUCAUCUAUUGUCUCUCAAACUCCCUCAAGAGAUUCAGCACCUUCAUGCCUCUUAUCUUCUCAUCUCCCUCGUAUUCAUCCUUCAAGAAGUUCCAUAUUGCCUUUGCAGAAUCACAUCUCAUGAUCCUUGUGAAGACAGUGGGUGAAACAGCAGCAUACAUGCAAGACUUUGCCUUAGCCUUCUUUGGGAUUCUCUCUUUAUGGUACUUUAUCUGAUUUAAGGUCGGAUUAACUGGAAGUGGAGCAACCUCAUAAUCAUUCUCCACAGCCUCCCAUAGAUUGUGACCCUCCAAGAAUGCUGUCAUCUUGACAGCCCAAGCUUGAUAAUUUUCCCCAGUAAAGACUGGAGCAACCAUUGUAGAGAAUCAACUCGAUCUUGCCUCCAUCAGCUUUUUCUUUGCAAAUUGGAAGCAAUCUUCACUCACUUACCCUCACUUCACAGUCCCUUAAGAUCCUACAAACGCUCUAAUACCAAUGUUAAAGCUCAUAAAACAACAAUCAAAACAGAAAACAUCUUUGUUGUUUGAGGGAGAUAAAGGAUAAAAAAAAAAAAAAAAACAAAGCAUAGCACUUCAUAUGUCUUGUGCAAAAGAAAAACUGUCAAGUACCACAACUAAAUACAAAGCAAAAACUGCUCACAUACGUGCAACACAUAACUGCACACAAACGUACUAUUAACUUCCUAAAAAAUAGCAAAAACACCAAAUGCAUAACUAAAUGAACUUGGCUGUUUUUUUUUUUUAAAAAAAAAAAAGAGGAAAACAGAGGAAAAAACACGACCGGAAACAGCAGCACUGAGACAAUUCCAAUAGUUAUUCCCAUCGACCGCGAGAUAUCAAAGAGCAAAGCCGUUGCAUAUAUCUGGCGGCAGCUCUCUGGUGAAGCUGUUGUUCGAAAAGCUAAUGUUGCCCAGAGAAUGGCUGUACUUGCCGAAAUCACGUGGUAUGCCUCCCGAGAAAUUGUUCAUGAACAAAGAGAUGGACUGUAAGUGAUACUACGUCAUGGCUUUUUCCUUCCCAACCCUGAUCUCCUCUUCUUCAACUUGAAGUGCCUCCUUGGUGGUAUACUUGCUCGUCAUCUUGCAAACCGACCUUCAUCACUGACAGCCUCUCAAACUUGAUCUCGUAAUCAAUCGACUCGAUUUUGUCGUCCAAUGUGUCACCUUCGAUUAUCGGCUACCUACACACGAAGUUCUCCUUGUCAAGCUCAUCGAUCCGGUGCUUCACAUUCUUGAAAUGACUAGCUGCAUUUGUGACCAAACAAGACUUACAUUAUGAAACUCCCGGCUUGAUGAGUGUUUGUUGAGUGUACGUACCUUCGGCGAUAUUAACUUGCUCAAUGCUCCCGGCUCCUCCGUCGCCUUGCACGAGCUCCACGCUCUUUAUGAACUGAGGCAGGAGCUUUGGGAUCAGGGAAUUCAACCCGACGAUCAAGGCCUUGAACAUGUGAGCUGGUGCAAUCGGGCAUGUGAGCUCUUGUGUGAUGCUGGUUGCACCCAUGGCUAUUGGCAAUGAGAAAGAAAUAACCCCAGAGAAGUUGGUGCUUCUGAGUCCUGCCAAUGCCUCCUAUUUAUGGUUAGAAUUAUGUGAAUAGGUAGGCUUGGUUUGGCAAGAGUCACGUAUGAGGAAAAUAAAAGAGUCAAGGAUUCGCGGCCUAAAGAAAUGUAAAAGAGGAAUUAAGUUGGUCUCUUUUGUUCUCUUGGUCAUGAAAAUGAUUUCGGUCCCUUUUCAGAUUCAAGUUGUUGAAAUAUCAAAGUAUAUGUUCCAAAAGAUGAACACAAGAGAGCGCAUUCUCAUGCUCACAUGGGCGGCCGUCACUUAGAAUUGAUUGUUGUGGAGUUUGAUAUGACGAUUCAGCGAUAUCGUAAUCAAAUGUCCUUGUUUAGACAAGCGAGUGUUCAUUGAAUUUCAUUCAAUAUGUAGCAAACAAUAACACUUAAUAAAUUAGUGAUAUCACAAUAAUAUGUCGCACAAUAUAAACAUCACAUAAAAUAUUUCUUCACACUCGAUGCCUUAAUGUUGUGGUAAAUCCAUUUCAAUUCAUCCAAUAAGGCCUUUCGUAAUCAUUUCCAUAAAAUUUAAAAGAAAAAGGUUAAGGUUGAUAAAGCUUCACUGACACCGGCGGUUUGACUGGGUCAAAAUAGGGUCGGCAACGGGGUGUCCCAAGAUCAGCUCAUCAUCUGAGUGGGAGGGGAUGUGGAGGCUGCUGCUUUUCCGUUAUAAUUUUCUUCUCUUUUUCUUUUCUUUUUUUCUUUUUCUAUUAUUGUUGAAUCGUUUGAUCUCUAAUCCAUUGUCCCCAUCAAGAAUCAAGAUAGGAUUAGCUUAAAUAGAAUUCAAAUAGCCGAAGUGUUGCAAUAAGAUAAGUCUAAACCCUAAACACAUUCAACAAUUUUUGUAUAGCUUUAUUGAUAUUUAAUAAAAAUGUACUUUUCCUUAAAAAUUUUACUUAUUGCGGGUUAUGAAAAAUUGUGCCACAUUGAUAUGUUUAGAUGAUCGAUCUGGGUCAAACGGGAUCGAUUGUCCAUAUUCGAAAUAUCAGGCCGCAGUUUACCAUGAAUUCAUUUGUCACUCAUGAAUUCUCUCCAUGUAGCGCAGUUUACCAAAUUCCAUAAAACCACUACACCAGAUUCCUGCCACACCUUUCAUUCUCUCAUUCUCAGCAAAGACGAGAACAACAACAAUCACCAGCCCAACAUGCUUUAACUUCAAACACCGAGUGACUCAAACGCUUCUUGUCGCCUAUUUAGUUUAGCCCAACCGGACAUAUUUAAUACGUUACAUGAACAAUAAAAGAUAGCGAUGAGAUCGGCGCAACAUGCAUCAGGGUUUGCCACGACAGAAGCCUCGAUGGCCUUAACCAUCGCGUCCGCCUUCUCUUUCCCGGCCUUGAUCUCCUCCUCGGUGAUAUUCACCUCGCCAAUGGUUAAGUACUUGCUUGUGCUCUUCAACAUCGAGCCUCCGUCGGGCGACGCGGUGAUCUUCACCUCGUAACUGAUCUUCUCAAAGUCGGUGCCCAGCGGGUCACCCUCGAUGAUUGAGUAGCAGUAGGUGAAGUUCUCCUUGUCCAAGGCCUAGACCUUGUGCUUUGCCGUCUUGUACCGACUGCCUAUCAAAGUAACAAAGUAACAUUCACAUUUAGAACUCGCCGGUUUCAACAUUGUGAGCACUGAUCUUGAUGGUGUAGAUCCAGCCAUUUAGGAAUUAACCCCCAACCCCAAUCCAAUACUAUUGACUUAGACAUGGCCUGAUUUUGCCCGAUCGAAAUCGCGUCACAUGAUCACUUGCGUAAAUUUAAACAGUUAGAAACAUAUUAAUUAAUCAAGUCAUAUAUCUAUCCUUUUCAAUGUUCAUUAUAGUGUUCUAGGUUGAACCCGCCUUGAUUCGGAGCGAUCCUAAGUUCCUAAUACGGAAGGACUAACUUUCGCAGAAAGUCAUACCUCCAUCGCCCUCGAGGACUUCAAUGCUCUUGACGUCUUGUGGGAGGACCUUGUUGAUGAGGUUAUCGGCGUCAAGGAGAGUGGCUCAAACAUCUCGGCUGGAGGGAUUGGGGACGUGGUCUCGAAGUCAUUAGUGAUGACACCCAUGACUGGAUCCGAACAGAGUUGCUGAAACUGAGAAGAGGGUGAUGAUCAGGAAAAGACUUGGGCGUGAUGAAGUUGGUCUCUAGGACUUGGGAGUGAAGAAAGGAGGCUAAACUGAAGAUGACAUAUAUAGAGAGAGACUGAGUGUGAAGGGUUAUGAUUACUGAAUAUUUCCUUCUUACUUAAGAGGGUUUCGUAGAAAAUAAAUAAUUUGAAAAAUAUUUUCUUAAAAAUAAUCACUAAAUUUGGAUACUGUUUCCAAGCAAAAGUUAAUUGGUGAGUGUGCUACAUAUUCUAAAUUGAUCUAAAUCCAUAUAGAACUCACUAGAAUUAAAAGUCAAGAUUCUCCUUAAUAUAAAUACGAUGAAAAAAUGCUACCUCAUUUCCGAGUGUUCGUCAAAAUUGGUUUGUAUGUACUAUGUUAAUCUAAAUCGCUAAAUUUGAUGGAUUCACAUGGGAUCCAUACGAAACUCACUAGAAUUAAAAGUUCAAAUUCCACUUAAUAUAAAUACGGUGCUCUUUCCUCAAAAUUGUGUUGUCUAUACUAAAUUGAUUUAAAUCACUAAAUCCGAUGGGUUCUUGUGAUACCCAUAUGGAACUCACUAGAAUUAAAAAUCCAAAUUCAGCUUAAUAUAAAUAUGACCAUAGCUCAUUUCCGAGUCUUCAUCAAAAGUGUGUUUGAUGUCCUACAUUGAUAUAAAUCACCAAAUCUGAUGGGUUUGCAUGGGAUCCAUAUAGAACUUACUAGAAUUAAAACUCCAAAUUCCCCUUGAUAUAAAUACGACACUACCUCAUCUCCGAGUCUUCAUCAAAAUUCUGCUAAAGGUACUAACUUAAUCUAAAUCGCUAAAUUUGAUGGGUUCACGUGGGAUCCAUACGAAACUCACUGAAAUUAAAAGUUCAGAUUCCAUUAAUAUAAAUAUGAUGCUCUCUCAUUGAAAUUGCAUUGUAUGUACUAAAUUGAUUUAAAUUGCUUAAUCUGAUGGGUUCAUGUGGGACUUAUAUGGAACUCACUAGAAUUAAAAGUCUAGAUUCUGCUUAAUAUAAAUCAACCUUGGCUCAUUUCCGAGUCUUCAUCAAAAGUGUAUUGUGGGUUCACGUGGGAUCUAUAUAGAACUCGUUGAAAUUAAAAGUCCAGAUUCCUAUUAAUAUAAAUAUGACACCACCUCAUUUCCGAGUUUUCAUCAAAAUUAUAAGUUAAUCUACGGGUUUGUUUUGUUAUUAUGACUUUUGAGAUUCCCUUUCAUGUAUUAGUUUGGUAAUGAAUAGAAAUUUCUUUUUGACCCAAAAAAAAAAUUAAUCUAAAUCGCUAAAUUCUAUGAGUUUACAUGGGACCCAUAUGAAACUAUGGAACUCACUAAAAUUAUAAGUCUAGAAUCCACUAGAUAUAAAUAUGACGCUAGCUCAUUUCCAAAUCUCCGUCAAAUGCUUUUUUCUCAUCACUUUGAAGCUUCCGAUCGCACCCCACUUUGUUGCACGUGAAUCGGGAAUGUUUUACGACGCCAAAGUCUUUGUUAAAUCUCAAAAAGAUUGAGUCAACGUGGAACAACAACUCAAUUGUAAGCAUCGGGGUUUUGCAAGAGAUGGGCUCCAAUGGCUUUCAACAUUCCCAUGGCCUUCUAUUUGCUAGCUUUGUUCUCGACCCCGUCCUUGGCGAAGUACUUGCUCGUGCUCGUGCUCGUGCUCUUGCACGUGCACCCUCUCUGUCUGGACUUGAUCUCGUUCGAGAUCUUCUCUAGCGCGUCGCCCUCGACGAUGGUGUAAGCGUGCGCGAGCUUUCCUUGUCCAGCUUGUGGACUGGUGCUUCACCGAGUUGAACCGUCUAGCCGUGACACACAGAAAACUGCAGUCAGCUCCCACGUUAGUCUUAUCAAAGAAUGUCAGGCCAAUGUCUUGACAUCACAUGUUGAUGCGACGUGACCAAAAUGAAUGAAAUUAGAAGACGCGCAAGUACUCGCCUCCACCGAAAACGAUGCGAUGGUGACGGGACAGCCAUCACCUUCAAGGGUGACAAAAUCCAGACUGGCUUGUGGGAGGAGCUUGGGGAUGAGAUUUUUAUCAAGAUCAAAGGCCUUGAACAUUCGUGCAGGUGGGAUGGAAUGCGUCUUCGCCUAAGAUUUCCGAGUCCCAGGGCAAGAUAUGUGAGAUUAUGUUGAAAUGCCCUUUAAAUGAUUCUCAAUCUCCUCGUUUAGCAAUCUAAAUCAGCAUCACAAUGUUCUUAAAUAAUACAACAAAAAAACAGGACAAAACGCAUGGAUCUCAAGCCCAAAUUAUACUUAUUAGCAUGCGAGAGAUCUUUGAAUGCAAACACCCUUGAGGGUGGGAAUUCACUAAAUUAUAACUUAAAUAUUCUAACGGCACCAACGGCUUGGACAAGCAAGCUUGAGUGCAUGCGGACAAUUCUUGCGCAAUGAAAUGCAUGGUAAGUCGCGAAUCGAGACUCGUCCACGUACACGCUAUUGCGACCAUGACCAUGAAGACCACUUCCUUGACCAGUUGGCUAGUCGGAGGAGGAAGAUGUGGGUCGAGCAUAUCCUAUAGUGGCACAUUUGAGUCUUUCAAUAAUGUCGACAUUUGUGUCAUUUGUAGGGAAGAGAGAAGAUUCCUGGAUGCUUCCCCAUCAUUCUCUAGCAUUGGUACUUUUACUGUUGACUCUGUUUCAUGAAAGAAGAAUGAAUCUAUGUUUUUAUUACAACCUCAAGUUGCCUACAAAUUCCAAAUUUUUGAGAUACUGUUAAUACAAACCACUUUUCAAAAUCUGUACUUGCUCUUCCUAAAAAGUCUUAUUAGAAGUAUUGGACGAAUCCAAAUUCAAUAUGUCAAUUAAAGCUAUUUGAUCAACCCGAGACCAUAGGUACAGGGGGAAUGUAUUGAUUAGAUUUGAUUACGUAGCUUACCAGAAACCAUGUAGUCAUAAGAUCUAGCCACAGGGAUCCAAUUCGAUGAAUCCAAAUUCAAGAGCCUCACCGUCCCAAAAACCAAAAGCCGAGGCUCGAAGUCCGACUCGAGCAAGAUGUUGUUCAACAUCAUGUCCUGAUGGACAAUAGGCAGUGAGCAAUCGUGAUGCAAGUAGGUGAUCGCGGGAGCCACGCAUUGAACAAUCUUCACUCUCUUGACACAAGUCCGAUUCAACUGCUCCUCUUCUUCCAUGCAAGACCUUUGCCAAAGUUCAGAAAAACAUUGGAUGAUGUCCCUGCGGUUAACCACCACUUUUUUUACCGUGACGAUGUGGCCGCUGGCCUAUUCGGCCUUGUAAACGCUUCUAAAUCCGCGUUUUCCGACGCAAUACUCUUCACUGAAGCCGUUGGUGGCCUUGGCAAUAUCGUUGAAUGCAAACUUCGUUCCCCUUUUCCAUAUGAUUUCACGUACUUCAUAAGAUUUCUUAUCUCUUCAUCGAGAUGCUUGUUUCACCGCCAAAGCACCGAAAUCAGAGCAAUAAGAGUCACGAGAAGUAGUAAGCAGCAAACGCAACAAUCACAUUAAUCAGAACCUUUCUCCGAUGGUCAGUCGAUUUACUGCUCGACCCGCAUGGAGACAUUCCGUCGCGUUUCCUCAUAAGCCCGGAUUUGCAAUAAAAGCACUUCCUAGUUAUUGUCGAAAGAGGCGACCACCAAGAACUGCGCCUGUCAGCUUGUUGUAUAAGAAGCCCAUGAAGCUUAAACUGCUCAUGCUGGUGAGAGCAGCUGGGAUCGUACCCGACAAAUCGUUAUGCGAAACAUUGAGAUUUUCCAAUUUAGUGAGCUUUGUUAAAUUGGAAGGAAUUGAUCCUACUAGUGAAUUGUGGCUCAGGUCUAGUGGUUCUGUAGCGUGAACGAGUUCCCCAGCUCUGGCGACAUGACACCCAACAUAUUGUUGUUGCUCAAGUUCAAGCUCAGUAAAUUCUCGCAAUUUGCUAACUCUUUUGGUACAAUAUAUAGAGAAGGGAUGUACUUGCCGUAUUGUGGUUUAUGAAAGAUUGUGCCACAUUGAUAACUUUAGAUGUUAAUCCAAAUUCAAAAUAUCAGGCCAAAGUUUGGUAUUUUAUUGGCCAUUUGGCAUUUCAUUUAUAACUCAUGAAUUCUCUCCUCGUAAAAAAAAUUACUAAAUUAGAGAAUUUCAUUCUACAAGCCUUGUAUAGUUUAUCAAAUUACACAAAACCACUGCACCAGAUUCCUAUCACACCUUUUAUUCUCUUAUUCUCGGCAAUGACAAGAACAACAACACUCACCAGCCCAACAUGCUUAGCUCCAAACAGAGUGACUUAAACUCUUCUUGUCUCCUUUUCAGUAUAGCAUAACCACACAUAUUUAACACAUUACGUAAACAAUACAAGAUAGCGAAGAGAUCGGCUCAGUAGGCAUCAGGGUUUUCCAAGAGAUAAGCCUCGAUGGCCUCGUACAUCGCGGACGCCUUCUCUUUCCGGGUGUUGAUCUCCUCCUCGGUGAUGUCCACCUCGCCAAUGGUGAAGUAACUGUUCGUGCACUUCAACAUCGAGCCUCCCAAAGGCAACGCGUUGAUCUUCACCUCAAAGGUGAUCUUCUCGAAGGUGGUGCCCAGCAUUUCGCCAUCGAUGAUUGAGUAGCAGUAGGUGAAGUUCUCCUUGUCCAGGGCCUCGACCUUGUGCUUUGCUGUCUUGUAUGGAUUGCCUAUCACUGUAACAAAAAGUCAUAUUCACAUUUAGAACUCGCAGGUUUCAAUAUCACGAGCACCAAUCUUCAUGGUGUCCAUCAGGCCAUUUAGGAAUUGACCCAAUUGUUCCGACCGCAAUCCAAUACAAUUGACUUAGACAUAGCCUGACUUUGCCUGAUCAAAAUUGAGUCACAUAUUCACUUGUGUAAAGUUAAACGGUUAGAAACAUCUUAAGUAACCGAGUCAUAUUUUUAUCUUUUUCCAUAUUCAUUAUAGUGUUUCAUAAGGUUGAACCUGCCUUGAUUCAGAGCAAUCCUAAGUUCCUAAUACGGAUGGACUAACCUUCAGCAAAAGUAAUCAACUUGAUGGUCCCGGGACCUCCAUCGCCCUCGAGGACUUCAACGCUCUUGACGGCUUGCGGGAGGACGAUGGGGAGGAGGUUACCGGCAUCGAGGACAACAGCCUUGAACAUCCUGGCCAGGGGAAUGACGGACGGGACAUCAAAGUGAAAAGUGAUGACACCCAUGACCGGAUCCUAACGGAGUUGCUGAAACUGAGAAGGGGGUGAUGAUCUGGAAAGACUUGAGUAGUAGUGACGAAGUUGGUCUCUGCGACUUGGGAGUGAAGAGAAGAGGCUGAAUUGAAGUUGACAUAUAUAGAGAGAGAGGGAGACUGAGUGUGAAGGGUUCUGAUCACUGCAUAUUUUCUUCUUACUAAGAUGCAUUAUAUUUUGCAGAAAAUAGAUAAUUUAGAAAAUGUUUUCCUAAAAAUAAUCACUAAAUUUAGAUAGUGUUCCGAGCAUAAGUUAUUUGGUGAGUGUGCUGCAUGUUCUAAAUUGAUCUAAAUUGCUAAAUUUAAUGGGCUCACUAGAAUUAAAAGUCUAGAUUCCCCUUAAUAUAAAUACGACACUACCUCAUUUUCAAGUCUUCGUCAAAAUUGUAUUGUAUAUAAAUAUGACCCUAGCUCAUCUCCGAGUCUUUAUCAAACGUGUGUUGUAUGUCCUAAAUUGAUCUAAAUUGCUAAAUCUAACAGGUUCACAUGGGAUCCAUGUGGAACUCACUCGAAUUAAAAGUCUAGAUUCUCCUUGAUAUAAAUACGAUGCUAUGUCAUUUCUAAGUUUUCGUCAAAAUUGUGUUGUAUAUAAAUAUGACCCUAGCUCAUUUCUGAGUCUUUAUCAAACGUGUGUUGUAUAUCCUAUAUUGAUCUAAAUCCCUAAAUCUAACAGGUUUACGUGGGAUCCAUGUGGAACUCACUCGAAUUAAAAGUCAAGAUUCUCCUUGAUAUAAAUACGAUGCUAUGUCAUUUUGAAGUUUUCGUCAAAAUUGUGUUGUAUACACUAAGUUAAUCUAAAUCGCUAAAUUUGACGGGUUCAUGUGGGAUCCAUAGGAAACUCACUAAAUUAAAAGUUCAAGUCAACUUAAUAUAAAUACAGUUUUCUUUCAUCAUAAUUACGCCGUAUGUACUAAAUUAACCCAAAUUGCUAAAUCUAACAGGUUCACAUGGGAUCCAUGUGGAACUCACUCGAAUUAAAAGUCAAGAUUCUCCUUGAUAUAAAUACGAUGCUAUGUCAUUUCUAAGUUUUCGUCAAAAUUGUGUUGUAUAUAAAUAUGACCCUAGCUCAUCUCCGAGUCUUUAUCAAACGUGUGUUGUAUGUCCUAAAUUGAUCUAAAUCGCUAAAUCUAACAGGUUCACAUGGGAUCCAUGUGGAACUCACUCAAAUUAAAAGUCUAGAUUCUCCUUGAUAUAUAUAUGAUGCUAUGUCAUUUCUAAGUUUUCAUCAAAAUUGUGUUGUAUAUACUAAGUUAAUCUAAAUCGCUAAAUUUGAUGGGUUCAUGUGGGAUCCAUAGGAAACUUACUAAAAUUAAAAGUUCAAAUCAGCUUAAUAUAAAUCUAGUGCUCUUUCAUCAAAAUUACGUCGUAUAAACUAAAUUAACCCAAAUCGCUAAAUCUGAUGGGUUCAUGUGGGACCUAUAUAAAACUCGCUGGAAUUAAAAGUCUAGAUUCUACUAAAUAAAAAUGAGGCCCUAACUCAUUUCCGAGUCUUUGUCAAAAGUGUGUUGUAUGUCCUAAAUUGAUCUAAAUUGCCAAAUCUGAUGAGUUCACAUAGGAUCCAUAUUGAAAUCACUAGAAUUAAAAGUCCAAAUUCCACUUAAUAUAAAUAUGACGCUAGCUCAUUUCUGUUUCUUCAUCAAAAUUGUGGUAUAUGUACUAAGUUAAUCUAAAUCGCUAUAUUUGAUAGGUUCAUGUGGAACCCAAAUGAACCUCACUAAAAUAAAACGCCCAAAAUCGAUUAAACGUAUAUACUACUUUAACUCAUUUCUAGGUCUCCAUCAAGCGCCUUUUUCUCAUCUCUUUGAAGCUUCCGAUCGCGUGCCAUUCCGUCACAUGUGAAUCGCGAAUGAUUUUCCACGCCAGAGUCUUUGUUAAAUCUCAAGACUUAAAAAUACGAAUGUGAAGUAACAAUUGCGUGUCAAAUGCAGAAAAUUCAUAUGUGAAAAAGUUGACCGUCCCUUCUUGAGUCAACUGUUCUCUUCCUCGAUAUGCUUUUCUGAUAUGGCCUCAAAGACAGAUGGGCAAAGCGGCGCAUUCAUAUCUAUAAUCUCGCGGCAGUUUCAACUCUGUUAAAAGAAUGCCGAGGUCUUUACAAGAUGUUUGACAAGCGUCUUUGAUGACAGCAUGCAGCAUAUCUACCGCUUCAAAACAUAGUUACGGUUCAGUCUCGAUUGUUAUUUUUCUUCAAAUUAUGGUGGGAGAUAGAAAGAUCCAGCCAACAUGUAACAACAACUCACUCGUAAGCAUCAGCGUUUUUGCAAGAGAUGGGCUUCUAUGGCUUUCAACAUUCCCAUGGCCUUCUCUUUGCUGGCCUUGUUCUCGACCCGGUCCAUGGCGAAGUACUUGCUCAUGCUCUUGGCCAUACACCCUCUCUGUCUAGAAAAGCAUAGAACUUGAUCUCGUUCGGGAUCUUCUCUGCGCGUUGCCCUGGACGAUGGCGUACGCAUGCGCGAGCUUUCCUUGUCCAGCUUCUCGACUGGUGCUCCACCGAGUUGAACUGUCUAGCUACGAGACACAGACAACUGCAGUCAGCUCCCACGUUAGCCUUAACAAAGAAUGUCGGCAAAUGUCCUCUUUGACAUCACGUGUUAAUGCGACGCAACCAAAAUAAAUGAAAAUAGAAGACAGCGCAAGCACUGGCCUUCGCCAAAGAUGGCGCCGGUGUUAGGGAAAUCCCUUAUGAUGUUUUGAAGAUGACAAAAUAAAUCAAAGGCUACUAACAUGUUUGAUGGUUGAGUAAUAGACCAUGCAGAUGAUAGAACAUGUAAAGGAUUUUAUCAAAGUCAGAAGACGGCCAGAAGACUGAACGUAACAUAUGUCCAGAGUAUAUUUUGAAGAUUUCCAGACUUCUGUGUCAAAGUCUGAAGACUGUCAGACUCAAGACUCAUAUUGUAAAGUCUACAGACCCAGAUUGUAAAGUCUCAAGACUCAUAUCGUAAAGUCUAAAGACUCAGACUUUACAUCCAGAUUACGAUGAAUCGUAACUCAAGCCCAAUCAUAUAACGGCUAGUGAUCUGGUUUGGAUUCCACAUCAAGAUUGAUUUGAUUGAAGACAAGAACUUUACAUACGAAGAAGCUUUACUUAUGGAAACCAAGAUUUCGUUUGUAUGGGCGAUCGGAAUCCAUUUGGGAUUCUACCUUUGUCACUCAACGGCUACUAAAUCUUCUAGAUACAGAGCUGUCCAAUGGGUAUAUUGGAAGACGAUUCUCCGGGAUAUUGUCCAACGGGUAGUUUGGAAAUGGAGGAGUAUUUAAGGAGAUGAAGGACCGAUGAGCAAGUAAGAGACGGAGCGUAGAAUUUAUAAUUCCAAAGUCUAAGCGACUUUAGAUCAUAUACUUGUCUCUUGAGAGCUUAAAUGUUUGUAAUCGUGAGAGAAAUACCAAGAGAGUGACUUAGUGAGAUAGUGUGAUCUACUAAGUGUAUGCACUCGAAGUUGUAAUCUCUUGUUGAUUGCAUAUUGGAAUCCAGCCAAGAAGGCUGUUAUCGUGGGAGAGUGGACGUAGGCUUGGAUUAAGCCGAACCACUAUAAAUCUUGUGUUCUUAUUUUCUUCCUUAACUCCUUUAUUUUGUUCAUACUAGCACUCUCAGCCGGGACCCCCAUCACCUUCAGGGAUGACAAAAUCCUUAAAGGCUUGUGGGAGGAGCUUGGGGAUGAGAUCGUCGUCAAGAACAAACGCCUUGAACGUUCUUGCAGGUGAGAUGGAAUCGUCUUCACCUAAGAGUUCCAAGUCCCACGGCAAGAGAUCUGGGAGAUUAUGUUGAAAAUGCCCUCUAAAUGAUUCUCAAUCGCCUCGUUUAGUAAUCUAACUCAACAUCACAUUGGUCUAAAUCAUAUAAUAAAGAAAGAGGACAAAAGGCAUGGAUCUCAAGCCCAAAUGAUACUUGUUAGCAUGCGAGAGAUCUUUGAAUGUAGACAACCUUGAGGGAGUCACUAAAUUAUUGUUAAAAUAUUCUAAUAGAACCCAAUGGCUUAGACAAACAAGCUUGAGUGCGUGCGGAUAAUUCCUGCUUGAUGAAAUGCAUGGUAGGUCGCGAAUCGAGACUCGUCCCCAUGCACAUCCACUUCCUCGGCUAGUUGACCGGUCGGAGGAGGAAGCCGUGGGUCGAGCACGUCCUUCAGUAGAACAUUUGAGUCUUUCAAUAAUGUCGACAUUUGUGUCAUUUGUAGGGAAGAAAGAACAUUCAAUGGAUGCUCCCCAUCAUUCUCUAGUGUUGCUGACUCUGUUUCUUGAAAGAACAACUAGUCAGGAUUUUGCUCACAUCGUCAAGUUGUCCACAAAUUCCAAAUUUCUGUUGUACUUUUACAACAAAGCACUUUUCAUAAUCUAUACUUACUCUUCCUAAAAGUAUUGUUAGAAUUAUUGAAUGAAUCCAAAUUUGAUUUGUCCAUUAACCACAGAGUUACUACUAAUUUUAUUUUUCAAGAAGAAGAAUGAAUCAAAAUCACGAUCAUAAUGUCAAGUUGUACCCAAAUUCCAAAUUUGAAACCGACUCUCUAAAACAAAUCACUUCUCAAAACCUAUAUUUGCAAGAAUCCUAAAAGUCCCGUUAGAAUUAUUUGAAUGCAAAUUAUCAAUCCGAGACCAUUUGUACCCGCGAAAUGUUCUAUUAGAUUCAAUCAUCUAACUUACCAGGAGCCAUGUAGCCAUAAGAUCCAGCCACAAAUAAGGCUGGAAACUCGCAUGAACCGGAAAGCAGCAACCUAGUCCGGUGAGCCUGAAAUAGGGCAUGGGCACAAAAAAGCGCGGUCGGCCGAGAGUCCCUACCCAGCUCGCGGCGUUGGACGGCGGACGAGCUCAAUAGAUCGGGCUACGUCCGUCCGCCUCGCUCGUCUCCUAGUCGGGAUCCUCGGGAAGCGGACCCCAAAUGGGGAAAAACCAAGACGGCCCGAACAGGGACCUACCAUGGCCUCGAAGUGGACAAGGAGCGGCGGCGGAUCAUCAGUUUUGGUUCGGAAGUGGAGGUCAACAGCGGCUCUCUCAGUCGCGUUCUCUCUCUCUCAACUCACGGUCUCUCUUUCACGGCCCUCUCUCCUCCGGAUCCGAAUCCCUCUCGCGUCGUACUUGACCCCCUUCGAUUUCUCCCUCCUCCCCAACCUCCGACCUUCUAUUUAUAGGCUAAGAAGGCCGGUCGGCGGAGGUGCUUCGGCCGCCAGUCCUUCAUGCGCCGACCGGCCCCCCUUCGCUGAACCAGCAUCACAUCACCCGUCGCCUCCACCGCCGCCUGCUCUGCUUUGCGCCUACUCUACUCCUUCUGCUACGGCCGCCCUCGCUGGCCUGACGAAGAAGCGGGGAAUGAGGAAGGAGGGGCCGGGCCAGGGUGAGAAGCACAAGCAGAGUGGGCCCUAGGCCCACUCGGGGAAGAAAGGUGAAAAGAGGGGGGCUAAGGCGAAGGCCCAGCCGCCGUGGGCCCUUUUUUUUAUAAAUACUAUUAAAUAGGGUUAAAUAAGAGAAAAUAAAACUUAAAAUGCAAAUAAUAUUAAUGCUUAUAUGAUGUGAAAAUCGUUUUUAUUAGGGUUAAAUUGAUUCCAAAUUUUUUUAUAUAAUUUUAAUUAUAGAUGUUUAGUCAAAAUUUAAGUAUCAAUAAAUGUAAAUCUCAAACUGUAAGAGUUAAAAUAAAAAAUAAAAGAAUUAAAGAAGAGACAAGUGCAGUUGCAGCUUUAUCCCAUCUUGUAACAAAAAUUGUUUACGAAAGUCAAAAAUUUAACGAACAUCACGUGCUCUAACUUUAAUUGAAUUAUUGUAAGCCCACGAAUCCCUCGUUGAAGUCAUCCUUUGAUGUUACAUAUAUAAAUGAAUCGAAAUUUGUCUAUAUGUUAUACGUAGUGACACGUGUAAUGCAGUGUGGCUUUUUUGAUAGGACAAAUAUCCCCACAUCACCAAUUACCUCUGAUUAGGGCAAGUUCUUUCAAGUAAGGACCCUGUCUUUUUUCUUCUUCUUUUUUGAUAAUAUCCCUAUUAUUGUUCAUGACAUGUUUCUUUUCCAAAUUAAUUGGAAUAUAUAAUUUUAAUGGAUCAGAUCGCUACUUUAAAUGGGAGUAUGAGUCUUUCAAAUGCCUAUGAUAUAUUAUUAUCAAUAGUCACACACGAAUAACAUGCCAGUUGAUGCUACGGUGUGACACAUAAUAAAUAAAGAUGAAAAGCUAGAUUUUAGUAAAACAAAUUCAAAAAUGAGUUUGAGUGUUGAGAUUAUUUAUUGACAUGGACAUCAACCUAUAGCAUCUCCUUUUACUAAUGAACAGGGCUUGGAUUAAAUAAUCAACCUAGUGAUAUUCUAAAAUAGCUCCUUUUUGCCUUGCUCUUCUAGCUUUGGACAUCACUUUAUUUAUUUUUUAAUUUUCUUGGAAUCUUAUUUGGUGAAAUCUAUACAUGUUCAUCGAAAGUGCACGAUCUAAAAGAUUUCAUCAGUGUCAUAGCCACAACCAAGAAGUAUGUAUGAUAUAUAUAUAUUAGAAUACCAAACUACAUUCUAGGCAACCGUGCAUUUAAGUACCACAAGAGUUGUAUUUAGAUCCCACAUCAACUAAAAGAACACUAACAUUCGGACCAAUAUCUAAUCACUUGUGGAUUGCCGACUAUGAAACCAUAAAGGAGUAACUAUAUAUAUUAAUCCUAGCUAGGAUUCCCUACAUUUCUACAUGGGUAGGCAUUUAAAUGAUCAAUGAGAGAGAGAGAGAGAGAGAGAGAGAGAGAGAGAGAGAGAGAGAGAGAGAGAGAGAGAGAGAGAGAGAGAGAGAGAGAGAGAGAGAGAGAGAGAGAGAGAGAGAGAGAUUAUAUAUAAAUCAUAAUUCAAAGUGACGAUCUACUCUCUUAAUAAUGAUGAUGACGAUGAUAAUUAUAUAAAAUUGAGAGGAUAAAAAAAAAAAAUUGGCCUGGUAGAGCCUGUAAAGAACUACACAAUACAUCGGGAUGAUCAUUAGAUGAAAGUGCAUGCUUACAACAUUGAAAAUCAUUUUGUAGGGUAUAGAUCUACCAAAUUGUUCAAACAUUGUUUUAAUGGUUUCCCUUGGAUGAAAGAUUCUUCGUCUAACACAUGAUUUACUUAAUUUAAUUAGUCCAAGAGAGAGAUACACCACCCACGUGCCCCAUAAGCAACGAGGAAUUUGUCUAAUAUGUUAUGAUGUACAAGACCAUACAAUCUCAUUCGCUCUUUUGAUAAAUAUAAAUUAACAUGCAAUCAAUGAAUUAAGAUCUAAUGUUAUUAAGAUUUUUUACGUGUGCACACGUGGUUUUGGUCUAAUAGAUCAAACCAACAUACAACGUCAACUCAGACGGACACAUUUUUGGUCAUUCACUCUUCUUGAUAAAAAUCCCCUUGAAGGCCAAAUGUCUGAUAACCCUCGAUACUUGACAUCUUAAAGUUUACUUAGCAAAGGUUCAAUAAGUCAGGUUUUGGAAGGGUCAUUUGGAGUAUUACAGGUCGGAACGGGUAAAACGAGGAUCUCUAUAAAGUUAACCACCUUGCUAGAGUUGCAUUUGAUGAAUGAAUUUUUCCCCAACUGAAAUUCUUUUAGAGCAUAAGUUAACAAGACAAUCGCAAAAUUGUCGUCAAAUAAAGCGCCCGGGCCAAAAGCGGAUUGAUCACGAUGAUUUUUGCAUUGAAGUGGUGAAAAAGCUUGGUCGAGAGCUAAUUGGGAGAAAGAGAGAGCUCAAACUUUAGGAUAAGCAAUUUUGUGGCUAAUCAUAGAAACUACAAAAGGUUUUGGCCUCCACUUCUGAACCAGGUCUGCUCUCACGUGCACGCGGACCCUGGUCUGUGUCUCGGCCUCUCAAGUCCCUCUCUCCUGUUCUUCAAUCUCCACUUUCCGUCACCCAUUAAUCCCAUCUUCCUCGUUGACAUGAAGUCAUUAACAUUCGAUUUGAUCCCCAGAAAGAGAAAUCAACACUUAUCCCAUGAAUCAAAAGCAAAUACUAUGGAAUCGGUGUCCCAUGAGGUUGAUCUUAUAUGAUAACGUCUUUGUAUCGGCUACAUACAUUAUGUGCAAAUAAAGUGUAAUUAUACUAUCAUAUUUUUUGUUAAUUCACCUCUUUGAUCCGAUAUUAUUUGUUGACAUUGCCCUUAAAGAAUCAAGACAUGACAUCCUCGUUAGUUGAUUGAUAUAUGACAAGGGUCGACAAAAAAGACAGCAUCUAAGUUAACAAUUUGAGAAGAUUAAUGUUUGUGAUGGAGGGUAUUGACUUAUUACGUGGCAAAAUCUUUCCGACAUCAUACAAUUAGCUGUCAAGCAAGCUUUUUUGCCUUUUGCUUUUCAAAAAACAAACAAUCACAAGUUUUUAAAGAUCAAAUGCCCAUUUAGUUGAUGGAAAACUGUUUAUGGAAAAGCUUUCCAUAUUCCAAUAUUUAGAUGAUAGAAAAUUAUUCAAUCUACCGAAAGUGUUUUAUGUGGAUUGAAGAUAAUAAAUUUAUAUUUGGAAAAAAAAAAACUUCUGUUUAUGGUAAGAAAUAAUAGAUAAUAAUUUUUUUGAUAAUUCUUAUAGAUUAAAUUAGCCUAAAUUAGACUUUAUUAACGCAUAUUAGCAGAUUCACUUGCUAUCAAACACCAUAAAAUUAAUUUUUCUCCAACAUGUUUUGGCACGAGCGAACACUAGAAAAUUAUUUACUUUCUCUGGAAUUAAAUUUUUUGAAAAUACUUUUGAGCGAUAAAUUUUCGCUAAAAUAAGCGCACCCAAGCGACAUAUUUGUUAACCUUGUUCUCCUUCUCUCCUUCUCUCUCUCUGCUACAGCUGCUCUUUCUUCUUCUUUUUUUUUUUUUUGGUCGAAAAAGGAUUACUAUGAAAUUACUUAGCCACGGUUUGAGACAAAACAUCAAAAGCAUUGGUGCAUAAUAAGUCUAGUAGAGCGGGCGGGGGAUGAAACAACUAAUUAGAGGGAAUGUAACUAAAUCGACAGGCCUUUGCGAGCCAAUCGGCGGGACCGAUUUGCUGUUCUAUUGCAGUGGGCCAGGGAGAUGUCACAGAAUUCCUGUAGUUUCGCUUGGGCCUGGUCCAGGAGCGGUUGAAGCUACCAGUUCACUUCCGUCGAAGCCGUAACCCCCUGCACGAGUGGAAGACAAUCUGACUAUACUUGCAGGGAGAGUUCCGCACGGUUAGAGAGUAGAUCUAGGGUUUCAAGCAGAGCCAAAGCUUCCGCAUGUGCUGUCGAAGCCGCAUCCACCAAUUUCGCGAAGCCAUCCACAAGACAUCCUCGGUAGUCCCUGCAGAUACAUGCUACUGCUGCUCUGUUUUGCGUUUCUCCUCCGGCAUCUGCUUCCAUGGCGUUGAGCUCGGCAAAUGAAGCAUCUAUAUUAAAUUUCAGCGUAUGAGGGGGCGGAGGUUGCCAACGAUCUGGUAUGGCUUUUAUCUUCCUUUCAUCUACUUGUUGUUGGCUCACAGAUUUGAGGUUAUCGCAGAGAGCUUGCGCCUGAAUUAAAACUUGCUGCGGGUGCAGGGGACAACUCUCGAAGAGGUACUGAUUUCAACCCUUCCAAAUACUCCAGAGGAAAGCCACGACUUGGUCAAACUUCUUAGUAUGGGUAGGGUUGGUUUUGAGAUUGUCUAACCAGUCAUCGAGGCGUGUUAACCCAUAUCUGGAUAUUUUGAUCUAUAGGGGCGCGGAACUCCAAAUCUGAUUUGUCCAUGGACAGAGUAGAAGAAUAUGUUCAGUGGUUUCAGCUUCUUUGCUGUAGAUAGAGCAUAUAGGAUCCGGUUACUAGCUUUCUUCUAUAUAAGUUUUCCCUUGUAGGAAGAGCAUUAUGACAUGCUUGCCAGAGAAAGAAUCUGAUUUUUGGAAGGGUUUUAGCUUGCCAAAUGUGUUUCCAGAGAUCUGGAUUUAUAUGAUGCGAUGAGGUUGCUGUUGGGUUUGUGCUUGUUGGGUUAUCUCUGACUGUGAAGUAGCCACUUUUCACUAAAUAGAUACCAGAGUUAUUAUGCAUCCAGACUAGCUUGUCUUUUGAAUCUGGCCUUCCAAUAGGAGUAGCAAGAAUUUCCUUCAUGAUUUUGUCAUCAAACAUCGACUCCACCCUAUGAACAUUCCAUUUGCUAGUCCCUUGUUCAAUUAGUUCUGCCACAUGUUCUGGUUCAUUUCUUGUUGCUGAGCCUCCAAUCAAACCACUUUUUAUCAAUUUAUCUGCUCUUAUCGAUAGUUUUUUCCCAUUCCCAACUAAGUACAUAGUGUGUGGACUUAUAGAAUCCCUACGCCGAGUUAUACUUUGCCAACCCCAUGAAGGUCGGGAGCCUUUUCUAGCUUUCCAGAAGUCUCCAUGCGGAUAGUAUAGGCCUUUCAUCACUCUGCUCAAUAAGAACUAGGAAUUUUGUGAGAUGCGCCAAGCUUGUUUCCCCAACAUAGCUGUAUUGAAUGCUAUUAAGUCUUUAAAGCCUAGGCCCCCCUCCUUCGUUCUAAGUUUCAAUGCUUCCCAAUUCUUCCAGUGUAUUCCAGCAUUUCUACUAUUCGUUUUCCACCAAAAGUUAGCAAUCCUCCUCUCAAUAGCUUUGCAUAUGGAAAUAGGGAUCUUGAAUAUGGACAUGGCAUAUUGAGGGAUAGCAUGUACAACUGAUUUUAUUAAAAUUUCCUUCCCUACUUUUGAUAACAGAUGUUUCUUCCAGCUUUCUAACUUUCUGUUUACCCUCGCAAGGAUCCAUGCGAACAUAUCUUUCUUUGAGCAGCCCAAAUCCGUCAGAAUCCCUAAAUAUUUCCCUGUUUUUUCAAUUUCUGGAACUCUCAAUUCAUUGGCCAUGUUCCUCCUCAAAGUAAUAGGACAACAUUUACUAAAAUAUAUACCAGAUUUGUUGAGAUUAAUAGCCUGACCAGAAGCAUAACAAUAUUCAUGUAGGAUAGCCACCAGGUUUUGGCAUUCUAGGAUUGUACCAUGAAGGAAGAAAAUUGAAUCAUCUGCAAAUAGCAAAUGCGAUAGAGUGGGGCAGCUAUUAUUUAGCUUAAUUCCUCUAAUAGUGCCAUCUUCUACUAUUUUUCCCAUCAUGUAGGAUAGAACAUUGGCAACUAAUAUGAAGAGAUAUGGGGACAGAGAGUCACCUUGUCGAAUUCCACGUGUUGGCUUGAAAAAAGGUAGAGACUCCCCAUUAAAAUUCACACUGAAAGUUACUGUUCAGACACGCUGCAUCACCCAAUGUACCCACUGUUCGCAGAAUCCCAUUUUAGUUAGGCAUGCACUAAGGAAAUCCUAUUCAAUCCUGUCAUACGCCUUCUGCAUAUCUAGCUUUAAGACUGCUUGGAACUUCUUUUUUCUCUCCCGAGUGCGUAAUCUGUCAAGAACUUCCUGUACCAGCAAUAUAUUAUCUUGUAUUAGCCUUUCCCCCACAAAAGCACUCUGCUCUUCUGCAAUUAGAGUUGGUAGCAGGGGUUUUAAUCUGCUAGUCAGCACUUUUGAAAUAAUUUUAUAAAUGAAAUUACAAAGGCUAAUGGGGCGAAACUGUUCCAGCUUUUGUGGAUUUGAAACUUUGGGAAUAAGAGUAAUGAGCAUUCUGUUCAUAGUCGGAUUGAGAUAGCCUGUAUUGAAAAAUCCCUGUAUCUCUGUAUAGAUAUCCUGACAGAUGUCUGGCCAAUGUUUCCUAAAAAAAAAAGGCCAUGCAUACCAUCUGGUCCUAGGGCUUUUCGUGGGCUCCUAAUUGUUGUAUGCCUUGCGUGAUCUCUUCCAUAGAAACAGGUUCUACUAGACGUUGGUUCAUUCUCACAUCCACCGAAGCUGGAAUUUGUUGUAGAAAGGGUUGAAAGUCACAAGGCCCUAUUGACUCGUAAAGCCUUUGAAAUAUGUGCUUGUCAUCUCUUUCAAUCGUUGUUCAUCACGCACCCACACAUCUUCUGGAUUUUCAACAAAGUAACAUGAUUUGUGGUUCUUCUUUGAAUGGUUGUAGCGUGAAAGAAUUUUGUAUUUUUAUCUCCCCAUGCUAACCAAUUAAUUUUGAAUCACAUUCCCCAAUACAUUUCUUCUUGUCGCCACAACUAUUCAAUUUCUUUUGUCAGUGCCUGUGCUGCCUUGCUUUCUUGAGAUACCCAUUGUUGGAGAAAUCCUCGUGAAGUGUUUUGAAGUUGACAAAACGUUUCCAUCAGUCUAGUCUGAAGGUCAGCAGACUCUGUUAGUUAAAGUCUGAAGACUUCCGGACAGCCAGACUCAAGACUCAAAGUCUAUCCUCAUUGACUGUCUCUAAUCCGUUGAAGAAAGGUUAUCCAGAACUGGAUGUUUUGUUCAGGAUUUAUCCUUAUCAUCUGGAGAAGAUCUCGUGGCUGGAGAAGACGUAUCAGAAUCCUUUGAUUGAUCAAGAUUGAUUCAAUGACUGAAGAUUCGAUGAUUGUCUAAAUAUUAUUGGAAGGUUCUACUUAUGGAAACCAAGAUCCUGAUUGUAUGGGCGAACAGGAUUGAUGGGCUAUCAACACAUUCCUUUAAUAGCUCGAACAAUCUUCCUAGAUGAUUCCGUCCAACGGGUAGAUUGGAGGAAUUCCUUUAGUAAGUGCCAACGGGUAUGAUGGCAUAAAGGAGUAUAUAAGGAAGACGUUCUUAGCUGUUCGAGGUGUGCGCGAUAGAAGAAUUCCAAAGUCUGAAGCUCCAAAUUGUUUAGACAAAUCCUUUGAGCGAAUACUUGUAUACAAAAGAGAGUCUAUAUUUGUGAGAGACCUUGAGGAGGUGUGGUAAAACAUCUACACUGUGGAAUCAAGGCAAAGCUGUGCUGUAACUUCUCUUUUGAUCAUAGUGAAAUCCAGCCGGUGGGCUGUCAGUGUGGAAGAGUGGACGUAGGCUUGGAAUAAGCCGAACCACUAUAAAUCUUGUGUUCAAUUUUCUUUUCCUUACUCUCUCUACCUCAAUCGUAUUUCAUUUCGUUAAUUAAGAGAGAAUUUACCUUCCAUCAUAUGUUAAGAAUCGCUUCCGUAUAUCGAUAAAGUAUUUAGGCACCUAUUCACCCCCCCUCUAGGUACUCAUACUAGCAAUAUCAAUUGGUAUCAGAGCUCGUGUACUCACUUUGUUUGAAGUGUUUUACUUCAGAGUUAAAGAUCCAUGGCUAGUAUGCUAGCACCAGGGCUGAUGGAAGGGCAAAGCAAUACCAGACCACCCUACUUUGAUGGAAAGGAUUACAACAUCUGGAAGAACAAGAUGAAAGCUUUCCUACGAUCAAAGGAUCCUCUGGAAUGGGACGUUGUAGAAAAAGGAAUUACUCCUACCACUGCAUCAGUCUCUGAAAGAGGAAAAGAAACUGAAGAAAUCAGCGGAAUGUCUCAGGAAGAAAUAAUCAAGAGACAGACUCUCGAUGCGAAAGCAAUUUACUCCUUAUAUUGUGCUUUAUCACCAACUGAAUAUAAUAGAAUAUCUUCUUAUGGUACAGCAAAAGAAGUUUGGGACAGAUUGCAUAUCACCUAUGAAGGAACAGAUCGAGUGAAGGAAACAAGAAUCAACAUUCUUCUCGGUCAAUACGAAGCCUUCAGAAUGAAACCAGGAGAAUCAAUAUCUGACAUGUUUAGUCGUUUUACAGAUAUUGUGAAUGGUCUUGAAAAUCAAGGUCAACCAACUUCUGACCCCAUGAAGGUAAACAAGCUACUGCAUGGACUCUCCAGGGAUUGGAAUCACAUAAAGACUUCGAUAAGAGAGACGCAGAGAAUCAUGCCACUAUCUGUCGAUGAGCUGAUUGGAACUCUUCAGUCCUAUGAAGUGGAAAGGAUCAAUGAAGAUGAAGAUCCAAAAGGUAAGAAAUCCAUAGCAUUAAAAUCAAAUGAUGAUUCUGAUGUUACAGAUUCUGAAGAUGAUAUGGACGAUGAGGAGCUUGCUCUCAUGAUAAGAAGAUUCAGAAAACUGAAUAGAAAAGGAAGAAGGUUCAACUCAAAGAAACAAAGCUUUCAAAGACAGCAGACCAAGUCUGUUGAUGAUGAGGAACCAAAUAAAGAUGUAGUCUGCUUCGAAUGCAAGAAAAAGGGACACAUCAGACCCAACUGUCCUCUUCUGAAGAAGAAGAGAGGAAAAUCUGAAAAAUUUCGAAAAGCUCUCAAAGCUGAAACCUGGAGUGAUACUGAGUGUGAAGAAAGUGAUAAUGAAUAUGCCAAUCUAUGUCUGAUGGCACAAUCAGACUCAGACUCUGGAUCAGACUCAGACAGUGAAUUUAAGGCAAGUGAUUUUAAAAUUCCUGUUAAAGUUUCUAAAUAUAUUAAUGAACUAUGCCUUAGUCUUAAGACUUCUCUCAAAAGAAUUUCCGAACUGAAAAAAGAAAACUCAGCUCUAAAUCAAAAGGAAAAUGUUUUAGCAGAAAGAGUUAAAAGUCUAGACCUGUCUAUUUCCAAUCUUAAAGAAAAUGAAGAUAAUCUUUUAAAAGAAAAUGCUUUUUUAAAAACAGACUUAUCAAAUAUAUCAAAGAAAUUUUCUAUAGGGUCUGAAAAACUUGAGAAAAUUCUUUCAGCACAAAGACCUUACUUCAAUAAGUCUGGUCUAGGUAUGACAGAAGAAACAAUUCCCUUGAUUGAUUUUCCUAAAGUAAAAGAAAGAAUUAAGAAAAGACUCUCGAGUGAGGUUUACAAAAAUCACUUCAAGAAAGUUUUUGUAAAACCUGUAGGUAGAAAUGCUCUCAGAUGUUCUAAGUGCAACAGCCCGGAUCACUUUGAAAAAAAGUGUCCUAUGGUAUGGAAACCUGUUAAGAAAGUAUGGGCUAAUACUGUUUAUCUUACUAACACCAAAGGACCCAAGAAAAUUUGGGUACCAAAGAAAGCUUGAGACUUUAUUUUAAAUGCAGGUCUCCGUCAAGAAACAGGUAAAGUGGUAUCUUGACAGUGGAUGUUCAAGACACAUGACAGGAGACUCAAAUUGCUUUAUAAAGCUUGCUCAAGUAAAUGGUGGAAAAGUUUCAUUUGGAGGAAACAACAAAGGAAGUAUUGUGGGUUUUGGAACCGUGAAAAUCGAAUCUCUCACAAUAAGUAAUGUUUCCUUAGUGGAAGGACUCAAUUACAAUCUUCUCAGCAUUCGUCAAUUGUGUGAUACUGGUUUCAAGAUCUUCUUUCAAGAAGGAACAUGUUCUGGAAUCAGUAAAGACUCUACUCAGUCUUUCAUGGGUCGAAGACAUGGUAAUAUCUAUCUUCUAGAUGUGAAACCAAAUGAAUCGCAAUGCCUUAUCUCAAUUCAAGACGAAGCAAGCUUAUGGCAUAAAAAGCUUGGUCAUGUCAACAUGAAGCAAUUAGCCAAAAUCUCUUCAAAACAGCUUGUUCGAGGUCUACCCAGAUUACCAUACCAAAAGACUGAUUCAUGUACUCCAUGUAUUCUGGGAAAGCAGGUAAGAAAUUCUUUUAAGCCAAUUAAUUAUGUCUCUACUAAUCAUGUACUACAGUUGCUGCAUAUGGAUCUCUUCGGACCAACCAGAACUCAAAGUAUUGGGGGUAAGAAGUAUUGCCUAGUAAUUGUUGAUGAUUACUCCCGUUUUACUUGGGUAUAUUUCCUUGCAAGUAAGUCCGAAACCUUUUAGUAUUUUGAAAAAUUUGCUAAAGUGAUUCAAAAUGAAAAAAGGAUGUGUUAUCUCUAGUAUAAGAACAGAUCAUGGAGGUGAAUUUGAAAAUCAAGAUUUUACAAAAUUCUGUGAUGAAUCUGACUGUAAGCAUAUGUUUUCCUCUCCAUAUACUCCUCAGCAAAAUGGAGUUGUGGAAAGAAAGAAUAGAUCUCUUCAAGAAAUGGCUAGAACUCUUUUAAUUGAAAGUAAAAUUUCUUCUCGAUUUUGGGCCGAAGCUGUUUCAACAGCUUGCUAUAUCAUCAAUAGAGUCUUCUUAAGAUCUAUUCUUCAUAAAACCACUUAUGAGUUAUUCAAAGAAAAGAAGCCUAUUGUUUCAUACUUUCAUGUAUUCGGUUGCAAAUGUUUUAUUUUGAAAAAUGCAAAAGAUCGAGUUGGUAAGUUUGAAGAAAGAUCAGAUGAAGGUAUCUUUCUUGGAUAUUCUACAUCAAGCAAAGCCUACAGAGUCUAUAACAAGAAGAGCCAGACUGUGGAGGAGUCAAUGAAUGUCAAAUUUCAAGACUCAACACAAGAUGAAUCAACUCAGACUCAUCAAGAAGAGUCUGAACCUGCUCCAGACCCUCCAAAGUCUACAACUCAAGAAGCAUCUAAGACUCUGGAAAACCAGCUUCAAGAUGUUCGUGAAGAUCCAAACAAAGAAAGAAAUCAUCAACCAGACAAAUCAACGAGUAACUGGAAGCAUAAGUCCAGUCAUCCCAAAGAUCUUAUAAUCGGCGAAAUUAAUGAAGGAAUUCGCACCAGAUCCAAAAGGCGAGAAGAGUCUAGUGCUGUGGCACUCGUUUCUGAAAUUGAACCAAAGAGCAUAGAAGAAGCUUUAUCUGAUGAAAGCUGGAUAGAAGCUAUGCAAGAAGAGCUCAGACAGUUCAGCAUAAAUGAUGUCUGGGAAUUGACAUCUAAACCAAAAGGUAAAACUGUUAUUGGAGCUAAAUGGGUGUUCAGAAACAAGAUGAAUGAGAAAGGAAAAGUCGUACGAAAUAAAGCAAGACUCGUGGCCAAGGGAUAUACGCAAGAAGAAGGAAUAGACUAUGAUGAGACUUACGCUCCAGUGGCAAGGUUAGAAGCUAUUCGACUAUUACUUGCGUUUGCCUGUUAUAAGAAUUUCAGGUUAUUCCAAAUGGACGUCAAAAGCGCCUUCCUAAAUGGAUUUAUCCAUGAGGAAGUUUAUGUGGAACAACCACCAGGGUUUGAAGACCCAAAGAAGCCAGACUCAGUCUUCAGACUGAAAAAGGCUUUGUAUGGUUUAAAGCAAGCACCCCGAGCUUGGUACGACAGAUUGAGUAAGUUUUUAAUUCAAAAUGGUUUUGUCAAAGGUAAAGUGGAUACAACCUUAUUUAUCAAAAAGGAAAACAAAAGUUUCUUACUUGUUCAAAUAUAUGUGGAUGACAUUAUUUUCGGAUCCUCUAAUGAGAAUCUGUGCAAGAAAUUUUCUAAGUCUAUGCAGGAUGAAUUUGAAAUGAGUAUGAUGGGAGAAUUAACAUUCUUUCUUGGUCUUCAAGUAAAACAAUUGGAGGUAGGAACUUUUAUUUAUCAAGAAAAAUAUGCUAAUGAUCUUGUCAAAAGGUUUGGACUGGAAAAUUGCAAAAAGGUCGACAUUCCAAUGUCAAGUUCUUUAAAGAUAGACAAAGAUGAAGAAGGGAAGAAAGUUGAUCAAAAGCUGUACAGGAGCAUUAUUGGAUCACUUCUUUAUCUUACUGCCUCUAGACCUGAUAUUUUGUUGAGUGUUUGCAUCUGUGCUAGGUUUCAAUUAGAUCCUAGAGAAUCUCAUCUCAGUGCUGCAAAACGCAUCAUUAAAUACGUCGCUUCAUCAUCAAGCAUUGGUCUUUGGUAUCCUAAGAAGGGAGACUUUAAUCUUCUGGGAUAUUCAGACGCAGAUCUGGCCGGUUGCAGAGUUGAUAGAAAGAGCACUUCAGGAACUUGCCAGUUGCUUGGAAGCAGGACAGUGUCUUGGUUUUCAAGGAAACAAAGCACUGUGUCUCUUUCAACAACAGAAGCAGAGUAUGUAGCUCUUGGAAGCUGUUGUUCGCAAAUUCUAUGGAUAAAACAACAGCUGAGAGACUUUGAAAUUGAAGACUCAUGCACGGAGAUUAAUUGUGACAACACCAGUGCUAUCAACCUCACCAAAAAUCCAAUUCUCCACUCAAGAGCAAAGCAUAUAGAGAUUCGACAUCACUUUAUAAGAGACCAUGUUCAAAAUGGAGAUGUUUCAAUUCAAUUUGUUGACUCAAAGAAUCAACUGGCGGAUAUAUUCACAAAGCCUUUGGAGAAAAUUCAAUUUGAGUCUAUACGCUCCAGACUCAACAUUUUGAGGUAUGAGGAUAUCAAAGUCUAAACACUUUCAGACUCAGGCUAGCAAGACUUUAUCUACUGUCUUGGCUCGACCUUCAGACUGUAAGUCUUUCUCUCUCCAAUAUUAUCUUGAAAAGGUACGAUCAUCAGACUGUGUUUAAAGUAUUGCAUCGAUUCAUUUUCAAAAAGGUAGUUAUUUUUGAAAUGGCUAUUUUUGCGGAAAAAGACAGUUAUUUUGAAAAGGCAUAUUUUUAUUUCCUUUGUGACGGUUCGUUUACUCUUCUUUUUAACCGAUUGUGCACUGUCGAUUUCUCUUCAUUUUUCUAUUCACUUUUCUCUCAAAAACCCUAGAAAGCAUCGAUCCUCAAUUCCCGUUUGUCUUCUUCGCUCAAUCUUCAAAAAGUUGUCAUCUUUUCUGGGAAAGUCAAGCAAUGAAUCUUCCAAACACUGAGAAAGAUGUCAUCUUCACGAAAGUCCUCAAGAAUCGCAAGCAGGGGACCACAGAGAAUGAGUGAGGGGCUUACGCACUUCGAUCUUACAGAGGAGGAAGAGAAUCCUGAACAGCAAGCGAGCCCACAACUUUCUCAGCAGCGUCAUUCUUCACCAUCUAGUCCUCAAGGAGAUGAUCAUCAGCAACAGGAAGAAAUCAUCGAGGAUGCAGACCCCGUAAGAGUUCAAAAGCCCGCUUUUAUUUACAAGCUUUAUCGUGCCUUAAAAGGAAUUCGUACUCCUUUGAACUAUGUUGAUGAGUUUCUUAGAGACAAAGGAUAUAGGAACGAAUAUAUCUUUCUGCGAAAAAUGGAAAGUAUGGGAAUCGCUCGUAAAGGGGUGGCUGAGGAAACCCUUGCAAAUAUCCCAAGUGAUCCUCGUGAUUGGGGACCGAAUCCUGUAGAUGGGAAUGACGAUGACAAUCUGUUCAGUCUAUUUCAACCGAAAAUGGGUAUUGCGACUGAAAUUCAAGGAAAAAGGGGAGAUUUGUUCAGAUCAAAGGAACAAAAGGAUUUGUACUCGAAACUGCUGAAGCGUGGGGUAAUAAACCCUAGAAGUGUGGACUUUGAUUUUCUGGAUGCUAUGAAAGUGAACUUGAGGGAAAAGUUCAGUUAUCUUCAACUUGAAAAGUUUUGCUCUGACUCAACUGAGGCCUAUGCUGGAUUAACUGCUUAUUUCUAUUCAAAUCUUAGCUUUUUGGAUGCGAAUAGAUUCUCUUUCAGCGUUAAAGAUCAAGACUAUGUUGUGGAUAUGGACAUGCUGGCAGAUGUGUUAGAAGUUGAGAGAGGCAGAUAUCAACCAAUCAAAGUUUCCAUUGCUGGGGCCACACUUGAACUGGUGAAGGACAGGAGAACAGAUGAGAAGAUCACCUACUCACGGAUGAAUGCAUUCAACAUCUUGCUCCACAAGAUUGUGAUCAAUUGCCUUCGGCCGAAAUCAACUUCCAAAACUGAUGUUUCAAGCUCUGAGGCAAAGUUGAUGUAUGCCAUCCUCUGUGGUAAGAAGUUUUCUCUCCCUCAUACUGUUAUGUUUCACAUGUAUAGAGCAGUGAUGAAGGACAGAGGUCAACUCCCUUACCCAAGCCUUGUUACAAAGUUAUUCAGACAUCUGAAUAUUUAGCCUCCGCAAAUCUUUUGUGUUCGAUCAUGCGAUCAUAUGGUGGUAGGACUGAAAAUGGUGACCAAAAUGCGUCUGAAGGAACUGAGCAAGGAAUUGGAGAAAUUCAAGGAGAAGACUCCUUCCAAAUCUCAUCAACUCUCUUCUGCUGCUAAGAGAAAAGGGAAGGAGCCCAUGGUUGCUUCAUCAAAGAGAAGAAGAGCUCUCCUUGUUGAGGAUGAAGAUGAUGACGAAGACAUCACUAUCUCUGCAUUGGCCUUGAAGAAUUUAGGUCGUCCUGUUCCACAGAAAGAAUCGGAACAAAAGACGAAAGAAGCAGAGGAGAAGGAAGAAGAAGAAAGAGAAGCAGAGGAGAAGGAAGAAGAAGAAACAGAAGCAGAGCAAGAAGCAGAGAAAGAAAGACCUGAAGAAGAAACAAGAAAAGAAGGAGAACCUGAGGAAAUCUUUUCUCCACCUGAAGGCAUGGAAACAGGGGGAGAUAAGGAGAAAGGAAUGACGUCUUCAUAUCCUGAUGCAAGUGAAGGAGUCAGUCGCUCGCCUGCAGACCCAGAAGAUGUUUAUGCAUCUCAAUUUCCAGAGGAAUGUCAUGAAGUGUCAUCGCCAAAUCUGCAAGACUAUGCUGAUCUACCAUCUUCUGCAGAUCGAGCCGAAGCAAGUACUCAGACUGAUAAUAGAGCAGAUUUUCGCAGAAUCAUGGAUAUUCUCUUGGAGAUGAAAGGUCAGAUUUAUGCCUUGGGAUGCGAAGUUCAAAGUUUGAAGACUGAAAGUCAAGCUUCUUCCUGUUCAUUGAAUGAUAAGAUGCAAGCCCUCUCUAUUCAGAAUCAGGCCAAUGCCAAGAGUGAGGAGGUUGUUUAGCUGAAGGAAGACUUUAAAAGGCUGGAAGGCAUCGUUCAGUCUAUGGAAGAUUUCCAGCUUGUCCGCAUUCCCAAGACUUCAUCUCAUCCUUUUUAAUGAUGACAAAAAGGAGGAGAGAUGCAUGAUUUGAUCAAAAACUUUCAAUCAUUUUUUUUUGAACUGUUUGUUGGAUUGUGUUGUUGUUUAACUAUUUUUAACAGACUUUGACUUUGUUUUGUGUCUAGAUAAGAUCUGAACUAGACUUGGACUUGACUGCUUCUAUUAACAAGUAUUGAUAUCUUAUGGAUGGUUUUAUUAUAUACAAGACUAACCUAUUUUCUGUGGUUGCAUAUUCUAGUGUUAAUCUUUUAGCCAUUCAUCUCUAUAAGAUAUGCAUAUGUGUUUGAGAAAUGUUUUGCAGGUCAAUGUUAUCCAAAUCUGCAGGAAGGUUUUGUCACCAUCAAAAAGGGGGAGAUUGUUGGAGAAAUCCUCGUGAAGUGUUUUGAAGUUGACAAAACGUUUCCAUCAAUUUAGUCUGAAGGUCAGCAGACUCUGUUAGUUAAAGUCUGAAGACUUCCGGACAGCCAGACUCAAGACUCAAAGUCUAUCCUCAUUGACUGUCUCUAAUCCGUUGAAGAAAGGUUAUCCAGAACUGGAUGUUUUGUUCAGGAUUUAUCCUUAUCAUCUGGAGAAGAUCUCGUGGCUGGAGAAGACGUAUCAGAAUCCUUUGAUUGAUCAAGAUUGAUUCAAUGACUGAAGAUUCGAUGAUUGUCUAAAUAUUAUUGGAAGGUUCUACUUAUGGAAACCAAGAUCCUGAUUGUAUGGGCGAACAGGAUUGAUGGGCUAUCAACACGUUCCUUUAAUAGCUCGAACAAACUUCCUAGAUGAUUCCGUCCAACGGGUAGAUUGGAGGAAUUCCUUUAGUAAGUGCCAACGGGUAUGAUGGCAUAAAUGAGUAUAUAAGGAAGACGUUCUUAGCUGUUUGAGGUGUGCGCGAUAGAAGAAUUCCAAAGUCUGAAGCUCCAAAUUGUUUAGACAAAUCCUUUGAGCGAAUACUUGUAUACAAAAGAGAGUCUAUAUUUGUGAGAGACCUUGAGGAGGUGUGGUAAAACAUCUACACUAUGGAAUCAAGGCAAAGCUGUGCUGUAACUUCUCUUUUGAUCAUAGUGAAAUCCAGCCGGUGGGCUGUCAGUGCGGAAGAGUGGACAUAGGCUUGGAAUAAGCCGAACCACUAUAAAUCCUAUGUUCAAUUUUCUCUUCCUUACUCUCUCUACCUCAAUCGUAUUUCAUUUCGUUAAUUAAGAGAGAAUUUACCUUCCAUCAUAUGUUAAGAAUCGCUUCCGUAUAUCGAUAAAGUAUUUAGGCACCUAUUCACCCCCUCUAGGUACUCAUACUAGCAAUAUCACCCAUGUGCUGUUCAUUAAUUGUUCACUAUUCAGCCAAAUAAUCCUCCUCUUUGCAUUGGUAAAUUUUCCCUGACUCCAUUUUAACAACUUUUUUUUCCACUAUCUGCAGUUUCUCAACCACAUUGAGCUGUUGGAAAUCGGAAGCAGCCCAAGUGUCCCUGACGAGGCUCACACAUUCCUCCUCCUCCGCCCAAAAGGCUUCAUACUUAAAGCUCUUCCUCUUCCUUUGUUUCGAUGGGCAAGUAGAUAGAAUAAUUGGAGUGUGGUCAGAGCCAAUGGCUGGUAUGGCUAUACAUUCUGCUAUAGGAUAUUUAAUACGCCAAUCUGAGUAACAUAAUACUCUAUCAAGACACUCCUUGACCAGAUUUUCUCCUUCUCUUUUGUUUGUCUAGGUGUAAGCACACCCUUUACAUUCCAUAUCCAGCAAAUAACAGUGGUUGAGGAAGUCCUUGAAGGCUGCAAGCCUCUAAUUUGCAGCUCUUUUCUUUCCCACUUUUUCCCAGUGAUAUAGGAUUUCAUUGAAGUCACCCAUACACAACCAUGGCAAGUGAUAACAUUGAGACUUUCUAUUAAUAUUCUCCCAUAAUAGAAUUUGCUCCUUAAAUUCAUUCAAAGCAUGUAUAAAUGAAAUGUGCAUACGUUGGUUGCUGGCUGGUAGAUGGCAUCGGGUGAUGAUAACAUGUUUCGUGAAAGAGUCUAUAGUUAAGAUUACCUCAUCAUCCCAAAAUAUUGCUAAACCCCGCUGUACCUUCUGGAUUCACUAUGAAACAAUGCUGAAAGUGGAGUCUCCGCCUCAAUCUUAACACCUUAUGCUCCUGAUUUUUAAUUUCCAUAAUAAAUAUAAUAUUGGGCCUUUCUUGAGUCGUUAAAACCCUUAAAGCUUGAACUGUCAAGGGAGUGCCCAGCCCUUGACAAUUCCAGCUUAAUAUCUUCAUGGAUGAGUUGGUGGCUUAUUAGGGCUAGCCACCAGAGCCCACUGAGCAGACUUGUUCGCCACACGAAUAGGGGUCUCAACCAGCUGAGUAGUGUCAACCAUUACUGUUUUUUUAUGAUUGUGCACCAUAUGUGCAGAAUCUUUUUUCUUUUUUUGAGGAAGACAAUUUAGCGCUUCUUGUUUUCUCCCUUGUUAGGCCUUUUUCCCUAGCUAUAUUCUCCGCCAUUUCUUCUUCAGCUUCUUUUAACUGUUCUUGAUAUAUCACCAUGACAGAUUCAUCAUCAAGGCAAUUGCUACCUCGCUUCUGGGGGCCCUUCUCUUUGAAGAGUACUAAUUCUUGUGAAGAAAAUGUGGGGUUACCUUCCUUUGAGUUUAGGUUUUCGACAUUGCUCAGUUCACCAAGUUGUUGGGUUUGCUGCAUUACAUUUUGCUGUUGUUCUAGUUUAGGGACCUACUGAAUGGGAGUUUCUGGCACACUUUCCUCCUCCUCUGGCUGUAGUUCUUAUUUGCCAUAGAAAAUUUUUCCAUAUGGACUAAGCUCCCGCGCCUCUGCUCGAAGCCAAUGUCCAAAACGACCUGGUAAGUUCUUUGCUAGCCUUGACUCCUCAUAUGGUAUUUCUUGACAAUAAGUUGCAUAGUGCCUAAUCCUACCACAUGAAUAACAAUAAUGUGGGAGCCUUUCGUACUUAAACUCUACCCACAAUCUUUUUCUGUCAAGAUUCACAAGUACACCGGUUUUGAGGGGGUUUUCCAAAUUCAACUUUACUCUAGCCCUGCCAAUCUUGUAGUUGAUGUUCCCUUUCGCUUCUAACUUUACAUCUACUACAUCUCCGAUUUUGGAUGCUAUUUCCCUGACUACUGCAUCUGUUACUCUCCCGAUGGGUAAGCCAAAGAAAUUUACCCAUAAGUCAUAGUGGUUAAAUUCAUAGCAAAUAUCAGGGGUGUCAGGGUCACAUUGCUUUAAGACUAGUAAAUUACUCCCAAAGGACCACGGCCCUGAAUCGAACACUCGCUGUUUUUCAGCCUCCAACUAGAAAGAAAACGAGAAGUAUCCAAGCUCAACGACAGCACAAGUAAAAGUUUCAUUUUGCCAGGCUUUUUUCAUUAUGCCGAUAAAUGCAUUAAAGUUUGUGGUAGGCUUAUUAAAAAAAACUUCCCAAACAGAGUUUUUCGGCAUGUUUGCAGGUUUUCCUCAAGAAUGUCACCUGUAAUAUCUACAACAUCUUCCUCUGACAAGAGAUUGCCCAAACUCUUACAGAGGGCAUCUUCUUGUAUACAGGAACAUAAUCGAAAUAGAGUAUUAAAGCUGGCCUGAUAGAUUGUGGAACCACUAAAUGCGGGAUGAUGAAAUCCUAUGUGAUUGAAGGGAGCUCUGGGUUUGCAGGUGAAGACAGAUGGAAAUUAGCACCAGCUGGUUGAUUAUGGUGGUCUUGGAAAUUUCUCGCUGAAGAACCGGACCGUACGCUCGAAAUAAGAGCUGUGAUGUGAUUUAGGGCACCGCUUGUGAGCUAAUAGAGGGCUUUGUUGGUAGAGAAGGAGGAAUGGGGUUAGGGUUUUCUACCCAUCCUUUUAAAUCAAAUCUGUGGUAUUGGGAAGGAAGAGGGUGGAAUGCAGUAGUGAUGGGUGGUGAGGAUGCAAUUCAACAGUGGGAAAACCUACCCGAAAGGUAGGAGAAGACUACUCAGGCGGUAGAGCAACAGCUCUUUCUUCGCCAGCUGUACAAAAGGCCAAAAAAUAUAAUUGGGUUUCACCAGCAAUGAUGCACCUAACGUAGCUUUAUUCUCUCUCUCUCUCUCUCUCUCUCUCUCUCUCUCUCUCUCUCUCUCUCUCUCUCUCUCUCUCUCUCUCUCUCUACUGCGGCUACUCUUUCUUUGCUAACUAUACAGAAGGUCAAAAAAUAUAAUUGAGUUUUACCAGCAAUUAUGCACCUAAGUAGCUUUGUCCUUCGGUUUGAUGAUAAGGAGCAACCCAUCUUUGUUGACCUCACUCCAAUCAGUGUCGGCGAAAUAGGUAUACUCACUCCAAGUCCUUCAUCUGUUGGACUUUCCAUUCCAGAGCAUCAGCGUUAGCAUCGUCCUCCGCUCCCAACUGUUAAGACUACAAUAAAUAGCAGUAGCUCAGCCACUAAUAAUGCCACCAAGAACAGGAGGAGAAAGCAUAUGAGGAAGAAGUAGAAUGUAUAAAUGCUGCCGAGAAGUGUACAGGAAGAAGAACCACUGUUAAAAACAAAGAAAGAAAAGAAGAUAAAGAUAAGGGUGAUGCUACGGAUUGUAUUAUUGCAUAUGAAUAAUCUGCGAAGCUUGUGAAGCCAAGAGUUCUCUCUCUCUCUCUCUCUCUCUCUCUCUCUCUCUCUCUCUCUCUCUCUCUCUCUCUCUCUCUAAGCUAGAGCUCUCUGUUUAGCACUCUAUUCUUGUACUUUGUUUCUUCUUUGUUUUUCCGGUAAUCAGUUAGUUUUUCUCUUCAAUUAGGUAGUUGUAUUUUCUUCAACUGUUCAAUACAUGUAGAACAGAUUCUUGAGAGAGAGCUAACGUAGAUAUAAAAGGAAAACUCUCCUGAUGUAGUUUUCGUGAAGUUGAAAUAACAGAAAAAGCAUUUUCAUCUCUGUUUUCUCUCAUUUUCUCUCCAUCACUUCCUGCUCAUAAACUUCUUCAUGGUAUCAGAGCCAUGCAUCCUGAAGAAGUCAUCUCGAUGCUACAUAAAAAUGGCUGAAUCUACAGCAGAUUGAAGUCAAAUUCAAAGCUUCAUUGAUCUAUGAGACAUCUAUAUCUUCCAACAAAUCUGUGAGUUGGUAUUUCUCAUCUACAUCUAAAUCUUCAUCAUCAGAAAUAUACUCGUAGCAACAUACUGCAAAACUAGUAGAGUUUGUGUUUGCAACUAAAGUUGUUCGAAGAUCUGGAAGAGUAGAAUGGCAACAAGAAGUUUGAGAUAUCCAUUUCCUAUUCAUGUCAAUAUCUCAAAUUUUGUUACCAUCAAAUUAACUGAGGAUAAUUUCCUUCUGUGGCAAGCCCAAUUUCAUAGGUUCUUAAGAAGUCAAGACCUAUUUGGUUUUGUUAAUGGAGAAGUUCCACCACCUGCUAAAACAUUGCAGGUCCGAGAAGGAGGUCACACUACUGAGGUUUCUAAUCCCGAUUAUAAUGAUUGGAUCAAGACAGAUUAGCUUGUAUCCUCUUGAAUUAUUGGUGCUGUUUCAGAAAACAUACUCAGUUUGAUAAUUGGCUUAAACACUACAUAUGAAGUUUGGCAGACUUUGCUCAAUCGGUUUACACAAAAAUCUAUGGCAAAGGAGUCUGAGUUAAGGGGAAAACUGCAAGCUUGUUAGAAGCGUGAUAGAACAUUAUCAACAUAUCUCAAAGAGUAUAAAUCAAUAUGUGAUCAAUUGAAUGCAAUAGGGAAACCAGUGGAUGAAAUAACAAGAUUGUUUGGUGUUUUGGAAGGUCUGGGGUAUGAGUAUGAGAGCUUUAAAACAACAAUUUACUGUUUAAAGCCUCAAUAGAAUAUGACAAAGUAAUCUCACAUUUAGAAAGAUUUGAAACAAGGCUACAAAACUAUUCUUCGAAUCAGUUCAGUCCAAAUCUAGCCUACUAUGGCCAGAGGAAGACUGAAGUUAUACACAAAGAAGAGUUUAACAGAGAUUUUGUACAACAGAAUAAUAGCCUUGGAAGUUCAAGAGAGAAUAGUCGUGGAGGAAGAAAUUAUGGAAGAGGAAGGUCAUUCAAUAACAGAUAUAGAAACUUUAGAUAUCCUAGAAGAAGUAUGAAUUACAGAAAUAAUAGUUUGAACUAUGAACAGGGAAGUCAGCAGCUUAAGUAGUUUAAUACCUCCUCUACUUUGGGUUUUGGUCAGGGAUUCAGACCAUAUAAUGGCUUAGCACAAAGGUAUUCAGAUACCAAGACCUAUCCAUCUUCAAAUUUAACUCUUCAUAAAAAUAUGCAGGUGGAGAAAACAACAGAAAACACUCGACUGGAGUGUCAAAUCUACAGAAGACCUGGUCAUGAUGCAUUACACUGUUGGUAUCGAUUUGAUAAUUCCUACCAAGCUGAGGAGAUACCAACAGCUUUAUCAACACUACAUAUUAAGAAGCAAAUGGUAAUGAAUGGUAUCUAGACACUGGAGCAACAACUCACAGUACUGCUAAUGCUGGUAUUCUUCAUAACUUUUCUAAGAAUGCUGGUACUGAUACAGUCAUGAUUGGCAAUGGUUCAUGCUUACUUGUUAAAUACAUUGGUAAUGCAUUGCUGAAUACUGCUACUGAUGUCUUACCUCUAAAUGAUGUGUUGAUUGUUCCAGAAAUUAAGAAAAACCUUCUUUCAGUUUCUAAACUAACAGAUGAUUAUCCAUGUUCAUUUGUCUUUGAAAAAACUGGGGUGUACAUAAAGGACAGCAUCACCAACACAACCAAGAUGCUAGGAAGGAAGGUUAAAGGACUUUACAGAGUAGAUCCUUAUGCUGCAGAGGUCUUCUUCACUCAAAGACAAAGGAUUGCUGGAGAGAAUGUCUAGCAUCAACGUCUAGCUCAUACAAAUCAAAAUAUCCUGAAGCAUAUGAAGAAUCAAAAGCUAAUUCAGUGCCAUAUAGAACCACAAUUUGUAUGUAGAAGUUGUCAACUAGCUAAGAGUACUGCUCUACCUUUCCCAUUGUCGAAUUCUACAACUACUAAACCCCUAGAACGAAUUCAUUGUGAUAUCUGGGGACCUUCUCCAAUUAACUCUUUUCAGAAUUUCAAGUACUAUGUCAUUUUUGUUGACAACUUCUCUCGGUUCAGUUGGAUCUAUCCAUUGAAGCUAAAAUCAGACUUUUAUGAUAUUUUUCUCAUGUUUCAGGGACUAGUAGAAAACCAACUCAACUGUAAGAUCAAGAUUUUCCAAUGUGAUGGUGGAGGAGAGUUUAUCAGUCACAAGUUCAGAACUCACUUACAAAACUGUGGCAUUCAACAGCAUGUCUCCUGUCCAUAUACACCUUAACAGAAUGGAAUAUCUAAAAGAAAACAUUGUCAUAUAGUUGAACUUGGUCUGGCUAUACUGUAUCAUGCAAAACUCCCAUUAAAAUUCCGGGUUGAUGCAUUUGUGACAUCUAAUUAUAUUGUCAAUAUUCUUCCCACUCCAAAGUUAAAGAUGCAGUCUUCCUUUAGCAAGUUAUAUCAGCAUAAGCCAAGAUAUGAUCAUCUCAGAGUUUUUGGGUGUGCUUGCUAUCCCUGCCUUCGACCCUAUGCACAACACAAGCUUGAUCCACGAUCCCUUACCUGUGUUUUUCUAGGAUACAAUACUCACCAUAAGGGAUAUCGAUGCCUUGUUCCUACCACUGGUCAUGUGUACAUCAGUCGACAUGUGGUAUUUGAUGAGACCUUCUUUCCUUUCUCUCAGAAAUUAGCAACAACUUAUUCAACUUACACACAUUUGUAUAAGCUAUGGACAGAAGAAGAGAAAUUUUUACAACCUUCCAGUACAAAUUACAUAAACACUUCAUUAUCUCAUCAUACAGGUUAUGUACAAGACCCUACAGUUGAGCAAACAGUUGAACAAAUAAUCUCUACUAGUUCUACAGAACCAGCAGUUCCUGUUUCUACAAAUAAAUUACCUAUGGAUCAAGCUUCUUCUACUUCUCAAAAUAUUUCACAACAAGUAGAAAUACAUGGUUCCACAACAGAGACAACAGCUGAACCAGAUAUGGAACAAGCUGUUCAAACAGCCUUACAAGGUACACUAUCUACUCAACCUAUGUAAACUAGAUCUAAAUCUAGCAUCAUCAAGAUCAAUCCUCGAUAUGCAUGCCUUACUGAAUAUCGAGUUCCCCCAGACCAAAGUCAAUAAAAUUUGCUCUAGCAAAUCCAAGAUGGCAUCAGGCAAUGCAAGAGGAAAUGGAUGCUUUACAUCAAAAUCAAACUUGGUUAUUAGUUCCCCGUACCAAUGACAUGAAUGUUGUAGGCUGUAAAUGGGUGUUCAAGACUAAAUUUACAUCAGAUGGCAGCCUCAAUCGAUUGAAGGCUCGACUAGUAGCUAAGGGGUUUCAUCAGGAAGAAGGAAUAGAUUUCACAGAAACCUUUAAUCCUGUUAUUAAGCAUGCCACUGUUCGAAUUAUACUCUCGGUGGCAAUAAUAAAACACUGGUCUAUACAUCAACUUGAUGUCAAGAAUGCCUUUUUGCAUGGCACCUUAAAUGAAACAGUUUACAUGGAGCAACCCCCUGGCUUUGUACAUCCACAGUACUCUCAGUAUGUUUGUCUUCUUCAAAAAUCACUUUAUGGACUACAGCAAGCACCGCGUGCUUGGUAUGACAAGUUCAGUAAUUUUUUACUUGAAGCUGGUUUUUUCUGCAGCUCAAUUGAUCCUUCUUUGUUCAUACUUCAUAAAGGUCAAGAGACAUUACUUCUAUUGCUAUAUGUUGACGAUAUAAUCCUGACUGGUAGCUCAGAUAAGUUGCUGCAGACAGACACUUAUUCACUCCCUCAGUAUUCAAUUCCAUAUGAAAGACCUUGGCCACCUCCAUUAUUUUCUUGGAAUUGAAGCUACACGAACAUCCACUAAGUUAUUUUUGUGUCAAACCAAAUAUGCUCUUGACUUACUCUCUCGUGCACAUAUGUCUGACUGCAAACCUAUUGCCACACCUCUUUCUCUUAAACCAGUCACACUAAAAACAAAUGCUGAUCUUCUUCCAAAUCCCAUAGACUACAGAAGCUUAGUAGGUGGUGUGACAUCCUGAAAUUCGACCCCGUUUCGAUAAAAUGAAAUGUGCAUAUCGUCGGCGCGCCUAUGGUCCUUUUUCUCUGAGCUGAUCACUCACGAGUUAGCCAACCUAUUGGGUGAAGCCGUUAAGGGAUAUAACCGUGGUAAAAUCCCUAAAAGCUACCUAAUUGGUUGGAUUGGACUAAAAUCGCGUCCGGUCGAUUUUAAUCAUGAAAUUUAAUUCGGUCUCGGGAAAUCGAAUAUUCGAGCGUGUCACAAUUCAUUUUUAGGACCGUCUCAUCGUCUGUCAAUUUAUUGACGAGUCCGAAAUUUCAAUAAAGAAAUUAUCGGGGGAUCAAUCGAAGAUCAAAAGAAAAUAGAAAGGAAAAGGAAAAGAGAAAAGGAAAAUUGAAAUAAAGAAUUAUGCAUUUCCUUUUUUCUUUUUCCUCUCUCUCCCUCUCUUUUCUUUUCUUUCUUUUUCUCUCUUUUCUUUCUCUCUCCUCUCCCCUCUCCCCUCCCCCUCGUGCAAAUUGCCCCCCACCGCUCACUUUCUCUCCCUCUUUUAUUGACCGGUCAACCCUUAUCUCUAUCUUCUCUCUCUCUUCUCUCUCCUCUCUCUCUUUCGCACUCUCUUCUCCCCCUUCUGUUCGAGCGAACCAUGAGCCGAAGGAAGACGAGAAACCAGAAGCUGCAGCCCCGUCGCCGCCCGUCCCGCCGCCGCACCGCCGCCCGCGCCGCACCCGUGCGCCCGCCGCUCACCGCCGUCCCGCCGUCCGCGCACGCCCAGGCCGCGCGAUCCAGCCGCGACCCAACUCUGUUCGCUCCUGUUCCAACCAUCUCCGGCCACCUCCGGCCACCGCCUAGCCCCGCCGGAGCUCCCCUGCGACCCCCUCACCCUCCGCCGGCUUCCCCUCGCCGCCCUAGCCGCCGAAGCAGCCUCGAUCGGCUCCGUUCAGCAGACCCACGAAGUGGGUUUCCAGCACUUCGGGCCCGCUUUUGGGCCGUUUCCUGGCCCCGAACCCGAGCCGUGCUUUGGAGUUUGUUGUUCCUCGUGCCGCCGCCGUCGGAUUGAUCCGAUUUGCGCGCGAUUUGGUGAGUAAUCUCACUAAUCCCUGAUUAGUUGGCUAAUUAUGCUUAGGGUUGGUUUAAAUUUAAUUAAUUAUGUUUAGGUUGUUAGAUUAGAAUUAAUUAGUAAUUAUUAGUCAAUUGUGAUGCGAUUUAGAUAAAUUGAUUGUGUAAUUAACAAGUAGACAUGGUCUACUAAUUAUUGGAAGUGCCUCGGGAUUUUUCCCGACCCUUAGUGGGCUCCAAUUAGGCUUUUCGGGCCUAAGUGGAAUUUUUAGUAUUUAAAUAUUAAUUUUCGGAAUUAAAUUAAAUAAUUAUUUAUUUUCCGAAAAUUCAACGGAGAUGGUCUGGAACCGGAAAAUUAUGCUAAUGACCGUGGUGAAGUCCGUUUAUUUGAUCGGGCUUUAUUUUGAGCUAAAUUGAAUUUUUAAUAUUAAUUAUUUAAUUUUCGAAAUUAAUAAAUUAAUUAAUUAUUUUUCGGAAAUUAAGAUUUUGAUGGCCGACGACCGAAAUCUCGUGCUGAUGGUCGUGGCGUAGUCCGUUUAUUUAUUUGAGCUCUACGUUGUAUGGAAUUGAAUAAAUUGUGAUAUUUUAGGGAUUUACCCUAAAUUGAUUGGAAUUGAUUGAGAUUGAAUUGUUGAUUGGUAAAUGGCCAAGUAUGUUAUUCAGCAUUUAUAUUGCUUUGUUGAGUUGAUUUAAUUAUUUGAUUGAGAAAUCGUUGGGCAUUGGUUGUCAGUAUUGAAAGUAGAUUGGUAAUCGCUUAAAAGAGGACACGUGGGCUCGGUGAAUUGGAAUGUCACCUGGAGAAUGCACGUGAGUUCAGUGGUUGAAUAUUUCACCUUGGCGAAAAGGUCGCCUGAGAGAAUGCACGUGGCUUGGAGACUUGAUAUGUCCUCCUUGAGAAUGCACGUGGCUUGGUGACAGAGUUUGGCAUCUAAAAGGGCACGUGGCUCGGUGAUCUGAUGCGUCACUUUGGUAAGCGAGUACCUUAGAGAAUGCACGUGGGCCCAACAUUCCGGAAUGGCAUCUAAAAGGGCACGUGGCUCGGUGACUUGAUGCAUCACUUUGGUGAGAUGCACCUAAGAGAAUGCACGUGGACCCAGGCAUCUAAAACGGCACGUGGGCUCGGUGACUUGAUGCAUCACUUUGGUGAAAUGCACCUAAGAGAAUGCACGUGAGCCCAGGCAUCUAAAAGGACACGUGGCUCGGUGGCUUGAUGUACCACCUUGGCGAAGAGGUCGCCUUAGAGAAUGCACGUGGGUCCGAGGUUCGAGGCACGUGAACUCGGAGACCUGGAAUGUCUUCCUAGAGAAUGCACGUGGCCUAGCUUGUAAAUAUCCCACAGUGGGGAUUGAUUAGUAUGACAUGUAAUCGACUAGUUCGAUUUAUUUGAAGUGAAUGGGUGUUUAUUGUGAAUUGUACUGACUUGCAGGUGGAAUCUGAGGCCAAGGUAAGUCAUCUGCCCUGUGCGUGUUUAGGCAGCCUUUAGUAUAAUGGUUUACUAAUCGGGCUUAGUGGGGUAGAACUCGCUGAGACAUAGUCUCAUCCCAGUUUGGGGAAAAACAUUUCAGGACCCCAUUGAGGAGCUGAGGAGGAAUCUAAGAAGGAGAACUCGGAGGUGAAACCUGAGUAGAAGGAUUUUUGGAAGAAGAAGAUAAUACCGAGAGAGAUUUUGAGUAUGACCUGAAGGGAUUGAGAUUUUAUCUUCUUUGAUAUCUCCAUUUUGAUGUGAAUAGAGUUUGGAAUAAAAAUUUGUGAAGUGUUUGGGUUUGUGUUUUGUAUAAAAGUUUGGUUAUAAGUUUCAAUAUGAAAAAUAUGGCCCUGCUUUUCUAUCCCAUUGUUUUAUUGUCUGGGGAUUUUAACUGCUUCCGCAUGUGCUUAAUAAAUGAAAGGGUCGGUGAUACAUUGUCCUGGGAUAUCACAUUAUAAAAUCGACCAAGAGUUGAAGGAUGUGCGCGUGCCCGAGGAUCGGGACGUGACAGGUGGCUUACAAUAUCUCACUAUCACUCGUCCUGAUCUUGCAUUUGCAACAAAUAUCUUGUGUCAGAAAAUGCAACAACCCACUGUUGGUGACUUCCUUAAACUGAAGAGAGUACUUCGUUAUGUAAAAGUAACAAUUCACCUUGGCAUCUAUCUUCACUCUCGAAGUUCUCUCAAUUUAUAUGGUUUUUCUGAUGUAGAUUGGGCUGGUUGUGUUCAAACUAGAUGAUCUACCACAGGUUUCUGUACUUAUCUCGGCUCUAAUCUCAUCUCAUGGGCAGCCAAGGAACAAACAACUAUUUUCGUUCUUCCACUGAAGUAGAAUAUAGAGCACUUGCUUCGGCAACAACUGAUCUUACUUCGAUCACUUUUGUUCUAAGAGAUAUUAGCCUUCCUCUACACUCUCCAACCUUACUAUUUUGUGAUAAUCAAUCUGCAAUAUCCCUCACAGCUAAUCCUAUACUUCAUGCUCGAACAAAACAUAUUGAGGUUGAUUUUCACUUUGUUCGAGAAAAAGUUGCCUCUAGAUCCUUGUGUGUUAGAUAUAUUCCCAGCAACAAUCAAAUUGUUGAUAUUUUACAAAGUCUUUAUCCAGACUAACACAUUCUUCUCUUUGUCUCAAAUUAGGAAUUGGCUGUUCACCCUUGCCCAAUUUGCGGGGGGAUGUUAAGACUACAGUAAAUAGCAGCAGCUCAGCCACUAAUAAUGCCAUCAAGAACAGGAGGAGGAAAGCAUAUGAGGAAGAAGCAUAAUUUAUAAAUGCUGCCGAGAAGUGUAUAGGAAGAAGAACCACUAUUAAAAACAGAGAAAGAUAAGAAGAUAAAGAUAAGGGUGAUGCUACGGAUUGUAUUGUUGCAUAUGAAUACUCUGCGAAGCUUGUAAAGCCAAGAGCUCUCUCUUUCUCUCUCUCUCUCUCUCUCUCUCUCUCUGAGCUGGAGCUCUCUGUUUAGCACUCUGUUCUUGUACUCUAUUUCUUCUUUGUUUUUUCGGUAAUCAGUUAGUUUUUCUCUUCAGUUAGGUAGUUGUAUCUUCUUCAACUGUUCAAUACCUGUAGAACAGAUUCUUGAGAGAGAGCUAAUGUAGAUAUAAAAGGAAAACUCUCAUGAUGUAGAUUUCGUGAAGUUGAAAUAACAGAAGAAGCAUUUUCAUCUCUAUUUUCUCUCAUUUUCUCUCCAUCACUUCCUGCUCAUAAACUUCUUCACCAACACCAUAUUUUUCUUCUCAAGUCCAACCUUUCUUUACUCUUCCGGUUUUCUUGCUUUGAUCUCUUGACUCAUGGCUUCUGUCCUAUGAUAUGCUUCAUGUGCUUCCAUGUUCUGUUAGAUCUGGGUUUUGGGUUUGGCGACGGUUUUCCUGUCUUAUGGGAUCGGACUCUUUUAAGGAUACUCGAACAUCAUAGUUUUGUUGCUUUCUGAACUAUGCAUGUACAUUCAAACAUCACAUGGCUUUUUGCAAUUGCAUUUAGCUUGAUAUAAGAAUGUUUAAUUCUUUGGAUUAGCUAACUUUGAUCUGCAUUUGGUUUCUGCUAAUUCUGCCUCACCCCCAGCUUCUAGAUUGCCCUGAGAAAUCUGGUCAUCUUUAGUUUGUUGUGAGCAUAAUUUGAAUUUGCAGCCCACCCAAAAGAGAAAACCUUACGUGUUCAGAGUGAAAAUUCUAAGUCAAUUAAAGUGAGAAUUUGCAGACUAUCAAGAAAAGUGCUAUUAAGUUAUAAAUAAGUCAUAUGGAAAUCAGGUAAUACUUUUUUUUUUUUUAUCAAUAACUUUUUAACACUUACCAAUUCUUUCAGGAAUUUAUCCGCAUGAAAAAUAUCCGUUUGUUUUAAAAUGGAGUAAGUAAAGUCGUCCCUGUGACGUAUGAGAGUUAAUGCAUUUUUAACAAUUUGCGUCUGGAUGGCCUCUUCACUAAACAAGAGGUCUUCUUGUAAAUGGCGUAAUUAUGACUUUUUGGGUGUUGAAUUGUCGUGAUCAUAAUUAUUAUUACUUUUUUGACCAAGAUCAUGUGUUCUCCGUUAGUCCAAUUCUAAGGAAAUUUGUUACCCUCGUAACAGUGGGGUGAAUUUUAUUUUAUUUUUUUGGAUAUCCAGGAUCUGCCAGAGCCUGUGGGGUGAAUUGAUUUUUCAAGAUAUUAAAAAUCAAUUUUGUAAAACCUACCCCUAUAAAAAUUGUGCUUCUACUACCAAGUAUACUAGCAAUUUAAACAGGACAAAACUAAAAAGUUUAGAAAAAGAAAAAUUGCAAAAUGAGAAUUAUGAAAGUUCAAUUCGGGUAUACAUACUCCUCUUUCUAGCUCUAAUAGCCCAAAUAGACUGAACUCUACUAGCUAUGCCAAGAGUACAAAUACCAUCUUGUUUAGAAAAGUACUCAAUCGGUCUUAAACUUUUCAAUUUUGCCAAUUUAAUCUUAAAUAUUUGUAUAAAAUUCCAAUAUAUUCCUUUCAGUUAUUUUUCGCUGGAAAUUUCUAACGUGACAUCAUCGUUGGCCGUCCUCUGUAGCAUACCACUAUGCCCACGAUUUUCAGCUAAAAUUGGCGAAAAUAUUAGAUUGAAAUUUCACACGAAAGUCUAGUUGAUAACCAAAUUAGUAUCCAUGCAAUAAGUCUAGGAUUGAUUAGACAAUUACUUGUUACAAGUGUAGAAUUUGCUGCCACGGAGAACUUGACUUCCUUCUACAGCAAUCCCGCUAUACACUGAGUAACUUUUGGACCCUCCAAUAGCCAUUCUCACAUCUUGUUCACACGAUAUAAAGGUCCUUUUCUAAAUUAUAAACCACACCUCCGACUGUUUACAAAGAGUCCAUUAUACAUUUUAUCUCUUGCCUAGAUACAUAGUGUUCACUCUAAGUAUGUAAAACCACCCUUUUCAUAUGUUUACGAAUGGGUUUGUCCCUCUUGCUAAUAAUUAGACACAACACUAAAAUGGGUAUUACAAGUUUACGAAAGACACGAACUCAAAAGUCCCCCAAUAAUACUUAAAUUCUCUUGUAGUAGUUAUAUCUAUCUAAUCUUCAAUUAAAAAAGAAAAAUCUCAGCAAAAUUCCUUAAAAACACAUGUAUAAAACCUUGUUACAAUCUAGGCCAUCAAUCUGAUCUUCUAUUAAUGCAGGUUUUAAUCAUAUUGUUUCGCCAACCUUCUGAGCGAAUUAGUUCCUUUUUUUUUUUUUGCAUAACUACUCUUGGGAUGUCACAUUUUAUUGCUAUGACUUGGGGCUUUGAUUUAGGAACUCCAAUAGUCAUUAAAUUUAUCCAUGGAGAGCGCCUGCUAAAAAAAUCUGACUGCUUUGCAUAACCUAGUUUGGUUCUACACCUUUCCUCCAGCAGCUUUCCUAACAUAGUAAAACCUUACUUAUGUACUUGUAAAAUCCGAACCAAGCUUCUGUAUGGUUUAAACAUGAACAUUUGCACACUUAAAUGAAUUCUUUAAAUCCUUGGGUUAAAUUUUGAUAUUAUCAUAAUCUUUUUAGUAUAUUUUCCAAGCAGUUUCACCAUUUUCAACAAUGACAAACCUAUACCAUUCCUUCAAUAAGAGUGAGUUAUGCACAUAAGCAUGCAUAUUCUGCAAAACUAUCUGACUGUAAAACCAGAGAUGAUUCAUGCAUGCUUCCACAUGCGACAUUUUAAUAGACCAUAUAAAUAUGUCUGCAAAACAUAAUAAACUCCCCUUAAUAUGUACACAUAGUGCGAUUCUCCCCCUGAGUAUGUGCUUCUCCCCCUUCUUGUUUCUUAAAAAAGCAUUAACAUCAGAUGCCCAGGGAUGAAAACCAUAUAAGCAAAAGCAUUCAUUUAUUUAUAUAUAAGAGUGUUCUACAAAGCAUAUUCCGGAAAAAUUAAUAUAAAGGAAAGUGAACACUAACCAAAAGGAUCACAAACACCGAUUUCAUCCAUCAAGCUAGAAACGUAUUGUUAUCAAGAGGUCUAUUCAGAAUAUGAGAGAAUUGCAAAUCGAUGCUAACAAAUCCUUUUCAUUGAUUCAUGUUGUGCUGUGGCUGCCAUAAUUAAAUAAAUAAAUAAAUAAAAGAAUCAUAUGAAAGAGUCUCUCUUCUUGAAGUUUGACCUAGUUCAGAGUUCCUCGAAAUGGAAGCCACCCCCGUUAAUUAGCACAAUUAAAUAUUUUAUUAGAAAUCCAAAAUUUAGGCAGUUGAAUACUUGGCCAAUUUUUAAGACAGUGUGACUCUAAAAAUUGUGCUCGUAUUCAACUGAAACACAAUUACUAAAGAAAGACUUACCGAUUGCUUAACAAUGUUGCAAUUACACUUUUUUUCAAAUCCUUACAUUAAGGAUGACACGUCCUUAUAUCUCAAUAAGGGCCAUUGACUUAACUAAGACAUUUUAUCUGUUCCCUUUUUGCUGAUCAAUAUGUCAUGAGGUUUGGUACACAACUAACUAUACUAUUAUAAAUAAUUUGAUUCUGUUGAAUACUCAAAACACAUAAAUCUGACUAAUUGGAGUUUGAAUUACUGAAACUGCGACAACAAUUGAGUAGAAAUGUAAAAGAGACUUAGGGUUGAUGCCUGAUUAUAUAUCGAAAUACCAUGGGUUUGACAUAUAGACCUCCUUUUCAAAGCCCCGUAUGCUAUUGGAAAUAUGUAUACGUAUUAGGAGCAUUUUGUGGGCUACUACAUGGUGCACUUGUUUUAUAUUUAAAGUUUCAAUGGGUCAGUUUUGUCUACUAGUAACAUUCUCCUCCAAUCAUACUUUCAGUUAACAGGUCAAAGAUUAUGGACAUUAUCAAUAUGAAAAUUUAAUCAAAAUCAAAUACGAGUGAUGUUAAUAUUUGUGUGAUCCAUCAAUGAAAGUUAUGGCUAAAAAGAGUUCAUCCAGCUAGAGCGUUACAUGUGCAAAUAGAGAUAAAAUAAAUUUAGAAUUCUAUCUGUGAGCUUUUACAUCAUUGACUAUGGUUGCUAACAAGCAUUUUCAUUGCAAAAUUUGACAACAUUUUUGGAUGGCUUUUGGAUUAUUGAUGUUGAUUACAUAAUUCUGUCGUAAUUCAGUUUUAUCACGUUCAGAUUUAGUUUUCUUACAUUUAUUUGAAUCUAAGUUACUAUUAUUGCACAUGAUUGUUGACAUCUGAAUUUCGCUAUUUUACUUAAGACUUAAUAGCAUUAAAAUUUAGGAAUAAGUCGCUAAAAAAAAUUGAUUUUUUUUAAAAAAAAAAAAAAAGAAGAGAGAAGAAGAAAAAACCUUAGGGGUCGGGCCGGAUCCGACCUUUGCCCAGCCCGCCGCCUUCCUCUUCUUUUCCCCCCGCGCGGCCCAAUCUCUUUUCCUUUCGGCACGCCCGCACCCCAGCUGUCUUCCUUGUCCUGUCUUCGCGCGCAAACCUGCAGAGGAGGACAGACAGCACGCGACCAGGCGGGACCGGCAGAAAGAAAAGACAGGGUAAAGCAGAGAGUAGGAGGAGGGGCAGAAAGAAAGUGGAGCAACCAGAGAAAGAAAAACAGAGGGAGAGAGCUCGAGAGGGAGGAAGAGAACCGGAGAGGAGGAGGGGAGUCUCCGGCACUGUCGCCACCGCUGCCGAUGCGUCUCCUAGCCGCCGACAUUUAUGAACAUUGAUCAAAUCCAACAAUUUUCUAAAAUUUAUUUGAAAGGCAAUUGCAUAAAAAUCGACAAGAAGUAAAAUGUCAAAAGGGUACUGACCUUCUUAUGACUCGUGCUCCUUUCUCAAGUUAUAAUUUUAUGCUCUUUUGCCUGGUGAUCUCGUCCUAUCCAUUCUAAAAAGGAAAAGAAACAACAAAUUUAUUGAGAUGUGUGAAAAUAUAAUAACAAAAAUGAAACAAAUUAUGCAGAUUCAUAAUAUUCAUGCCGAGAUAGCAAAAAAUUCACAAUCACAUCUAGAAAAAAGCAAGUUCGUUCAAUAAUUCAUAUGCUUCAUAAUUGUGAUCGAGGAAAGCGAACAUUAAAAUUAAGCCAAAUUUAUUCAAGACCACAUCCCGGAGGAAACAACCAACAACUACAUGCCACAUUUGACAUUUUCCUUUAAAAAUAAUGACAGCAAACUCCCAAAAAAUGAUGAGAAAUGAAUAGAAUAUCUAUGAACUAUUUUAGCAACCAAUAUGCCCUCAAACAAUGUCAUGACCCAACUAAAUCACAUCUAACCCAGAAUAUCCAGCAACUACCAUUGCAAAUGACCUAUGGUAAGGUGUUAGUCUUUAUUUACUUUUAUCUGUUUCUAUUUGCUAAAAAACGUUUGGUUUUGCUAAACGUUGGAGCACCACUACUGUUGACAUCUCCUUCUAUAAUUGCAGUUGGUACCUUUGGAUAUUUGUGGUCAUCUUCUUAUUGCUCAAUGUCCAAGGUGAGAAACCACAUUAAUCACAUAUUGCAAUUUCCAAAUUUACGCGUCAUGAAUACAACAAGGUUUACUUUUCAUUAUUGUAGUUUUUACCCCAGCAAAACAUGGCUGAACACAAUUUAGGCAUGGUUUGGCAUGGCGAUUCUAGUCCUCAUAUUGAGAAGGAAUUUGCACGGAGUUCAAUGGUCCUUUCCGGAGAAACACCUAGGCUGUUGAUGCUUCUGAGCAUACGAGAGUCAAGAGCAGUUAAUAUCAAGUUACCCACAACAUAAUUCCCAUCAAAACCCCUAAAGUAACGCUUAAAGGCCAAUCCUAUAAACGGGGGAUUUAACUAUAACUGAUGAGGGGCUGCAAUCAAUUAUGCAGGCUGGCAUGCAUACUUUUGGAUAUCUUUCAUGCAUACUUUUGGAUAUCUUUUGUUCUCUUUUUGGUGAGUAGAACCGUGUCCCGGCAUUGGGCUGCUUAAGCCACAUUGUACAUCUCUUGAGAAAUGAGUCAUAGUGGGAUUCAGUUUAUUAGUUAUUCUAUUUCCUUUUCUAGCUCUUGCUGUCGGAACAAAGCUGGAGCACGUGAUAAAUCAAUUAGCGCAAGAUGUGAGAGUGCUAGUAUGAACAAAAUAAAGGAGUUAAGGAAGAGAAUAAGAACACAGAAAUUAUAGUGGUUCGGCUUAAUCCAAGCCUACGUCCACUCUCCCACGAUAACAGCCUUCUUGGCUGGAUUCCACUAUGCAAUCAACAAGAGAUUACAACUCCGAGUGCAAACACUUAGUAGUAGAUCACACUAUCUCACUAAGUCACUCUCUUGGUAUUUCUCUCACGAUUACAAACGUUUAAGCUCUCAAGAGACAAGUAUAUGAUCUAAAGUCGCUUAGACUUUGGAAUUAUAAAUUCUACGCUCCGUCUCUUACUUGCUCAUCGGUCCAUGAUCUUCUUAAAUACUCCUCCACUUCCAAACUACCGUUGGACAGCAUCCCGGAGAAUCGUCUUCCAAUAUACCCAUUGGACAGCUCUGUAUCUUAGAAGAUUUGGUAGCCGUUGAGUGACAAAGGUAAAAUCCCAAAUUGAUUCCGAUCGCCCAUACAAACGAAAUCUUGGUUUCCAUAAGUAAAGCUUCUUCGUAUAGAAAGAUCUUGUCUUCAAUCAAAUCAAUCUUGAUGUGGAAUCCAAACCAGAUCACUAGCCGUUGUAUGAUUGGGCUUGAGUUACGAUUCAUCGAAUCUGGAUGUAAAGUCUGAGUCUUGAGACUUUACGAUAUGAGUCUUGAGACUUUACAACCUGGGUCUUUAGACUUUACAAUCUGAGUCUGUACCCAGUUCAGCUUCAGCAUAGAGUCUGUCUUCAGACUUUGAGUCUUGAGUCUGACAGUCUUCAGACUUUGAGUCUCGAGUCUGGCAGUCUUCAGACUUUGAUAAUAUCCUCUACAUGUUCUAUUAUCUGCAUGGUCUAUUACUCAACCAUCAAACAUGUUAGUAGCCUUUGAUUUAUUUUGUCAUCUUCAAAACAUCAUAAGGGAUUUCCCUAACAAGAUGUCGCGGAGAAGCAUGCAGCCGUGGAAGGGGACUUGGUGGUUCAACCUUCUGUUGAUCAUUUCUGGUUCCAUAGACCUCGCAUUGUCCUGCUGCUCAUUCAUAUCCUCCUCUUCCAAAAAGCUUUUGAGCUCGCUUUCUUCUUCUUCAUUUGUGCAAGGGAUAAAAAUAGCUGAAUUGCCAAAAGAAAAUAAGUGCUUACGAUUACUUACUGGAGCUUCCAUGGGGAAAAAACCUGGCAGGUUCAAUAUAGUUUUGACUCGUGCAUAAUGGGACAAGUCGGUUUCAUAAUCCCAAGACUCGUGAUAGGGUAAAAGCCUUCUUCCUUCUCCUCAUAUGUGGAUUUAUCCUUACCAAUAUCACAUGUAUCUGAAUGGCUAGCUACAGGCAAUGUUGUCAGGGUGUUGGUUCACUUCAUGUGCAGCUACAGCACCUUGCCACUCUAUGCGAUAGUUACCCAGGUGACCAAUCUAGGCACAUCGUUUUCACGGUUCAUGACUAUUUACUGCAACAUGAUAUUGAAACUGAUGGCAUACGUACUUGCGUGUUUGCGCUUGGUUGUUAAAGAUGGGAAGCUCAUUCAAGAAGGCUAUAUUUGAGGAACACAUACAUGAGGGGCUCAGCGUCUGGACCCAGCAUGCAAAAAUGAAGAAGAAUGCAAGAAUGACGGCGACUGGCACACGAUUGACCACCCUCCCCGUGGACCCCAAAGUGACUUAACAAUCCCUUGGCGAGCCAACGAAAGAAGCUGAGAUCCAAUAUGAUCCUUCCUUCCAGGGACCAAAAGAGAUGUAGCAACCAUUCGAAACAUUCCCUUCCAAUUUCCAUGUUUCAUCAUCUUUAGACCUCUUAAAUGGGAAAGUCGGCCUGCUUUCUCUACCCCGAUGUUGAUUAUAUUUCAUAACCAGACACCAAACAACAGUCAACAAAAAUGAACCUUCCAUCAAGCUCUAUUUUCUCCGAGACGGUCAUUUCUCAUUCUACAAGGUUACAUGUGAUCAUUUAGAUUUCUAGUUAGGAGAAGAUUAGAGGAUAUAAAAAUUUUGCUAAAUUCUAUCAAUUGUUCGUCGCAGAGAUAAAAUCGAAUAUAUCCACAUCAUAUUAUAUAUAUUGUAUGGUAUAAACAACAUGUCAAUACAAAAUGAAUCUAAAAUUUGCGCAAUAGAUAUGAUAAAAAUCUCUCAUAACUCUCUAACUUCAUUUUUUAUUUGCUAAUUUUUUUUAUAAAAAAAAAAUUCCUAUAUUUUUUUUAAAUUUUUUUCCCCCUUCCAUCAUUCUCUAAUAAAAUUUUAUUAUAUAGUAAACUAUAGUAAUAUAUCUAAAAUACUAAAGUCCUAAAAUAUGUAAUAUUCAUAAUGAAUAUAUGUUUAUAUAUUGAUUAAUAUUAUAAGAUAGAAAUAAAUAAAAAGAGGAUUAAAUAAAAAUGAAAUUUUUGCUUUUUUGUUAUUUUGAAUUUUUUUAUCAGAAUUAAACUAUUAUUUAUCUUCCAAUAUUAUUUUAAUUUUAUAAUAAGAAUUUUUUUUUUUGAGAAAAAAUCUUUUAUAUUAUAGAUAUUAGAAAUCUUAUUUACCUUUAUCUCACCUCUCCAUAAAAUAAUUAUAUCCAUGCUAUAGCCCUCUUAAAUAUUGAACGAACACCAAACAUAAAAUAAAUAUUAUAUCCUAAAUUUUAUUCCGAUUGUCAAAUUAUUCCACACAUUUGGACUUUUAAUACUUAAAAUCUGAUUCUAGGAAAUGAGUCAAUAGUAAAAAGUGAAAUUUUCUUGGUGCGCAAUGUUGCAAUCUUGCAGAUCAUGGAGUAGGAUAUUUUAUGUACCAAGACAGUAAACUCAAGAGAGCAAUUGCCUUAUAUGUAUCUUCUUCGGCAUAAUUUAUUACAAAUACAAAAGGAGAUACAAGAUCAAUAAAUCGUGAUUCAAUGCUUCAAAUUAUUCCCGCCCAAGCUAUUUUUGCUGUCAUAGUGGAGCUGCAAAACCAAGUUAUUUUGCAGACAUUAACUAUAAAAAUGGUUUCAAUAACAAAAAGUAGUGCAUAAUUCAACAAUCAUUACCCAUUAAUUUAAACCUUUCAUGAUUAAUCAAGAAAGUGGUUUGAGACAACAGCUCAAACAUAAACAUCAUGACGGUAACUGACUAUUACACAUAUUCUGCAGCAAAAUAGCCGCCUAUCUAUACUUCCAAUACGCAAAAUUCUCCUUUAUCAAACCGGACCCGGCCGUACCGACCGGUCUAAACCCGGGUCGGGUCAGACCGGACCCGACUCAUUUCGCCCUUUUUUAAAAUUAAAAUUAUUUUUAAAAAAUUUUAAUUAAAAAAUUAAAAAUUAAAAAUUUCGAAAAUUAAAAAAUAUAGAGUUUGGUUAGGAAUUGUCAUAUCUUGCAUUUUUACAGUAAUAUUAGGCUUUUAUUUUCUUACACCUUGAUUAUAUUGCAUGUUUGAUUCGCAUAUUUGAUUAUGUUUGUAGAUGUUCAAUUGCACGUACUCAAUUUUACUAUAAUUAAGAUCUUCAUAACUACGAUUGUUAUUUUAAUGAUUGUGUAUUCAUAUGAUCAACUCAUAUGUUAGUGGAUAUGUAUAAAAUUAAUCUAAACUGUCGAACAAAAAUCAUUAAAUUUUUAAAUGAAUAAAGAUUAUGUACAAAAAUGGCACUAAUUGGUUGCGUAGUAAGUGUGGCAUACUUCCAUGCCUCACUUGAUUUUUUUUUUUCUUUUUGCAAAAUUCUUAAGAAUAUCUAAUGUCAUGCGAGAUAUAGACUUGGAAGAGCUUGUGCUUAAUCAUGGGCCUUUUGUCCGUCAUUUAAUCUAUCCCCUCCCCUUGAGGGAAGUUUGCGACAAUGAUCUAAGCUCCAACAAUAUUCUUACAUGACAUUUUUUGCUUGUUAAUCAUGUGACUUUAACGAUGUUGUAAGUUAAAUCGAUUACACGUAAAAAGUUCCUAUCAAUAAUUGACACAAAUAGUAGUAGUGGACCGACCACAUAACAUUAGAUUGGCAGUAAAAAAUCUAAUUUCAAGAGAUCAAUAGCCUAACUGUAGCAAAUAUCGAACUUUGGCACCGUGAAUGAAAUUUCUCAGUGUUAAAAAAUAAUUUUCCUUCUCUUGUCGCGGCCACAGAGAAAAUCUUUUGACACCGCCACUACAAAAAAGGAUCGUGUUUUCUUCCAUCACAAAUUUGAUUGGCAAGUUAUCAAAAUCUGAAGAAUCAUCCUAGAGACCGAUUCAAGGACAGCAAUUGAUCUACUAGUUGGCAAGAUUACAGAGUUGUCGAGGCCAGAUUGGGUGGUGAAAACCAACACAGCCCGUGAAGGCAAAACGUGCGACGAUUGAUAAGCCAAUGCAGCGUUCUUUUAGAGACCAUAUUUAGUUAUUCACUUAGGUUUAUCUACGGGGCUUCAAUUUGUACUUUUUAGGAGAUAAAAGUGGGUGUUAGGAGGCCGGGACUUGCAUAUGAGAUGUGUUAGAAAUUAAACCAAAUUAAUAAAUGUCCUCAAUUGACUACGAGUUGCUGAUGUUAUGGAGAAGUUACCGAUAUUAAUGGUUGUCAAUGCCGAUAUUCCAGAAUUUGGUACCGAUGAUUUUGUUUGGUAAAUUUUUUUUUUUUUUGUCAGUCUUACUCUAUGCCUACUUUACACUCACUCUCAGACUUCUGCCCUGCCUCUUGUAGGGCUUGGGAGUCGAAACCCACUCCUGAAACUUACGCGUCCCCACCCCAUCCCCCUAAGAAGGUGGGGAUUUGAACCCCACAUCUCCCCCUUCCAUGUUGGAAGGAUGGCUACUGGGAUGAAUCCCACUGGGGUGAAUUGAUACGGAUGACUAUCCGAUGCUCGAGUUAAUUAGAUUCUUUAUUGUAGCGUUGUUUUUUAGAAGUCUAUUCGUAUUUUUAUUUCAUGAUUGUUCAUGUUUCUAAGUGUAAUCAAUGUUUUGCAAGUUCUUAAGAUUUUAUCACCUCAGAACAUUAGCUAUAUUUAUGAGUCAUUUAGUUUAAGAGUUAUGUGUGAAGCGUAUAAAAUUCGAGUCUUGUAAUUGUUUUCGAUAAGGUGAAAAAAAGGUGAAAUAAACAAAAAGGAUAGCUGUCUCCUUCUCUUUUUUGUGUUGUGUUAGUGAGUGUUUCAGCUUUAAAUUAUCUCAUCAAGAUCUAGCUUGUAUUUGUCUUUUACAAAAACUCAAAAUUUUCUAGUUUUGAUGCCAUAUGAAAUUAUGAAGGAGCAUUAUUAGCUAUUAUAGAAGUUUAGAUAAUUAGAUGGAUGCAUUAUUCAAUACUUAAUUGAUAUGACGCCUCUUUCACGACCUGUGUUACCUUUCAACAACUAGAUUACUUGCACAGCUUGGGCUCAAUGGACGGAGAGCUGUCUAUAAAAGUGGAGGAUGGUGGGAUGAACAACUCGAUCGCGGAGGAGGUAAAGAAGGAUGAAAGAGGACAUUUAACGGAAGUGUCAAAGGAUGAAAGGGAUUCUGAAGAAGAAAUCUGGGGAGGUCGACGGGAGAUAAUGAAUAAUGCAUUGGCGGCUUCCGCGGGGGGACAAGAUCCGGCAAAAGCUUACGAAUAUGCUCGAAAACUGGCGGGUGUCAUCAAAGGCGGCAAGGUUGACGAGUUCCUUUCCACGAUCAAUGUAAAUGAUCCAUCGUUGCGGGACAUCGAUUGGUCUGCCGUUUUAAAUUCCCGAUUGGAUUGGAACGAAUCACUGCUCCACGUGGCAGCAGAAACCGAGAAGGACGACAUCCUAAGGCUUCUGGUUGAUUAUGUUGGUGACCACCUCAUAACCGCCCAAGAUGAUUGGGGAAAUACCCCACUCCACCGGGUCACCCAGUUUGGGGGAUCUACUGGAGCUGCAGAGAUGUUGAUUCACCGGGCAAGAGACCUCCCCAACGUCGAGGACAAGAACCUCCUCUUGAGGAUGAAGAACAAACGUGAAAACACCGCUGUGCACUUCGCCGUGCGCUCUCAACAUGCCAACUUGGUGCGCUAUUUGGUGUACUGGAAGAACGCGAGUGAGAAAUCUCCCCUGUACCGAGUCCUCUACAUUAACGACUCCACAAUACAUGAGGUUUUAUUUUCACUCUCGUUGGAACCAUCAAGGAUAGAAGGCUUGCCGCCCAUUCAUGGUGCCAUUGUACUUCUACGACACGGUACGUACCUAAAUCUGCUUAUGUGGAAAUAUAUUUAUCUUUUACUGGACCGACUCGUCCCAAAUCUGUGCAAUAACUUUUUGCUGUUACAAGAACCCCUUACCAGUUUUUACUUAAAAUUCCCUACCCUGCUUGUUAAAGUAGUUGGAUACCCAUCGGUUUAGUCGCAUAAUAAACAAAAUAUUCACAUUAGAGCAUAAUAGAUGGCUUAAAUAUUACAAAUACAACCAUUUCACUAGAAACUCAUGUGUUGUCGAUCUUUGAUUAGAAAAGCUAUAAAGUGCAAAUAUUUAAGAUUGAUGACCAUGACAAUCUGGAAUCUAACAAUGACGCCAUUUUGUUGGUUGCGCAGGCGUGAUUUUUUCAUUGGAAAAAGAGGAGGUGAAGGUUCCGUCACUCUCAGCAAAUUGAUGGAAUAUCGUAAACCGUUAAUUUUUUUGUGACCAACAUUCAAUAGGUUUUUAAGAAAUUAACAAAAGUGGAUCUAAAUAAAGAAAGAAAUUUUUGACUUUUUUUUUUAAAUGAAUACAAGUUAUCAUAAUCUUUGCAGAAAAAGCCGAUACCGUAGUCUAGCCUAAAUUACCUUGACCAUUAAAAAUAUUGAGAUAAAAUUCAUCAGACACGCAAUAAUCAAUUAUGUUGAAUUUUUUGGCUGCUAAUGCCAUGUAUCCCAAGUUUACUACUUGAAAAGCGCAACUAAUGUUCAUUGAUCAUCAGAUUGGUAGAUGGCAUUCAUCUGUUACAGUCAUAUCAAAUAGAGAGAAUUGUCCAAAAAGUUCUAAAUUUAUUGUACGAUUAUCAAUUCAGUUAUAAACAUGUCAAUUGUGUCAAUUUAACCUCCAUUUUAGUCCUAAACUUUUUAAAGAUUUAAUAAUUUAGUCCUUCUAAUUAAUUUCUACUGGAAAUCAAUUUCUUCUGGAAAUCGCUGACAUGGCGGUCUAGUCAAAGCUAGCCAUCCUACGCGAUGUUGAUUGCCUUUGUGGUUUUUUUACAAUAUAUUUUUUAAUUUUUUGCAUUUUUUUCCUUUUCUUUUUUUAUCCUUUUUUCCCUCUACCAGCCUUAGACGAGGGCCGCCCUUCGACCCUUGCGUAGAGCAACCCUUGCCCUUGCUUGACUUCCACUAGGCGUCAACCGUUGAUGGUUAGAGAAGGGAAAAAGGAAAAAAAAAUUAUAAAACUAAAAAAAUUGCAAAAAUUAUCCGCAUUAGCGUUGGCUGUGCCAUGUAGAACAAUCAGUACUACUAGACCACCAUGCUUAUGAUUUCCAACAAAAUUGGCUAGAAUGAUUAAAAUGACAAAUUGUUAAAAGAUUUAUCACUAAAUUGGCAAGUUAUUAAAAUUGUUAUGACUAAAUUGGCACAAUUGAAAGAUUUAGACUGAAUUAAUCAUCAUACAAUAAAUUCAAAACUUUUUGGACAAUUUUCCCUAUCAAGUAUAAUUCCAACCCUAGAUGCAGUAACUUUAUUUUUAUCAUGUCCCAAUUUAUUAAUCCAACCACAUGUUAUUAUUUACAUUGCACGACAUAACAUGUUUGAGGCUUUCUAUUUGAAUUGAACAUGCAAAACAAUUUCAAAUGGACAUAAAGUGAAAAUGCGUAACAAUGUAUUGUGUGAUGCAAAUAAUAAAUUAGCAUACCCAAUAAAUGUAUGUGUCUAAACUUAGGUUGCACUCGUUGAAUAGAUUAUAGAAGUCGACCUGCACACAUAACGUUCAUAAUCCAUUAUAAAUGGCUUAACUUAUUUGCGAUAAUACAAUUAAACCUAAUUCUACCAUAUUUAACCACGUUUCAUGUAGUGAACAUGUAUGUAGAAGGGCUGUUUUAUAGUUUGUCAGCUCAUAAUUCUAACAAGCACUUUAGAAACUAUACAAAAGAUCCCAUUGAAAUUGGAUUUACUGUAUAUUUCUUAUUCUUACUGUCCAAUAUAUAAAAAUCCUUUUAUGAAGUACUACUGAUUGAAAUCUCGUAAUAAUAGUUCAAUUUAUUCUUCAUUGAAUGCAAAAGUAGAUGACAUUGUGGAAUGAAUCGAGCGUUGCCAUGGGCUUUUGUAGAUAGGCACUUUAAUUAGGUUAUCAUGAUAGGCACUUUUUUUAAGGUUCAUAUCAAUUAAAUAAGGUAAGGUUAUUUCUUUAAAUCUAGUAAUGUUCUUUCACUUGGGAAAAUUAUCAAAAAAGUCCUAAGUAUAUUGCACUUUUGCCAAUUCAAUUUUAAAUUAUUCAAUUUUGUCAAUUCAGUGCUAAACCUUUUUCACUUCUUACCAAUUGAGUGUAUUCGACUAAUUUUGAUCAGAAUUCAUUGAUGUUGAUAAUUUUUAUUAAUAUUUUAAUCCUUUUUAAAAAAAAUUAUAUUUUUUUCGAUUUUCUUUCUUUCUUCCCCCCAUUCUUCUUCCUUUUAUCAGUGGCCGGCUACCAAUCACCAGUGAUGGCCAGCUACUAGCCAUGGCUGGGUGAGUUGACCUUGCCGUAAGUGAUGCCUAGCCAGGCAAGGCCAAGCCUCAACAAGGGUCGACCUCACCUAGGUUAGGCAAGACCAACCCUUGCCCAAACUAGGCGAGAUCGCCUGGACGAGGGUGAGCCCCCUUGUUCGGCCACAUCUUACUGAGGCAUGCGAGGCUAGCUAGCUUGGCCAUAGUCGGUGGCUAGCACAAAGGAAGAAGAAAGGGAAAAAAAAUUAGAAAAAAAAUCAAAAAAUAUUUUUAAAAAUUGUUUACAUUAGUGCCGACUAUCCUACAUGACACCGCUAAUGUCCACGUCAGCAAAUUCCUAUCAAAAUUGGCCAGAUAGACUCAAUUAGCAAGAAGUAAAAAGGUUUAUAACUGAAUUGACAAAAUUAAAAAGUUUAUGACAGAAUUGGUAUAAGUGCAAUAGAUUUAGAACUUUUUGGACAAUUUUCACUAUUUCACUAAUGUAUCUAGAAUGUAACCGGUUACCCAUAUUGAAAUUUGUGGCCUGAAUUGCUCCGUCAAUUUCAAGGAUGAUGGCAUCCGUCAUGCGAGCACCUUUUUUUGUAUUUGUGUAAAAUUGAAGUAUGUUUUUUAUUAUAAAUUAUUGGUGAAAUAUUAUUCUAUUUCAUAAAAAAAUUCUUCUUUUGAAUAGACUAAAUGCAAAAUUCUUAAUUCGUGUUAUAUAUUAAUGUAAAUAUAGGGGGGUCAACGACAAUUAGAAAAUUCCUAAUUAUCGCUGUUAUAUGACUGAUGAAAUUUGUAUAUGUACGUAACAAUAUUAUUAGAGUAUAUUUUAUAGGAAGUAUUAUAGAAAUGUAAGAAUUUUCAAUAAUUGCUCAUUUGCGGUUUUUGAAACUCAUUAGAACUAAUUUCAAUAAAACUAAUGCCUCUUUUGUUGAACAAAAUUCAUGGUAUAAGAGGCAAACAUAGAUCCUAAUUUGAAGCAAAAUAAAUGGAAAGUGGAAGAAAAACACUCUUUGUGAGGAAAAUAAUUAAUCCCUUACAAAUUAGAGCCCUAUAAAUCACUUUUAGAGACAAUUCUUAAAGAAAAAAAUCAUUAUAUAUCUAUGUAGAUGUUACAACAGUCUAGAUUAAUUUGCAAAGUUCAUUGAACUUUUAGUAUUAUGGAUGUAAUUUUUUUGGCGAUGAAAUGAGGCUUGUUUUAUUUUGUGUUGUGUCAUCACAGCUUAAAUAUGUGGUCGUUAUAGCUAGGAUAUAUAUGACUCCAUGCAAUGCACAUACCAUAUAAUGUGAUUUAUUGAGUAAAAAUAUCUUUCCCAGAAUCACUAAAAUUUCACAAAAUAUAUUUGGUCCAUUCACAAGAUAUAAUGGGAUUGAGUAGCACAAUCCCCAAGGAUGAGGUUAUCUCUAAAUCACUCUCGCCUGUCUUUGAAGUCCAAUGGCCACCCACAAUCCUCAAACACCGUUGGAAUAUUCUCAAACAAUCGAAACACCUCUUUCACAUUAUUGAACCUCUUUACUAGCACCUCCAAAUUUUCAUAGUUGGGGCCAAAAAAAAAUUUCUUUUGGUGGAGCCUUUUCCCUUCUGUAAUUUGUGAUUUAUAAGCUCUACUAUCUUCGAAAUAGAUUCUAGUCACAAAUUUUACUUAGAUUUUACUCAAAAUUUUUGGUAAAUAUAUAAUCUCUUAAUUGAGCUGAAUAAGUGCCGUAUACCUUUACGAAGAAGAUGACGUUUAAUCUAGAGAGGGUGGAACAAUUUUAAGGGGGAUUUCGGUAUGGUGCUGUGGAGGCUAUUGCAAUGUUCUCAACAAUUAAAUAAGGCCCCGUUUGGUUGGACUUUCCCAAGGGGCUUUUGGGCCCGAAAGCCCCUUGGGGAAAAAUUUUUGUGUUUGGCAAUCAUUUUCAAAUGCUACUUGGCCAAAUGUCAGCAUCCCCAAUCCUGAAAGCCCAAUGCUGGGAGGACCAGCUUUGAGCAUUGGGCAUUUCAGAAAUGCCAGUCCACUGUUCAUCUUCUUCCCCCUUUCUUCUUCGUUCGUCUUCUUCGUCUUCGUCUUCCUCGCUGACUGAGAGUGCGGCUUCUCCGGCAGCCGCCACCGCCGCGUGGGGGUCCCGCGUCCCUGGUGACCACCGCCUGGGGUGGCGAGACCCGCGACCCAGGCGGCGUCGCCUGGCGGGCGCGAGCUAGGCGACGCCACCUGAGGUCGCGCGGACCUCAAGUCGCUAGAUCUAGCCGUCCGGCGGCCAGAUCUAGCGGUCUUGAGGCCAAAUCUUACUGCCGGACGGCCAGAUCUGGCCUCCGCGACCUCAGGCCGCCAGAUCUGGUGGUCCGGCGGCCAGAUCUGGUUGGCCGGCGGUUGGCCGGCCGCCGGAAUUCGAUUUUCUGACUUAAAUAAAAAAUAAAAAAUACCAAAAGUCAAUUACAAAGCUGAAUUUUACCAAACGGUGUUUAUACUAAGUUGCCUUUCAAUGCUACAAUUUACCAAACGGUAUAACAUUCCCAUAAACCCCUUUACCUCAAAGAUAUUUGUAUUCUCCAAAUGGCAUUUCCCCAAAGUUGAACCAAACGGGCCCUAAGUCUGCUUGAUACUUGCUAAAAUUCGAUGGACAUAAUAUGAAAAGAUCAUUUUCCUUUUCUUGAUCUUGCCCUAGCUUGCAUUACGUCUGCCGACUCUAUAGAUACUUCAUGUCGUGGACAUGCCAUAUAAAUUGCUAUGUCAUUUAGUAAGAUUUUUAUAGUGAAAUCUUAAGUACCUGUCGAUGUCAUUAACUAGUUUUGGUAUUGCAAUCUAAUCUGUUAUUGUCGACUAUCAAUACUAGUAGUGAUUAAGGCACGUCAAAGAUGUCCUUACUCCAAAAAGGGUUUAGAUAUAUAGAGACCAAUCAAGCUCUAACCAUCCUAAUUUGGAGCUCUUGAUCCCAGGUUUAUUCGACCUGAUGCUCAAGAAAAACAUGAAGCUAUUUGCAAUGACCGACUCAACGGGGGCAAUGUGUUCCAUUUAGCAGCUCACUUGAAUAUCGCCUGGGUAUUCGAAUUCUUACGACCAGAAACUGAAUAUUUGACCCGAGUAAGGGACAAGAAUGGAGAUCUCCCCAUUCAUAUUGCGAGCAAGAUGGGUUAUGUUGAACAUAUCGAGAAGCUGAGGGAAGUAUCACUUUUGCCAAAUGGGCAAGGGCAAACCGUUCUUCAUAUUGCCGCAAAAUAUGGGAGAGUCUCUGUAGUGAGAUAUAUACUCAGCAAUCCAGAUCUAAGGAGGAUGCUGUUGAAUAAACAAGAUAAUGAUGGAAAUGCUUGUUGGCUGUUGACAUUGCUCGACGACACAAGCCAGAGGGGUAUAAGAUUCGGCAUGUAGGUAACAUGAACAGUCACUAUUUUAUUUAUUAACUUACUGGAGAUUUCAUAGACUAAUGCAUUGGUUAAGGCAGAUCUGGUAUUCAAAUCAUUAUGUCUCCCAGCCAACUAGAUAGUAGAAGUAUUGAUCAAAUUUCUAGAACAGCCGAGACUCCUCUCGGAUAAAUGUUUCGCAAGUCCCUAAUUUAGUCUUGAUAGGAGGUAAUUAAAAUUUGUGAUCAUGAAUUUCUCUGCAGUUAGAAACAAGUAACGUGUCUUUCAUAACACGGAGAUUAAAAUUUAUAUAUUUCGUUUAAUUGAGCCUCUGAAUACGGUCAUGAAUAAAAAGGCAGGGUUUGUCAAGGUUGCAUUCUGUUUUUCAUAAAAAGCCAGGGGUCAAUGUGGCAAAUUUGACCUCUCCAAAUGUAGCACAAUCUCAUGACAUUAUCAUUUUGUCGACCUAUGAAAUGAUUGCCCACAUAGAUUCCAUUCAUGCCUCUUUUUUCGUCUAAAACGAACUUGGUAAUUUUGUGCUAAUUCUUCAAAAAGAUCAGAAACUGCGUCUUUAGAAGCGAACGUUUCCAGAGUUCAUUCCCGUUAUAAAUAUGGUAUAAGUUUGUUCUUAUUUUCCUUUUUACAUGCUUCCGAUCUCAGCACUUGGCAUUCCUGGUGUUGCUUUGCUCGCUCGCGGGAAAAGGUCCACUUAAAAACCCGGAGUUAUUCCUAGUUAGAGCGGAAGCUCGAGAUGAAGAGUUAUCAGUAGUCCGCUCGCGCAAAAGCGUGCCGAGCAGGAAAAUCGUCAAGGAUUACAUCAAUUCCCGUAUGGUGGUGGCAACGCUUGUGGCCACAGUGACUUUCGCAGCUGGUUUUGCAGUUCCUGGAGGAUUUAACGGCUCGGACACAGCCUCCAAAGAUGACCGGGGCAUGGCUACGAUGUUGGACAAUAGAAUGUUCCAGGCUUUCGCGAUUUGCAACACCAUCGCGAUGUUCUGCUCAAUGACUGUGGUCGUCAACCUCAUCUGGGCGCAGAUAGUUGAUGUCGACGUUGCAGUCGCUGCAUUCCAGCGCACAACGCUACCACUACAAAUUGCACUCCCGGCGAUGUCCACCGCUUUCUUAACUGGUGUCACCUUGACCAUUGGCAAACUCCCGUGGCUUGCUAACACCAUAUUUUAUAUGGGACUCGUUUUCCUCCUCAUUAUCUCAUUUGCUAAAUUGUUAGAGAAGCCUCUCCUCUUUAAAAUCCUCGGUCGUCCUCUCCUUCGACUAACAUUCUGGCUUAUUCUCGCUUACGUUUAUGUGUGGAGAGUUGAGACGUACAUUUAUGUUGACAAUGACGCGAAAGAUAACAGAAGGAAGAGCAAGACCUUCGCUAGUCCGCCUGUGGAUGGUGCUGGUGAAUCGGGGACCGAUGACUCGGCGAAAGCAAAAUGUGAGACAUCCUCCAAGUCACUGAUUUGAAUUUGAUCAUUCCAUAUUAUCUGUAAUAUGUAGUAAUAAUAUAUGUUUUCCUUGGUGAGUGCGACUCACGAUACGGUUGAUUUCCUUUAUGUCAGACCAAAGGUGAUUGUUAAUAUAUGUAAGCUAAACCAUGUGUUUCUCUAAUAACUUAACUUAUUAGAAUUGUUGGAUAUAAUUCCAUCAAAUUUCAUAUGUUAUUAAAGCAGAGGUUCUAAGUUCAAACAUUUUCAGGUCAUAUUUGCUUCAUCUAUUAUAUGUUCUCAUGUUUCAAUCUUAGAUCAAUUCAAGUUUAUGAGUAAAGAUGAGUAUAAAAGUAUUUGUAUUAAAGUAUUUGAAUUAAACAUUGCAUCCAUCUAAUAAUUUAAAUUUUUAGAAUAAUUAAUUGUAGUUCCCGAAAUUUCAAAGUGAUACACACUUCAUGUAAAUUAAAUGGAUGAAUGGCUCAUUUCAUCCGUUUCAUUGCCCUGGAAUCUAAUUGUUAACUUUGAACAUGUGGAAGCUCGUGGGUUUAUGAAAUCGCUCGUCUGGAGUGGCCACGUUCGAUUCACUUUGAACCAGUCCAAUUUGCGGCACUCUCGAGUCAUGAAAUCCUAAGCACUCACUUAGUCACUUACCUGUCUAGUGUGCAAAGAAAAUAAUUCUCAUCGCCUACUCUCUGAGUCAAGACUUGGGUGAAGAAAACCGGAACAAAAUAAUUCUCUUCAUUGCUCACAAAAAAAUAGAACCAAACACCGAACUCAUUUCCAUUUACACCCGUUUCAUUUCCCCACUUCUCCCUCCUAGGCGCCCAAUUUCUGUGCACGCAAAUGAGUUUUGGUGUUUGAUUCAUGGCGGGGUAUAAUCUAGUGAGCAGCGGGCGCAGAAGUCUAGUCAAGGGACGAGAUAAAAAGGAAUUGCAACACGCAACUCAAGGAGAAUUGUGGAAAAGUCUGGAUAUGCGAUUUUCCUCCUCCGAUCUCGGAUUUUUAUUUCAAAGCUGGUUGGUAUUGACACGUAGAAUAUAACUCUAAAGUGAUUCUGGACCUAUUUAUUCGACAGUGAACGUAGAUAAUUACAAAAAAUAAAAAGGAUCUCAUUGUACAAAUGUCUAUUGAGUUAUAAACUUUCUAAAUUAGUCGAUUUAAUUUUAAACAUCUUGACGAUUUGCCAAUAUAAUUAUGCUAACCAAUUUUGACCAAAAAUCGUUGACGUUGACGCUAGCCAUCCUAUGGCACAUGACCAGUAUUGAGGUGAAUAACUUUUGUAAUUUAAAAAAAAUUCUCAAUUUUUUUCUUUUUUUCAUGUUUUCAUUUUCUUCAUUUUCCUUUCUUAUAUUUUCCUUUUUUUCUUUUACUUAUUCCCCUUCGCCAUCCAUUGGCCAGUCCAUGGCUUCGGUGAUUGAUAGUAAGGCCCCAAUGCCCUCGCCAGCGAUUGCAAGGGCUGAUGGAUUUGCUGGGGCCACAGACUAAUGGAGGGACAAAGGAAGAAAAAAAAUGAAUGAAAACUUAAAAAAGGACAAAAAAAAAAAGAGUUUUGAAAUAAUUGUAAAAAUUAUCCACAUUAACAUCCGCACCCAGAUCUGGGCGAGUCCAAUCUUGUCAUGGCCUGGCCUAAAUCUGGGUGAAGCCGCCUUGUGCACAGCCCCGAGGCCUCAUUUGUGCCCAACAAGGCUCGUCAAAGAAGCAAAAGAAUGAAGAAGAGAAAAAAAUAAAAGGAAAAGUAAAAAAAAAAUUAUUAAAAAUUGCCACGUCAGCGUUGAGCGAAUGGCCAGCGUCGACAUCAGCGCUAGCCGACCAAAAUUAGUCGAAUAGAUUGAAUUGACACAAUCACAAAAAAAUUAGAACUGAAUUGGCACAUUUAUAAUGGAUUUAGGACUUUUUUGAUAAUUCUCCCGAUCUAUCUAUUAUCUCCAUUUUUAGAUUGCGACAUGUGUCCAUCCAAUUUUAGUCCUCACUGCAUCUUAUCUAAAUACCAUCAAACCUUGGAUGGUACUUGGAGAUCUAUGCAAAUAUUUAUAUAUAAAAAUUAUAUUGAGAUAGUAAAGUGUGCUCACCAUCAUCAUAUAAAAAUUAUCCUGGGGGAUUAAAUGUUUCAAUUAAUUACGGUAGGAUGAGAAGUAUUUUUCAUAAAGAACGGACAUUCAAGAAGUCUUGCUAGAUUGAUAGAUUGAUGUUGCAAAUGGUUCUCUUCUCAAGUAGCAUGAAAAAUUACGCUACUCAAAUGUAGAGCCUCCUUUUUUUCUAUUUUUUCGGCAGAUCUUUCAAAUCAAAUUACAGGGUUACGACUAUGAAACCUCACAGUACAAGUACAAAAAAUACCAAAUCAAUCAUCUAUUAACUUCUCGAUGCUCAUUAAAUCUGAUUCACAAAAUAGGUUGGGACCCAUUUUGCUAGCCCUACUAAAAUCUAAACAUUUUAAUAAAUUAAGGAUUUAUAUGGCGUCCUAGUUCACAAAGAUGUGCCGUUGUUGUUGACAAAUCAACAGUGAUUGAUUUUCAUGAACUCGUCGUCAUAUUGUCGACAUUCCCAUUAUAUAUGAGCAUAAUAGCGAACUUUGAUUUUCGAGCAUCAAGAUAUAAGAUUGGCUUAAAUAGAAUGCCAAAUAGCCCAAGUGUCACAAUUAGAUAAGUCCAAACCCCAAACACGUUCAACUACGGUUUUUUUUUUCUUUUAACUUUAUUCACAUAUUAUUAGACCAUACUUUAUGGUUAAUGAUCAUAUAUAUCGCGGUUUAUGAAAGACUGUGCCACAUCGAUAGUUUUAGAUGUUAGUCCAAAUUCGAAAUACUGGGCCAACGUUUGAGAUUUUAUUGGCCAUUCGACAUUUCAUUUAUUACUCAUGAAGUCUAUCAGUGCAUGAAAUUUACUGAAAAUUAGAGAAUCUCACAAUACCAACAAAAUAUCAAGUUUUUUUUCAACUUUUUUACCCUUGAUACACUCCACAUACAGCCCAAUUUACAAAAUUCUACAAAAACCACUGCUCAGCAAAGACGAACAACAGCACCCAUCGGCCCAACAUGCUUAACUCCAAGCAUAGAGUGACUCGAACUCUUCUUGUCUCCUUUUCAGUUUACCACAACCAGACAUAUUUAAUACAGUACCGUGAACAAGACAAGAUAGCGAUGAGAUCGGCUCAAUAGGCAUCAGGGUUUGCCAAGCGAUAAGCCUCGAUGGCCUUGAACAUCCCGGACGCCUUCUCUUUCCCAGCCUUGAUCUUCUCCUCAGUUAUGUCCGCCUCGCCAAUGGUGAAGUACUUGCUCGUGCUCUUGCACACCGAGCCUCCCUCGGGCGAAGUGGUGAUCUUCAUCUCGUAGCUGAUCUUCUCAAGGGUGGUGCCCAGCGAGUCGCCCUCAAUGAUGGAGUAGCUGUAGGUGAAGUUCUCCUUGUCCAGGGCCUCGACCUUAUGCUUCAUUGUCUUGUACUGACUGCCUAUCAAGGUAACAAAAAGUAAUAUUCACGUUUAGAACUCGCUGGUUUCAACAUCACGAGCAAUGAUCUUGAUGGUGUCGAUUGGGCCAUUUAGGAUGUUCCAACUGCAAUCUGAUACGAUUGGCUUAGACAUGGCCUGAUUUCCCUCGAUUAGAGUCAAGUCACGUGAUCACUUGUGUAAAUCAUCGAGAUGCUUGUUUCACCGUCGAAGCACCAAAAUCAGAGCAAUAAGAGUCACGAGAAGUAGUAAGCAGCAAACGCAACAAUCACAUUAAUCAGAACCUUUCUCUGAGGGUCAGUCAAUUCACUGCUCGACCCACAUGGAGACAUUCCGUCGCGUUUCCUCACAAGCCCGGAUUUGCGAUAAAAGCCCUUCCCACUGAUUGUUGGAAAAGGCGACCACUAGGAACUGCGCCUGUCAGCUUGUUUUACAAGAAGCCAAUGAAGCUUAAACGGCUCAUGCUGGUGAUAGCAGCUGGGAUUGUACCCAACAAAUCGUUAUGCGAAACAUUGAGAUUUUCCAAUUCAGUGAGCUUUGCUAAAUUGGAAGAAAUUGAUCCUGCUAGUGAAUUGUGGCUCAAGUCUAGGUGGUUAUGUAGCGUGAACGAGUUCCCCAGCUCUGGCGACAUGACGCCCAACAGAUUGUUGUUGCUCAAGUUCAGGCUCAGUAAAUUCUCACAAUUUGCUAGCUCUUUUGGUAUGCUACCGCUCAAUGCCUUCUCACCAAAAAACAAGAUCACCUGGCUUCGAUAAGUUUUCUAACGAGGAGGUAAUAUCUCCGGCCAAAUGGUUGUUGCUCAAGUUCAGCCUUAUCAACUCCCCUAGAUUUCCCAUCUCGUCGAGAAUUUUCCUGGCCAGUUCAUUGCCGUAGGAAGUCAGAACAUGCAACUGGGACAAUUUCCUGAGCUCCGACGAGAUGCGGCUGGCAAUUUUGUUACCAUCUAUCAGCAAAUUCGAUUCAUACACUCUCCCCAUUCUGCAGAGAGAUUCCCGACAAAUCGGCUGUUGCUGAGGCUUAUAAAGUCCAGAUUCGGUCUGAACGCACUCAUGAUACCUGUAGUGAACCGAUUGCUGUCCAGACGGACUCUCGUUAGCCCCGGAAAAUUUCUCAAGCAGUCAGGCGGCAGCUCAGUGAAGUUAUUCCCAUCGACUGCGAGAUAUCCAACAGCAAAGUCGCUGCAUAUAUCUUGCAGCAUUUCUCCGAUGAAGCUGUUGUUCGAAAAGGUAACGAUCCCCAGAGAAGGGCUGUACUUGCCGAAAUCACGUGUUAUGCCUCCUGAGAAAUUGUUCUUGAACAAAGAGAUGGACCGUAAGUUAGCAAGCCGAGAGAUGGUCUCACAAGAAAAUAUUGUGUACACAAGUGAUGCUACGUCAUGGCUUUUCCUUCCCAGCCUAGAUCUCCUCUUCUUCAACUUGAAGCGCCUUCUUGCUGUUGUACUUGCUCGUCAUCUUGCAGACCGACCCUCCAUCGCUGAUGGCCUCAAACUUGACCUUGUAAUCGAUCGACUGGAGCUUGUCGCCCAGCGUGUCGCCCUCGAUCAUCGUGUUCCUACACAUGAAGUUCUCCUUGUUGAGCUCGUCGAUCUGGUGCUUCACAUACUUGAAAGGACUAGCUGCAAUUACAUUAUGGAACUCCCUGCUCGAUGAGUGUUGAGUGUACAUACCUUCGGUGAAAUUUAACUUGCUCAAUGCUCCCGGCUCCACCGUCGCCAUGCACCAGCUCCACGCUCUUUAUGAACUGAGGCAGAAGCUUCGGGAUCAGGGUAUUCGACUUGACAAUCAAGGCCUUGAACAUGCGAGCCGGAUCAAUCGGGCAUGUGAGCUCUUGUGUGAAGCUGGUUGCACCCAUGGCUAUUGGCAAUGAGAAAGAAAUAACCCCAGAGAAGAGUGCUUCUGAGUCCUGUCAAUGCCUCCUAAUUAUGGUUGGAAUUAUGUCAAUGGGUAGGGUUGGUUUGGCAAGAGUCACGCUCGAGGAAAAUAGGAGAGUCAAGGAUUUGCAGCCUAAAGGAAUGGAAAAGAGGAAUUAAGGUGGUCUCUUUUGUUCUUUCGGUCAUGAAAAUGAUUUCGGUCCCUUUCAGAUUCAUGUUGAAAUGUCAAAGUUUAUGUUCCAAAAGAUGAACAUUCUCGUGCUCACACGGGCGGCCAUCCCUUUGAAAUGAUUGUUUUUUUUUUUUUUAAUACCCAGGGAACCCCGUCAGCCGUUCGUCGCCUUACGGCGGUACAUAGCCGCCAAGUAAACCCUAAAGCGAUGCUAGCGGAGGACCCACCACCCCGACGUCACGCUUAAAUCGCCGAUGCUUCCCCUGGGGUUUGAUCCCCUCACCUUUCCCCCAAGGCAAGGGGUUCUUAUCCAGCGGAGCCACCAAGGCUAGUGGUACCUUUGAAAUGAUUGUUGUGGAGUUCAAUCUAACAAUUUGCUGAUUAGACAUUAUAACGAAAUGCCCUUGUUUGAAGAAAAGUGUAUUAAUCAAAUUUUGUCUCGUUUAAUAUGUAGCAAACAAGAAUACUUCAUUAGUUGGUGAUAUCAUGUUAACUUGUCGCGUAAUAUAAACAUCACAUAAUAUAUUUUUUCAUUUGUAAUGCCCUAAUGUCACGGUGGAUCUGAUUCAAAUGUAUGAAGUAAGGCCUUUUGAAAUCAUUUUCAUGGGUUGUCGCGACCUCUUUUUUCUCGGCACCCGCAAUCGGGUACGAGCGCCUAAGGAGGCUAAUGGCUCGGCUGAAUUUAUUAAGCCCGGACUCUCCCAAGUCCGCCAAUUCACGACUUAAUAGUUUGAGUUUUUAACCUGUAAAUUAAUUUUAAAACGGAGUCGCCACUAAUUGGUUUGGGGUGGGUCGAUUAGAAACCCUAAGCGAAGUAUCGGGAGAAAUACUCGCUCCUGCGCAACCAGAGAAAUUAGGAUCGGGGACUUGAUUACACUAGUUAAUCACUAAUGCCCUUUCGGUACCUAAUCUUGUUUAAACCCUAAGGCUUUUUGGAUUUUUGAGGGAUUUUUCCAUACAUUUUUUGGAGGAAAAACAUUUUUUGAGUCUUUUUCUCAUUUUUGGACAUAAAAGGGAUUUUUUGGAUUUUUUUUUGGAAAAAUACAAGUCUUUUUGGCUUUUUCUGAAUUUUUUGGCUUUUUCAUGAAAUUUUGGAUUUUUUUUGGAUUUUUGGCAUUUUUUGGAAAAUAUGGAAUAUUUUUGAUUUUUUGAUUUUUCGGAAAAUAAAAUAUUUUUAAUAUUUUUUUAAUAUUUUUGGAAAAUAAAUUAUUUUUUUGAUUUUUCUCGAUUUUUUAGAAAAUAAAACAUUUUUCGACAUUUUUUAAUAUUUUUUCGAUUUUUUGGAAAUUAAAACAUUUUUUAAUAUUUUUUUGAAAAUAAAACACUUUUUGAUUUUUUUUUUUUUGAAAAUAAAAUAUUUAUCAUUUUAUAUUAAAAUAGUAAAAUAAAGCCGACCCGGGUCGGAUCCGCGGGUUGGGUCCGACCCGAGCCAGCGACCCAAACGCGGACGGGCCCGCGUUGCGGGCCCGACUCGGAUUUUUCAUCUCCUUUUUUAUUUUUUUAUUUUUUUACUUACUAAAACGACGCCGUGGCCGGGCGUUUGGGGACGCCCGGCCCGGCCCGACGACCCGGGUCCACGACCCGUUCCGCGACCCGGCUCGCUGCGAACCCUACCCGACCCGGAUCCGAAUCGCAACCCGGUCUUCCGCCGCGCCCGCAAUUCGUGGAAUCCCUACCCGGUUCCCGAUCCGGGUCCGACCCGACAACCCGGGGUCGUGACCCGGAAAAUCGGGAACCCUAGGGUUCCCGAAUCGCGACGCCGAGGCACGACAGCGGGGACGACGGCGAUGGCGACGGCGGCGGCAACGGCGACGGUGGCGACAGCGACGGUAGCAACGAGGGUUGGACUUCGGAGGGGGGAAACUAUGGCGACGACAACGGCGGCGGUGGCGGUAACACUACCUGUUCGUGGCGAUGGCGUCUGGAUAGUGGUGGCUGGGCAACUCGGUUUCCCGAUCUGGCGCGGCGUCGCCGGAUCGAUCACGGCAACGGCUUCGCAGGUGGGGCACGGCAACAAGCCGUCAAAGCAACGGCGUCGGGACUGAGGCGAACAGCUGCAACACGGCGUCCGGCGGCAACAACAGCAGCAAAAAAAAAGAUCUACCCAGCCGGACCCUCCUCGGCCUUGAUUUCUCCUCACUCAGGCCAGAUCCGAGCCUCCACCGGCCGGAUCUGACCUUCUCGAAGUCACUCGCUGCCGGCCUUCCCCGAAGUCUCUCGGUGGAAGGCGGGCUGAGCUUGCAACUCGAGCUCUCUCCUGCGCUCGCCCUUCAACCCUUCCCGAUGUCUCUCAGUGAAGGAUCUCCGAGCUCGCCACGCCCUCCGACGAUGCUUGCGGCCACCUAUUUAUAGGCGAAGGAACUCCGGUCGACGGAGGGGCUCGGUCGCCGGCCUCCGGCUUGCCCACCGGUUCCGCUCGGCUGAACCGGUGUCCCAUCGAGCUUUCCAGCGAAGCUCGCUCAGCAUUAAAGGCGCCUGCGAUCUUAUCCCCUCCGGCCGACGUCGCCCUACACUCCUCGGCCGUAGGCCAUCCUUCGCGCGCGUCGCCGGCCACCGCGCGUGAGAUGCAAGCGACUGAGGAAGAAGAAGACAGGAGGAAGAAGAAGAGAGAAAAGGGGCCGGGCCAAGGGUGAAGGAAAAUGGGCCACAUGGGCCACACGGAGGGGGAAGAGAAAGGGAAAGAAAAAAGGGCUGGGCUUUUGUUUUUGUUUUUUUUUUGGCGUGUUUAUUAAUUAUCUUAUUUAUCCGAAAUAAAAUAAAAACUUAACAAAAUAAAAUUAACCUAAUUAAAAAUGAGGUGUCAACAGCUGCCCCUCUUUGAAAGUGAGCUCGCAGAGGUUGCAUUCAAAGACAAACUGAUGCCUCAAUUUUAUCCAUACAUGCGUAGCAGAUUAUAUUUUACUUGGGAUCUAUUAUUCUAUGUAGGAAAAGAGCAAUAUAACUUUUCAUAUACUAAGACAGAUAAGAAGAUACCUGUAGUUACUUACCGGGAGUGAGUGAGAUAGGGUGUGAACCCCGAGUUUUGGCAAGUAUCAAGGCGUCAUCUUACCUGGUGAUAUGAGGAGGUUGCUUUUCCAGGGCUCGAACCAUUCUUCGGUCGCCUGUUAAAACAAUCAAUGAUUUGUCUAGGACCCGAACCUUUCUUCGGUUGCCUUGACGGAAGACUGCUCUUCUAGGACCCGAACCAUUCUUCGGUCGCCUGUUGGAGUAAUCAGUGGUUUGUCUCGGACCCGAACCAUUCUUCGGUCGCCGUGACGGGAGACUGCUCUUCCAGGACCCGAACCAUUCUUCAGUCGCCUGUUGGAGUAAUCAGUGGUUUGUCUCGGACCCGAACCAUUCUUCGGUCGCCAUGACGGGAGACUGCUCUUCCAGGACCCGAACCAUUCUUCGGUCGCCUGUUAAAACAAUCCAUGAUUUGUCUAGGACUCGAACCUUUCUUCGGUCGCCUUGACAGGAGAUGCACCGACCUUUCUCAGGGCAUCUCAUUUGUGGGUGCCUGAUUUGUAUCGAGGACACCAGUUGGUACCCGACCUUUCUCGGGAGAUGCGCCGACCUUUCUCAGAGCAUCUAUUUUGUUGGGGUGUCUGACUUCUGUCAAAGACACUGGUUGGAACCCGACUUUUCUCGGGAGGAUGCGCCGACCUUUCUCAGGGCAUCGAUUUGUGGGGUGUCUAACUUCUGUCGAAGACACCAGUUGGAACCCGACCUUUCUCGGGAGGAUGCGCUGACCUUUUUCAGGGCAUCAAUUCUGGAAGAUACCUGGACAUUCACAAGCAUAUCAAAGAGUACCUGGAUAUUCACAAGUACUAACAUGAAGGAUAUUUGGGCCUUUGCAAGCGUCGAAAUGUGUAUUUGGCUGACCAUAGGCACUGAAAGGGUACUUGGAUGAUCACAAGUAUGAAUUCUUGGGGGAUACCUGGAUGAUCACAAGUAUCAAAGGGUACUUGAUAAUUGGAAAUAUUGAGAACAUACCUUGGAUAUUUGUUAAGGUCUCUCACCUCUUGGUAAUGGGAAAUAUCGAGGACGUACCUGAGAUAUUCGUGAAGAUCUCUCACCUCCUGGUAAUUGGGAAUAUUGAGGACGUGCCUCGCAUAUUCGUGAAGGUCUCUCACCUCCUGGUAAAGGGGAUUUGAAUGUAGCAUGAGGCUUACCUGGAUUGCCACAGGCACUUAAAAGGGGUGGAACACCUGGAUAGCCACAGGUGUACAAAGUACUGGGAUACUUGGAUGAACACAAGUAUUUAAUGAUACGACCUGGGACCACUCUGUUGGUCCAAGUGUAAGAAAGCAUACCUGGGUAGGCGCAGGUACACAAAGCAGUGGAAUGCUUGAACAGCUGCUAUUAUUUGGGGACAACUCGGGCAAGUUAAGUGUCAUGAAAAGGGAGUACCUAGACAAGGGUGGGUACUUGAUGAUAUGGGGAUACCUAGACAGCAGUAGGUAUUCCAAGAGAUACUUGGUCAGUCACAAGUAUCAAUACUCUUGGGACAACUCGAACAUGUCGAGUGUCAGGAAAAGGGAGUAUCCGAACGGUGACCGGUACUCAAAGACAAUAGGGAUACCUAGACAGCAGUAGGUAUUCAACGAUAAAUGGAUACUUGGUCAGUCACAAGUAUCAAUACUCUUUGGACAACUCGAAUAGGUCGAGUGUCAGGAAAAGGGAGUAUCUGGACGAUGACCGGUACUCAAAGACAAUAGGGAUACCUAGACAGCAGUAGGCAUCGAAACUCAAGGGACAACUUGAAUAGGUUGAGUGUCAAGAAGAGAGUACCUAGACAGUGAUAGGUACCUUAAGACAAAUGGGGAUAGAGAUAUGCUUACUUGGCAAUAUCUCUGAUCUCUAUGAGUAUGUCAGCUAUUUGCAUAAUAUGCACAUAUGAUUGUAUAUGCUAUAAAUUCAUGAGUUCAAAUGAGAUUCAUGCAUGAUAAUUUUGUCAGUUCUGCAUCUUUUGAUUUCCACUGGGGAAGAUUUUGAAAGACAACCUUCAUUUAGAAUGUAGAUGUCUUGAGCGUGCCAGAUGAGGGACUUUCAGUCUGAAAGGACUUUCCGCUCACUCUCAUGGAAAAGGCUAUCCUGACCAUUGAUGCAGGAUUCAUAAGGACCACACUAUCUCACCGUCAUCAUGUCAGCAGGGGUCUGAGUAUUCUCGCAAAUGGUACGACUUUACCAAUGUGAGAGGUCUUUGUUAAAACUGUGAUGAAGUCUUGGUCAGCGGCUCAUCAAAGGGGACCAUCAAGGUUGAAGCUGAUGGACGAAAAUGUUGCACGAUCAUCUCUGGGUUUACAAGUCAAGAACCCUGCGAAAAGAGAUAGAGUAAUCUUGCUCGUACUUCUUCGAGCGAUGUUUAUAGACAUAUGAAAUCCUACAUUAAUUGAAGUGCCCCUAGUCUGAAGAGACUUUUACAAUGGGAAUGUAACGGAGAUUUUGCUCACAUGUGAGAGGGUGAGAGUUCGUGACUGUCUUGGCAUUUGUCACUAGUCUUUCUUGUCAGAUGGAGGUUCUAUGGACCACAACAGCAACAUUUUCUUGGCUGCAUUUUUGACUGGGGGGCAUUGGCCUUGCUUUUACCAGGCACACUGCUUUUUUCAUGCCCCUAUUUUUAUUCCAGUUCUUCUUUUAUGGGCAUUGACCUUGCUUUUACCAGGUACACUGCUUUUUUAUGCCCAUAUUUUUUCAUUCUUGUCGUUGGAGGAACUGGCCUAGGCAAGUUCAAUCGAAGCACCGUUAUUAGACUUUUGAGUCUUCAUCUUCAGUAGGUGCUCUGGGCUAUGCUGCUUAAAUGGCAGUAACUUCUGUUUUUUCUCAAUGUGAGGGUAAAAUUACAGACUCACUUGGGUUGUACAAUGAAUACAAGUGCAUAGAGAAAGAAUUGCUCUUCAUCAUUCUAGGGCACUUAAAUUAAUGUGAGUGUUCAUAUGCAAUAAAGACACCCAAAGAUUGAUGCAAGUGCGAGCAAGAAAAUUUCUAUCUCUCUUCUCACCUUGUGAUGCUGCUUUGCUUCUAAUCUGCCCCAGUGUAGGGGUUGUUCUUGACAGAGGUAUGAGAGAAGCUUCACCAAUGUAUGGGGCUCAAUGGGGUGAGCAAUGGAAUGCCUCUCACUAUUUUGGUUAUCGUACCAUUCGCGAGAGAACUCUUUACCCUGCAGCCAUGGAAUCUUCUGCACUCAUCUCACAAGUGUAUAGAUGGGGGACUGUGUGUAGGAUAUGGCUUGCCUGUCAUCAUUCUGACACGCCUCAUCUAGCAUGCUCAAUUAAUCUUGUAUUCUCCACUUAGCUGUCUAUUCUGAUAAUCCUCAGUGGAAUCAGUGGCUUAGACAGACGAAAUCAUCAUGCAGAAUUCAUUUGGAAAUGACAUGCAACAUUUUGAAUAUGAUGGAGUUUGAACUUUUCAAAACAAGUGAAUGGUUUUGACUCGCAAAAGACCCUAUUGACAACUUUAUGGGCUAACAUAAUGGUGUUUCCAAAUAUGUUAGAUUUUGAACAUCAAAAGGGUUAUUCGCAAAUGGACGUCGAUGAUUGUCCCUAUUGAUUAUGAAUAUGACACAUGAAUGAUCAGUCGGGGUUGGGAAUCUGAUCGGGCAUCUCUGCUUUUGCCCCUGCAGAAGAGAAGAUGUACAAGUAGAUCAAUUAGUUUGGCCAAAAUUAAAUGUGAGUUGAGGCCUGAAGGUUUUCUGUCAUUUGCUUUGGCAAUACUUGAGAUGCCAUUUUGCUUGGGAGAGUUUGUCAUGCCUCUCAUUGAUUUGUUAUCUUUGCUUUUGACAGUCAGUUAAUCCUGCAACAAACAAGAGGGAAUGUGUUAGUCAUGAACUCUUUCAAGAGUCGAAUAACUGGAAGCAAUACAACUUUACCCUUCACUGGUUUACAGAUGAUUGGGUGAACCUAAAGUGAGAGGGGGACUCGAAGUCAUAUGUCCCUUGCUUCAUUAGGUCAAUUAUUCUCUGAAUUAGCUCCUGGAUGACAUGUCUUUUUACACGAAACCAGGUGAAUUUAAUGUGGGUCAUUUCCACGUACUAGCUUGGCCAAUAUUGAUUUGCCUAACCAUUGAGUUUGGUUCUUGAGUUGUGAUGCUCCCUGUCAAUAGGGGGAAUAUGUCAAAAGUGAAUUCAAAGAAGGGGGAGUAUUGGAAACGAUACCAAAUUACUCUUCUCCAAAGUUUGUAUUUGCUGACUCCUGAUGAUGUUUGAAUGUCGAUGACAGCCUUUUCGUCUUAGCAUAGUUUGACAUUUCUUUCGAUUGGCCUUCCUCACUUGUGACCAUGUAUGCAUGAUUGCUGGUUGUUGAUUUAUCUUCAACGCAUUCCUUCUGUGGAAUUUUUCUUUCUGCCUUUGAUCAGGCAAAGUCAUGUACCUCAAGCUUCUAUGGAAUCUGAGAUGGACAAUCAAAACCUCAAAUUCUCUAAUGGCAAUUACUUCUUGCAAGAGCAUGUGUCUGGAACAAGAAGUGAGGCUUCCAGAUUCUAAGAUUGUUGACUGGGACAGAAGGUUUCUUUUAACCAGACUGGUUCCUGAAUGACGCAUCCUUUACACCGAGCUGGACAAAAUUGACAGGGAUUACUCUUAUGCGUUUGCCUGGGUAAUGUUGAUUUGUUCAAGUUAUGCCAUCGAGUUUGCUUCUUGAUUUAUGACACUUCCUUAAAGACUGGUCAUCACCAUUCAUUUUUCUCCAUUGAGUCAAAUACACAUUUUUUAUGAUGGUGUAAAUACAUCACUCAUAUAUAAAGGUGCAUAAGCAUUUUCAUUCUGAUAGAGAAGUGCUUGGCAAUGCCAGACAAUAAACAUCUUUCAAGGGUAGUACUUUUUUACAGCAUCGGAAUUAACUGGUUUGGAGAAUUCCCGCCCGUCCAUUUCAGUCAGAAUCAAGGCUCCUCCAGGGAGUAUCUUCUUUAUUACGUAAGGACCCUUGUAAUUAGGGGCGAACUUGCCUCCGGGCUCUGGGAAGAUUGGCAGCGUCUUCCUCAAGACUAGCUCAUUUACCUCGAAGUGCUUGGGUCGCACCUUUUGAUUGAACGAUCGAGCUACCCUUUGUUGGUAACACUGACCAUGACAGAGGGCUUUCAGUCGUUUUUCGUCGAUCAUAUUUAGUUGCUCAAGCCUUUGUUGUGUCCAUUCUUCCUUGGACAAUCCUGCUUGGGAUAAAAUUCGCAAGGAAGGGAUUUCUACUUCUACAGGUAAAACCGCCUCCAUGCCGUAAACCAAGGAAAAAGGCGUUGCCCCAGUGGAAGUUCGAAUCGAAGUUCGAUACGCUGUUAGUGCGAAGGGUAGCCUCUCAUGCCAGUCGCGGUAGUUUUCAGCUGUCUUGGAUAGGAUUCUCUUGAUGUUCUUGUUGGCGGCUUCCACAGCUCCAUUCAUUUGUGGACGAUAAGGGGACGAGUUCAGAUGUUGGAUUUUGAACUCAGAAAACAAUUGAUCAAUCAACUUGUUGUUUAGGUUUGACCCAUUGUCAGUGACGAUAGCUUCUGGUACGCCAUAACGGGCGAUUAUGUCACGUCUGAUGAAUUUCAUAACGUUUCGUGCAGUUACGCUUGCAUAGGAUGCAGCCUCAAUCCAUUUUGAGAAAUAGUCGAUUGCGACCAAAAUGAACCGGUGCCCAUUUGAUGCCUUUGGAUUGAUUGGGCCAAUCACAUCAAUGCCCCACAUUGAAAAUGGCCACGGCUCAGAUAACUGAUGUAAUUUAGUUGGAGGGACAUUUAUCUUGUCCCCGUGGAUCUGACAACGAUGACAGUUUCGCACAUGGUGAGCACAAUCGCUCUCUAAGGGGAACCAGUAAUAACCCAAUCUCAUUAUUUUCUUGGCCAACAUAUGUCCAUUCAUGUGAGGACCACAUACUCCCCCAUGUAUUUCUUGCAUUAUUUGUGUGGCUUCGUUUGCAUCCACACACCUUAGCAGGACUGAGUUAUAUGAUCUUUUGUACAAAUUUUCACCGCUGACGAAGAACCUCGAAGCCAUUUUCAUAAGGUAUUUUCAAUCAGAGGGAGUGCUUUCUUUAGGGAAUUCCUGCUUUUGGAUGUAUUUCAUGAUGUCGUAAUACCAGGGUUUCCCAUCGGGUUCUUCAGUUAUAGUCAUGCAGUGGGCCUGUCUUGUCAAGACUUCAAUUUUCAAAGGCUCUACUUCUAACCCCUUCGCUACUUGUAACAUGGAUGAUAGUGUUGCUAGUGCAUCAACAAACUGGUUACGGAUUCUAGGUAGGUAUUCAAAUGAGAUGUCCUGGAAUUCUUCUACCAAUUCUUCCAAGUAGUCAUGAUAAGGCACUAGUUUGGCGUCUCUUGUCUCCCACUCGCCCACAGUCUGGAGGAUAAUUAAGGCGGAGUCACCGAACACUUUUAGGUUUGACACUUCCAUUCCAAUAGCCGCUUGUAGGCCGAGGAUGCAUGCUUCAUAUUCGGCUAUAUUGUUGGUGCAUGGAAACAUCAGUUUUGCAGCCACGGGAUAAUGUUGCCCAUUUGGGGAUAUCAAGACCGCCCCAGUGCCUGAACCUGACAAAUUUACAGCUCCAUCAAAAAACAUAGUCCACGUGUCCUCUUCUACUGCUGAGAUUCGGUCAUCUGGGGAAUGAUCAUCGCCUACUUCUUUAGGGCAAUCUGCUAACAUAUCAGCAAUCACUCGACCUUUAACUGAUUUUUGCGACAUCACCUGGAUGUCGAAUUCUGAGAUUAGGAUUUGCCAUUUGGCCAAUUUUCCCACCAAGGCCGGGCAACCAAGCAAAUACUUGAUUGGGUCACUCUCAGUUACAAGGAAUGUCUGGUAAUGCAAGGUGUACUGCCGGAGUCUGUGCAACACCCAUACCAAUGCAGCACAGGUCUUUUCUGAUUUGGAGUAGUUUUGUUCUGAUGUGGUGAAUUUUUUACUCAAAUAGUAAAUGGCUCGUUCCUUCCCAUCAUGGGGUCCUUUCUGUGCCAACAUUGCACCUAGGGAUUCACUGUUGAUGGUAAGGUAGAGGGUCAAAGGGUGUCCUGGAGUAGGGGGUACUAAAACCGAGGGUUUCAUCAGGUACCGCUUCAAAUUUUCAAAUGCCAGUCGGCAGUCAUCAUCCCAUUCGAUUUGUGCAUCUUUCUUGAGAAGUUUAAAGAAAGGUUUUGCAGUUUCAGAAAGCUAGGAAAUGAAUCGCGCAAUGUAAUUUAAUCUUCCCAGGAGGCUCCGGACUUCUUUCACAGUCGAGGGAGGAGGUAUCUCAAAUAUCGCUUUAGUUUUUGACGGGUCCACUUCUAUCCCUUUACAGCUCACAAUGAAUCCAAGUAAUUUGCCAGAGGUUGCCCCGAACACACAUUUUGCUGGGUUCAAGCGCAACUUGAACUGGCGAAGUCGAUCGAAUAAUUUUUCCAGGGUCUUCACAUGGUCUUCUCCAUGUCUGGUUUUGGCGAUCAUGUCAUCGACAUAUACUUCAAUUUCUUUAUGCAUCAUGUCAUGGAAAAGGGUGACCAUGGCACGUUGGUAAGUUGCUCCAGCGUUUUUCAGGCCAAAAGGCAUGACCUUAUAGUGAAAAGUCCCCCAUGGAGUAAUGAAUGCCGUCUUUUCCUUGUCUUCCUCCUUCAUUUUUAUUUGGUUGUAUCCUGAGAACCCAUCCAUGAAAGAGAAAAGUUUGAAUCCAGCAGUACUAUCCACAAGAACGUCUAUGUGAGGUAGUGGGAAAUCAUCCUUUGGGCUUGCUUUGUUCAAAUCGCGGUAGUCGACACAAAUCCGGAUUUGACCAUCUUUCUUCUUUACUGGUACAAUGUUUGCCACCCAACUAGGAUAUUGCGAGACUUCGAGGAAGCCUACUACCAGGAGCUUCAUUACUUCUUCUUCAAUCUUUUUUGACAAUUCAGGCUUAGCUCUUCUUAGCCGCUGCUUCUUAGGAGCCACAUUAGGGUUGGUUGGCAAGCCAUGCUCCACGAUCAUUGGAUCAAGGCCUGGCAUAUCGGCAUAAGACCAUACGAAUACAUCUUGAUAUCUCUUUAGGAGGGCAAUUAAGCUUGCAGCUUCUUCUUCAGGAAGGUUCGCGCCAAUCUUUAUCUCCCUUGGAUCUUCUGUGCUGCCUAAAUUGACAAUGAUGGUGUCUUCAGUAGUAGGGGGCCUUGCUUCUUCGUGGCGCUUCCAAUUCCAUUGAAUUUCGUCGGAAUCAUCAAAAUCAUCAUCUGAGUCAUCAGAAUUGCUAUCAUGGCUACUUACGGUGCUGGUUUGGACCGUUCCCAUACCCUCGCCUGCCGCUAUAUUAUUCCUGUGUCAUAGAGUAGAUAGGCUAAGGGAACAAAUAAGGUUAGUAGCAUGCAUGCUUCUUUCUUUUGAAAAUGUGAUAAAUUGCUUUUAAAGAUUAAAGACAAUUAAACAUGAGGAGACCCGGGCCUCAGAUUUCUUCUUUCAUUUGACGGCUGGCUAUCAUCAACGGCCGGUUUGGUGUGUCUCCUCAUGCCCUCAAAUGUUUUCAACUUUAAUUGACAUCGUAGUCCAAAUUUACCACUUGGUUGGCCCAAAGUGUCUAUGAUUGCCUCUCCUAUACGCGCCUCCUUAGCAUGCUCAGGGAACAUGGUACGGGUGCUAGGUACCACGAGGAGGUGAUCAUUGCCGAAACACAGCCAUGGAGAGCGGAACGUGAAUACCCCAGCAUCCAAAAGAUCUUGAACCUUGUCUCUCAGGAUGGUGCAGUCAUCUAGCGAGUGUCCUAAUUCCCCUGAAUGGUAAUCACAUUGCUUGGAUGGAUCAUAAUCAAGGAAGUACUUAGGGGUAGGAUGGUUCAAUUCUCUGCCGAUUAGCCCUUGCUCGAGGAGGAUGGGGAAAAUAAUGGACAUUGAUUUAGGAAGGGGCGAAUAUGGCCGAGUGCUUCUUGGGGAUAAGGGUAGCCGUGCCCCUCGCCAGGUCGUGUCAAUAGGGUCCUCUUCAUUUACCACCAGCUCCUCAUUGUGAUGAGAACGGAAUGCACGGGUAGCUUGAGCGAAGUUUUCUGUCAAAUGGUGUACAGUCUCACGUAAUUCUUCGACUUGAUGUCGAAGCUGGAUGAACGAGAAGUUAUCGCAUGUCUCUUCUAAUUGCUCUUCCUCAAUGGCGCCUAUGAAAAUGUCCCCGAACAUGGAGGUCACAUCGUCUGGCCUUUCUUUCUCAAGUGAGGGCCAAAUUGUGUCUUCCUGGAUUAUGGGCAAUUUCACGCUUUCGGGGUUGAACCAUUCUGGAGUAUCCACUUCCUCUUCCUCAUGCAUCAUCUUGGCUGGGCCCGGGAAAGUUUCCUCGAGACGGGGAUAUACAAGGCCGGUUUUUUUCUUUACUUUUCUAUCUGGGGAAUAUCCCAAACCGACAGUAUAGGGUCUUCUCCGAGCUUCAAUAGGCUGACGAAUGCCCUGGCCUCUCCUACCAAGCCCUUGUCCCGAAAGGAAACCGUGUCCUACCAUGAUUUUUCCUACCAUGAUUGCAGCACUUGAUAUCUCAGGGACGAGGGGCAAAGUCCCUCGAGUUUCGUGUAUAGUGGACACGAGCUCGAACGAUUGAUAGCUAGCUUCAUUCUUGUCACUAGGUUCAACAUAAGGAAUGGCCGUCUCGUGGUAGAUGCGGUGAUCUUCUUCUCCUCGGACCGUGAUAAGUUUUCCUCCAACCACGAACUUCACACUUUGGUGGAGGCUGGAAGGUACUGCUCCUGCGACGUGUAUCCAUGGGCGCCCUAAGAGGAAAUUGAAUGCAGUGGGGAUAUCCAUCACCUGGAACAAAAUUUUGAAUACGGUUGGGCCAAUUUGAAUAUCGAGCUCGAUCUCUCCUACUGUUUCCUUCUUUGUUCCAUCAAAUGCUCGAACAGAAGUCUUGGGUACCUGGAUCCAUGAUCUCUCUAUUUUAAGGCGACAGAGUGUCGCUAAUGGACAUAUGUUAAGAGCAGAUCCAUUGUCAAUCAACACUCGAGCGACGUGAGAUGCGUUGCACUUGACUGAUAUGUAAAGGCCCUUGGUGUGUCCUCUACCCUCCUCGGGAAUCUCUUCAUCAGAAAACGCCAUUUGAUCCUUUAGAAGGAUGGUACUGACAAAUUCCUCGAGUUUGUCAUGCUCAAUAGUUUCAGGGACAUGUACUUCACUUAAUACUUUCAUGAGAGAUUUUUGGUGCUUGACAGAUGUCUGGAGCAAUUCCAGUAGAGAGAUCUGUGCCGGUGAUUUUCGUAACUGUUCCACCACAUUAUAUUCGCUGGCCUUAACUACGGCCAAAAACUCCUUGGCUUCUUCGUCAGUGACGGGCUUAGCAGACUGAGUAUUUGCUUGAGCAUAGGUUCGCCCAGAUCUCGUGACCAAACCAACAUCAAGGUCAUAAGACCAUGGUACCGCAUUGUUGCAUUUGUAUUUGUAAGGUUGGGGAAUCUCAAUGACUAUAGCUGUUUCUGUUGUUGAUGCUUGAACAAUGGCUUCCUUCCUUUCAAAGACGCUCUCAGGUGAGGUUGAGUCAUUCUUCUCCUUUUUCGCAUUUAGCGCGGCAAAUUCUUCUUCCCAGUUGAUGAGGACUUGCGAUAUGGUAGAAACUAUGCUGGUGUGGCCGGCGUACACGAUUAUUCCGGCCUCUAUCAUUCUUAAUACCCUUUCCUCCAUUAUUGCAAAGGGUAGUAUUUCAUCAUCCGGAUAAUAUCCAGUUUCUACUAGCCCUCGAUAGACGUCAGCCAUAUGUGCAUUGACAUUUCUGAUCUGAUUGGUUUCGAAACUGAAUAUCAUGUUUACUUUGUCAGCAUGAUCAGGGAGCGGAUUGCUUUGGACAUUCGGCUUCGCGGUUUGGAAUGAGAAAGCCUUAGUAUCUAGCAGGUUCUGGAUUCGAUGUUUAAGGACGAAACACUCAUCAGGUGAAUGGCCUACUUCUCCCAUGUGAUAGUCACAUUUUUUGGACGGGUCAUAGCUGGAGAAGUUUUCAGCAUUGGGUCGUCUCGGCUCAGUUGAAAGGAGGCUCUUGUUUCGGAGGAUUGCCAAAACCUGGGAGGGAGAUCCAGGAAGCGGAGUGAAUUGUCUUCGGUUGUUGUAGCGCUGGGGUGGACGGCUAUUAGUCUGUUGCUGGCCUGUGUUUGUCUGAACAGUCGGGAGAUGACCGGUGUUUGCAGUGUACGUGGCAUUGACAUCAAUCAAGGAUUCUUUAUCUUUUUUCAUGUUGAGCCUUCUGCUGACAGGUGCAGGCUCAGUGAACCAGCCGUCCCUUAAACCCGUCUCAAUCUGCUCUCCCACUGGAAUGAGUUGAUUGAAUGAUUCAGCGAUUGUAGUCACCAUCCGAUUGCGGUAUUCAAAAGGGAGGGUUUUAAUGAACAUUUUUCUCAAUUCAAAGUCAGUUGGCUCAGGACUGAUCUGGGCGGCGAGAUUCCUCCACCUAAUAGCAUAUUCUUUGAAAGAUUCUUGCUUUUUCUUCUCCGUGCGAUCAAGAUCCUCACGAGAAGGGGUAAUGUCCAUUAUGAAUUUGUACUGCUUGAGGAAUGCUUCACUUGCUUCGCUCCAUGUCUCGAUGAGGUUUAUGUUCUUUUUUAUGUACCACCUCAGGGCGGGACCUAUCAGGCUUGACUGGAACAACUGGAUCAUUAAAGGUUCAUUAUUAACGUACUGGGUCAUUCGAACCAAGUACAUCUGCAAGUGAGCUCUUGGGCAGGUCGUGCCAUCGUACUUCUCGAACUCAGGCAUUUUGAAUUUUUCCGGCAUUUUGACCUUGGAGUAGAUGGAGAGGUCUGUUGGAGUAGGAUCUUGAAGGCCUUGCAAUUGCUUUAGCCUCUCUUCAAGCUUCUCAAGGCGUUUGUCAUGUUCAGUCUUAGACAAACUGUUGGGCUUUGCUUUCUCGACUAUGAUUUGGUGCAUAUCAUCUUCUAAUUCGGGCAUGUUAUCAUCAGUAUCUCUUCCUUGAUCACCUCGAGUAGACGAUUGCGGUAACAAUACUUCGAUUGAGGCAGGGGCGGGAGCUAAUUUGCCUUGGAUGGAAUCUAUUUGCUUUGAGAGUUGCUGAAGCACAUUGAAGACUUGCUUCAUUUCACUUUCCAUAAUCUCGACACGGCUUGGUACAUUUUCUUCGGCCAUUCUAUCUUUUGGCGAAUACGACUGUGAUUGUGAUUACCUGCAUAAAGAAAAUGGAGAGAAUGUAAGCCAGGAAACGUAUGGAACACUGGCCCAUGGCAAGGGUCACGUCAUUUUUAUUUAUUAACAGGAGAUUUAUACAAUGCCAAAAGGGCUUUUUACACAAGUCAAAACGACCCUAGAUAUUAACAUUAGGAAUAUUCACAUCAAAAGUCCCGCUGCCCAUUUUAUAUGCGAUGGGAAGCUCCAGUCUUGUGAAGCCGCUUGCUUCUUCGUACUAACUUCGAUACGUGUCUCUUGCUAGUCUCCAAGCUCUUUUCAAGAGAUUCGAUUCGCCCUUGCAGGGUAAGUUUAUCAACUACAUCAGGGAUUACUGGUUGCAGCUCCUUGGGAAUUAUAUGGUUGAGGAUGUAGAAUGUUGAUGCAUGAUGAACUUUUUCUUGUUCCUUUAACCUUCUGGGCACGACGAUCUUUUCAGUGUGGCAUCUACUCCAUGCGUUCUGAAUUAUGCAGAUCUCCUCCAAGUAGUUGUAGUUCGUACGGGUGAAAAAGAUUCGAAACAAUCCUGAUUUGAGCGGUGGCGGGACUUCUUGAAGGACCCUGUACUGACGAGCCACCCUAUAUGGAUAAUAUGAGGUAGCUCUGGAGAGGCCCAGCAACGGGAUGGGGUUGUAAUAAUCAAGCGCAAAGCGCGCCUCUCCUGCAAUGAACCAUUUAGCUCGCCAUAGGAAUGUCUCAGGGACCGGGUUUUUUAGCAAGUUAAUCCACCGAGAAUAUUCUUCAUUGGGAGAAUAUUUUUCCAAGAUUUGAAACUUUUGCAAUGGGUGUUUAAACUCGUUGAUUUCAAAUAUUUGCAUGAGGUGCCCAAAUCUUUUGAUAUGGGAAAAGAACCACAUUUGUAAAAUUUCUGGAGCGGCCCUCAUGAUUUUCUCUUUUUGGUCCUUGAAAUGAUUAAGGGAUAAAAACGUUUCGGCUAAAACCAUAUUCACAUAUCCUGCUCCAAAAAUGACUUGAUUUACCACCCAUGUGAUUGAAGGAUCUAUAGCAUUCUUUCGAUGGGGAAAGAUAAUAAAACCAAAGAAUGCUAAGAGGAAGAUCUUGGCUUUUUGGGUCAUUGAUUGUUUUUCAAAGCAUUCAGUUAAAGAUGAUAGUGGAAAAGCAUUAUUGUUGGCUUGAACAAUUUCUCUUACCGAAUGAUUUUUUAGAAACCGUGAUAGACUAACCACAGGGUCAAUGCCGAUUGGCUUGACAAGCUCGCUUCCCAGGGGCAUUCCUAUGGCGAGACCGUACUCUUCUAAAGUCGGAGUCAGUUCAAAUUUGCCGAAUAUGAAGGUGGAUGUUUCAGGGCACCAGAAAUGUGGUAGUGCUUGCAUGACCCCAAAGUGGAUAUUGAUUUGGAGCAAUGGGAGGAGAUGACCGAUUCUUGAUUUGACGUACUCUUGGCCGAGUUGAUCUAACUGCUUCCACCAUCUGAGAAGCUCUCCCUUUGGGGUGGGAAUGAACUGGAUAUCAAAUCUUCCCAUCGCAUAUAAGGAAGGGAAAUACACAACCUGACCCUAUUUCGCCAUGAGCCAGAAAAGACUAAGUAAAAAUAAAGAAAUUACUUGGCAAGCACAAAGACAUGCAGAUGGGAUGUGCGGCUCGAUUUCUAACUCAGAAGGAUUGGUGAGAUUAAAAGGAUAUCCGCCCGUCGCAGUCUCGCGUUAGCAGCAUACCCUCUUAACCUCGGCUAAGAAAUUCGGGGAAAAGAAAGGCGACCUCUACAUCGCAGUCUCGCGUUCGAGGUCGUAUCUUUCUUAACACCAUCCUAGAAAUCCUAUGGCGGCCAAGGUCCGGCGGCCGGGUUGUGUGUGCCAUGUGUAGUGUUUAAAACAGUAAAGCAUGCAUAACAAUUUAUAAUCACAAGAUAAUCUAUUAAAAUAAAUUUCUAAGCUUUUGACCUGCAUAAAAAAAACCUAAGUCAGUAAAGAUAUUAAACAAGACAUAAAGGCCUAAGUCCUCAAAGUCCCCAGCGGAGUCGCCAAGCUGUCGCGACCUCUUUUUUCUCGGCGCCCGCAAUCGGGUACGAGCGCCUAAGGAGGCUAAUGGCUCGGCUGAAUUUAUUAAGCCCGGACUCUCCCAAGUCCGCCAAUUCACGACUUUAAUAGUUUGAGUUUUUAACCUAUAAAUCAAUUUUUAAAAUGGAGUCGCCACUAAUCGAUUUGGAGUGGGUUGAUUAGAAACCCAAGCGAAAUAUCGGGAGAAAUACUCGCUCCUGCGCAACCAGAGAAAUUAGGAUCGGGGACUUGAUUACACUAGUUAAUCACUAAUGCCCUUUCGGUACCUAAUCUUGUUUAAACCCUAAGGCUUUUUGGAUUUUUGAGGGAUUUUUCCAUACAUUUUUUGGAGGAAAAACAUUUUUUGAGUCUUUUUCUCAUUUUUGGACAUAAAAGGGAUUUUUUGGAUUUUUUUUUGGAAAAAUACAAGUCUUUUUGGCUUUUUCUGAAUUUUUUGGCUUUUUCAUGAAAUUUUGGAUUUUUUUGGAUUUUUGGCAUUUUUUGGAAAAUAUGGAAUAUUUUUGAUUUUUUUAUUUUUCGGAAAAUAAAAUAUUUUUUAAUAUUUUUUUAAUAUUUUUGGAAAAUAAAUUAUUUUUUUGAUUUUUCUCGAUUUUUUAGAAAAUAAAACAUUUUUCGACAUUUUUUAAUAUUUUUUCGAUUUUUUGGAAAUUAAAACAUUUUUUAAUAUUUUUUUGACAAUAAAACACUUUUUGAUUUUUUUUUUUGAAAAUAAAAUAUUUAUCAUUUUAUAUUAAAAUAAUAAAAUAAAGCCGACCCGGGUCGGAUCCGCGGGUUGGGUCCGACCCGGGCCAGCGACCCAAACGCGGGCCCGACUCGGAUUUUUCAUCUCCUUUUUUAUUUUUUUAUUUUUUACUUACUAAAACGACGCCGUGGCCGGGCGUUUGGGGACGCCCGGCCCGGCCCGACGACCCGGGUCCACGACCCGUUCCGCGACCCGGCUCGCUGCGAACCCUACCCGACCCGGAUCCGAAUCGCAACCCGGUCUUCCGCCGCGCCCGCAAUUCGUGGAAUCCCUACCCGGUUCCCGAUCCGGGUCCGACCCGACAACCCGGGGUCGUGACCUGGAAAAUCAGGAACCCUAGGGUUCCCGAAUCGCGGCGCCGAGGCACGACAGCGGGGACGACGGCGACGGCGACGGCGGCGGCAACGGCGACGAUGGCGACAGCGACGGUAGCAACGAGGGUUGGACUUCGGAGGGGGGAAACUAUGGCGACGACAACGGCGGCGGUGGCGGUAACACUACCUGUUCGUGGCGAUGGCGUCUGGAUAGUGGUGGCUGGGCAACUCGGUUUCCCGAUCUGGCGCGGCGUCGCCGGAUCGAUCACGGCAACGGCUUCGCAGGUGGGGCACGGCAACAAGCCGUCAAAGCAACGGCGUCGGGACUGAGGCGAACGGCUGCAGCACGGCGUCCGGCGGCAACAACAGCAGCAAAAAAAAAGAUCUACCCAGCCGGACCCUCCUCGGCCUUGAUUUCUCCUCACUCAGGCCAGAUCCGAGCCUCCACCGGCCGAAUCUGACCUUCUCGAAGUCACUCGCUGCCGGCCUUCCCCGAAGUCUCUCGGUGGAAGGCGGGCUGAGCUUGCAACUCGAGCUCUCUCUUGCGCUCGCCCUUCAACCCUUCCCGAUGUCUCUCAGUGAAGGAUCUCCGAGCUCGCCACGCCCUCCGACGAUGCUUGCGGCCACCUAUUUAUAGGCGAAGGAACUCCGGUCGACGGAGGGGCUCGGUCGCCGGCCUCCGGCUUGCCCACCGGUUCCGCUCGGCUGAACCGGUGUCCCAUCGAGCUUUCCAGCGAAGCUCGCUCAGCAUUAAAGGCGCCUGCGAUCUUAUCCCCUCCGGCCGACGUCGCCCUACACUCCUCGGCCGUAGGCCGUCCUUCGCGCGCGUCGCCGGCCACCGCGCGUGAGAUGCAAGCGACUGAGGAAGAAGAAGACAGGAGGAAGAAGAAGAGAGAAAAGGGGCCGGGCCAAGGGUGAAGGAAAAUGGGCCACACGGAGGGGGAAGAGAAAGGGAAAGAAAAAAGGGCUGGGCUUUUGUUUUUGUUUUUUUUUUGGUGUGUUUAUUAAUUAUCUUAUUUAUCCGAAAUAAAAUAAAAACUUAACAAAAUAAAAUUAACCUAAUUAAAAAUGAGGUGUCAACAUGGGUUGAUUCAAACUUCACUAGCACCGACAGUUUGACUCGGUCAAAAUUGGGUCCGCAAUCGGGGUGUCCCAAGAUCAGCUCGUCCUCUAAGUUUUGGGGGAGGUGGAGGUUCCUGCUUUUCCGUUAUAUUUUGCUUCUCGUUUUAUUUUUUAUCAUUAUCAGUGUUGAAGCAUUUGAUCUCUAAUCCAAUGUCCUCGUCAAAGAUGUCCCCAUCAAAGAGAUAAGAUAGGAUUAGCUUAUUCAAAUAGCCCAAGCUUUACAAUAAGAUAAGUCCAAAACCUAAACACAUUAACUUUAUUUUUCGAUAGCUUUCUUGACAUAUAAUGAGAAUGUACUUUUCAUCAAUGAUCAUACGCGUAACAAUUUGUGAAAGAUUCUAUCACAUCGAUAGUUUUAAAUGUUAAUCCAAAUUCGAAAUAUAAGUUCGGAUCUAUUCAUUUGUUACUCAUGAAUUCUAUUCUUUUAUGGAAUUUAUUGAAAAUUAGAGAAUCUCGUGAUACCAACAAAAUAUCAAGCUUAUUCAACUUUUAUUCCCUUGAUACGCUAUUUAUGUAGCACAAUUUACAAAAUUCCACAAAAACCACUUCACCAGAUUCCUGCCACACCUUUCAUUCUCUUAUUCUCAGCAAAUACAAGAACAGCUACGCUCACCAGCCCCACAAACUUUACUCCAAACACAGAGUGACCCAAAAAAAAAAAAAAAACCACCGAUGACGUGCUAAUUCGAUGUUGUUGAUUUUGUGCGUACAAAGUCCAAAUCAACAUUAAUGACGUCAUAUAUGGCGUGCUAAAAGUUGUUCAUGAGUUGAAUUUUUGCAAUUACGUGCCCAAUGAAUUUUGACGCUCUUGAGUGGGAAAUCACUAAAUUGUUAACUUUUUUCCAAAUGCCUGACGGGUUUCAUAGGAUUGGUUUGGCGAGUAGAGAUAAAAAGUUAGCACGCAAGUAAUUUAAAAGCACGGUGUAAAUUUGAUUCUCCCAAUCAAUGAGCGUAAACGAAACAUGGGGGCGAAAAAGGUUGUUACCAGCAUUGAAAAAGUGGACUUUUGAGAAGCUCCAAUCACUGAAAUGUUGCGUAUUCGGCAAAAUGCAAGUAAGUCUAGUCAUCGAGAGUUAGUAUUUAGAGAAAUGCAUAAACAGAUAUUUAAUCAAUAGAUACGUUUAGAAAAAUGUCAUACAUAGCUUUUUUAGCUCAGUUAUAUAGAGCUUACUUUAGUAAGCAAGAGGUCUUGACUUUGAUUCUCAACGAGAUCCUUUGUCUUUUGACUUGUAAUAUUUCCUUUUUUCACAUUCAAUCUUCUUCCUAACAAUUUUUUUGAAAAAUUCAAUCGAGCCAAAAAAUGAAUUGCUUAAUAAAUGAUAGAGCCAACAUAUAUACAUACUAUAUAUGUGUUUUUUCUCAGUACAAAUGGUUAUACGAGGACCCAAUUAGUAAGAGGGAGGUCUUGAAUUUGACUCUCAACAAGAGCAUUUGUCAUUCAAACUUUUUCAUAACAAUUUUUUUACUAAAGAAAAAAAUCGAUUGAGCCAAAGAAAUUGUCACUUAAUACAUCAUAAAGCCAGCAUACACAUAUAAUUCAUUUUUCUCAGUACAAAUGGGUAUACAAGCACCCAUUUAGUAAGUGGGAGGUUUUAAGUUCGACUUUCAAUGAGAGCAUUUAUCUUCUUACUUAUAAUUUUUCCUUUUUGUAAAUUCAAACUUCUUCAUAAUAAUUUUUUUAAGAUAAAAAACCACCAAAAACCUCAAACUUUGCCCAAAGUGACAAAUUUACCCCAAUCUUUGUAUUAUGAUAUGAAAAAUCCCAAAUUUUGCCAACUGUGACAUAUUUACCCCAAACUUUUUUUCAUGACACAAAAAAUUCUGAACUUGUAUUCAUGUGACACAUUUACCCUAAACUAUAAGGCAUUUUGUCUUUUACUUUUUAAAAUCUUUUCUUUUUCUUUUUUUCUUCUUCUUCUCUCUUCCCUCCGCCAGCCAUGGCAGAGCCGGUGGAGGAAGCCAUAGUUAGGCGAGGGCUACCUUCACCGCCGUUAGGCGAGGGUUGCCCUCGGUUAGGCUAGCUAGGGCUGCCCGACGCCAACGAGGGAGGUCCUCGCCCGACCCAACCGAGGGCAGCCCUCGCUUGAUGCCACCGAGUGCAACCCUCACCUAACUCCAACUUCCCUCCGCCAUGGCUGGCGAAGGGAAGAGAGAAGAAGAAAAAAAAAAAGAAAAAAAAAAAGAAUAAGACGAAAAUGCUAUUGGUGGGGUAAAUGUGUUACGGUUUUCAAAAUUUAUGGUUUUUUAUGUCACAAAAGAAUGUGUAGGAUAAAUUUGUCACUUUAGGCAAAGUUAGGGUUUUUGGUGGUCUUUUUCCUUUCGAUCGAGACAUAAAAAAAGUCACUUAAUACAACAUAGAGCCAACAUAUAUAAUAUAUUUUGUUCCUUUUUCUUGGUAUAAAUGAGAUACCAGCACUCGUUUAGCAAAGCCAAAGUCUUGAUUCCGACUCUCGAUGAGAGCACUUGUCUCGUGACUUAUAAUCUUUCUUUCUUCUACAUUCGAACUUUUCCGUAACAAAUUUCUUGACAAACAUUCAAAUUUAUGUCUUCUUGAUGCCGUUAUAAUAAGGGAUACGGAACUCUAGUGUGAAUGGAACUCAUUGCUGUGAUGCUAAAGGGAAGGCGAUGCUGACGAAUCCUACAGGAAUAUGCGGGGGACGGAAAAUCUUAGAGCUGGCGGUUAGAUCUGGCUGAGGUUACCAAGGGUUGAUUCUUGCUUAUCGCCCCGGAACUGACUUACCCAGGUCAUGCUCAGCCCUCACCCUUAGAAAAAGGAACUCAAGAAAAAAAAUUCAGUCACUGCUCCAUAAUGAUUAAUGUCCAUCAUAGUUCAAGUAAGGAGAUAUAAGCAAACGUUCAAACAAUAAAAUAAAUAGAUCGACAAAAUAAAUUGGAUACCAGACUUAUAUAAUUCAAUCGCAGUGACCUACCUCUAUAAGAAAAGUAAUAACGAAUUUUAUUGUAGAUCAAACAAUAUAACGGAAAUUAUAACCACAGUCGAGUUACUUUAAUACUUUUAGUGUUUUCUAAUUCCUAAUUACAUUCAAUAACUCAAGUAAUAUAUAACCUCACAAUUUCUGACUAAAUAAUCCUUUAAUCUCAAGAAGAAAUUAACAAAUCACGAAUUAAACCCUAAUUUCGCUAUAUGUAAUUCACGGAGAAUAUCCAAUGUCAAGCACGCCAACGGCACUACUUGCGGCUGAAAAACCCGUGAUAAAGUCACCUCUCCGCACUAACAAGAGAGAGAGAGAGAGAGAGAGAAUGUGUGCAUCUGUCUUUUUCCUUCGGCAUUUUUGGCGGCUUCUUGCGUGGCAGUCAUCUAAGUGACCGGUGAGAAGUUUCUGAAAGACCGAUAAAAAAAAGGGAGAAGAAGAAGAAUAAUACUUUCUAAAAGAGAGAGAACAAUCAAUAUUGACAGUGCGCUGUUCGGGGUACAAAGCAAUGAUUUCAUCAUUCUUGAUUAGGGUUUUGAAAAUAUGGCUUUUCAAUCCGUUUCAUAUAUUCUCCCGUUCCCUUUUGGGAGUAGUCGUGCACUACUCCCCGCUCCCUUCUCUCUCUCAACUGUCGUCUAGUUGAACAAUUUUGAAAAGUCCCGACGCGUGCUUUUGCUGUCUGUCCCUCCUUCCUGCCUCAGAAUCUUGAAACGGUGCCGAUGCGGACCUCUUCCUCCUGCCUCAGUUUCUUUGAAUAUAAUUAGCCCGUUUCACUGUGUUUGCAAGUGGGGAUUGGAGUGCGUUCCCCUUGUAUAUGCGCGCGCCCAUCAACCAACCCCCCCUCCAACCAAUCCAAUCAAAUCUCACUCCAAUCCACUAUUGUCCUUUGGAUUAAUCACCACGGAAAGCGCCGAUUUCACAAGACCGUCGCACCGAAUUCCCGCCCUACCCUUCGGCACCUUCUCAGUAAAAAGACGAGGAGAAAAGCUCACCAUCGGACUUUAUUUGAGCCCGUAUACAGGGCCCGACUUAAUUUGAGGACGUGCAUCAGUUUGUUGAACCCGAUCUAUUAGGGAAAAAAAAAAUACCAAUAUCACACUUUCAUAUUUAAAUUAGAAUUUAUCUUGAACAGAAUAUUUACAUGAGGAGUUUUGUAAGCAUAGCAGUUUUUAAGUUAUUAUGAAAAUAAUAUCAACUGCAAAUUCUUGAAAAAGUGGGUUUCAUAACAAUAUAUAAUUAUUUAUUUUUAUGUAUCAUAGUAUACUGUUAUUCUCAUAUUAAAUUAAAAACGGUCGUUCAAUUAUUUAUCUUCACAUGAGGCGAGUAUUUGGUCUUUGGAGAAAUCUCUGGUGGUCAUGAAAAGUGCGAAUCCAUUAUACUCAGAUUCUUUUUCUUCUCUCUUUUUUAUCUGGCCAAUUGAAAAGUUGGACAAAGCCGCGUCUCAGUGGGUUCUGUUUGUUACUCCAGCCGCGCACAGCCAAGGGAUUUCACGUGCCGCACAGUAGGUUUCGUUUCGUGGGAGCAACACCGUGUGAUUUUCACGCGCCGCUCAGUGUUUACGCUGUAGGAAUCUGGGUCGAACGAAUUAUACUGAAGUGAUUUGAAAAAAUUAAGAUGCCGCGAUUUUUAUAAGAUGUUUCACAAGCAUCUUUAAUUACAGCAUUCAGAAUUUCUACCACCUCGACAGUUGUCUCACCCACUUCGAAGGCGUCGCAUCUAUUACUGCAGACGAAAAUUAUAACACUUUACCUCAAAACGGAUUCAUAGUUCAUUCACGAUUAUUAUUCAUCUUCAAGAGACGUGAGAAUGUAGACAUAAACAUGGUGGGAGACAGAAAGAUUGAGCCGACACGCAACAUCAACAACUCAAUUGUGAGCAUCGGGGUUUCGCAAGAGAUGGGCGUCGAUGGCCUUGAACAUUUCCAUGGCCCUUCUGUCUUUGCCGGCCGUGAUCUGCUCCUCCGUGAUCUCGGCCCCGUCCUUGGCAUAGUACUUGCUCGAGCUCUUGCACACGCGCCCUCCUUCUGGACCUCACCUCGAACUUGAUCUCGUACGAGAUCUUCUCGAGCCCAUCGCCCUCAACAGUGGUGCACACGAACGUGAGCGAGCUUCCCCUUGUUCAGUUCGUCGACCCGGUGCUUCGCCGAGUUGAGCUGGCUAGCUGCAAGACACAGAAAACCACAAUCAACUCCUAAACUUCGGUGAAUGUCUUGAGACCCAUGUUAAUGCGGUGCGAUAAAAAUGUGCAAAGUGGGUGAAGUUAAAAGAUGCACGAGGACUCGCCUUCCCCGAAAGCAACUUGCUUGAUGAUUGAAAUGCCCUCUAAAUGAUUCUCAGUCGCCUGUUUAGUAAUCUAAAUCGCCAUCACAAUAGUCUAAAUCGUAUAAUAGAGAAAGAGUACUAAAGACAUGGAUCUCAAGCCCAAAUGAUACUUAUUAGCAUGCGAGUGAUCAUCUGAAUUUCGAUGCUCUUGAGGGUGGGAAGUCACUAAAUUAUUAACUUUUUUCCAACACCAGUCGAGUUCCAUGGGAUUGUUUCCGCUAUUAGAGAUAAAAAGUUAGCAUGCAAGUAAUUUAAAAGCACAGUAUAAAUUCGGUUCUCCCAAUCAACGAGUAUAAACGAGAAUAUGGGGGCGAAAAAAUUGUUGCAAGAACUAAAACGUGGACUUUUCGAGAAGCUCCAAUAACAGAAAUGUCGCAUAUUCGGCAAGAUGCAAGUACGUCCAUCCAUCGAGACUUAGUUUUUGGAGAAAUGCACAAACAUAUAUUGAAUGAAUAAAAACGUUUAGAAAAAUGUCAUAAAAACGUAAGCGAGAGGUCUUGACUUUGAAUCUCAACGAGAUCCUUUGUAUUAUGACUCGUAAUAUUUAUUUAUUUUUUACACCCAAUCUACUUCGUAACAAUUUUUUUGAUAAACAAAACUUCAACCGAGCCAAAAAAAUUAGUCACUUCAUAUAUAUGUGCACCCGUGUGUAUGUGUUCUUUUGUUGGUACAAAUGGUUAUGCAGGCACUCAAUUAGUAAGCGGGAGGUCUUGAGUUUGACGCUCAACGAGAGCAUUUGUCUUAUGACAUUCAAACUUUUUCAUAACAAUUUUUUUCAUAAACAAAAAAUUCAAUUGAACCAAAAAGUUUGUCACUUAAUACAUCAUAAAACCAACAUAAACAUAUAAUUCACUUUUCUAAGUACAAAUGGGUAUACGAGCACCUGUUUAGUAAGAGGGAGGUUUUGAACUCGACUCUCAACGAGAGUAUUUGUCUCCUAACUUAUAAUCUUUCUUUUCUUUCUUUUCUUUUUUUCUACAUUCAAAUUUCUUCAUAACAAAUUCUUUUAUGAAAAAAAAAAUCGAUCAAGCCAAAAAAUUUGUCACUUGAAACGUCAUAGAGACAACAUAUACAUAUAAUAUAUUACGUUCCUUUUUCUCGAUACAAAUGGGAUAGGAGCACCUGUUUAGCAAUCCGGAGUCUUAAGUCCAACUCUCAACGACAACAUUUGUCUCGUGACUUAUAAUUUUUCUUCUUUCUACAUUCAAACUCUUUCGUAACUAAUUUUUUGAUAAGAAUUCAAACUUCUGUCUUCUUGCUGCUGUUAUAAUCAGGGAUAAGGAACUCUAGUGUGAAUGGAACUCAUUGCGGUGAUGCUAAAGGGAAGUUGAUGUGACGAAUCUUACUGGAAUGUGCGGAGGAAGGAAAAUCUUAAAGCUGGUGGUUAGAUCUGGCUGAGUUACCAAGGGUUGAUUCUUGGUUAUUGCUCCGGAACUGACUAACCCGGGCCAUACUCAGUCCUCACCCUUAGAAAAGGGAACUCUAGAAAAAAAUUUAGUCAAUGCUCCAUAAUAACUAAUGUUCUUCAUUGUUCAAGCAAAGAUACAUUUUUAUGCUUCUCACGUUCUAUAAUUUUAAGGAAGGGCCAAGGUGGAAAUCUUAUUUUGUAAUUAACAGUCUGCUAUCGAGUUCUUUUAAUUCUGUACUGUUCUUCUUUUAGCAUCAAGGUACCUGGAGAUAUUAACUUGCCUGAUUUCCUCCCUUGUUUCAUUCCAUUGUCAGUGUUUUUUAUGAUUUCGAUUGGCUUUUUUAAGCUUUACAAGUAGAUAAGGGAGUUAAUUAUUUGUCUAGGGCCUACUUAAACAGGCUUACCACGUAAGAAGCAAUAUCCCUCGUUUUGUUUUUGCUCUAAAAGGUUCCGAUGAGGAGCAUUCGGUUGUCGUUAGGGUUCGGCUUGGAAGUCCCUUGAGAAAGCAAUGGGGAGUUUUCGCAAAGACCAGUCAAUCGAGGAUGUAUAGCUCUAUGAUGAUGAAGGCCCCGGCAAAGGACCACCAGGGGGUGCUGGAGGUAGUGGUGGCAGCGGUGGUGGUCCUGGUGGAACUGUCGAUGAAGGUUUUGCCUGGAUCAUGGAUGAAACGCCGCAAGAAGUUUUGGCAACACUUGGCUUUAUAGUUCUGGCAUAGUAUCUCCUUGGAUAUCGUUAAAUUUUAGCUGUCAAAGUACGAAAUUUAUGCUCCUUUUCUUCUUCUUUUUUUUCGGUAAUGAAUUACUGGGACAUUCUAUAAGAAGUGUUAGUAUAUAUCGCGCUUAAUGACAUCCUGCAAGAAGCAACUCAGUUAAUUAAACUAAGCUUAAGAUAAUCCAAUCCUGUAAGCGUAAGCCUGCUUGAUGUACUCAAACAAACAUCUUACGUAACAAAUAAUGAGGGGGUAGUUAAGGGGGACAAAUGUUGGUACAUCUACGGAUUGGCAGCUGCAGCAAUAGUUGGGGUAUAUGAGGGGUACUCAUGGUAAUGCUGCUAGCAGGUGAUGUAAUGGUAACGGCGGUCAUGAAGAAAUUGUGCCAGAGGAGGAUGUUAUCUACUUGGAAUUUCAGUCUUGCUUAAGUACUAAGGUGGUGGUCGCAGCGGGGUAGGAGUCAAAGGAAAUGCUAGCGAGUACCGAUGAAGUAGGUAGAAUCGGUCGUUAGUGGUUUGUUUAGUAGAGUGAGAGUGCAUGUGGCCCUGUCGGAUCUGGUGGUUGUAGUGUCAAUUUAGAGGUGGUGCGGGUAAUGAUGGUAGACAGAGGGAAUCGUGUCUACACAAAAAUGUGUGCUUUGACAUGUUGAUAUUGAUAAAUCUCAUUUUUUCGAAGGUCUCUAUUCACCAUCUCAUUAAUGCUUUAGCGACAGUCCAAAUUUACUUUUCAAAUAAUAUCAGAUAUAUUGAGAUUCGUUUCUUCAGUGGAAGAAAAAGAAACCCCUCAAUUACAUUGACCCUUGAUUAAAUUGAUAUAAGUGAAGUUGUAGAUUGUAAUUGGAUCUUGAAUAUGGACCACCUGUUGGAAAGGUCUAUUUGCAGUCGACUAUGUCAGUUAUUAUACCAAAUUUAAUAGAUCGUUUUAGUGUAGCAUUACUAUUUACAUUUCAGAUGAUAAACCACAAAUCCUCUAACGGGUGUCUAUAGUCUGUACACUACGUUUUUCUAAUGCUGCAUCAUGGUGCCUGCAUAAGUUCAUGUGAUAUCAUUACUGUCGUACACAUAAUGGUUGGUUUAUAUUUCUAUGCUUUUGUUCUAUCCGAUGUCAUUUCUUAUCACACAAUUGUCAACAACCUGAUUUGACCAUUCAAUGCAGUAUAUCUAUAUAAUAUCUGGAGAGGAGCUAUUUCGGCUUGCUAAGGAUUACAGCACGUAUCUUCUCGAAGGAAGUCAGAGCGUUAGGUUAACACGUCUGAUGCAUCAGGAGGGAGGAUUUUAUAAGAAGCUAACAGAGAAGAAAGAGAUUGAUCAGUGUUGGUUAGAGAAGGCGAUAAUUAAUACCCCGACCUGGUGGGACAGUCCUGAGAAGUAGAGGCGCAUCGUGAGACCAUCUGAAGAAGUUUCUUACCCUUCUUCCAGCUAUGACGAUGAACUCUGAACAAUUUAUCUCCGUCUUGCCAAGUCACUUUAGAUGGAAAGGUGAUAUCAUUCCAUGCUUCUAGAUUUGCAGUGAUCCGAAGCUCGAUCUUGGUAGAUGAUGAGAAAGCCAUCUUCUGUAGUUGCUACACCACCUGCCAUGGAGAUUUUUGUGCAAAAUUUCACAAGAACAAGGUCAGAUGCAUGAAGGAUUGAAGUCUAUGUCAUUCUGUUUUGUUGCAAUAUAAAUGACAUGAGUUCAAGUUGAUUCAAAGCGUUAAGAGCAAUUGGGACUUGAUAGGCUGCUUCAUGAGGACUUCUUCAUUCCAACUUUUUCUCCCCCUUUUGAUUCGUUUUCAUUUCUGCUAUUGAUUUUGUCAUUAUCAGCUUGGGUUGCUACCUAAUAGGCUGAAGUUUUGUAACAUUUGAUAUGAUAUGCAGAUACACAUUGCUUGUGUAUAUCUCGAAAAUUCCUACCCUCGGACACUGCUUUGGCUAGCUUCUAAAAAAUGCCGUUCUGUUUGCCCUUCUCUGUCCCUUCUUUUGCCCAGAUGAACAACAACCCUCAGGCCGCCACAUGACCAGCAUAUACGCUAGUGAAAUGCACAAUUUUUUUUAUUUUCUAAUUUGUGGGAAGAAGACCCUUUCUUGUGACAAAAGCCCGGUGGAUGAUGAGAAAGUCAUUUUAUUUUUAUUUUUCCUCUUCUCGAUCGCCCGAAGCAUGAGAAAAGAUACAAGGAGAGAGCACAUGAAAUGAUAACACCAUGCAUAGAAAAAAAAAAAUAGGAAUAAGAAGUAGGGGCCAAAUCAUUGCAGGUCACGAAUCGGGGUACCUAAGUAGGGAGAGGGCAGUUGUGGCAGGCUCUCUCAGAUGGUUUCAGAGGUGACUUUCUUUUGGGGUUUUUGGAUCUUGGUUUUUGGUGGGGGCACUCUUUCAUGUGCUCUCUAUCUAUCUCCCCCAAACUCCCCAAACCCCCCCUAGAAAAAAAAAAAUUACCAAUUAUUGACACCUAAAUUUUGGCAACUUAUUUAGAUAUUUAUCGUAUUAAAAAAUUAAAAAUUAAUUUUAUCCCUGAAAAAAUAAAAUCACAUGGCAUAUAGUUUAGGAACAUUUUUGUUUAUUUUAUUGGACUGACGGUGAGUACAAAAUUUUUCACAUAUUCCGUUGAGAUUUUCAUAUAUUUAGACAAUAUACAGUAAGUGAUGUAUUUUUUAUGAAAAUGAAAUUUUCGAAUGAAAUAUUGAAAAAAAAAUACAAAAAAUAUUGUGCCUGGUGGGAUGAUAAGCAAAGUUGACAAUAAAAUAUAUCACGGAGAUAUAAUUUUUCGGUGUAUAAAAGGAGUCGGGUACGGUGGGGAGCAAAGGAGGCCACACAAUUGACUACACGGCCGCAUAGAGACUUCUCCUAGGGUUUCAAGAGGAGAGAGAAAAAAAAAGAGAAAAAGCUUCGGGGUUUCUCCAUUCGUUCCGUAAAAAAAUGGAGGAGGAGAAAAGCUUAUUGGGAAAGGGGAAAAGUCAACAGAAGCUUUUUGCUUCUGCAGAUACAGAGAACAGAACAACACAGCAGGGAGAUUGAGAUUGACGUGAGGGACGUCGAUCAACAGGAAAAAAUAAGAAGAAAAAAGGGUGCUCCUGUUCCUGUUCAUCUUCCCCACCACGCUUUCCCUGAUUCUCGCCGGCGCAGCAGCAGCCGGGUCAACGCUUCCGCCGGCUUUUCUCCCGCUCGCGCCACCGUCGUGGCGCCUCAGCCGAUCUCCCUCGCUGCACGAAGCCCGCCGUCGUUAUCGUCACUCCGAGCAUCCCUCCGCGACGCCCGAGCCGCUCCGCCGCUUCCUCAUCAGCUCUGUACUCAAUCGCUCCACCCACGACGCUCCUGCUCCGACGCCCAGCGAAUCUGCCCCGGACCCACGAAGCUGUCGCUGUCCCAUCUCGCCGGGAUUCCCGCCUGCGAGCCCGCAUCCCUGCACCGCGCCGCACCACCACCCGCGCCUUGCUCCGCUUCUGCAGUAGAUCCCGCAUCCUGCAGCAAAGUCCGAGUCGCCCUGCUACACCUUCAACCCGCCGGUCCGCGACUCCCCUGUUGUCGAGCUUUCCUUCACCAGCCCUCCGAGUGACGCUCGUAGCAACCCGACGUCGCAGCUCCUGCUCCGCCCUCUUCCCGAGCCCGAGCAAAGACGCCUCUGCUCCGACGCCGCAAACACCUGACGUCGUCGCUGCUCCUGUUCGCCUCAGUAGCACUGCUCAACGAUCAGAGUAGACCACCGCCACCAGCGACGACGGCUGCUUCGAACCGCUGCUUCGCCGGCCACGAGCACCGCCACUUGACUCCUCGUGACAACCCGACGCCCGCGCCUUCCCCACCGUGCUGCUCUGCUGUAUCCGACCCGAUGCACGCCCGAGCGACGAACCAGCUGCGGCUUGCUCCCAAACGCCGAACAGCAGCCCCCCUGCCCGCUGGUUAAUGUUGCUGCCGCCGGUCCGCCCGUCGCCCUCGCCGGAGCUCCGAACGGCAACCCAUCUAGCCGCUGGCUGACUUUAGUUUAGGAGGCAAUUAAGGUAGAUUUCUUAUUUUAUUUGAUUUUUAUUCAUUUAUUUAUUUAGUUUUUAUUGUUCAUUUUUUUUCUUUAUUUGAUGAUGAGAUGUUUGAUAUAAAACAGCCUGUGAAAGAUAGUCCGAUUUUCGCGUCCGAAAUCCGACUCGCAAUCACAAUCGCUUGAAAAAUCGUCAAUCCGAUCUCCCGCCCAAGAUUUGAUUCGUGAUUUAUUUAAAAAUUGGCCAACCCGAUCUCAUACGCGAGAUAUGGUUCGCCGGUUUGUAGAUAUCGAUCAUAUCUUAUCUCAUUUGUCGUCAUGUUAAUUGAAUCAAUUUUAUUUUGUUAAAUAAAAAAAUCAAAAAAAGAAAUAUCUGAGUUAGGAUUAGAUCUGUUUUAGAAUAUUCCUUGUUAUCUUACAUAUUUAGAAUAGAGAUUUUAUUUCGAAUUUCAAAAAUAAAAAAUCAAAUCAAUCAAUUCAAGUUGCUAGUGUUUUUUUUACUUAGGUUGCAUGUUUAAUAAUUUGACAAUUCUUAAUUUCGAAUUUCACAAAGAAAAACACAAAAGAAUCAUCAUGCAUAUAUCAUGUAGAGUUAGGGCAUAUUUUUGUACGUCAUUGCAUAUUAUGGUAAAAUUGCACUUAGUUUAAUUUUAGAUAAUAUUUUUCUUAAUUUAUUAUAAGUUUAAAUAUUAGAUAGAUUGCAUUCUAGGAUUAUUUGGGUUAAGAUAAUAUUUUAGUUUAAAUUAGGAUUUGGUUCAACCUAAUUCUUGAUACAAAUUGAAUAGAAUCUUAAUCUAGUUAGAUAAUUUUCACAUUUUAUUUAAUCCCGAAUUUUAUAAAAAAUACACAAAAUGUCAUAAGUCGAACUAGUUUUAGGAUAAAAUGCAUUCUUUAGGAAAAAUGAAAAAAAAUGCCAUACGCACGUCAUUAGGGUUAGAUUCAUUGAGAUGCAUGUCAUUUAGUAUUUUUGCUAGGCCCAUUUAAUUAGAAAUUACAUGUCAUUAGAAUUAGGUCAUUUAGUUAAUAUUGCAUUGCAUAUUGCAUGAUUUUCAUUAAAAAAGUGAAAACAAAAAAAGAAAUUGCGUGUUAAUUAGAAAUCAUAUUUAGAAUUAUUGAUAUGGAUUUUAAAUUAAUAUUGCAGAUACUUUCGUUGCUUUGAGGUAACUUUUUGCAAUUUAUUUAUUUUUUAUUUGGGUGUUAAAUUGGUGGAUUGUGCACCCAUAUGACCACCUCACAUAUUAGAGAAAUAAAUUUAAAAUUAAUCCAAACUGCUUGCCAAACAUUUUUCAAAAAAAAAAAAAAAAAAGGUACCGAAAGGGCGUUAGAGAAUUCUAACAUAACCAAGUCCCCGUACGCAUAGUCUCUGGUUCGUAGGAGUAAAAUAAUUCUCCCGUUAUUUUAUUUGGGUUUCUAAGUGGCGACUCCUAAUUGAAAAUCAAUUGCAUGUUAAGAACUUGAAUCUAAGUCGCGAAUUGAUAUGGGCUUGGGAGAACCCGAGUUAAAUCUAGGCUUAACAAUCCAUUAAUCAAACCCUAGGUGGUUCACACCCGAAAAAUUGGUCGCGAUACCAAUACUCAAUUUCUAGAGAGAGAUAGAUGGGUUAUAUAUAUAUAUAUAUAUAUAUAUAUAUAUGGGGGAAUUAUGAUGGAAAUGGGGUUUUGGGGUAGAGAGAGAGAGAGGGAAAGAAUGAGAUGCGAUGGUGGGUUGUUCACAAUUUUUCCCAAAAUAAGGGACUGUGCCUGUGAGAGCAUGGAGAAGAGGUGCUUCCAAUUUUGCCCAGAGAAGGGCUGUACUCGCCGAAAUCACGUGGUAUGCCCGGCGGUCUACUGUAAGACAGCAAGGCGAGAGAUGGUCUCACGAGAAAAUAGUGUACACAAGUGAUGCUACGUCACGGCCUUUUCCUUCCCAGCCUUGAUCUCCUCUUCUUCAAUUUGAAGUGCCCCCUUGCUGUUGUACUUGCUGUCAUCUUGAAAAGCGACACUCCGUCGCUGGCAGCCUCAAACUUGACCUCUUAAUCGACCGAUUCGAGCUUGUCACCCAGCACGUCGCCCUUGAUCAUUGUGUACCUACACACGAAUUUCUCCUUGUUGAGCUCAUCGUUCCAGUGCCUCACAUACUUGAAAUGACUAGCUGCAUUUGUUACCGAGCGAGAAAUAAUUUCACUAAACUCAUCACUAGACAGAGGACCCAAAAAAUGGUGUAUACUGAGUGUACAAACCUUCAGUGAAAUUAUCUUACCUCGAUGCUCCCGCCUCCUCUGUCGCCUUGCAUGAGCUCCAUGAUCUUUUUGAACUGAGGCAGGAGCUUCGGGAUCAGGGUAUUCGACUCGAUGAUCAGGCCUUGAACAUGCGAGUUAGAGCGAUCAGGCAUGUGGGCUCUUGUGUGAUGAUGGUUGCACCCAUGGCUAUUAGCAAUGAUAAGGAAAUAAACCCAGAGGAAGUGAUAUGCUUCUGAGUCCUGUCAAUGCCUCCCAUUCAUGAUUAGAAUUAUGCGAAUAGGUAGGGUUGGUUUGGCAAGAGUCAAGGAUUUGCAGCCUAAAGGAAUGUCAAAGGGGGAUUAAGUCUCUCUUUUGUUCUUUUGGUCAUGAAAAUGAUUUCGGUCCCUUUUAAAUUCAAGUUGAAAUGUCAAAGAUUAUGGUCCAAAAGAUGGACAACAGAGAGAGCACAUUCUCAUGCUCACAUGGGCGGCCAUCCUUUUGAAUUGAUCGUUGCAGCAUUGGAUCUAACAACAAUUUGGUGGUACUACAUGACAAUGUGCCAAUUAGAUAUUAUGAUAAAAUGCCAUUGUUUGGAGAAAAGUGUAUUAAUCAAAUUUUAUCUCAUUAUUAUGCAACAAACAAGAAUACUUGAUUGGUUAAUGAUAUCAUAUGAUAUAAGCAUCAUAUAAUAUAUUUCUCCAUAAGCAACGCUCUAAUGUCACGGUAGAUCUGUUCAAAUGUAUGAAGUGAGGCAUUUUGAAAAUUUUCAUGAAAAACAAGUUUGGUUAAGGUUGAUACAAACUUCACUAGCACCAACAGUUUGACUCGGUCAAAAGUGGGUCGGCAAUGGGUUGUCCCACUAUCAGCUCAUCGUCUAAGUUUGGGGGAGGUGGAGGUUGCUGUUUUUCGUUAUAUUUUGCUUCUCUUUUUCUUUUUUUGUCAUUAUCAGUGCUAAAGCAUUUGAUCUCUAAUCCAAUGCCACUAUCAAGAGAUAAGAUCGGAUUCGCUUAGAUAGAAUUUCAAAUAGUCCAAGUGUUAUAGAAGGAAAAAUUACCAAAAAUGUCAUAAACAUAUUACAAUUAUACCAAUUUAAUCAUAAACUUUUUUUUGAUCAAUUGAAUUAUAAAAAUUUCUAAUUAUGUUACUUACAAAAAAAAAACAUUUCUAACUAUGUCAGUUUAGUCCAUCCGAUCAAAAUUGACCGAUCGGUGCAAAUGUGGCCGCCGGCCAACGCCCCCAACCAAUUUUUAAUAAUAUUUUAUAUUUCAAAUUUUUUAUUAAUUUUUUUCUUUUUUCUUUCUCUUUUUUUUUUUCCCUUCUCCCUUCUCCUCCCUCCUUCUCCCUUUUGGCUCCAGCGACUGGCCAGAGGGGAGGGCUAGUGGGUCGUUGGACUCAGGCUACCAAGCAAGCUCGCCUCACCAAACCAAGCAACAAUGAAGCCCCCCUCACCGAAUCUAGCGUGGGCUCGCCUCCCAAAUCCGAGGAGGGGGGGGGGGGGGGGCACUCGCCUCGCCAAUUGUGACAUCCCGAUUUUCCAAUUCUGGUUUCAAUUAAAUAAGUCGGGCAUUUCAUCUUCGCGUCUAUAGCUUUCUUCUCUGAGCUGAUCACUCACGAGAUAACUAGUCUAUCAGGUGAAGCCGUUAAAGAAUCUAAACGCAAUAGACUUGAGAAUUCGACCAAGAAACGACUACUCGACCGUACUAAUCUGCAAGGGUCAUUACGGCACAGACCGAUUAGAGACCGGAGAUAGGUCGAUUCUACAGAACCAUGUAAUUCGGUAUGGGUAAUUCCACCUAAUUGCACAAUUCUUGUUGAUCGGCACUAGACCGAUUUCUCUAUCGUUUUGGUACCCUGUGUCCGUAUUUGAAACCUCGAGAUUUCUACGACAAUCAAGAGUCGCAAAUGUGUCGAAGAUGCACUUUAUGGCUUGAAAAUAAUCAACCACAGGUCAAUUGCACAGAAAAUUCCUAAAAGCUACCCAGUAGAUUAGGACGCGCUAAAGUCGCACCAGAUUAAAUUUAACCGUGAAAUUGAACCCGAUUAUAGAAAUUAGAAGUUCUGUCAAGUCACAAUUCAUUUUAGGAAUGUCGACUCAUCUCCAGAAGAUUUUUCUACAAACCGAGAUUUUUGGCAGAAAAGCAAAGUAAGGCCGUUUUUGUUCGAGAUUGUCAGAGGGCCGUUUUUAAUCGAAUCUUCGGGAUGCAAGUUGGAUCAUUUGACGGGGAAAUGUCAUGAGAAGGCCGAGGACACAUGGGUUGGUUUAAUUGAGCUUCAAUUGGAUGGAAUUGAGAGAGAAUUGAAUGGAUUGAAUGGGGGAAUGUCCAAAAUUCGUAGCUCCCAUGGCACACCACAUUUUGCACCUAUUGCCAAGCUUGUAGAGGAAGCUUGGAGGAGAGAGAGUGGCUGAGGUCAUGUGGUGUCAUGGUGGGGGCAAAGCCAAUGAGAAGAUGGCAAGUGUUGAGCUCUAGAGAGCCCAAGGAGACCCCCCACUCUUUAGCAGCUUCUCCUCCCUUAAUCCAAGGCUUUCUCCAUUGUUGUUGAAGGAGAGAAGCUCAGUAAAAACCAGAGGAACCGAGCUCACCAGCCCCUCCAUCGUCGCACGCCCGGAAGGCCAUCGUCGGCCAGGAAGGCCAUCGUCGGCCAUUUUCCUCCCCUGUUUUCUCCUCGUUCCAGUUUCUGCUCCAGCCGACCUUUCGCCAAAGAUUCGAGUUAAAAGUCGACUUCCCGGAUGAAUCAGCGAACGCUCCACCCAUGUCCGUGACGAGGACAUCCAGACCGUUCCGGAGCACCUCGCCGCUCGCCGGAAAGAUUCUCCGGCUGUCCCGAAAUCCUGAGAGAAGCUGCCGCUCGCCGGACCGUCUGGACUCGCCCUGUUCCGCCUGUUUCGGGUUUUCUUGCUGUUUCGCCCCAUUCCGACCCUUCCUUUGCCCAUCCCAACCUCCUAUAAGAUCCCCAAGACCCCCGGGAGCCAUUGGUUGCCAACCACCCGCUCGCCGGAGCUCCGAUCAGCCCGUUUUCGCCGUUGAAGUUGCUGGUUUCUUCUCUGCAGUUCAGUCCAGAUCAGAAGCAGAAGACAGCAAGGUUUUGGAGACUUUGUGGCCCGUUUUCAAGCCCUUCCCGGCCUCCGUUGGUGUCGCCGCUUUGGGGGUUUAUCGACCGCCUUGGCGUCGUGGUCGCCGUGAACUCACCGGAGCGCAAAACCGGUGAGUUUAUCCUCUAAUUCUUGCUUAGUGAGUUAAUGACGCUUAAGGGGUGUUUAGAUUAGUCUAAUUAGGUUUAGGUAGUUAGAUUAGAUUAUUUUAAUAUAAAUUAGAUUAGUUGUAUGAUUAGCUUAAUGGAUGUUUAAUUAGGGCUAAUUAUAUGAUUAAUUUAGUGUAAUCUUGUUUAAGCCCUAAUUAAUUAUUUUUAAUUAAUUAAUUAUUUCGAAUUUAUAAAUAUUAUUUUAUUAAAUUAUAUUAUUAAAAUAUAAUAUUUAAUUAUUUAAUUUUCGGAAUUAAAUUUAAUUAUUUAAUAAUUUCGAAAAUUAUGCCGAGAUGGCCGGUAGUUAGAAUUUCGCACUGAUCGCAGCAGUGCGGUCGGUUUGUGCUAAUUGUAUGCUUAAAUUGAGAAAUUGAGUGAUUGAUGAUUAUGGUUAAUAAUUCCAAAAGUGUGGAAUUGAGUAAUAUUGAUGAAGUUGUGGUAUUUAACUUGAAAAUACCCGGUGUUGGCUUUUAGCACCAUAAUUGGUUUGUAUGACCAGUUUGUAUCGAUUGAUUGAAUGGAUGUUUAUGUGGGGAUUCAUCCCAAAUCUGUUUAGUGUUGGUAUUCGAUUAGAUUUUUAAUCGUGAAAGGUUGUGAUGGAUCUAGAAAAUCAUCGAAGCUCGGCUGUGCCCUGUUGGAUCGUGAUAUACCACCGAAUUGGGAAUCGGUCGUGCCCACUGGGGCCGUAAACUGCCACCUGAUAGAGGUCACGCCCGUUGGGCCGUAAAUUGCCAUCUGAUAAAGGUCGCGCCCGUUGGACCGUAAAUUGCCACCCGAUAAGGGUCGCGCCUGAUAAGGCCGUAACCUGCCACCUAUUAAAGGUCGCGCCCAUUGGGCCGUAAUUUGCCACUUAAAGAUAGAUCGUGUCCUUUGGACCGUGGUUUAUAUCGGAGGAUUGAUUAAGUUCGGCUCGUUGAGCCGGGAGUGAAAUUGGAAUUGGAACGCUUGAGAUGAUCAGAGGGUGGUUUUGAUGACAUGUAAUCGACUGAGUCGAUUGAUCGCUGAAUCGAUAUGAGUAAUUGAAUUGUUUGGAUGAUGUGGUUGUCAAUAUUUAUUGAUUAAACUGACGUGUAGGAAGGAACUGAGGCGAGGUAAGUCCUCUAUCCUAUUUGUGUGGCUAGAGCGCCCUGAGGCGUAUUUUCUUCCUAAUUGAGUUUUAGAGGGUAGGACUUGCUGAGACGUAGUCUCAUCCCGGUUGUGGGAUAAUAUUUCAGGUCCUUAGAUGAUGGUCGUGGAGGACCGGAAGUCCUGGAGUUCGGAAGAUGGAGGCUGAAGAAUCGGCGAACGUGUCUGACAAGUUGGUCAUAGGACAGUUCCCUUUUUGUUGAGCCUGUCUAUUUUGUAGACAUCCAGUGUUGUAUAUAAACCUAUGUGUUUAUAGAAAGCUUGUUUGGUUGUGAUUGAUUGCCUGCUUUUCUAUCUCAAGUUAAAUGUUGUCAGGGGAUUUGUUUCGCUUCCGCAUGUGCAAUAAAAAUGAAUGGGUCGGCGACGUGUCCUGGGAAGUCGCAUUUGUAUCGACCAGAGUGGGAUGUUUGCGCGCUCGGAGGAUCGGGGCGUGACACCAAUGGUUGGGCGAGCUCUCCUGGCCACCUUAGUCCUGCGAUGGGCUAGCCCUCCCCUCUAGCCGAUCGCCGAAGCCAAAGGAGGAGGAGGGAGGAAGGAGAAGAAAAAAAAAAGGAAAAAAAGAUAAAUAAUUUAUAAAAAUAAAAUAUUAUUAAAAAAAGGUCCCCAGUGGCCACGUCAACGACCUUUUUUUUAAUAAUAUUUUAGUAAAAAUAAGCUUAUGACUAAAUUUGCACAAUUACAAUAGAUUUAGAACUUUUUGGUAAUUUUCCUAUUACAAUAAGAUAGUGUUGGUAUGAUGCGCGGGUUCCUUGAGCCACCAAAAAAAAGAAAAAAAAAAAAAGAUAAGUCCAAACCCUAAACACAUUAACUAUAUUUUUUUAUAGAUUUCUAGACAGAUAAUAGGAAUGUACUUUUCAUUAAUGAUCAUACGCAUUACUAUUUAUGAAAGUUUAUACCACAUCGAUAGUUUUAAAUGUUAGCCCAAAUUUGAUAUAUCGAGCUGAAGUUUGGGAUUUAUUCAUUUGCUACUUAGGAAUUCUCUUCUUGCAUGAAAUUUGCCGAAAAUUAGAGAAUCUCAUGAUACCAACAAAAUAUCAUGUAUUCAACUUUUUUUCAACUUGAUACACUACAUAUAUAGCAAAAUUUACAAAAUUCCACAAAAACACUGCACCAGAUUCCUACCGCACCUUUCAUUCUCUUAUUCUGAGCAAAGACGAACAAACAGCACUCACCAGCUGCUACAUAUGUAGUGUAUCAAGUUGAAAAAAAGUUGAAUACACUUUUCCGAUGACGAAAGUCNNNNNNNNNNNNNNNNNNNNNNNNNNNNNNNNNNNNNNNNNNNNNNNNNNNNNNNNNNNNNNNNNNNNNNNNNNNNNNNNNNNNNNNNNNNNNNNNNNNNAUGCGGACCCCACGUUUUUUGUUGGUAUCAUGAGAUUCUCUAAUUUUCGGCAAAUUUCAUGCAAGAAGAGAAUUCAUAAGUAGCAAAUGAAUAAAUCUCGAACUUCAGCUCGAUAUAUCAAAUUUGGGCUAACAUUUAAAACAAUCAAUGUGGUAUAAACUUUCAUAAAUAGUAAUGCGUAUGAUCAUUAAUGAAAAGUACAUUCCUAUUAUAUGUCAAGAAAUCUAUAUAUAUAUAUGUAUAGUUAAUGUGUUUAGGGUUCGGACUUAUCUUAUUGUAAUAGGGAAGUUACCAAAAAGUUCUAAAUAUAUUGUAAUUGUGCCAAUUUAUAAGCUUAUCACUAAAUUAAUGUGUUUAGGGUUCAGUCUCGAUUGUUAUUGUUCUUGAAAGAGACACGAGAAUGAAGAAAUAAACCAUGGUGGGAGAUAGAUUGAGCCAACGUGCAACAAGAACUCAAUUGUAAGCAUCAGGGUUUUUGCAAGAGAUGGGCUUCAAUGGCUUUCAACAUUCCCAUGGCCUUCUCUUUGCUGGCCUUGUUCUCUUCCCGUCCAUGGCGAAGUACUUGCUCGUGCUCUUGCCCAUGCACCCUCCCCGUCUGGCCCCGCCUCGGCCUUGAUCUCAUUUGAGAUCUUCUCUAGCGCAUCGCCCUCAACGAUGGCAUAUGUGUGCGUGAGCUUUCCUUGUCCAGCUUGUCGACUGAUGUUUCACCGAGUUGAACUGUCUAGCUGCGAGACACAAAAAACAGCAGUCAGCUCCCACGUUAGCCUUAUCAAAUAAUGUCAGCAAACAUCUUCUUGACAUCACAUGUUAAUGCGACACGAUCAAAAUGACGGAAAUUGGAAGACAGCGCAAGCACUCGUCUUUGCCGAAAACAACGUGAUGGUGCCGGGACCGCCAUCACCUGCAAGGGUGACAAAAUCCUCAGUGGCUUGUGGAAGGAGCUUGGGGAUGAGAUUGUCAUCAAGAACAAAGGCCUUGAACAUUCUUGCAGGUGGAAUUGAGUGCAUCUUCGCCUAACAGUUCCAAGUCCCUCGGCAAGAGAUGUGUGAGAUUAUGUUAAAAUGCCCUCUAAAUGAUUCUUAAUUGCCUCGUUUAGUAAUCUAGAUCAACAUCACAGUGGUCUAAAUCAUAUAAUAAAGAAAGAGGACAAAAGGCAUGGAUCUCAAGCCCAAAAUUAUACUUAUUAGCAUGCAAGAGAUCUUUGAAUGCAUAUACCCUUGAGGGUGGGAAUUCAUUAAAUUCUCAUUUAAAUAUUCUAACAGAGCCCAGCGGCUCGGAGAAUUAAGCUUGAGUGCAUGUAGAUAAUUCUUGCACGAUAAACGCGUGGUGGGUUGUGAAUUGAGACUCAUCCGCGUGCACACUGGUGCCACCAUCACCAUGAAUACCACUUCCUCGACCAGUUGGACGGUCGAAAAAGGAAGACAUGGGUCGAGCACAUCCUUCAUUAGCACAUUUGAGUCUUCCAAUAAUGUCGACGUUUGUGUCAUUCAUAGGGAAGAGGGAAGAUUUCCUGGAUGCUUCCCCGUCAUAAUCUAGCUUCAUUACUUUUACUGCUGACUCUGUUUUAUGAAAGAAGAAUGAGUCAAUGUUUUGAUCACAAUGCCAAGUUGCCCACAAGUUCCAAAUUUCUGCGAUACUUCUAAAAGAAGCCACUUUUCAAAAUCUAUAUUCCAAAAGUCUUGUUAGAAUUAUUGGACGAAUCCAAAUUCAAUUUGUCUAUCAACCAUAUGGUUACUGCCAACAUUGUUUUUCAAGAAAAAAAAAUGAAUCAAAGUCAAGGUCAUAAUGUCAAGUUGUACCCAAACUCCAAAUUUGUGUGACACUCUGACACAUACCACUUUUCAAAACCUUUACUUGCAGAGUCCUAAAUGUCCUGUUGGACUUAUUCAAAUGCAAAUUCGAGAUGUUAAUUAGAGCUAUUUAAUCAAUCCAAGACCAUUUGUACCUACAAAAUGUUUGUUUAGAUUCGAUCAUCUAACUUACCAGGAGCCAUGUAGCCAUAAGAUCCAGCCACUAUGGUCCAAUCCGACGAGUCCAAAUUCAAGAGUCUCGUUGUCCUGAAGUCCGAAAGCGAGUGCUCGAAGUCCCACUCGAGCAAGAUGUUGUUCAGCAUUAUGUCCCGAUGGACGAUAGGCAGGGAGCAAUUGCAAUGCAAGUAGGCAAUUGCGUAAGCCACGCCUUGGACAAUCUUCACUCUUGUACCCCAGUCCAGUUCCGUUCCUCCUUUUCAUCCAUACAAGACCCUUGCCAAACUGUCUCUCUCCACAGAUUCAUAGGCCAAGUAAAUGCAACCCCUCUUGAAACAGAACCCGCGGAGCUUAAUCACAUUGUGGUGCCAGACCUUCGUGGACAUGCGGAUCUCGUUCUUGAAACUCUGGUGGUCGACUGCAAGGACAUCGCCGGAUUCUAAUGUUUUGAGCUUUUUGACAGCAGCGAUGACUUGGCCGUUGGCCAGUUCAGCCUUGUAAACGUUCCCAAACCUGCCCUUUCCGAUGCAGUACUUUUCGCUGAAGUCGUUGAUAGCCUUGGCGAUGUCAUUGAAUGUGAACCUUCCUUCCCUUUCCCAUACGAUCGACUCAGAUUUCUCAUACUUCAUUGACUUCCUUGUUUCGCAAUUGAAGCACCAGAAUCACAGCAAUUAAAGUCACCGGAAAUAGCUCGCAUCAAUAAGAACUUUUUCGCUCUGGUCAAUUGAUUUACUACUCAUCCUACAAGGAGAUAAUCCUGUCGGAUUUUCACACGAGCCCGGAUUUGCAAUAAAAGCACUUCACGGUGCUUGUUGGAAGAGGCAACCACUAGAAACCGCACCUGUCAGCUCGUUGUACGAUAAGUCUAUGGAGCUUAAACAAGUUAUAUUUCUAUCUUUUUCAAUGUUCAUUAUAAUGUUCCGUAAGGUUGAAACCGCCUUGAUCUAGAGCAAUCCUAAGUUCCUAAUACAGACGGACUAACCUUCGUCAAAAGUGAUCAACUUGGUGGUCUCGGGACCUUCUUCACCCUCGAGGACUUCGAAGCUCUUGAUGGCUUGCGGGAAGACCCUGGGGAUGAGGUUAUUGGCGUCGAGGACAAUGGCCUUGAACAUCUUGGCCGGAGGGAUCUGGACGUGAUCUCGGAAUCGUAAGUGAUGAUACCCAUGAUUGGAUCCGAAUUGAGCUGCUGAAACUGAGAAGGGAGUGAUGAUCAGGAAAGACUGAGUAGCAGUGAUGAAGUUGGUCUCUAGGACUUGGGAGUGAAGAGAAGGGGCUGAAGCGGAGCUGACAUAUAUAGAGAGAGAGACUAAGUGUGAAGGGUUUUGAUCAGUGAAUAUUUUCUUGUUAUUAAGGUGCUUUGUUCAAUAGAAAUAAAUGAUUUGGAAUAUGUAAAUAAUCAUUAAUAUCAUUUGAAACAAUCAAUUAAUGAGAAAUAUUUUUAGUAUCAACAAUAACUCACGUCUAAAUAUUUUCGUAAAUGAUGAAAAUAUUUCUUAUUCAUUUAUUUUUGCAAGCUAUACAAGCGUUUUAGGAAAAUGUUUUCCAAAUCAUUCAUUUUUUGCAAAACAAUCAAGACUUAAAGAACAAAAAAAGAAAAAAAAAACCUUAAUUACUCCUUGGUUUGUUCAGAUCAUGACAUGGCCCUUGUUCCUAAAAUAAAAAUGUCUAUAUGAUAAUAGAGUAUUAGUCAAAGAAGGUAGGCACCAUAUCCUAGAAUGAUACCAAACGUUAUUGCAUUUCCCUUUUAUGUAUGGACUUGAUUCCAUCCAAGAUGGCUGAGAUUUACUGAUUUCUUACGGUCUUAUUAUCGUAGAAAAUAUUGAUCACGAUCCAUCGAGAUUCUGUCCUAAGUCAUUUUGAUUUGUUCGCAGAAGUAGCAAUCUUAAAAGUCGGCAGAGGCCACGAGAAGAGUUUGAUGCAUAUAGUAGAAAACUUGAAAAACCAAGUCACAAUUUUUCAAAUUGGGUGAUUUUUUAUUUUUAUUUUUGGGUGAUUUGGGUACUACAUGUUUGCAUAGAGCUUCCAUCAAUAAGAAAAGUGUCGAGUAUUCUCAAUGUUGUACCAACAUAAUAGAGCAGAAAGAGAAAGGAGGGGUAGUUUUGUAAGUACACUUUAUUAGUUUGCUGAAGCCGGAGUCCUAUGAAUAAAAAUAUAAAUAUAUACGUAUAUAAAUGAGUAGGUUUCAAGGUUUUAUACAUUUAGUCAACAAAGGCCGUUCUGAAAGUCAAGAUGGACGUCUAAAAAUUUUGAUUUUUCCUCUUUCUUGCAUAUGUCCAGUCCUUCUAGAUAAUAUUAUUACAAAUCCUUUUCUGCAAAUUAUAUGGUGGAGGUGUGGUGGAUCAGGGGACAUUGGCACUCCGGUCACGUGCUAAAUAAACAUUUUUUUUAAUGUUUCCUAUGUAUAAUUCUUAUCUAAAUUAUAGACCAUAGUGCGGCCCCGUUAAAUGCGCAUCGUGAUUGAUUUCCCACACCUAAGUCUUUGUUCAAAUUUCAGACUUAGAAAUAUGAAUAAAGUAACGAUUGUGUGUCAAGUACAAGCAUAUCAUUUGACGAAGAAGCUUCUGGUCAACCUUCGAGCUAUGAUGAUGAAGUCUGAACAAUUUUUCUUCACCUUGCUGAGUCAUUUUAAAUGGGGAAAAGUACCAAAAAAAAACUAUAGACUUAUUGCUUUAAUAUCAAUUCAGUCUUAAAUACUUCAAUUGAACCAAUUUAGUCAUAAAUCUUUUUAUAUUAGUAUCAAUUGAGUCCAUCUGACCAAUUUAGGCUAAAAACUACUGACGUGGACAUCGAUGGUCCUACAUAGUACGACCAACAUUAACAUAGACAUAUUUUAUGAUUUUUAAUAUUUUUUUCAGAAUUAUUUUUCCUCUUUUCUUUUUUUUUUUUCCCCUUACCCUUUGGCCGGCGCCAACUGUCGAUGGUCAUGGUCUAGGCAAGGGCCUCUAUGCCCUCGAAUAUAUAUAGUCCACGUCAAAAUUAAGAUAUAUGUAGGAGUAAGCAAUUCUAAGUUCCUUACAAAUUUCGCCUAAAACCUAGAAUCUAUCAUCGGGUACAAAUUCUUCAUUUUUUAGAACCUAAAACCUAUUUGUUGGAACUUAGAAUUUUGAAAUCUACCCCGUCACAAGUUCCACGUUGGUUUCAGAGUCCAACAUGUUCUUUUUUUUUUUUUUCAUUUUUAAUAUGAACGCAAUAAUAUUAAACAAGCUUAUCAUUCAUCAAAGAGAAUACAAAAUGAAUAAAAUUAUCAACAAAAGAAAAAGAAUUCUUAGUAAGGAAUUCAACUAAAUAAAAAUAAAGGUGAGCGGUUCCAAAUUCCGUAUAGGUUUCACCUAAAACUUAAAACUUACCUAUUAGAACAAGUUCUUCAUUUUUUGAAACCUAAAUCCUACUUUGCAUACCCUAGAACUUCAAACCUAUCCUAUCAUAGGUUCCAAGAUCUACCUAAGUCUCAUUUAUAUUAUUAUUUAAAUAAUUACGAUUCACUAAUCAUAAUUUAUAUUUAGAUAUACGCAAAAAUAUAAACAUUAAUAAAGUAAAAAUAUUAGUUAUAAAAUGAAAAUUCAAACUAGUACUUCUAGAUUAUACACUCAUCAUCGAAUAGUAUCGAACAGUAUGGAAUAUCGAAGAAUCGCACAAAGACAUAAAUCAAGAAAACUAUUCAAACUCAUUCUAGAUUCUAUGUUCUAUGUUCCAAGUUCCUCAAACUAAGAAUCUAGAACCUUCCUAUUGCAAGAGAUUUCUCAUUUUUUGGAAUUUGAAACUUAUCCUGCAUUUGGAAACCAUACCUUGGAAUUUGGAACCUACCUAGAAUCAUGCUUACUCCUAAUAUAUAGCCCUUGAAUAUAUAUAGUCCACGGGCUGGUCUAGUAUGGUCUGGGCAAGGGCCUGACGUGCCGGCCCAGUCCGGGCUUCAUUCUCCCUAAUAAAGGCCCAACCGAGAAAGGGGGAAAAGAGAAACCCAGCCCAAAGCCUACUCAUCCGAACAAACCAAAUUAAGCCCCGAAUUCAAUAUUCUUUUAGUGAAAACAAAGCCCAAAAUUACCAAUUUAGCAAUUCAAGCCCACCCAAUGACCUAAUUUUUCCUUUUGCUUUCUCUUCAAACGUGCCUACUCACAACCUCGUGGCUUCACAGAAGCAUCCCCACCCGCUUCUCUCUUCCCCAAGGACCGAAGACGUUGCUGGUUCGAGCAACCAGGUUUAGCCAAAAAAAUUCAGGCACCAUUUAAACCAUGCCCGGCCAUUACGCGGCUGUCAUUCAUGGCAAUAACCACCACCGUCUUUCCUCUUCCCUCCUCGCCGGCCAAGUACCGGUUGCCCAGAAACACGACUCGCACAGAAAGAACGUCGAAACAAGAACGUGCAAAGUGAAGCAUAGCAACGAGGAUUUACCAAGAUUCGUUUGACAAGCGACGAGCACCCACGACGGACGGAGAACUAAGAAUCAACAGCACGAAUCUUACUUGAACAUUUCGUCGAACACGUGGAAGGCAUCGGCUAAAAGGGAGCUCUAGACUUGCCCGACACGGACCCAAAAUCAACAAACAACGGACCAGCAAAACUUGACCCCAACAUGGGGACGUCUCAUGUGUGCUUAGUGUAGGCGUGAAUGGAAAGCAGCAAACCGCAACCAUGAAGAACACAAGUGGGCAUCUAACUUUAGGCAUUUUGUCGAGCAUGUGGUAUACACAAAUUGGGAGUGAGGAACGGGGACGACCGCGCCCGGGCUCGAGCCGGGAUUCAAAGAAAUCGAUACACUAGGCCUCAAGACAUUAGUACGCACACAAAUAAGGCCGGAAACUCGCAUGAACCGGAAAGCAGCAGCCCAGUCCGGCGAGCCCGAAACAGGGCAUGGGCACAAAAAAGGGCGGUCGGCAGAGAGUCCCUACCCAGCUCGCGGCGUCGGACGCCGGACGAGCUCGAUAGAUCGGGCUACGUCCGUCCGCCUCGCUCGUCUCCUAGCCGGGAUCCUCGGGAAGCCGACCCCGAAUCGGGAAAAGCGAAGACGGCCCGAACGGGGACCUACCAUGGCCUCGAAGUGGACAAGGAGCGGCGGCGGAUCAUCAGUUUUGGUUCGGAAGUGGAGGCCAACAGCGGCUCUCUCAGUCGCGUUCUCUCUCUCUCUCAACUCACGGGUCUCUCUUUCGCGGCCCUCUCUCCUCGGAUCCGAAUCCCUCUCGCCUCGUACUUGACCCCCUCCGAUUUCUCCCUCCUCCCCGACCUCUGGCCUUCUGAGAAAGCCGGUCGGCGGAGGCGCUUCGGCCGCCGGUCCUUCGCGCCGACCGGCCCCCCUUGGCUGAACCAGCAUCACAUCACCCGUCGCCUCCAGCGCCGCCUGCUCUGCUCCUUCUGCUGCGGCCGCCCCCGCUGGCGUGAGGAAGAAGCGGGAGGGAGGAAGGAGGGGCCGGGCCGGGGUGAGAAGCACAAGCAGAGUAGGCCCUGGGCCCACUCGGGGAAGAAAGGAGAAAAGAGGGGGGGGGGGCUAAGGCGAAGGCCCAGCUCCCGUGGGCCCUUUUUUUUAUAUAAAUAAUAUUAAAUAGGGUUAAAUAAGAGAGAAUAAAACUAAAAUAAAACUUAAAAUGCAAAUAAUAUUAAUGCUUAUAUGAUGUGAAAAUCGUUUUUGUUAGGGUCAAAUUGAUUUCAAAUUUUUUAUAUUAUUUUAAUUUUAGAUGUUUAGUCAAAAUUUAAGUAUCAAUAAAUAUAAAUGUCAAACUGCAAGAGUAAAAAUAAAAAAGAAAGGGUUAAUACCCUAGAAAACCCCAAACUGGUACACUUGUGACAAAUUUACCCCAAACUAUUUUUUUGACCAUGAAAAACCCCAAACUGGUAAACCUGUGACAAAUUUACCCUGACUAACUAUAAAAAACCCUAAACUGGUACACUUAUGACAAAUUUACCCCAAACUAAUUUAUUUGACUGCAAAAAACCAUAAACUGGUAAAUUUGUGACAAAUAUACCCUCUGCUAAAUUGGAUUAAUACCACAAAAAAAUCAAAAAAAUUAUAAACUGUGACAAACGGAGCGUAAAAUCCUAAAUUGGUAUACCGAUUAACUGUCACGUGCCAUUAACUUAAUAAUUUGAGAAUAAAAUUUAACGAAAACUAACAUAGGGUAAAUUUGUCACAAGUGUACCAGUUUGGGGUAAAUUUGUCAAAUGUAUACCAGUUUGGGGUUUUUGGUGGUCAAAAAAAUAGUUCAGGGUAAAUUUGUCACAAGUGUACCAGUUUGGGGUUUUUUAGGGUAUUUGCCCAAAAAGAAAAGAAUUAAAGAAGAGACAAGUGUGGUUGCACCUUUAUCCCACCAUGUGACUGAAAUUGUUUACGAAAGUAAAAAAUUCAACGAACAUCACUUGCUCUAGUUUUAAUUGAAUUAUUGUGAACCUUAUUUCUCCACCACGCAUCCUCGUUAAAGUCAUCCUUUGAUGAAUCAAAAUUUGUCUAUAUGUUAUACGUAGUGACACGUGUAAUUCAGUGUGGCUCUUUUGAUGGGACAAAUUUCUCACAUCACCAAUUACCUCUUAUUAGGAUAAGUUCUUUCAAGGAAGGAUCCUAUAUUCUUUUUUUUUUUAAUAAUAUCGUUGUUGUUGUCGGUGACGUGUUCCUUUUCCAAAUUAAUUGGAAUAUAUCAUUUUAAAUAGAUAAGAUCUCUACCUUAAAUGGGAGUAUGAGUUUCAAACGCCUAUGAUAUAUUAUUAUUGAUAGUCACACAAAAAUAACAUGACAGUUGAUGCUACGGUAUGACACAUAAUAAAUAAAGGCGAAAAGCCAUAUUUUAGUAAAACAAAUUCAAAACCGAGUGUUGAGAUUAUUUAUCAACAUGGACAUCAACUUAUAGCAUCUCCUUUUACUAAUGAAUAGGGCUUGGAUUAAAUAAUCAACCUAGUGAUAGUCUAAAAUAGCUCUUUUUGCCUUGCUCCUUUAGCUUUGGACAUCAACUUUAUAUAUUUUUUAAUUUACUUGUAAUCUUAUUUGGUAAAAUCUAUACAUGUGCAUCGAAAGUGCACGAUCUAAAAGAGUUCAUCAAUGUCGUAGCCACAACCAAGAAGUAUGUGUGAUUUGUUUUUAGAUCCCACAUAAACUGAAAGCACGCUAACAUUUGGAUCAAUAUCAAAUUACUUGUGGAUUGCCGACUAUGAAAGCAUAAAGGAGUAACUAUAUAAAUUAAUCCUAGCUAGGAUCUUCCUACAUUUCUACAUGGGUAGGCAUUUAAAUGAUCAAUGGGAGAGAGAUUAUAUAUAAAUCAUAAUUCAAAGUGACGAUUUACUCUCUUAAUAAUGAUGACGACGAUGAUAAUUAUAUAAAAUUGAGAGGACAAAUUUUUUUUUGGCCUGGUAGAGUCUAUAAAGAACUACACAAUACAUCGGGAUGAUCAUUAGAUGAAAGUGCAUGCUUACAACAUUGAAAAUCAUUUUGUAGGGUAUAGAUCUACCAAAUUGUUCAAACAUUGUUUUAAUGGUUUCCCUUGGAUGAAAGACUCUUCCUCUAACACAUGAUUUACUUAAUUUAAUCAGUCCAAGAGAGAGAUACACCACCCACGUGCCCCAUAAGCAACGGGGAAUUUGUCUAAUAUGUUAUGAUGUACAAGACCGUACAAUUCCAUUCGCUCUUUUGAUAAAUAUAAAUUAUCAUGCAAUCGGUGAAUUCAAAUCUAAUGUUAUUAAGAUAUUUCACGUGUGCACGUGUGGUUUUGGGUCUAAUAGAUCAAACCAACAUACAACGUCAACUUCAGACAAACACAUUUUUGGUCGUUCACUCUUCCUUUAUAAAAAUCCCUUUGAAGGCCAAAUGUCUGAUAGUCCUUGAUACUUGACACCCUAAAGUUUACUUAGCAAAGGUUCAAUAAAGUCAGGUUUUGGAAGGGUCAUCAGGAGUAUUACAAGUCGGAACGAGUAAAACAAGGAUCUCUGUAAAGUUAACCACCUUGUUGAAGUUGCAUUUGAUGAAUGAAUUAAUCCCAACUGAAAUUCUUUUAGAGCAUAUGUUAACAAGACAAUCGCAAAAUUGUCGUCAAAUAAAGCACCCAGGCCAAAAGCGGAAUUCAUCACGAUGAUUUUUGGAUUGAAGUGGUGAAAAAGCUUGGUCGAGAGUUAAUUGGGAGAUAGAGAAAGCUCAAACUUUAGGAUAAGCAAUUUUGUGGCUAAUAAUAGAAGCUACAAAAGGUUUUGGCCACUCACGCACGUGCCAGGUCUGCUCUCACGUGCACGCGGACCCUGGUCUGUGUCUCGGCCUCUCAAAUCUCUCUCUCCUGUUCUUCAAUCUCCACUUUCCGUCACCCAUUAAUCCCAUCUUCCUCGCUGACAUGAAGUCAUUAACAUUCGAUUUGAUCCCCAAAAAGAGAAAUCAACACUUAUCGCAUGAAUCAAAAGCAAAUACUAUGGAAUCGGUGUCCCAUGAGGUUGAUCUUAUAUGAUAACGUCUUUGUAUCGGCUACAUACAUUAUGUACAAAAAAAGUGUAAUUAUACUAUCAUAUUUUCGUUAAUUCACCUCUUUGAUCCAAUAUUAUUUGUUGACGUUGCCCUUAAAAAAAUCAGGACAUGACAUCCUCCUUAGUUGAUUGAUAUAUGACAAGGGUCGACAAAAAAGACAGCAUCUAAGUUAACAAUUUGGGAAGAUUAAUGUUUGUGAUGGAGGAUAUUAACUUAUUACGUGGCAGAAUCUUUCUGACAUCGUACAAUUAGCUAUCAAGCAAACUUUUUCGCCUUUUGUUUUUCAAGAAACAAACAAUCACAAGUUUUUAAAAACCAAAUGCCCAUUUAGUUGAUGGAAAAUUGAUUACAGAAAAGUUUUCCAUAUUUCAAUAUUUAGAUGAUAGAAAAUUAUUCAAUUUACCAAAAGUUUUUUUUUCUGUGGAUUGAAAAUAAUAAAUUUAUAUUUGGAAAAAAAAAACUUCUGUUUACGGUAAGAAAUCAUUUAUCCUAAUUUUUUGCUAAUUCUUAUAGAUUAAAUUAGCCUAAAUUAGACUUUAUUAACGCAUAUUAGUGGAUUCACUUGCUAUCAAACACCAUAAAAUUAAUUUUUCUCCAGCAUGUUUUGGCACGAAAGAACACCAGAAAAUUAUUUAAUUUCUCUGGAAUUUAAUUUUUUUGAAAAUACUUUUCAGUGAUAAAUUUUCGCUAAAAAGGCGCAUCCAAGCUACAUUUUUGUUAACCCUGUUCUCCCUCUCUCCUUCUCUCGCUCUCUGCCUGCUGCAGUUCUCUGCUCUCUCUGAGCUACUCUUUCUUCGCCAACUGUACAAAAGGCCAAAAAAUAUAAUUGAGUUUCACCAGCAAUUAUGCACCUCUCUCUCUCUCUCUCUGCUGCAGCUCUUUUUUCGUCAGCUGUACCAAAGGUCAAAAAAUGUAGUUGAGUUUCACCGGGAAUUAUGCGAGAGAAUAUUGGCUACGUCUGCUACUCCAGGCAAAUAAGAAGGUACUCAAAUUACGCCACAUGUCCAACGUGGCCCACGUUGUCAGGCCAAUUUCCUUUGAAGUGAAGAGAAGUCCGCGUUGUCAGGCCAAUUUUGAAAUAUGUUUGGCUCUUCCUCUUGAGGGAGAGGGAACCGCGUUCUCCCCUGUUCUCCCGGCUCCCUCUCUCUUUUGCGCCCGACUCUCUCUCCCUCCGACCCCUCGUCCGACGCCCCCGACUGACGCACCAUCGCGCCCGAUCGACGGACCACUGUGCAGCCUUUCUUUACUCUUCAGGUUUUGUUGCUUUGAUUUCUUGACUCAUGGCUUCUGUCCUAUGAUAUGCUUCAUGUGCUACCAUGUUCUGUUAGAUCUGGGUUUUGGCGACGGUUUUCCUGUCUUAUGGGAUCUGACUCUUUUAAGGAUACUCGAACAUCAUAGUUUUGUUGCUUUCUGAGCUAUGCAUGCACAUUCAAACAUCACAUGGCUUUUUGUAAUUGCAUUUAGCUUGAUAUAAGAAUGUUUAAUUCUUUGGAUUAGCUAACUUUGAUCUGCAUUUCGUUACUGCUAAUUCUGCCUCACCCCAGCUUCUAGAUUGCCCUGAGAAAUCUGGUCAUCUUUAGUUUGUUGUGAGCAUAAUUUGAAUUUGCAGCCCCACCCAAAAGAGAAAACCCUACAUGUUCACAGCGAAAAUUCUAAGUCAAUUAAAGUGAGAAUUUGCAGACUAUCAAGAAAAAGUUGGUUUUUCACAAAAGUGCUAUUAAGUUAUAAAUAAGUCAUAUGGAAAUCAGGUAACACUUUUUUUUAAUCAAUAAUUUUUUAACACUUACCAAUUCCUUCAGGAAUUUAUCCGCAUGAAAAAUAUCCGUUUGUUUUAAAAUGGAGUAGUAAAGUCGUCCCUGUGACGUAUGAGAGUUAAUUGCCUUUUUAACAAUUUGCGUCUGGAUGGCCUCUUCACUAAACAAGAGGUCUUCUUGUAAAUGGCAUAAUUAUGAUUUUUUGGGUGUCGAAUUGUCGUGAUCAUAAUUAUUAUUACUUUUUUUACCAAGAUCAUGUGUUCUACGUUGGUCCAAUUCUAAGGAAAUUUGUUUCCCCCGUAACAGGGGGGUGAAUUGAUUUUUCAAGAUAUUGAAAAUCAAUUUUGUAAAACCUACCCCUAUAAAAAUUGUGCUUCUACUACAAGUAUACUAGCAAUUUAAACAGGACAAACUAAAAAGUUUAGAGAAAGAAAAAUUGCAAAAUGAGAAUUAUGAAAGUUCGAUUCGGGUAUACAUACUCCUCUUUCUAGCUCUAAUAGCCCAAAUAGACUGAACUCUACUAGCUAUGCCAAGAGUACAAAUACAUCUUGUUUUGAAAAUUACUCGAUCGGUCUUAAACUUUUCAAUUUUGCAAAUUUAGUUUUAAACAUUUGUGUGAAAUUUCAAUAUAUUCAUUUCAGUCAUUUUUCGCCGGAAAUUUCUGACGUGACAUUAUCGUUGGCCAUCCUAUGUAGCAAACCACUAUGCCCACGAUUUUCAGCUAAAAUUGACGAAAAGACUAAAUUGAAAUUUCACACAAAAAGUCUAGUUGAUGACCGAAUUAAUAUCCGUGCAAUAAGUCUAGGAUUGAUUAGACAAUUACUUGUUACAAGAGUAGAACUUGCUGCCACAAAGAACUUGACUUCCUUCUACAGCAAUCCCGCUGUACACUGAGUAACUUUUGGACCCUCCAAUAGCCGUUCUCACACCUUGUUCACACGAUACAAAGGUCCUUUUCUAAAUUAUAAACCACACCUCCGACUGUUUACAAAGAGUCCAUUAUACAUUUUAUCUCUUGCCUAGACAAAUAGUGUUCACUCUAAGUAUGUAAAACCACCCUUUUUCAUAUGUUUACGAAUGGGUUUGUCCCUCUUGCUAAUAAUCACUAAAAUGGGUAUUACAAAUUUAUGAAAGACACGAACUCAACAGUCUCCCAAUAAUACUUAAAUUCUCUUGUAGUAGUUAUAUCUAUCUAAUCUUCAAUUAAAAAGGAAAAAUCUCAGCAAAAUUCCUUAAAAACACAGGUAUAAAACCUUGUUACAAUGUAGGCCAUCAAUCUGAUCUUCUAUUAAUGCAGGUUUUAAUCAUAUUGUUUCACCAACCUUCUGAGCGAAUUAGUCCUUUUUCUUUGCAUAACUAAUCUUGGGAUGUCACAUUUUAUUGCUAUGACUUGGGGCGUUGAUUUAGGAACUCCAAUAGUCAUUAAAUCUAUCCAUGGAGAGCGCCCGCUAAAAAAAUCUGACUGCUUUGCAUAACCUAGUUUGGUUCUACACCUUUCCUCCAGUAGAUUUCCUGACAUAGUAAAAUCUUACUUAUGUACUUGUAAAAUCCGAACCAAGUUUCUGUAUGGUUUAAACAUAAACAUUUGCACACUUAAAUGAAUUCUUUAAAUCCAUGGGUUAAAUUUUGAUAUUAUCAUAAUCCUUUUAGUAUAAUUUCCAAGCAGUUUCUCCAUUUUCGACAAUGACAAACCUAUACCAUUCCUUCAAUAAGAGUGAGUUAUGCACAUAAGUAUGCAAAUUCUGCAGAACUAUUUGACUGUAAAACCAGAGAUGAUUCAUGCAUGCUUCUACAUGCGACAUUUUAAUAGACCAUACAAAUAUGUCUGCAAAACAUAAUAAACUCCCCUUAAUAUGUACACAUAGUGUGAUACUCCCCCUGAGUAUGUGCUUCUCCCGCUUCUUGUUUCUUAAAAAUGCAAUAACAUCAGAUGCCCAGGGAUGAAAACCAUAUAAGCAAAAGCAUUCAUUUAUUUAUAUACAGAAUUGUUCUACAAAGCAUAUUCCGGAAAAAUUAAUAUAAAGGAAAGUGAACAUUAACCAAAAGGAUCACAAACACCGAUUUCAUCCAUCAAGCUAGAACGUAUUGUUAUCAAGAGGUUUAUUCAGAAUUUGAGCGAAUUGCAAAUCGAUGCUAACAAAUCCUUUUCAUUGAUUCAUGUUGUGCUGUGGCUGCCAUAAUUAAAUAAAUAAAUAAAAGAAUCAUAUGAAAGAGUCUCUCUUCUUGAAGUUUGACCUAGUUCAGAGCUCCUCGAAAUGGAAGCCACCCCCGUUAAUUAGAACAACUCAUUGUUGAAAGACUUACCGAUUGCUUAACAAUAUUGCAAUUACAUUUAUUUUCAAAUCCUUACAUUAAGGAUGACACGUCCUUAUAUCUCAAUAAGGGCCAUUGACUUAAAUAAGAAAUUUUAUCCGUUGAAUACUGGAAACACAGAAAUCUGACUAAUAGGAGUCUGAAUUACUGAAACUGCAACAACAAUUGAGUGGAAAUGUAAAAGAGACUUAGGGUUGAUGCCUGAUUAUAUAUCGAAAUACCAUGGGUUUGACAUAUAGACCUCGUUGUCAAAGCCCUGUAUGCUAAUGGAAAUAUGUAUAGGUAUUAGGCGCAUUUUGUGGGCUACUACAUGGUGCACUUGUUUUAUAUUUAAGUUUCAAUGGGUCAGUUUUGUCUAUUGGUAAUAUUUUCCUCCAAUCAUACUUUCAAUUAACAGGUCAAAGAUUAUGGAAAUUAUCAAUAUGCAAAUUUAAUCAAAAUCAAAUACGAGUGACGUUAAUAUUUGUGUGAUCCAUCAAUGAAAGUUAUGGCUAAAAAGAGUUCAUCCAGCUAGAGCAUUUCAUGUGCAAAUAGAGAUAAAAUAAAUUUAGAAUUCUAUCCCUGAACUUUUACAUCAUUGACUACGGUUGCUAACAAGCAUUUUCAUUGCAAAAUUUGACAACAUUUUGGGAUGGCUUUUGGAUUAUCAAUGUUGAUUACAUAAUUAUGUCGUGAUUCAGUUUUAUCAUGUUCAGAUUUAGUUUUCUUACAUUUAUUUGAAUCUAAGUUACUAUUAUUGCACAUGAUCUAAGCUCCAACAAUAUUCUUACAUGACAUUUUUUGCUUGUCAAUCAUGUGACCUUAACGAUGUUGUAAAUUAAAUCGAUUACACGUAAAAUGUUUCAGUCAAUAAUUGACACAGAUAGUAGUAGUGGACCAACUACAUAACAUUAGAUUGGCAGUGCAAAAUCUAAUUUCAAGAGAUCAAUAGCAUAACUGCAGCAAAUAUCAAACUUUAGGACCGUAAAUGAAAUUUCUCGGUGUUAAAAAAUAAUUUUCCUUCUCUUGUCGCCGCCACGGAGAAAAUCUUUGAGCACCGCCACUGGAAAAAAGGAUCGUGGUUUUCUUCCAUCACAAAUUUGAUUGGCGAGUUAUCAAAAUCUGAAGAAUCAUCCUAGAGACCGAUUCAAGGACAGCAGUUGAUCUACUAGUUGGCAAGAUUACAGAGUCGUCGAGGCCAGAUUGGGUGGUGAAAACCAACACAGCCCGUGAAGGCAAAAUGUGCGACGAUUGAUAAGCCAAUGCAGCGUUCUUUUAGAGACCAGAUUUAGUUAUUCACUUAAGUUUAUCUACGGGGCUUCAAUUUGUACUUUUUAGGAGAUAAAAGUGGGUGUUAGGAGGCCGGGACUUGCAUAUGAGAUGUGUUAGAAAUUAAACCAAAUUAACAAAUGUCCUCAAUCGACUACGAGUUGCUGAUGUCAGUGGAGAAGUUACUGAUAUUAAUGGUUGUCAAUGCCGAUAUUCCAGAAUUUGAUACCGAUGAUUUUGUUUGGUGAAUUGAUACAGAUGAUUGUCCGAUGCUAGAGUUAAUUAGAUUAUUUAUUGUAGUGUUGUUUUUGAGAAGUCUGUUCAUAUUUUUAUUUCAUGACUGUUCAUGUUUUUAAGUGUAAUUGAUGUUUUGUAAGUUCUUAGGAUUUUAUCACCUCUGAACAUUAGCUAUAUUUAUAAGUCAUUUAGUUUUUUUUUUUUUUUGUCGGUCCUACUCUAUUCCUACUCUAUCACUCGCUCUCAAACUUUUGUCCUGCCUUCUUAUAGGGCAUAGGAGUUGAAACUCACUCCUGAAACUUAAUCGUCCCUACCCCAACUCUCUUAAGAAGGUGGAGAUUCGAACCCCCCACAUCCCUCUUCCAUGUUGAAAGGAUGGCUACUGGGACAAACUCCAGUAGUUUAUAAGUCAUUUAGUUUAAGAGUUAUGUGUGAAGCGUAUAAAAGUUGAGUCUUGUAAUUGUUUUUGAUAAGGUGAAAAAAAAGGUGAAAUAAACAAAAAGGAUAUCUGUCUCCUUCUCUUUUUUGUGUUGUGUUAGUGAGUGUUUCAGCUUUAAAUUAUCCCAUCAAGAUGUAGCCUGUAUUUGUCUUUUACAAAAACUCGAAAUUUUCUAGUUUUGAUGCCAUAUGAAAUUAUGAAGGAGCACUAUUAGCUAUUAUAGAAGUUUAGAUAAUUAGAUGGAUGCAUUAUUCAAUACUUAAUUGAUAUAACGUCUCUUUCACUACCCAUGCUCCUUUUCAACAGCUAGAUUACUUGCACAGCUUGGGCUCAAUGGAAGGAGAGCCGUCCAUAGAAGUGGAGGAUGGUGGAAUGAACAACUCGAUCGCGGAGGAGGUAAAGAAGGAUGAAAGAGGACCUUUAAUGGAAGUGUCAAAGGAUGAAAGGGAUUCUGUUCAAAAAAAAAAAAAAAAAGGAUGAAAGGGAUUCUGAAGAAGAAAUCUGGAGAGGUCGACGGGAGAUAAUGAAUAAUUUAUUGGCGGCUUCCGCGGGGGCACAAGAUCCGGCAAAAGCUUACGAAUAUGCUCGAAAACUGGUGCGUGUCAUCAAAGGCGGCAAGGUUGACGAGUUCCUUUCCAUGAUCAAAGUAAAUGAUCCAUUGUUGCGAGACAUUGAUUGGUCUGCCGUUUUAAAUUCCCGAUUGGAUUGGAACGACUCACUGCUCCACGUGGCAGCAGCAACCCGGAAGGACGACCUCCUAAGGCUUCUGCUUGAGUAUGUUGGUGACCACCUCAUAACCGCCCAAAAUGAUUGGGGAAAUACCCCACUCCACCGGGUCGCUCUGUCGGCGGGAUCUACUGGAGCUGCAAAGAUGUUGAUUCACCGGGCAAGAGGCCUCCCCAACGUCGAGGACAAGAACCUCUUGCGGAUGAAGAACAAACGUGGAGACACCGCUUUGCACUUGGCCGUGUGGCAUGAACAAGCCGACUUGGUGCGCUAUUUGUUGAGCGAAGAUUUAGAACCCGUGUACUGGAAGAACGCGGGUGAGAAAUCUCCCCUGUACCUAGCCCUCGAGACUGACGACUCCGCAAUACAUGAGGCUUUAUUUUCACUCUCGUUGGAACCAUCAAGGAUAGAAGGCUUGCCGCUCAUUCAUGGUGCCAUUGUACUUGGACGACGCGGUACGUACCUAAAUCUGCUUAUGUGGAAAUAUAUUUAUCUAUUUCUGGACUGACUCGUCCCAAAUCUGUGCAAUAACUUUUUGCUCUUACCAAAACCCCUUACCGGUUUUUACUUAAAAUUCCCUACCCUGCUUGUUAAAGUAGUUGGAUACCCAUCGGUUUAGCCGCAUAAUAAACAAAUUAUUCACAUUAGAGCAUAAUAGAUUGGCUUAAAUAUUACAAAUAAAACCAUUUCACUAGAAACUCAUGUGCUGUCGAUCUUUGAUUAGAGAAGCUAUAAAGUGCAAAUAUUUAAGAUUGAUGACCAUGAAAAUCUGGAAUCUAACAAUGACGCCAUUUUUGAAGCAACGGAGAGCCAUGAACCAAAAUGAACAAAUGAGAGUUUAGGGCAUAAAUUAUAAACUGGUAGCAAACCUAGGCGUGAUUUUUUCAUUGGAAAAAGAGGAGGUGACGGUUCCGUCACUCUUAGCAAAUUGAUGGAACAUCAUAAACCGUUAAUUUGUUUGUGACCAACAAUCAAUAGGUUUUUAAGAAAUUAAAAAAAGUGGAUCUAAAUAAAGAAAGAAAUUUUUGAUUUUUUUUAAAUGAAUACAAUUAUCAUAAUCUUUGUAGAAAAAGCCGAUACCGUAGUCUAGCCUAAAUUACCUUGACCAUUAAAAAUAUUGAGAUAAAAUUCAUCAAGCACGCGAUAAUCAAUUAUGUGGAAUUUUUUGGCUGCUAGCGCCAUGUAUCCCAAGUUUACUACUUGAAAAGCGCAGCUAAUGUUCAUUGAUCAUCAGAUUGGUAGAUGGCAUUCAGGUGUUAUAGUCAUAUCAAGUAGGGAGAAUUGUCCAAAAAGUUUUAAACUUAUUGUACGAUUGUUGAUUCAAUUAUAAACGUGUCAAUUGUGUCAAUUUAAUCUCUAUUUUAGUCCUAAACUUUUUAAAGAUUUGCCAACUUAGUCCUUCUAAUCAAUUUCUACUGGAAAUCGCUGACAUGGCGGUCUAGUCAAAGCUCGCCAUCCUACAUGAUGUUGAUCGCUUAUGUGGCUUUUUUUUACAAUAUAUUUUUUAAUUUUUUGCAUUUUUUUCCUUUUCUUUUUUUUUUAUCAUUUUUUCCCUCUACCAACCUCAGGGGAGAGCCGCCCUCCGAUCCUUGCGUAAAGCAACCCUUGCCCUUGCUCGACCUCCACUAGGCGUCAACUGUUGAUGGUUAGAGAAGGGAAAAAGGAAAAAAUGAAAUUAGAAAAAGAAAAGGAAAAGACAAAGACAAGGGAAAGGAAAGGAAAAAGGAAAAAAAUUAGAAAACUAAAAAAAUUGCAAAAAUUAUCCGCAUUAGCGUUGACUGUGCCGUGUAGGACAGUCAGUACUACUAGACCGCCAUGCCAAUGAUUUCCAACAAAAUUGGCCAGAAUGACUAAAAUGACAAAUUGUUAAAAGAUUUAUAACUAAAUUGGCAAGUUAUUAAAAUUGUUAUGACUAAAUUGGCAUAAUUGAAAUAUUUAAGACUGAAUUAAUCAUCAUACAAUAGAUUCAAGACUAUUUUGACAAUUUUCCCUAUCAACUAUAAUUCCAAUCCUAGAUGCAAUAACUUUAUUUUUAUCCUGUCCCAAUUUAUUAAUCCGAGCACAUGUUAUUAUUUACAUUGCACGACGUAACAUGUUUGAGGCUCUCUAUUUAAACUGAACAUGCAAAACAAUUUCAAAUGGACAUAAAGUGAAAAUGCGUAACAAUGUAUUGUGUGAUGCAAAUAAUAAAUUAGCAUACCCAAUAAAUGUAUGUGUCUAAACUUACGUUGCACUCGUUGAAUAGUUAUAGAAGUCGACCUGCACACAUAACGUUCAUAAUCCAUUUAUAAAUGGCUUAACUUAUUUGUGAUAAUACAAUUAAACCUAAUUCUACCAUAUUUAACCACGUUUCAUGUAGAAGGGCUGUUUCAUAGUUUGUCAGCUCAUAAUUCUAACAAGCACUUUAGAAACUAUACAAAAGAUCCCAUUGAAAUUGGAUUUACUAUAUAUUUCUUAUUCUUAUUGUCCAAUAUAUAAAAAUCCUUUUAUGAAGUACUACUGAUUGAAAUCUCGUAAUAAUAGUUCAGUUUUUUUUCACUGAAUGUAAAAGUAGAUGACAUUGUGGAAUGAAUCGAGCGUUGCCAUGGGCUUUUGUAGAUAGGCACUUUAAUUAGGUUAUCAUGAUAGGCACUUUUUUUAAGGUUCAUAUCAAUUAAAUAAGGUAAGGUUAUUUCUUUAAAUCUAGUAAUAUUCUUUCACUUGGGAAAAUUAUCCAAAAAGUCCUAAACCUAUCGCACUUUUGCCAAUUCAAUCCUAAAUCAUUCAAUUUUGUCAAUUUAGUGCUAAAUUGGAUAUGACUAAACGACAAUUAGAAAAUUCCUAAUUAUCGUUGUUAUAUGACUCAUGAAAUUUGUAUAUGUACUUAACAAUAUUAUUAGAGUAUAUUUUAUAGGAAGUAUUAUAGAAAUGUAAGAAUUUUCAAUAAUUGCUCAUUUGCAGUUUUUGAAACUCAUUAGAACUAAUUUCAAUAAAACUAAUGCCUCUUUUGUUGAACAAAAUUCAUGGUAUAAGAGGCAAACAUAAAUCCUAAUUUGAAGCAAAAUAAACGGAAAGUGGAAGAAAAACACUUUUUGUGAGGAAAAUAAUCAAUCCCUUACAAAUUAGAGCCCUAUAAUUUAGAGACAAUUCUUAAAGAAAAAAUCAUUAUAUAUUUAUGUAGAUGUUCAACAGUCUAGAUUAAUUUGCAAAGUUCACUGAACUUUUAGUAUUAUGGAUGUAAUUUUUAUGGCGGUGAAUUAAGACUCGUUUUGUUUUGUGUUGUGUCAUCACAGCUUAAAUAUGUGGUCGUUAUAGCUACGAUAUAUAUGACUCCAUGCAAUGCAUAUACAAGAUAGAACAUAUAAUGUGAUUUAUUGAGUAAAAAUAUCUUUCCCAGAAUCACUAAAAUUUCACAAAAUAUAUUUGGUCCAUUCACAAGAUAUAAUGGGAUUGAGUAGCACAAUCCCCAAGGAUGAGGUUAUCUCUAAAUCACUCUCGCCUGUCUUUGAAGUCCAAUGGCCACCCACAAUCCUCAAACACCGUUGGAAUAUUCUCAAAACAAUUGAAGCACCUCUCUCACAUUAUUGAACCUCUUUACUAGCACCUCCAAAUUUUCGUAGUUGGGGCCAAUUUUUUUUUGUUUUGGUGGAGCCUUUUCCUUUCUGUAAUUUGUGAUUUAUAAGCUCUACUAUCUUAGAAAUAGAUUCUGGUCACAAAUUUUACUUAGAUUUUACUCACAAGUUUUGGUAAAUACAUAAUCUCUUAAUUGAGCUGAAUAAGUGCCGUAUACCUUUACGAAGAAGAUGACGUUCAAUCUAGAGAGGGUGGAACAAUUUUAAGGGGGAUUUCAGUACGGCGUUGUGUAGGCUAUUGCAAUGUUCUCGACAAUAAGUCUGCUUGAUACUUGCUAGAAUUCGACGGACAUAAUAUGAAAAGAUCAUUUUCCUUUUCUUGAUCUUGACCUAGCUUGCAUUAGUCUGCCGACUCUAUAGAUACUUCAUGUCGUGGAAAUGCCAUAUAAAUUGCUAUGUCAUUUAGUAAGAUUUUCAUAGUGAAAUCUUAAGUUCCUGUCAAUGUCAUUAACUAGUUUUGGUAUUGCAAUCUAAUCUGUUAUUGUCGACUAUCAAUACUAGUAGUGAUUAAGGCACGUCAAAGAUGUCCUUACUCCAAAAUGGGUUUAACUAUAUCGAGACCAACCAAGCUCCAACCAUCCUAAUUUGGAGCUCCUGAUCCCAGAUUUAUUCGACCUGAUACUCACGAAAAACAUGAACCUAUUUGCAAUGACCGACUCCAGCGGGGGCAAUGUAUUCCAUUUAGCAGCUCACCUGAAUCAGGCCUGGGUAUUCGAAUUCUUACGACUAGAAACUAUAUAUUUGACCCGAGCAAGGGACAUGAAUGGAGAUAUCCCUGUUCAUAUUGCGAGCAAGAUGGGUCAUGUUGAACAUAUCAAGAAGCUGAGGAUAGUAUCACUUUCGCUAAAUGGGCAAGGGCAAACCGUUCUUCAUAUCGCCGCAAAAUAUGGGAGAGUCUCUGUAGUGAGAUACAUACUCAGCGAUCCAGAUCUAAAGAUACUGUUAAAUGCACAAGAUAAUGAUGGAAAUACAGCUUUGCACUUGGCUGCGAUGCAUUCGCAGCCCGCUGCUUUGAUUCAUCUUGUGCAGACUAACGGAAUUCAACUCAGCGUUUUCAACAACAAAUGCUUGUUCGCUGUUGACAUUGCUCGACGACGCAAGGCAAAGGGGCAUAAGAUUCGGCAUGUAGGUAACAUGAACAGUCACUAUUUUCUUUAUUAACUUACUGGAGAUUUCGUAGACUAAUGCAUUACUUAAGGCAGACCUUGUAUUCAAAUCAUUAUGUCUCCCAACCAACUAGAUAGUACAAGUAUUGAUCAAAUUUCUAGAAUAGCCGAGACUCCUCUCGGAUAAAUGUUCUGCAAGUCCCUAAUUUAGUCUUGAUAGGAGGUAAUUAAAAUUUGUGAUCAUGAAUUUCUCUGCAGUUAGAAACAAGUAACGUGUCUUUCAUAACACGGUGAUAACAAUUUAUAUAUUUCGUUUAAUUGAGCCUCUGAAUACGGUCAUGAAUAAAAAGGCAGGGUUUGUCAAGGUUGCAUUCUGUUUUUCAUAAAAAGCCAGGGGUCAAUGUGGCAAAUUUGACCGCUCCAAAUGUAACACAAUCUUAUAACAUUAUCAUUUUGUCGACCUAUGAAAUGAUUGCCCGCAUAAAUUCCAUUCAUGCCUCUUUUUUCGUCUAAAACGAACGUGGUAAUUUUGUGCUAAUUCUUCAAAAAGAGCAGAAACUGCAUCUUUAGAAGCAAACGUUUCCAGAGUUCAUUCCGUUAUCAAUAUGGUAUAAGUUUGUUCUUAUUUUCCUUUUUACAUGCUUCCGAUCUCAGCAAUUGGCAUACCUGGCGUUGGCUUGCUCGCUCGCGGGAAAAGAUCCACUUGGAAGCCUAGAGUCAUUCCUAGUUAGAGCGGAAGCUCGAGAUGAAGAGUUAUCAGUAGUCCGCUCGGGCAAAAGCAUGCCGAGCAGGGACAUCAUCAAGGAUUACAUCAAUUCCCGUCUGGUGGUGGCAACGCUUGUGGCCACAGUGACUUUCGCAGCUGGUUUUGCAGUUCCUGGAGGAUUUAACAGCUCGGACACAGCCUCCAAAGAUGACCGGGGCAUGGCUACGAUGCUGGACAAUAGAAUGUUCCAGGCUUUCGCGAUUUGCAACACCAUCGCGAUGUUCUGCUCAGUGAUUGUGGUCGUCAACCUCAUCUGGGCGCAGAUAGUUGAUGUCGACGUGGCAGUCGCUGCAUUCGAGCGCACAACGCUACCACUACAAAUUGCACUCCCGGCGAUGUCCACCGCUUUCUUAACUGGUGUCACCUUGACCAUUGGCAAACUCCCGUGGCUUGCUAACACCAUAUUUUAUUUGGGACUCGUUUUCCUCCUCAUUAUCUCAUUUGCUAAAUUGUUAGAGAAGCCUCUCCUCUUUAAAAUCUGCGGUCGUCCUCUCCCUCAACUAACAUUCUGGCUUAUUCUCGCUUUCAUUUAUUUGUGGAGAGUUGAGACGUACAUUUAUGAUGACAAUGACGCGAAAGAUGACGGAAGGGAGAAGAAGACCUUCGCUAGUCCGCCUGUGGAUGUUGCCGGUGAAUCGAGGACCGAUGACUCGGCGAAAGCAAAAUGUGAGGAUGCUACAUCCUCCAAGUCACUGAUUUGAAUUGAUCAUUCCAUAUUAUCUGUAACAUGUAGUAAUAAUAUAUGUUUUCCUUGGUGAGUGUGACUCACUCUACGGUUGCUUUCCUUUAUGUCAGAUCAAAGGUGAUUGUCAAUGUAUGUAAGCUAAAACCAUGUGUUUCUCUAAUAACUUAUUAGAAUUGUUGGAUAUAAUUCCAUCAAAUUUCAUAUGUUAUUAAAGCAGAGGUUCUAAGUUCAAACAUUUUCAGGUCCUAUUUGCAUCAUCUAUUAUAUGUUCUCAUGUUUCAAUCUUAGAUCAAGUCAAGUUUACGAGUGAAGAUGAGUAUAAAAGUAUUUGAAUUAAACAUCGCAUUCGUCUAAUAAUUUAAAUUUUUAGAAUGAUUAAUUGUACUUUCCCGAAAUUUCAAAGUAAUACACACUUUAUGUAAAUUAAAUGGAUGAAUGGCUCAUUUCAUCCGUUUAUCGCCCUGGAAUCAAAUUGUUAACUUUGAACAUGUGGAAGCUCGUGGGUUUAUGAAAUCACUCGUCUGGAGUGGCCAUGUCCGAUUUACUUCAAACCAGUCCAAUUUGCGGCACUCUCGAGUCACGAAAUCCUAAGCACUCACUUACCUGUCUGGUGUGCAAAGAAAAUAAUUCUCAAAUUCUCAUCGCCUACUCUCUGAGUCAAGAGUUGGGUGAAGAAAACUGGAACAAAAUAAUUCUCUUCACUACUCACAAAAAAAUAGAAUCAAACACCGAACUCAUUUCCAUUUACACCCCUUUCAUUUCCCCACUUCUCCCUCCUAGGCGCCCAAUUUCUGUGCAUGCAAAUGAGUUUUGGUGUUUGAUUCGUGGCGGGGUAUAAUCUUAGUGAGCAGCGGGCGCAGAAGUCUAGUCAAGCGACGUGAUAAAAAGGAAUUGCAAUACGCAACUCACGGAGAAUUGUGGAAAAGUCUGGAUACGUGAUUUUCCUCCUCCGAUCUCUGAUUUUUAUUUCAAAGCUGGUUGGUAUUGACACGUAGAAUAUAACUCCAAAGUGAUUCUGGACCUAUUUAUUCGACAAUGAACGUAGAUAACUACAAAAAUAAGAAGGAUCCCAUUGUACGAAUGUCUAUUGAGUUAUGAACUUUUUAAAUUAGUUGAUUUAAUUUUAAACAUCUUGACAAUUUGUCAAUAUAAUCAUUCCGACCAAUUUUGACCAAAAAUCGUUGAUGUAAACGCCAGCCAUCCUAUGGCACAUGACCAAUAUUGAGGUGGACAAUUUUUGCAAUCUUUAAAAGAAUUUUUCAUUUUUUUCUUUUUUUUUUCAUGUUUUCAUUUUCUUCAUUUUCUUUUCUUAUAUUUUCCUUUUUUCUUUUUCUUAUUCCCCUUCGCCAGCCAUUGGCCGAUCCAUGGCUUCGGUGAUUGAUAGCAAGGGCCCAGAUGCCCUUGCCAGCGAUUAGCAAGGGCUGAUGGAUUUGCUGGGCCACAGACUAAUGGAGGGACAAAGGAAAAAAAAAAAAAAGGAAAGAAAAGAAACUAAAAAGAGGAAAAAAAAAGGUUUUGAAAAAAUUGUAAAAAUUAUCCACAUUAACAUCGGCACCUAGAUCUGGGCGAGGCCAAUCUCGUCAUGGCCUAGCCUAGAUCUGGGUGAAGCCGCCUCGCGCACGGCCCCAGGCCUCCCUCGUGGCCGACGAGGCUCGUCAAAGAAGCAAAAGAAUGAAGAAGAGAAAAAAUUAAAAGGAAAAAUAAAAAAUAUAUAUUCAAAAUUGCCACGUCAACGUACAUCAAUGCUAGCCGACCAAAAUUGUCCAAAUAGAUUGAAUUGGCACAAUCACGAAAAGUUUAGAACUGAAUUGGCAAAAAAAAAAAAGUUUAAAACUGAAUUAACAUAAUUAUAAUAGAUUCAGAACUUUUUCGGUAAUUCAUGUUCCUACACAUGAAGUUCUCCUUGUCGAGCUUGUCGAUCUGGUGCUUCACAUACUUGAAAUGACUAGCUGCAAUUACAUUAUGAAACUCCCUGCUCGAUGAGUAUUGAGUGUACAUACCUUCGGUGAAAUUUAACUUGCUCAAUGCCCCCGGCUCCACCGUCGCCUUGCACCAGCUCCACGCUCUUUAUGAACUGAGGCAGGAGCUUCGGGAUCAGGGUAUUUGACUCGACAAUUAAAGCCUUAAGAAUGCGAGCCGGAGCAAUCGGGCAUGUGAGCUCUUGUGUGAAGCUGGUUGCACCCAUGGCUAUUGGCAAUGAGAAAGAAAUAACCCCAGAGAAGAGUGCUUCUGAGUCCUGUCAAUGCCUCCUAAUUAUGGUUGGAAUUAUGUCAAUAGGUAGGGUUGGUGUGGCAAGAGUCACGCUCGAGGAAAAUAGGAGAGUCAAGGAUUUGCAGCCUAAAGGAAUGGAAAAGAGGAAAUUGAGGUGGUCUCUUUUGUUCUUUUGGUCAUGAAAACGAUUUCGGUCCCUUUCAGAUUCGUGUUGAAAUGUCAAAGUUAUGUUCCAAAAGAUGAACAUUCUCGUGCUCACAUGGGCGGCCAUCCCUUUGAAAUGAUUGUUGUGGAGUUCGAUCUAACAAUUUGCCGAUUAGAUAUUAUAACGAAAUGUCCUUGUUUGGAGAAAAGUGUAUUAAUCAAAUUUUAUCCCGUUUAAUAUGUAGCAAACGAGAAUACUUUAUUAGUUGGUGAUAUCAUGUUAACUUGUCGCGUAAUAUAAACAUCACAUCAUAUACUUCUUCAUUUGUAAUGCCCUAAUGUCACGGUGGAUCUGAUUCAAAUGUAUGGAGUAAGGCCUUUUGAAAUCAUUUUCAUGGGUUGAUUCAAACUUCACUAGCACCGACAGUUUGACUCGGUCAAAAUUGGGUCCGCAAUCGGGGUGUCCCAAGAUCAGCUCGUCGUCUAAGUUUUGGGGGAGGUGGAGGCUGCUGCUUUUCCGUUAUAUCUUGCUUCUCUUUUUCUUUUUUAUCAUUGUCAGUGUUGAAGCAUUUGAUCUCUAAUCCAAUGUCCCCAUCAAAGAGAUAAGAUAGGAUUAGCUUACAUAGAAUUUCAAAUAGCCCAAGCGUUACAAUAAGAUAAGUCCAAAACCUAAACACAUUAACUUUAUUUUCCCAUAGCUUUCUUGACAUAUAAUAAGAAUGUGCUUUUCUUUAAUGAUCAUAUGCAUAACAAUCUCUGAAAGAUUCUACCACAUCCAUAGUUUUAAGUGUUAAUCCAAAUUCGAAACAUAAGUUUGGAUUUAUUCAUUUGUUACUCAUGAAUUCUAUUCUUUUAUGGAAUUUAUUGAAAAUUAGAGAAUCUCAUGAUACCAACAAAAUAUCAAGCUUAUUCAACUUUUAUUUCCUUGAUACGCUAUUUAUGUAGCACAAUUUACAAAAUUCCACAAAAACCAUUUCACCAGAUUCCUGCCACACCUUUUCAUUCUCUUAUUCUCAGCAAAGACAAGAACAGCUACGCUCACCAGCCCCACAAGCUUUACUCCAAACACAGAGGGACCCAAACUCUUCUUCUCUCCUUGUGAAUUUAGCACAACCAGACAUAUUUCACACAGUACCGUGAGCAAUCCAAGAUAGCGAUGAGAUCUACUCAAUAGGCAUCAGGGUUUGCCAAGAGAUGAGCCUCGAUGGCCUUGAACAUCUCGGACGCCUUCUCUUUCCCGGCCUUGAUCUUCUCCUCAGUGAUCUCCACCUCGCCGAUGGUGAAGUACUUGCUCGUGUUCUUGCACACCGAGCCUCCCUCGGGCGAUGCUAUGAUCUUCACCUCGUUGCUGAUCUUCUCGAAGGUGGUGCCCAGCAUGUCGCCCUCGAUGAUCGAGUAGCAGUAGGUGAGGUUCUCCUUGUCCAGGGACUCGACCUUUUGCUUCAUUGUCUUGUAGUGACUGCCUAUCAAAGUAAGAAAAAAUAAUAUUCACGUUUAGAAUUCGCCGGUUUCAACAUCACGAGCAACGAUCUUGAUGGUGUCGAUCGGGGCCAUUUAGGUUGUUCCAACUGCAAUCUGAUACGAUUGACUGAGUAGACAUGGCCUGAUUUCCCUCAAUUGGAGUCAAGUCACGUGAUCACUUGUGUAAAUCAAUGGUUAGAAACAUCUUUAAUUAACCAAGUUGCAUAUCUAUCUUUUUAAUGUUCAUCAUGAUGUUCCAUAAGGUUGAAACAGCCUUGAUCCAGAGCGAUCCUAACACGGACGGACUAACCUUCGCCGAAAGUGAUCAACUUGACGGUCCCGGGACCUCCGUCGCCCUCGAGGACUUCGACGCUCUUGAUGGCUUGCGGGAGCACCUUGGGGAUGAGGUUAUC